rnacentral:lncRNA from 1 species
GAUAGCAAGAAUCUUGAUGAGAUAGAUCAAGAAAGACUAACCUUGUUAAGUACGAAAUCUCCACUGGAAUUUGGCCAUGGAAACAUGAGUUUGAAAGGUUGAGAUGAGUUAAAUUUGGGAAUUUAUCAAACUCAUAUUGAAACAGAGUAGUAUUAAAAUUGUUUCCAGCAAGAUUAAGGCGUUGAAGAUGAUGGAGAUUGAGAAUGGAGUGAAAGCUGCCAGAAAGGUUUUUGUAACUGAGAUCAAGUUCAAUCACAUGACCCAAAGCAUCACAUGUAAUUCCUUUCCAAGAGCAACAGUCAGUGUUGGGAUCCCAAAGCUCAACUUUGGAAGAGAAAGUAAAAUUUGGGGCAUAGUAAAGAUCAUGGUGCAAUUGUAGCAGAGCAGAUUUCUGGUGAUGAAGGCAUUGGUUUUGGAGAUCAGGAGGGGAAAAAGAUAACACAAGAGAUAUAGAGCAUGAGAAGAGAAACAAGGUAGGAAAAAUGAGUGAAAUUAGGAUAUGAAGAUUCUUCAUUUUUUGUUGGCUCUCUAUAAAGAAAAAAUGAAGGGAAAACUAUGGAGUUUGAGAUUUGCUUACACGUUAUUUAUAGACAAGUACUUCAUAUUAGGUACUGUUAUUGUAGCUACAUAUCUCCCUUGAUCUCAAGAGAUAAGUUCAAAUGCGUUUUUCCAACCACGUGUUUGUACAAAUCACGAGUUUGAGCUAUUUUUAUAAGAGUUAAAUCAAAAUAGGUGGAAGACAGACAUAUUUAUUGCUUGUCCAUUUUGAAUUUUAAGGAAUGAAUAAUGGGUCAAUGGUGAUAAGGCUUAUAGUUUUGCUUUUGUAAAUUAAUCUUUAUCACUAUAUCUUUUCUUUUCUUUCACUUUUUAUUUCAUAUUAUGCAUUCGUACAAAUAACAAUUAAAUAAAAAAUUAAUUUUCUCAAAAGAACGAAAAUUUUCACUAAGUUUUACUCAUCUAUCAACUUGUCUGAAAGAGUAAUUUUACAAAGAUUUAUCAAUCAAAUCAAUUCUAUUAUUAAGGACAAAGGAAGAUGCAAGGCUAUGGGUGAGUUGUUCAUGAACACCUCCAAACAUGGAAGGAGAAGAAAUUUCGAAAGAGAAUUUUUCAACAUCUCUAAUUUUUUAAUUUUUUUCAUCCAUGGAAUUAAUAAAUACAAUUAUAUAAUAAACACAGUAAACUCAAAAACGAUUGAACCUCCAAUGUUUUUGGCAACACAAUUACAGAUUUGCAAGAAAAAAAAAUCAAAGUUUUAAAAAAUGCUGACUGCUUUUUUUUUUAUGAGUAGACAAUUUUCAAUAAAAUAAAAUCAUGUAAUAUGAAUAAUAUAUUAUUUUAAUUUUUAUAUUUAAUUUUUUAUAUAUAUUAAAUGAAUAUUUUUUAAAAAAAUUUGAUUUCACCACUGAUUAUGAAGUUAUACGAAAUUCUUUUUUUGAAAAUUCUAAGUUAUUUCUUUUUCUUAAUGGAAAAGCUUGAACCUCCUUUUGGUAUCCUUUAUCAACUUCCUCAUAUAUAUCAAUAUUUUUAUCUAUAUAAGCAUUAAAAGAAAAAGGGGUAUGAUCGUUUGGUGCAUUUUUAAUUUGUUGCAAUCCCACCUAACAUCUUGUAAUAUGGCAGCACAUAUGUUGUAAUUAAGAACAUUGCCUACCUAACCUGAAAAUCUAGAGCAAAAGUAUGAAUGAAACGAAACGAGGGCAAAAGAUGAAAGCAAGGAGGAAACAUCCAGCCAACAGAGUGCAAGUGCUGAAACUGAGUUUCCAUGUAUUCAGUUCCCUGUUCUAUUGAUGUCAAGUCAGAGAUUAAUGGAUGCUUUUGGUUUUUAUUUUUUUAAUAAAUGAAUUGAAAAUUUAAAAAAAUAGUAAAGGAAAAAAAAUACAAACCAAACGAAAUCUAAAUUAUAUUUUUCAGUUUAGGGUUUUUAUUUUUUUUAAUAAAUGAAUUGAAAGCAAAAAAUAAAUAGUAAAGGAAAAAAAAUCCAAACCAAAUGAAAUCUAUAUUAUAAUUAAUCAUCUUAAAUAAUUAGCAAUUAAUCACUUGAUGGAAUCUUAUCUAUAAGAAUUGAGAAAGUACAAUGAAAGAGUCAAGAUGUUGAUGGUAGUAUUCAAUCAGAUACUUAAAUUUUUAAUUAUUAAAAAAUAAUAGGAUCUAAAUUUUUGAUUAUUUGAAAAUAAUAGGAUGAAAGAAAAACUUUAGGAUUUGAAAAUUAUCUUUUUUUUUUUCAAAGUCCUUGAAUCAAUUGAAAGGUUAGAGAAAAAAUUUGUGUUCUUCAAUUUUUUUUUUCAAAAUUUUCAACAAAGUAAAACAUGUUUUUCAAUUUGUUGAUUAGGCAACUUGUUUCCCGUGCUUUUGUUUGUAAUAUACUAUUAGAUUUAAUGGCAAUUGUUUUAUUUAUAUUAAAUUUUUUAUUUUUUAACAUAUUAAAAUAUAUAACAAUCCUCCGACUUCAUAAAUUUCACAUAAUGUAUAGAUAUAUAUAUAUAUAUACAUAUAUAUUUAUAUAUAUUAUUAGUAGAGUUUUAAAGUUUCAUAAACGGUGUUAAUCUAUUAUCACAUGUUUUAUUUUUUUUUAUAAUUUUUAAUAUAUAAUAUAUGUUGUUUAUUACUUGAAAACUUAUCUUGAUAUAUAAUCACGCACAUCUUUCAAAGAUGGAUUAUUGAAAAUUUUCUCCUUAAAUUCUUGUUUUCUUGCCGUUUAUUUUCAUUUGUAUGGACACAAUGUUUAAACUAAUAAACAAAAUAUUUUCUAUGUAAAGAAAAUUAACAAAAAAAAAAAAAAACUAAAUAACUACCACUUGACAAUCCGCACAUUUAUUUUGACAUUUCCAAUGAUCCGACGACCUUACCACUUCCAAAUUAAAUUAAAUUUUUACUACCUCAUAUAACUUGAGCAUUUAAUAAAUGAAAUUUGUUCUAAUUGUAAAAACUAAGUUAGAUAUAAUGCUGAAUUGAACGAGUCUUAAAUAUCAUUGUUGCUGCAGGCAUAUGCAUUAGUAUUUAUGCAUGUGAGCUUUUUUUUUUUGUGUUAUUAAUUUUUACAGAGUUUAAGAAAAAAAUUUUGAUUUUAAUAUUUUUAAGAUUAAAAUUCAAUUUUUUAUAAGAUUAAAGUUUCAUGAUUUUUAAUGUCAAAAAGUAAAAAAAAAAUCAUAAAAAAUAAUUUUAAAAUAUAAAAAAGUAAGAGUUUGAGUUAUUCCAAUAAAGAAAGAUGAUAUAAUUUUGAGAUAUCUAAAACAAAAAAAAAAAAAAAACAAGAGACUGUGGGAAUACUAUAUUUAGACAUUACCAUUAGAAUCAUUAAUAAGUUCUCUAUAGUAAAUGAUGAUAAAACUUUAUUAUAAAUCAAAUUAUAAAUAAAAUAAUAAACUUAAAAAGAGUUACAUAUAUGUCGAACUUUGGAUAGUUAUAAAUCACGAAGUAAAAGUUUUAAAAAAAUCAGCAUAAUUGUUAAAGUAAAAUAUGUAUUGUAAUGUGAGAAUCUAAUAUCGAGUGUCAUAUCAUAUCGUAAAUAUUAUAAAUAGUUUUUAUAAUUUUUAAAAUUAAUUAUGAAUAAUAUAUAUAUAAAUCAAAUAAAAGUUUUUAAAAAAUACUCUACAUAUUAAUGGGAUUAAGUGAUUAAUGGACAUAAAUAUAAAAUAUGAUUAUUUUUCAAACUUUCAUCACAUUCUAUUUUCAAAAAAAUAUAUAUUUGAUAUGUUGUUAAUUUAUAAAUAUUAUAUGCUAUAUGUGAAUUACAAAAGAAAAUUCUAAAUACAUUCCCAUUUUAUCUCUCCACACCCUUUUUAUUUCAAAAUUAUUUUAAAUGAAAUUAUUUAAUUACUCUUUCUCUUUUCUAUUCACACUUCUUCUACUUUUAAGCUUUUGGAUUUACAAAAUUCAAAACUUUUAAGAGUUUUCAUAGUUGUAAAUCUAGAAGCUCUUAAAAGCCUCUAGAUUUGCAUAUCCAAAAGCUUUUAAAAAUUUCCGGAUUUGCAUAUCUAGAAGCUUAAAAUUUUCUAUAAGAUAUUUUUUCUUAACUAUUUUUUUUUAGAACCUAAAUGUAACUUCUUCUUUUUUUAACUUAUUGGAUAUUAAAAUCCAGUAAGUUAUAAAAUUAAAACAAGAUGGAUAAAUAAGUAAUUUCACUUAAAAAGUAAAAAAAAAAAAUGGAUCUAGAGAAAAAAUGAUGGUGCAUUUAGAAUCACCCAUCACAAAAUUAUACUUUAUAAAAAAAAUUGAUAUUUUAAUUUUGGACUCAGAAAGAAAAUAAUAGUAUGAGUUUUUUUAUUGGCAUUUAGUCUUUUAUUUGUUUUACAUUUUUAAGUCUUCCCAUCUUGCAAAUGUCUAAGUCUUCUUGUCCCAUCAUUACUCUAUCAAAAAAAAAAAAAAAAAAAUUUUAACAAUUUGCUUAAGUUGAGUCUAUUUUUGUAAAAAGAUAAAAAAAUAACAAUUUUCUCGAUGGAGGUUUUCUUUUCUUUUCUAGUUAAAUUGGCAUAUUGAGAAUGGAUCUUAAGUAUAUUUAUAUUUAUAUUUGUAUUAUUAUUAUUAUUAUUAUUAUUAUUAUUAUUAUUAUUAUUAUUAUUAUUAUUAUAUUUUAGUCUUUCUAAUGACUUAGACUAAAGCAACUGCUAAAAUUAUUAUUUUUGUGAAGUAAAGAUAGGGGUAAAAAGACUAACAUUUGCAUGCUUAAUGCCAAGAUAAGUAUAAAGCAAAGACUAAGACUUAGACCAAUACAUCCCUAUAGUAUCUAUUAUUUCUUUCUUAUUCCACCAUUAUAAAUCCUAAUUUCCAAAAUAGAUAAGUUUGAGAAGUGAGAAUGAAUAUGUUCUUUAGAUUUUUUUUUUCAAAACUUUCAACAAAAAUAAAACCACAGGUUUUUAUUUUGUUGAUUUUUUUUUUACCAAUCAAUUUGUUGAUUAAGCAACUUGUUUCUCAUGCUAUUGUUCCUAAUAUACUAUUAGAUCCAUGGUGUGCUCUUUUUUUUUGUUUUUUGUUUUGGUUUUUAUUGUUAAUAUAUUUUUAAAAGAUCCUGAUGAUUUAGAAAUUCAAUGAAACCAAUAACCAUGCAGUAUGUGUAGUAAAAUGCUAAACUCUUAGUUUUAGUUAGUUAAAAUUUCAAAUCUUGACAACCUCAACAAGCCAAAAAAAAAAAAAAAAAAAAAGAAGGACAAUCUUCUAAUUUCACAAAUUUUAUAUCUACAAGAUAACUUAUAUAUAUAUAUAUAUAUAUAUAUAUAUAUAUAAAACAAUUUCUUCACGUAUGAUUAAUACAUGAUUUAAAUUUUAUAAAUGGUAUUAGAUUCUCAUACUUUUUAUACGUAAGAUAUUUUCUCUUAACUAUUUUCUUUUUCAAACCUAAUUGUAACUUUUUUAACAUAUCGAAUAUGAAAAUUUGGUAAGUUAUAUAACUUAUAAAAAAUGUAUAUCUAGAAGCUUUAAAAUUAAAAUGAGAUGGAUAAAUAAGUGAUUUUACUUAAAAAAUUUUAAAAAAAAGUGUAUGUAGAGAAAAAAAAAAUGGUGUACUUAGAAUCACCUAUCACAAAAUUAUACUUUAUAAAAAAAUUUGAUAUUCUAAUUUUGGACCCAUAAAGAAAAUGAUAGUAUGAGAUUUUUUUUAUUUGGUAUUUAUUUCUUUUCUUUGCUUUAUACUUUUAAGGUCUUCUCAUCAUGGCAAAUGUCUAAGUCUUCUCGCCGCCAUCAUUACUCUUGUGAAAAAUAAUCUUCUUAGCAGUUUGCUUAAGUCAAGUCUAUCUUUUAAAAAAGACAAAAAAAACAUAGCAAUUUUCUUAAUGGAUGUUGUCUUUUGUCUUUUAGUUAAAUUAACAAACUGAGAAAUGGAUUUUAAGUAUAGUAAUUAUUAUUGUUAUAUUUUAGUAUUUUUAAUUACUUAGACUGUAGCAACUACUAAGAUUAUUAUUUUGUGAAGUAAAGAUGGGGCAAAAAGACUGACACAUUUGCAUGCUGAUGGCAAACUAAGUAUAAAGUGAAAACUAAGACUUAGACCAAUACCAUUCCCAUAGUAUCUAUAGAUUUCUUUCUUAUUCCACCGUUAUAAUGUCACAAUCUCCAAAGUAGACAAGUUUGAGAAGUGAGAAUGAAAUGUGUUCUUAGAUUUUUCUUUUCAAACUUUUCAACAAAAAUAAAACAUAGGCUUUUAAUUUGUUGAUUUCUAUUUUUUUUUGCCAAUCAAUUUGUUGAUUAAGCAACUUGUUUCUAAUGCUUUUGUUCCUAAUGUACUAUUAGAUUUCAUAGUAUGUACAUUUUUUUUAUUCUUAAUAUAUUUUAAAUAGAUCCUCUGAUUUAAAAUUUUAAUAAGCCAAUAACCAUGCAGUAUGUUAGUAAAAAACUAAACUCUUUAGUUUCAGUAGUUUAAAGUUCAAAUUCUCACAACUUCACAUAAAAAAAAAAAAAAAAAAACAAUCUUUGGAUUUCACAAUUUUCAUGUAUAUUUUGAUUUCUUCACAUAUGAUUUAUAGAGGAUUUAAACUUAUAAAUAGUAUUAGAAUCUUAUGCUCUUUAUCAAAUAUUUUCUGUCAACUAUCUUUUUCCAAACCUAAAUGUAACUUGUUUUAAGCUUCCGAAUAUGAAAACCCAUAUGUUCUAUAACUUAUCAUAAAUGCAUAUCUAGAAGUUUUAAAAUUAAAAUGAGAUGGAUAAAUAGGUAAUUUCACUUAAAAAUUNNNNNNNNNNNNNNNNNNNNNNNNNNNNNNNNNNNNNNNNNNNNNNNNNNNNNNNNNNNNNNNNNNNNNNNNNNNNNNNNNNNNNNNNNNNNNNNNNNNNNNNNNNNNNNNNNNNNNNNNNNNNNNNNNNNNNNNNNNNNNNNNNNNNNNNNNNNNNNNNNNNNNNNNNNNNNNNNNNNNNNNNNNNNNNNNNNNNNNNNNNNNNNNNNNNNNNNNNNNNNNNNNNNNNNNNNNNNNNNNNNNNNNNNNNNNNNNNNNNNNNNNNNNNNNNNNNNNNNNNNNNNNNNNNNNNNNNNNNNNNNNNNNNNNNNNNNNNNNNNNNNNNNNNNNNNNNNNNNNNNNNNNNNNNNNNNNNNNNNNNNNNNNNNNNNNNNNNNNNNNNNNNNNNNNNNNNNNNNNNNNNNNNNNNNNNNNNNNNNNNNNNNNNNNNNNNNNNNNNNNNNNNNNNNNNNNNNNNNNNNNNNNNNNNNNNNNNNNNNNNNNNNNNNNNNNNNNNNNNNNNNNNNNNNNNNNNNNNNNNNNNNNNNNNNNNNNNNNNNNNNNNNNNNNNNNNNNNNNNNNNNNNNNNNNNNNNNNNNNNNNNNNNNNNNNNNNNNNNNNNNNNNNNNNNNNNNNNNNNNNNNNNNNNNNNNNNNNNNNNNNNNNNNNNNNNNNNNNNNNNNNNNNNNNNNNNNNNNNNNNNNNNNNNNNNNNNNNNNNNNNNNNNNNNNNNNNNNNNNNNNNNNNNNNNNNNNNNNNNNNNNNNNNNNNNNNNNNNNNNNNNNNNNNNNNNNNNNNNNNNNNNNNNNNNNNNNNNNNNNNNNNNNNNNNNNNNNNNNNNNNNNNNNNNNNNNNNNNNNNNNNNNNNNNNNNNNNNNNNNNNNNNNNNNNNNNNNNNNNNNNNNNNNNNNNNNNNNNNNNNNNNNNNNNNNNNNNNNNNNNNNNNNNNNNNNNNNNNNNNNNNNNNNNNNNNNNNNNNNNNNNNNNNNNNNNNNNNNNNNNNNNNNNNNNNNNNNNNNNNAUUUAUUUUGUUAUGAGGUAGAUAAUGGAAGGAAGAAAGAAGCUUCUGACCUUAGACAAAAUAGCUUUAGACCAAUUCUAAAGUUCUUUUAAAGAAAACGAAACGACUUUAGACAAAGCAAAGCAAGAAAUAUGUGUACGAGGAAAGAACAAGAAAAACCCAUUCAUGAUGAAUUGAAGACUCAUUAAUUAAUAGAAAAUCCCAUUAAUUUUUCUUCUAUGGAAAAACAAUCAUUUUCGCCCUUUCAUAUUUGUAAUGUUCACAUUUGUAGUUUUCACUUAUUCAUUAAUAUUAAGGUUCAUUACCAUUUAAAAUAAUAUUAGUUAAUAUUUUUGUUUCUAGUAUUGUAAAAUAUAAAAUAUGAAUCUACAUAUUCUAAGUUCUUACUAUUCAAAUCAAUAUUCUUUAACAAUAUUAAAAACAAAAAUAAUAAAAAAGGCCCAUAUAUAUGAUAAAUUCAAUAAUAAAUUAUUAUAUGUUGUUUUGAAUUCUCAGUGAUUAAUUAAAUGAUUUUGCAAACAAUAAUCUAAAAGCACAUUUCAAGAUGAUUACAUAAAGUAAUAUCUUCAUUCAAUACAUUAAUAUCAUAUUUGAUGCAUAGGGUUAUUGAUAGGAUAUGAUGAUAAUUAUUUUAUAUAAUAUUUGAUUUUUAUUUAAAGAAAGGGAUAGAGAUUAUAAAAAAGAUUAAUAUCCUCUUGACAUAAAAUUAUUCAAUCUUUCUCAAGUGGAAAAGAUUAUUUUUAAUCCAUAAGAUUAAAUUUAUAUAUCCAAUUAUACCCUUAAAAAUUAUAUCAAUAAUAUAAAUUAUAUAAAUUAUGAAAAAAGAUAAUUUUGACGAAUAAAUAAAUUAUCCUAUCUUAAUCAUUCCAUCUAUCAAACACAAAGUAAGAUGAUAUUAUUUAAUCCAAUUUUGUUCAUAAGAUCAUCUUAUCCUAUCUUAUCAUAAUCUUGUAUAUUAAAUAUGAUUUAAAAAUAAUAGAUAUAAAAUUAUUAAUUAUAUAUCAAUUAUUACAUUUAAUAUAAAAUUAUUAUGAUAAAUAGUAUAUUAACUAAUUUUAGGGAGCAAAGAAUUCUUUAGUAAUUAUUUUAAAUGUGUGAGUAUGAAUCAAAGUAGGAAUGGCGACGGAAUAGAAUGGGCUAUUUUUGAAGUAUUUAUAUAUGAAUUUAUUUACUUUUCGUUAUAUUCGAAUUCUUUUAAUUUAUUUAAAUAUUUGAUUAAAUUAAUUAGUUUAAUAUCCAAUUGUAAAUCCAUUUAAAUAAGUAUUAUCAACUAAAUAUUUAAAUCACUAAAAUAUUUGAUUAUUUAAGUUUUUUUGUUAAACUAUAAAAUAAUUAAAUUUAAAUUUAAAAUUCAAGUUGAAUUUUAAUAAUAACAAAUAAAAAUUUUUUGUUAAGGUUCAAAACCUUCUACGACUAUAAAAUUUUAUAUAAUUUGCAUAUAUAAACAGAUAAUAAAUUCGGAUGUUCAAUAUUAUCCAUCAAAAUUUAAACGGAUCCAAAUAUUCAAAAAAUACUAUCUAAAUUCGUCAUAGAUAUUAAACUUACUAUAAAAAAUCAUAAUUAUCCACUUAUAAAUUUUUUAUCAGAACAUAAUCAAAUUAGAUAAUACCAAAUAUAUGAUUAUUUAGUAUAUAUUAUCAUCUUUAAAUGAAGUCCAAGAGAGAAGCAAUCAAUUAAAUCUAAUGAAAAGGAUGGAAAGGUGAAGCACGGUCUAAAGCUAAGCUACUGUCUCCCAUUAUUUCCACUGACUUGACAUCAACAUACAAGCGAAAUCUGAAUGCGUGGAAACUCAGUUGCAGCACUUUUACUUUGUUGGCUGGAUGUUUCCGGUAUGCUUUCAUCUUUUGCCUUCGUUUCAUUUCAUUCAUAUAUUUGCUUCGGAUUUUCAGGUUAGGUGGGAAAUAUUUUUACAACAUGUGAUGCCAUAUAUACAAUAGGUUUUGCAAUAAAAAAUGCAACAAACGGUAUCCAUUUGACUAAACAAUAUUCCUUUUUCUUAGUUAUUAAUCUAAUGGUGUCAGGAUAACUAAACUCUAUUAGAGACCAAAGAAUAACACAUACUAUUAUAAAGAAAGAAUUGUUACAGUAAUUAUUCUAUUCUUUGAAUGCUUAUUUAGAAAGAAAAUGAUACAUAUGAGGAAGUUGAUCGAGGGAACAAAAGGAGAUUCAUCGAAGAAGAAGAAUAAGAAGAAGAAACAAACUUAUUAAUUGGAAUUUUCAAAAAAAGAAAGUGUUCUAUCUAAUUUUAUAAUAACUGAGUUGAGUUGACUGAUACAUCUUUGUAAGUUUUACUUUCCUUCAAAUGUCAAGCUUAGUAAAAAUUAUAAUUAUGUUUUAGUAAUGGAGAAAUUCCUUCCUUCUGAUAUAUAUGUAAGACUAUUACCUAACUUUAAGAUUUUUUUUUUUUCGUACCAAUACAUAAUAUGAAAUAAAAAGUGGGAAUCAAAGAAACAAUAUAGUGACAAAGAUUAAUUUACAAAAGCAAAACUAUCGGCCUUAUCAUCAUUGAAACCCAUUAUUCAUUCUUUAAAAUUCCAAAUAGACAAGCAAUAACCAUAUCUGUCUUCCACCUAUUUUGAUUCAACUCUCACAGAAAAAGUUCAAACUCGUACAAACAUGUGGUUGGAAAAACACAUUUGAACUUAUCUCUUGAGAUCAAGGGAGAUAUAUAGUUACAAUAUGAAGUACUUGUCUAUAAAUACCUGUAUGCAAAUCUCAAACUGCACAAUCUUCCCUUCAUUUUUUUUAUAGAGAGCCAACAAAACAUGAAGAAUCUUCAUAUCCUAAUAUCACUCAUUUUUCCUACCUUAUUUCUCUUCUCAUGCUCUGUCUCUCUUUUGCUAUCUUUUUCCCCUCCUUAUACUGAUCUCCAAAACCAGUGCCUUGAUGACCAAAAAUCUCUUCUACUGCGACUGCACCACGAUCUUUACUAUGCCCCAAAUUUUACUUUCUCUUCCAAAGUUGAGCUUUGGGAUCCCAACACUGAUUGUUGCUCUUGGAAAGGAAUUACAUGUGAUGCUUUGGGUCAUGUGACUGGACUUGAUCUUAGCAACAAAAACCUUUCAGGCAGCUUUCACUCCAUUUUCAAUCUCCAUCAUCUUCAACGCCUUAAUCUUGCUGGAAACAAUUUUAAUACCACUCUGUUUCAAUAUGAGUUUGACAGACUCCUAAAUUUAACUCAUCUCAACCUUUCAAACUCAUGUUUCCUUGGCCAAAUUCCAGCAGGGAUUUCGUGCUUAACAAGGUUAAUCUCUCUUGAUCUAUCUAAUCAAAAUUCAUGCCAUCAACGGUAUAACCAAAUUCUCCGUCCAUACGACGACUUCCUCUACUAUUCACUGCCUUUUGACCUUCAACAACUUCUUAAACUAGAAAACCCAAACUUUAAGACAUUGAUCCAAAAUUUAAGACUUCUUACGGAGCUCUACUUGGAUAGUGUGAACAUUGCAACUCAAAGUACUAGAUGGUGUGAAGCCAUAUCCAUACUACUUCCUAACCUGCAUGUGUUAAGUCUUUCGAAUUGUGGUUUGACAGGUCCAUUUUGUUCUUCACUCUUAAGACUCCCUUUUCUUUCCAAACUUUUCCUUGGUGGGAAUUCAAUCUCUUAUUUGCCUCCCAAUUUCUUGGAAAUUUCCUCUAAUUUGGUUUCUCUCAGUUUAGCGAGUUGCAAUUUGAGUGGGGAUUUUCCAACAGAAGUUUUCUCAUUGCCAAAAAUACAAAGCAUUGACAUUUCAAAAAAUGACAAUCUUGAAGGUCAGUUGCCAGAAUUUCCAUUAAACAAUACUUUACGGAUCUUAAUGAUUUUUUUUACAAAUUUCGGUGGAAAACUGCCAGAAACAAUUGGUAAUCUCAAGUUCUUGACAACUUUAGAUCUCCGUUUUUGCAAUUUCUUUGGACAAAUUCCAUUAUCAAUUGCCAAUCUUACUAACCUUGUGGAGCUGAAAUUGGGAUAUAAUAAUUUCAGUGGUUUAAUCCCUCCAUUUCAUAGAUUAGGAGUUCCAAAUCUUUCAUAUCUUGAUUUCACAUGGAACCACCUCUCUGGCUCAAUUCCUUCUUCUUUAUUUACUCUCCCAUCAUUGCAUACCCUGCUUCUUUGGCGAAAUCAAUUGAUUGGUGAAAUUGGUGAGUUCCCCAAUGCAUCUUCUUCAUUGAUUGAAGCAUUGUAUUUAGACUACAAUAGCUUUGGUUCCGUGAAGCUUGACAUGUUCUCCCAACUCAAGAACUUAAGGUUUCUUGGCCUUUCCAAUACGAGCUUGUCAAUUGAAAGCAACAUCACAAGCCUUUCUUUUCCCCAAUUAGAGGAACUAGACCUGAAUUCAGUAACCUUACUGAAUUUCCAGAAUUCAUCAAAACUCAAGACAAGUUGGCUUUCCUAGGUCUUUCUAACAACCAAAUCCAUGGUUUUGUGCCUAAUUGGUUAUGGAAGACCACUCUUUUAGGGUUAGACCUUUCUUUCAAUGCGAUUGGUUUUUCAAAAGAGGUUCCUUUUGGUGAUGCAAACUCCUCUUUUCCAAUGUUGAGUGUCUUAUAUUUACAAUUCUGUAACCUAAGUAUGUUUCCAGAGUUUUUAAAGAGUCAAACUAGUUUAGAAUAUCUAGACCUUUCAAAUAAUAAAAUAUGUGGUGCAGUGCCGAAUUGGGUGUGGAAGAAAAGUUUGAGGAAUCUGGAUCUUUCUAACAAUUCUCUCUCAUUUUUGGACCAAUUUUCACUAAACCAAUCUCUAACUUCUUCACAAGGCUCUUUAUCAAGACCUAUUUGCAAUUUGAGUCAACUUAGGACCUUUAAUGCAUCCUUUAACAAAUUAAGCGGGCCAAUCCCAAGUUGCUUGGGCAAUAUCAGUUCUCUCGACACUUUGGAUCUACAAAAAAAUAAUUUCAAUGGCAGCAUACCAGAUUUUGCAAAAGCGACCCAAUUAUAUUGGCUUCAACUCAAUGAUAAUAAAUUAGAAGGGAAGUUGCCAAGGUCAUUAGCCAAUUGCACAAUGCUCCAAGUUUUAAACCUUGGAAACAAUACUCUGCAUGACACAUUCCCUUUGUGGUUGGGAAAAUUGCCCGCGUUGAUGGUCCUUGUAUUGCGAGCAAAUAGGCUUUAUGGUCCAAUUAAACAUGUGAAAAAUUGUUUUCAAGACUUAGAUGUACUAGAUAUUGCUUUCAAUAAUUUUUCUGGUCAAUUACCAAUUGAAUUCUUUCAAGCUCCUCAACUAAGGUCACUCAAAAUUGGUGGGAAUAAACUGGAAGGAAAGUUGCCAAGGUCAUUAGCCUAUUGCAAAAAGCUUGAAGUUUUGGACGUUGGAAAAAAUAUGAUACAAGACACAUUUCCUUUUUGGUUGGAGAAAUUGCCUUCUUUAAAGGUUCUUGUAUUAAGAGCAAAUAAAUUCUAUGGUCCAGCUAAAACUUCUGAGGAUGAAAAUGCUUUUCCAGAGUUACACAUAUUGGACCUUGCUUCCAAUAACUUUUCAGGUGAGUUAUCUAUUGGAUUUUUUCGAUCUUUGAAGGCAAUGACGACAAUGACUGAUGGCAAGAAAGCUAAGCCAGAUUACAUUGGAGACAAGCACUACCAGGACUCCCUGACAAUUGUGAAUAAAGGGUGUGAAAUUUUUUACAAGAAAAUCUUAACCAUCUUUGUUUGUCUUGACCUUUCCAAUAAUAGUUUCCAUGGGAGAAUACCGGAGGAAAUACAAAACCUCAAGUCACUCAAAGCGCUAAACUUCUCCUACAACAGCUUCCUUGGCCCAAUCCCUUCAGCACUUGGAAACUUAACUGAGCUUGAGUCGUUGGACCUCUCCCAGAACAACCUCUCAGGAAAGAUUCCUCCACAGCUUGCAAGCCUAACUUUUCUUGAAGUAUUGAAUCUCUCUUACAACCAACUUGAGGGAAGCAUACCACAAAGCUACCAAUUUGGUACAUUUCCAAACGAUUCUUACAAAGGGAACCCAAGAUUGUGUGGGCCGCCUUUGACAAAGAAAUGCAAUGAAGUUGGUCUUGGAAUGCAACCCCCUAAGGAAGAUGAAGAUUCAUUGGUAGAUGGUAUAUCUAUUUGGAAAAUCGUAUUGAUUGGGUAUGGAUGUGGUUUGGUGAUUGGGUUAUCUAUUGGAUAUACAGUGUUGAAUGAGAUGGGAAACAAAUGGAUGGAUAGGUUUACAUGGAAUUGGAAUAAAAAAUGGAGAAGAUCUUUUAAGUGAUUCUAUCAAAACUCAAGUUUCAAAUUCAUUUGGUAAGCAUUCUAGAAUACUUAAAUCACUCAAAAAUUUUUUUAUUGGUUCUUUCAACUGUAGUUAAUUGCCUAAACAAAUAAAAUUAUUUAAAUACUCUCGUGCAUUAUAAGUGUGAUAUAUAUAUAUAUAUAUAUAUAAUUGCACUAAUUGAUAUUUGAUUAAAGUGAUUACUUUUGAAAUUUAAUUAAAGAAGAUUUCAACUUUGUACGACUCAUUUUCUUUUUAAACUUGGCAUUGCUUUUAAAUCUGAAAACAAAAAUUGCCUGCAACCUAAGAUAUGUCCUUUGAAUUCCUAACCUCAUUUUAUAAAUGACAAUCAUGAGUUUUCAAGUUACUAAUUUGUAAAAGACAUGUGGGUGACUGGCAUUUUGAGUUAGAUUGGGCUGUCAACCAUCUUAACAGCAAAGCAAAGCUUCAGCAUUUAUUGUCCUUAAUUAGAUUGGCUUGGGAUGCUCAUGUAUAUUUUAUUUGGCAGGAGCACAAUCAAAGGAAGUUUGGCAGGCCAUCUAAAGAUAUAGAAGCUAUUGUUUCAACUAUCAGAAGUUACUUUUCGCUUAGCUCAAUAACAAGAUUGCAGUCUUCAGUUGCACUCUUCCUCUUCAACAACAGAAAUUAUGUCUGAAUGUUUUUGGCUUGGUGUUACGGUUCUCUUGUCUCAUUUCUUUCUCUUCUGCUCACCUAAGAUGAGUGGCAGCAUGUGUGGUUGUAUUGUGCUUGUCUUCUGUUCUGUCUAUAAGGUGGUGUUUUACUGCUGAGUUAUGGGGUUCCCCUGUUGUUCACCCCAUUGUGCAACUCUGUUUUUAUUAAUAAUUUCUGGCUUAGCAAAAGAAAAAUGUGUCUGAAUUGGGGACUGGUUCCUUAAUGUUGCUUAGUUUGAUUACGUUGCAAAAGUUAGAUUGUUUGUGGACAUUUGUAACGUUUUGAUAGCUUACUGUUUACUUGUAGCAAGUCUAAUGCUUUCUUUGGGUUAAUAAAAAUCAUUCACCCAAAGAAAUUCUUAACGAAAAUCUUAUUAUCUUCUAAGCUCUUCAUUAUUGUUAUACCUAAGAGAUCAUAUUAGCAGCCACAUAGUAGGUCUUACACAUGAAAACCCAGUUUGCGACGUCGUCAUCUAAAAGGUAUGUAUAAAAAGUAGAACCAGACCAGACAGAUGAUUCACUACUGAACUCUCUCUACUCUCUUUAACUGCUUCUUACUCUCUCUCAUUUACUUGCUUGUGGUAUACCUUACUAACUUGAGCGUUGGGGAAUGCCUCAAAAUAACAUUUUUGGCACACUGACUUCCUACCGUGUGAUAGGUCACACAAACUCUCCUUCUCAACCUCCAGUAAAACUUUCGACUAUCAGACCAGGAAUUACAUCAACAAUAUCAAUUAUGCAACUCAACUAUUUGCCGUGCAGGUAUUUGAUAUAAGCCAUGGCAUGUACAACAAUGACUACGCCUACCACUUUAGCUGCCAAAACUAGAAAGUACAUCUCCUAACACAGAAAAAUCUUCACAGACCAAGCUCAAGCUAAGAUGCUUUAUUCCUUUAUUAACUGCUACAUCACUACAGAGAAAAAAACAACGAAAAGAAAAUAACAAAGCUUCCAGUUCCAGGUAUCAAGCUCGACAAUUCCGAACUAACUUCGAUAGUAUUUUAUUGUCCCUAACAACUAUAGAUUUGACCAUGGCGAGAAAGAUUGAUAUAUUUCCUUUAUUAUUUUAUUCAACUUUAAUCCCAUAUCAUCUUUUGUUUCUUUGCUUCAGCACUCCCACAGACAAAAACAAAUGGUUUGUUGUAAGCUUUAUUGCUAUAUGAUUGAUUUGCAUGUAUUGACUAAACAAAAACAUGAGGGCAAUACAUUCAGUAACUUAUAUAUACUCACUUCUCUAGAAUGCCAAUGAAUCCUUUCAGUAACUUAUUCUCUAUCUAAUAGAAAUAAAGCGUCAUAACUAAAUAGCCAAUAUUCACAUUGAUGUGCUAAGUGUUCUGAUAUAGCCACUAAUCCAUAAUUAAAAGAUGAAGUAAUAGACGACAUGCUAUCUUUCAAUCACUGGUCAUUUUAUAGGUAGUAUUUUCUCUAGUGGCCACCUUGAUGCUGUAAACCAGGAAGGUUGUCAAGCCUUCUGACAUUUAGCCUAUUUUGAGUAUUAGCUCAGAAUUUAUGUUUAGAAGAUUGGUGCAGGUAAAAAGAUAUCUGAUGACUUUGGGGUUGACAAAAGCCACAUUGGACAGAGUGAUCAUGCAUAUAUGAAGACUUUGCCGCUAGAGGCUUUCUCCUACAAGUGUCCUCGUGCGGCCCUGAGUUCUUGCUCAUUUGAAUCCUUCUCUAACUACAAAUGUAAGUAUCAACUAGAAAAAUAGUUUAUUCUUAUGAAUUCAGUCAUUUGAAAAUUUUACAGGGAAACAAGAAAACAAAAACUCAUGCUAAAAAAGAAAAUUUUAGAGGGAAAAAAGGAAACAAAAAGAUUACUAUUUCUUGAGUUUAAGUUUAGGUUUGCUAGCUAAUUUCACUUUUUUUUUUUAUUUAAUGCAGACUGAAAAAUCAAAGAGUUAGCUAUAUAAGUACAUAUACAUAUACACCUUUAAAAAGAACAAAAAAUGGAACAAAUUUUACCUUGUUCAGAUUGUUGAGGUUCUGUUUCAAAUUGCUGAGGUUCUUUUCCUGGAUACUGGGGCUCGCUUGAAUCUGUCAUCUUGACAGAAACAAGAGCGAAGGUUUUAUAGGUUCCUUGCCUCAAGCAAGAUGAACUUCAAGUCAUUUACGACUGUUGCUUCAAUCACUUGAAAGAAGGUUUUAAACUAAGUGAGUCAAAAUCCUUAUUACAAUUAAUUAAGGUAAUGAAUGAUAGAAGAUCAACACACUAACUGGUGUCAUAACUAAAUUUUCAUAGAUAAGAUCAAGCUUUCUCUCAUGAAAGGCUAAAUGCUAAAUUUUUUACCCAAAUCAUAAAUUUCUAUUGAUGUAAGAAAGUGAAGGAAUUAAAUUUUUUAUCCUAAUCACAAAAUAUUUACAGUACUCACCUGAACAAGAAGUCUAAACCGCAAUGCCCAAUAUAUUUACUAUCACCCACGAUUGAAUAAUCGGAAUUGAAAUUACUGAACAAGAAGAGAUCAUCCUUUGUCAAAUACUGCAUUCACCAUUCCAACACUUACAAAUCAAAUGAGGCUAAAAUCAUAACUGAAUACAUCCUCCAAAAAUUAAGAGAAAAAUAACAUUUUAUUGGCUGGUCAUACUGCUUGCAGAGCUCAAAAACUGCUCUGCAGAAAUGUACAAGCCUUUUUGGAUUGGAGAGAUUGAAUGAUAUUCAAAAACACAUGGUCAAUUUAAGAAGUUGACUAGAGAGACCAUAUAUUUUGGAACAGCAACAUGCUUUAAGGGCCAUAUGUAGGGAGGGAGAAAUGUCUAUAGCCUCAAUAUUUGAUCAAAACUAUUCUCUCCAUUGCACUCACUAAACCACACACACUCACACACUGAGGUUCAAGCCUACAAGGUAACAUAUGCAAUUCUAAGUUAAAACACAACCUUUGGUGAUCUACGAAAGUCCAUGCAGAUAGAAAUUCAGAUACAAUUAUUCUAAAACAGAGCAUAAGAUUAAUUUCACAAAAAUAUUUAAACUCAAAACCUGUUCCUUUGCUAUCCAAUAAUAUUUGCCAAUUCAGAUGAACAUAAAGGAGGAAAAGAAAAUAACAACAAUAGUGGACAAACAUUGUACCUGUUUUACCGAAACAAUUGGCCAGAGAUCACAAAACUUAUCAAAAAUGUUUGAGUAAUUAAUAUCAAAAGACUCAUAUAUCAUUCCAUUCUUCAGAAUCCCAAGAGACUGGUUAUUCCUUCUAUGGAGCUGCAUUCCAUGUUUUGAAAAAAUUGUGUCCGGAACACUGUUUGUUGGAUCAUCCCUCACCACAUCUACAAAUCCCACCAUCCAAACAAUACUAAAUCAUUCAUAAAUUAUGAAAACACAGAAAGUGAUGAAUCAAAUUUCACCAAUAACAAAAUAUCAAAGCAUAUACCAUGCCAAUUUUCAAACCAAAAAACUCAACAAUAGAUUUCAAUUGCAGACACUUUCAAUCAAUUCAUCAUACUCGAAGAAAGGUGUAAUCUACCUAGACUAAUCACCUUAUAUACAUCUUCCAUCCCAAAACAUACCAAAUCAAAACACCAUAAAUUGAACUUUCUUAUCAAAUACAACUUGAACACACACAAAGGGUAAAUUUAAAAAAGAAGCAACACAUAAAUGCAAUUAACCUUUGCCAACCCAGAUUUAAACACGAGAUAAAAUACCCAUUACUCUUAACAAUUUACUAGUCAUAGUCAAAAUGCUAUAUCUGCAAAUACUGAAAUGGCUCAGUUCAUGGAAAAGUCAAUAAAAUCAUAUAACAGCAAAGCCCAAGUUCAUAAAAGUAGGAAUUUGUUACCAUCUUUAGCAAUUCUGAUUCCACCAAGCUCUAGCACUGAGGAAGCCACUGGUUGUCUCCACUUUUUCAUAGUAGACAGAGAAGCAGCAACAGAAGAAGAAGAGAAGGGUAAGAAAAAAGUGAAGCGUUUGAAACCAUUUAUGUGGUGAAAAAGGGUGGCAGUUGAAUGAGCAGUUGAAACUACUGCCAUAAAGCCUCGGUUUUCCGUUUCAGAAUGCUGGAUUCUGUGAAGAGAAGGAACAAGGAUUAGUCAGUUUGGGACUCGUUUCAAAGGCACGAAAAAAUUAAAAAUACGCUAAUUAUGUAAAAUAAGAAAAACUUUGCUCAUGGGAUAUGCGCGUUCGACGCCAGCAACCUAACUAUUAGUUAAUUUCAAAUUUUUAUUAAAAUAUAUAACAUAUUUUUGUUAGAGCAAAGCUCCUGCCAGCAAGGCUGAGGAAACAAAAUAAAUAAACCGAAAGUCUAUGCAAAGAAUUGAGAAAUCAAAAAUCGAUUAAAAAUUAUAAUAAAUUUUUUUAUUUGAUUCAGAUCGAUGAUUAAAUAUUUUUAUUCAAUUCAAAUGAUUUUUGAUUCAUUAAAUUAAAAAAAUUCCAAUCGAACUAAAUUAUAUUUUUAUUAAUUUUUAUAUAAAUUUUAUUAUUUUAUAAAAUAAAAAUAAUUUUUAUUUUAAAAUAAAGAGAAAUCAAAUUACAUAAAAAAAAAUUAUAUUUUUUAAUCAUUAAUUUCAAUUGAUACAAAAGAUGGAAUAAAUAAAUAAAUAAAUAAUUUAAUCUCAUUUUUUAAAUCAAUUAAAAUUAAUAAUUAAAAAACUAUAUAAAAUUAAAAAAUUUUAUAGUGAUAUAAGCUAAUCAUUCCCUUUAAAAAAAUAAUAUAAAAAUAAUAAUAAAUAAAUUUUUAAAAAUCAAUAAAUUAAAUCCAAUUAAUAAAAUUCAAUUCAAAUUAAUUCAAUUUAAAAAAUAAAUUAAAAUUUAGAUUAACUUUUGAAAAAUAAUAAUACUAAAUAUUAAUCAAAAUAAUCAAAGCGAUUUCUUAUCGGUCCAACUUGCUAGAGACAAUGCUUUAAAUCGGACCAAUAAUCAAAACCUCGGGUUACUGUUUUAACCUGUUUGACUGGUUUGAUCGAUGGAUCCAACAUCAUCCAUAAUUAAUUUUUGAAGAAUUAAAAAAAAAAAAGGAAAAAUAAGGUAGAAUCAGGAAUAUUUAGAAAAAAAAAAAUACUGCCCUUUUAAGGCUCUGUCUCCAAUAUUUUCAUCAACGUAAAAUUAAUCUUUCGCUAAAAAACGUUUAGUUCACACUCAACUUUUUUUUAAGCAACUUUUUAACGGCGGAAAAAGAUCCCUCUAUAAUAAGUUGUAGCGUAGCAGAGCAUACCAAUAAAAAUAUUACAAAAAUUAAUAUUAUGAAUAAUUUUAAAUCAUAAUAAAAUAUUUAAUAUUAUAUUUAAAUUUUAAAAUUUUUUAAUUUGAUAUUUAAAUUAUAAAUUUAUUAAUUAAUUUGAUUCUUAUUUUUAACGUGACUAGUUCAAAUAUCGCAUUAAAAUUUUUUAAAAUUUAAAUAUUGUAUUAAACAUUUUAUUAUAAUAUGUGCAAGUCAUACAACAUAAAAAAUGAGAUCAAUGAAAAUUAUUAAUUUUAUUUAUUAUUUUAUGUGAUUUAAUAACUUAAUUUUAAAGCCGCGGGAGCAGCUCGAGCAGUGCACCGGUAGCCGACGGGUUCGGAAUUGAGACCCCCGUACCCAACCCUUAGAGCCAAUCCUUUUCCCGAGGUUACAGAUCCAUUUUGCCGACUUCCCUUACCUACAUCAUUUUAAAAGCAUUGACAUUUUAAAAAAUUACAAUCUUGAAGGUCAGUUGCCAGAAUUUCCAUUAAACAAUGCUUUACGGAUCUUAAGGAUUUUUUCUGUAAAUUUCGGUGGAAAACUACCAGAAUCAAUUAGUAGUCUCAAAUUUUUGACAAUUUUAAGUCUCCAUAAUUGCAGUUUCUUUGGACAAAUUCCAUCAUCAAUUGCAAAUCUUACAAAUCUUGUGAAAUUGAGUUUAGCAAUUAAUAAUUUUAGUGGCUUAAUCCCUCCUUUUCAUAGAUCUGGAGUUUCAAAUCUUUCGUUUCUUAAUAAUUACAUUGGAGACAAGUACUACCAGGACUCUACGACAAUUGUAAAUAAAGGGUUUGAAAUUUUUUACAAGAAAAUCUUAACCAUUUUUGCUUGUCUUGACCUUUCCAAUAAUAGUUUCCAUGGGAGAAUACCGGAAGAAAUACAAAACCUCUAGUCACUCAACGCGCUAAACUUGUCCUACAACAGCUUCCUUGGCCCAAUCUCUUUAGCACUUGGAAACUUAACUGAGCUUGAGUCGUUAGACCUCUCCCAGAACAAACUCUCCGGAAAGAUUCCUCCACAGCUUACAAGCCUAACUUGCCGUGAAGUAUUGAAUCUCUCUUACAACCAACUUGAGGGAAGCUUACCACAAAGCUACAAAUCUAUACAUUUUCAAAGGAUUCUUACAAAGGGAACCCAAGAUUGUGUGCGCCACCUUUGACAAGGAAAUGCAAUGAAGUUGGUCUUGGAAUGUCACCCCCUAAGAAGACGAAGAUUCAUAGGUAGAUGGUAUAUCUGUUUGGAAAAUCGUAUUGAUUGGGUAUGAAUGUGGUUUAGUGAUUGGGUUAUCUAUUGGAUAUACAGUGCUGAAUGAAAUGGGAAACAAACGGAUUGAUAGGUUGACAUGGAACCGGAAUUGAAAAUGGAGAAAAUCUUCUAGGUGACUCUAUCAAAAUUCAAGUUUCAAAGUCAUUUGAUAAGUAUUUUAGAAUACUUAAAAACUCCAAAGUUGUUUUGUUGAUUCUUUGAGCUGUAAUUAAUUGCCUAAACAAAAAAAAAUUAUUUAAAUACCCUCUUGCAUUAUAAGUGUGAUAUAUAUACAUAUAUAUAUUGUAUCUCUACAAAAAAUGAUAUUUGACUAAAGUAAUUUUAUUUGAAAUUUAAUUAAAAAAGGUUUCAACUUUCAGCGUCUCAUUUCUUUUUUAAAUUUAGCAUUGCUUUUAAAACUAAAAACAAAAUUUGCCUGCAAACUAGGAUAUGUCCUUUGAAUUUCCUAACCUCAUUUUACAAAUGACAAUCAUGAGUUUCCAAGUUAAUAAUUUGUACCAAACAUGUGGGUGACUGGUAUUUUGAGUUAGAUUAGACUGUCAAAUAUCACAUUAAAAUUUUUUAAAAUUUAAGUAUUAUAUUAAAUAUUUCAUUAUAAUUUAAAAAUUAUUUAUGACAUUAAUCUUAUUAAAAAUUACAUUUUUUGUGCAGGCCGAAUGAGAUCAAUGAAAAUUAUUAAUUUUAUUUAUUAUUUUAUGUGAUUUAAUAACUUAGUUUUAUUCAUAUUGUAAUUUAAGAUGUAUUAAAAUCAUAUUGUUAAGAAGGAAUUGUAAAUGGUUCAAAACAAAAACAUGAGUGCAUCACUUCUUUUAAUCUAACAAAGGAAGAAUUCUUGGAUAUCCCCACACAAAUAGCUGAUCAUCAUCCUACACAUGGGUAUCAAUUGUUUUUGUAUACAGUGUCAGACGCAAAGGUUGGAGUAUGUUGUUCAUAGGCAUCUUAAAUAUUAAAAAAAUUUAAAAAAUUUAAAAGAAAAAUUUUUAUAAACAUUCUCAAAAAUUUUUUUCUUAAUGUUAUUUCUAUCGAUAAAAUUAAUAAAUUCAUCAAAAUAAAAUUUAAUAAUAUUAAUAAUGAUUCUUGAUUGAAUAAUUUUUAAUUACAUAUAUUGAAAACAUUAUGUAUUUAAUAAUAUUAAUGAUGAUGUAAUCAUAACUUUUUUUUUUAAACGUGAGAACUUUGGAUAAUUAUAAUAAUAUAACAAUAUAUUGUUUUAAAUUUGUGUUUAUAAUUUAUAUAUAUAUAUAUAUAUAUAAAUAUAUAUUACAAGUACAUGCUUUGAAAAAAAUCCAUUUGUUGUGUACAAAGAGAGAAAAUAUCUUUGCAUGGUGCAUUUUGCACUAACAUAUGAAGUUUGGGAAAUGGAAAUAUAUGGCAGAAAGUAAUCUUGAAAAAGAAUAAGUUUAACCUUCAAUUACGAUAGUAAGUUGAAAGAAUUGAAUUUUUUAAAGAGCGAAGCUUUGUUUUUUCUAUAAAAGUUAUAUACAUUAGAAUUAGAUCUGGAUUUUUUUAUUUUUUUAAAUUAUAUUUUAAAUAUGAAAAAGUAAAAAUUUUAUAUAAAUUUUAAUGGAUGAUAACAUAUAGACAAAUUUAAGGAUAUUUAUCUUUUUAAUAUAAAUUACAACAUAUAUAAAUGUUGUUUUUUUAUUAAUUUUAAGUAUUAAAUAGUAUAUUUAUUAAUAUAAUAUAUAAAUAUAAAUUUAAUAAAUAAUAAAAUAUAUUCUUUUAUAUAUCCAAAGGAGAAUUGAAAUUAAAUACUCCAAAUCUAAUCAUGACUUUACCUAAAUUGUUCAAAGAGAAAAAAAUUAACUCAAUUCUUAUUUAAAAAAAAAAAACUUAUAGAUUGUAGCGAAUCGAAACCUAUAGAUUGUUUUAUCAUCCCUACAUCUAUUUAUUUUUUCUUUAUAAAAUUUAUUUAAUAAAAAUUUUAAAAAACAAAAAAAUGACUAAAGAAGUCAAUUGGAGUGACACAUAAAUUUAUUAAUUUAAAAUAUUAAAUAAUAUUUUUUAUUAAAAAAUAUAUAAAUAUAGAAUUAAAUAAAUAAUAUAUAUUUUUAUAUAUACCAAAAUCGAAGUGUAACACUAAAAAUCUUACUUUUUUCUAAGCUUGAUUUAAAAAAAAAAUUCAACUCAUUUAUCACGAAUAAAAAGGAAACACACCAAUUGAAUUGGGAUAAAUCAAAACCUAUUAUAUACAAGUUAUUUUGUCACCUCUAUUUCAAUUAAUUUUUUUAUUACAAAAUUUAUCUAAUAAAAACUAAAAGUAAAAAAUUAGAAGAAAAAAAGAAAUACCAAAAAAUCAGAAGUUUUAAAAGGUAAAAAAACAAAAAACAAGAGAGAGAGGUACCACCUUGGCAAGUAGAACACUUUAAAUCCUUCUUCAACACAACCCUAUUUUCAAAAAAAAAAAAAAGAUUCAAUCUUAAUUUAAAAAGAAUGCACUUCAUGCCAAUUAAAAUUAAUCGAAUACAAAUUAUUUUAUCAUCCGUACUUUUAUUUUUUUUACAAAAUUUAUUUCAUAAAAAAAUUCAAAAACUAAAUAAAAAGAAAAAAUAAAAAAUAAAGAAAAAAUAAAGCUUUGGAGGAAGGGCAGGGUGAAAACACCCUCUCCUUUUUUCGUUCUGGGAUCCGAAGGCCUACUUUCCUUAUUUUAUUCUUUAAAGAAAACUCCUUUGAUAGAAAAAAAAAGAAAAGAUGCAUCAAUUAUAUCAAUUAUGUAUUGCUAAUAUCGCAUCAUCAUCCUUAAUUACUUCAAUAAUAAAUGAUAAAUCAAGUAAUAGUCUUCCUUUAUACUAAAACAGUUUUAUAUGAAAUCAACAAUUUGUAAUCUGUUGGAUCAUUCGAGCUCCCAUUUAAUUAUUAAAUCAUUUAAAUAUCAUACUUGUCAAUUUUAGAUCUUUCAAAGCCUUCAUUAAAAAAUGAUAUGUUUCAAAUGAUAAUGAAAACCAUAGUAUUUUUUUCCCAAUUUCAAUAUGUAUUGUGUAGAUAUGCUCUAGGAUAAUCUGGUUUAGAUAUAAAUAUUCUUGUAUAGAAUUGCCAAGAUAAUUUGCAUUAAACUAUAUUGUUAUAUAUUAAACAUACUCCAAAAGGUGUGAAAACUACAAUGCCAAUUGACAUUUUUAUUAGAUUUGCUCAUUUAUGUAUUAAUGUCAUAUUUAUUUUAUAUUAAAUAUAUAAAAUAAAAAAAUUAUUAUGUCAUAAUUGAUAUUAACCUAUAAAAUAUAAAAUAUAUAUUUUUACUUUUACCAAACUCAUAUAAUUUUUGUUUAAAUAUUAAAUUGUAUCACUUUUAUGUUUUAUUUCGAAUUAUAUGACUGUUUGUAUUUAAUAUUAUCAUAUUUAAAAUUUAUCAUCAAUUAAUACAUAAUAAUAAAGUAUUUGUAUUUAAAAAAUAAGAAAAAGAAAAUGCAUUGACCAAAUUCAUUAUUACAAGUUAGUCAGUCGGCCGGCCAGAUUUUUAUCUUGACAGGCUGAUUAGUUUAUUAAUUGGUUGUUUCGUAACAGGAUUUUAAUCAUAAUCUCUACAUUUCAAGUAAAAUGUGAGACUAAAAAUGUUGUGUAGUUAACCAUUCUACAAAGUAAUCAUCAAAUUAGUUAAAUAGGGCUUUUGAUGAGUGAAUAGGUUGCACAUUCAACCCGUUCAUACACGUUUAAAUCACUCUCUAAGUACUAAGCUAAAAAAACGAAUAUUAUGGUUUUUGAAAUCAACAAAGACAUAUUUUUAGAUUAUUAAUUUAUCUUGAAAUAAUGUGUUCCGUCAAUAAAAAUGUAAUCUAUUUAUAAAAUAUUUGAUGCUUUAAAUAUUAAAAUUUAAUUUUUAACAGUUUUAAGUGAAAAAUAAUUUUUAAUUUUUAAUAGUUUCAAGUUAAAAAAAAAUGGGCUCCAUACUUUUGCAAAAUCAAGAAACCAUGCCUGUGGAUGCAAGAGGGCAACAGAAAUAAUCGUAUACAUCUAAAAUAUCCUAACAUUGGGUCUUUUUUUAUUUAGAAUUAAAAGUAUUGCAAGAACUUUAUGUGGUUAUAUUUUAUUAUUUUUAAAAAGAACUUGCUUGUUAACUUCCACAAAAUUAAACAUGAUAUAUCUAGCUGAUCAACAGCAUCAUCAAGUUUUGAUUAUGAUAGAUUUGGAACUUCUGUCUUGUCUCCAAUGGAAAAAUGUGGUAGUUGGUAGAUACACAAAAUAUUCAAAGAGUGCAUUUCUUCAGAAUUGCUUGAUCAAUUUCCAAUUUGAAUGCCCCUAAAGUUUGAACCCAUCAUUUGUUUAAUGAUAUUUUCUUUGCACUAUUUUUUAAAAUUUAUUUCUGGUUCAAAUAGCUUUCACAUACAUAUAUAAAAUCCAAACUUCUUCUCCUUAAUAGAUUUAAUUAUAUGCUGGUACAUUGACAUUAAUGUUAAUUAAAUAAAUAAUCAUUAUAAAAAAAAAAAAAAAGACAAAUCGGUUUGAAGAUGAUCACCUGUCCAUUUGUCUUCAACAUUAUUUAGGAUACUGUUGCCAAGUGUUGGGCAGAAAAUGUGAAUGUAAUGUAAUGUAAGAAUAAACUAUGCCCCAAAUUUUACUUUCUCUUCCAAAGUUGAGCUUUGGGAUCCCAACAUAGAUUGUUGCUAUUGGAAAGGAAUUACAUAUGAUGCUUCUGGUCAUGUGAUUGAGCUCGAUUUCAGUUACAAAAACCUUUUUGGUAGCUUUCACUCCAUUUUCAAUCUUCAUCAUCUUCAAUACCUUAAUUUUGUUGGGAACAAUUUUAAUAUCGCUCUGCUUCAAUAUGAGUUUGACAGAUUCUCAAAUUUAACUCAUCUUGACUUUUCAAACUCAUGUUUCCAUAGCAAAAUUCUAGUGGAGAUUUCAUACUUAACAAGGUUAGUUCUAAUCAAGAUUCUUGCUAUCAACGGUAUAACCAAAUUCUCCAUCCAUACAAUAACUUCCACUACUAUCCAUUGCCUUUUGAACUUCAACAACCUCUAAAACUAGAAAACCCAAACUUCAAGACAUUAAUCCAAAAUUUAAGACCCCUUGCAAACGUCUAGAUAGUGUGAACAUUUCAACUCAAAGUAGUAAAUGGUGUGAAGCCACAUCCAUAGCACUUCCUAACUUGCAUAUUUUAAGUCUAUCGAAAUGUAAUUUGACAAGUGCAUUUUGUUCUUCACUCUCAAGACUAUCUUUCUUUCCAAACUUUUCCUUGGUUGGAAUCCAAUCUCUUAUUUGCCUCCUAAUUUCUUGGAAAUUUCCUCUAGUUUGGUUUCUCUCAGUUUAGUGAAUUGCAAUUUGAGUGUGUAUUUUCCAACAAAAGUUCUUUCAUUGCCAAAAUACAAAGCAUUGACAUUUCAAACAAUGACCAUCUGAUGGGUCAGUUGCCAGAAUUUUGUUAAACAUUGCUUUACGGAUCUUAUCGAUUUUGACUACAAAUUUCUCCGGGCAAAUUCCAUCAUCAAUUGCAAAUCUUACUAACCUUGUGCAACUGGAUCUAUCUAAUAACAAUUUCAGUGAUUUUAUCCCAGCAUUUCAUGGAUCUGGAGUUUCAAAUCUUGCAUCUUUCUUUGUCGGGGAACCGCCUCUCUGAAUCAAUACAUUCUUCUUUAUUUACUCUUCCAUCAGAUGGUCAUUGUUUGAAAUGUCAAUGCUUCCCUUUGAAGGAAGCAUACAGCAAAGCAAUCAAUUCGGUACAUUUUCGAACGAUUCUUACAAAGGGAACCCAAGAUCAUGUGGGCCACCUUUGACAAGGAAAUGCAAUGGAGCUGCUGUUCCAAUGCCUCCUCCAAUGGAAGAUGUAGAUUCAUGGCUAGAUGGUUUAUCUGAUUGGAGAAUCGUAUUGAUUGGGUAUGCAUGUGGAUUGGUGAUUGGAUUAUCUAUUGGAUAUACAGUGCUGAAUGAGAUGGGAAACAAAUGGCUUGACUGCUACAAAAGGAAUAGGAGAAGAUCAAGGUGAUUCCAUCAGAAUUCAAUUUUCAGUCUCAACAAGUAAGCAUUUUGGAAUAGUUAAUAACCCAAAUGUGUUGUUACUAAUUGUGGUAUAUUUCCGAUUUUGCAUGGUUGGUCUAUCUAAAAAGUUCUAUCUGAUUGCCUAAUAAUUCAUUAUCAUGUCAUAUUUGUUCUUGUAGCAUUGUCAUUCUUCAUCAACUUUCGUUUAGGCCGUUCAUUAUCAGUAAUUUUUUUACCAUUUUGUAGUUUAGGAAUCUGAAGUCUAAACCAAGCUACAUGGCAUGUAGAGCAGUGACUGAGCCUGAAAUAAUGAACAAGAGAAUAGAGAAUUGGGUGGAAAUCUCAAGAUUUGUUGAGAAAUUUGUUGAGACAGAGUCCUUGAUCAUGAUGCAAAUGGAGAUGAAGUGUGAGUCCUUUUCAAGAUUUCUGGUGUAGGUGUUAUUCUUCGAAGCCAAAAUCAUUUUUGUUGCUGCCCUUUUAUCCGACGUGGCUUAUUUUCAUAUAAGAGAUCCAGGAAUGCAUCUGUACUGCCAAUUGAUAGGUUUUCCCUAACAUUUUAUAGCUAAUUACUUUAGAGUAUUUUCUUCAUGUUAAUCCAAAAUCAUCAAUUGUUUCUCUGCUUCCGCACUCACCACACACAGUAAAAAUAAAUAAAUAAAUAAAUGUUUUCUUGUAAGCUAUAGUUCUAUAAAAUAGAGCUUAUGAGUAUAAAAGCCUUGAUUUUUUGUUUCUCAGCUUCAGGCCAAUGGUUUGAGAAGAUACCAGGGCCAACAUAUUUCUUGGAAAAGAAAGCAUGGAUUGCCAGAAUACAGUUCGGAAAAGCAUAUGAUUUCUGAAUAAAGGCUUAUUCCGCGUAGAUGUUACUUACAUAAUUGCUGCUUCAGCUGCAUCAUAUGUCCAGGCACAAGCAAAUGGCCUUUUCCCUCUCAACUUCAAGUCGUUGCAUGAAAGAGGUACAGUGAAAACCACCCAAGGUAGGACUGAAAAUUUGCAUCAGGUAUCCACCAUGGACCACUACCAAGAGAGUACCUUGGUUGCUUGGAUGAUGACCUUACAUAUACUCACAUCUUCAUGAUUCAAGUAAAUCCUUUCGGUAAUUUGUUCUCUAUCAAAUAGGAGAAAUGGUCAUUCAUUACUAGAUAUACAGUCAAAUAUACAAAAUGAUCUGCCAAGCAUUGUUCUGAUAUAACUACUAAUCCAUAGUUAAUAAAUGAAGUUAUAAAAUUCAAAUAAUUGAAUCUUUUUUUGGACAUAAAGGAAUGAUAAAAUCUUGAUUAUAUUUUCCCCACUUUCUCUUAAAACAUCUAAUUACAUUUUACUUUCAGGGACUAAACUCCAUGCAUCUUGGCAGCCAAUCCUCUUCUUUGAACAAUUCAUGUCAGAAAUCAUGGACCUCUGAAGACAUGAUAUGCUUUGAAUCACUGGUCAUUUUGUCAAGCCUUCUGCAAUUUUCAAUUUAGCCUGUUUUGAGUUUUAGCUCGGCAUUUAUUUUUGGAAGUUUUGUGCGGGUGGAGGGAUAUUUGAUGACUUGGGGUUGAUGAAAGCCUCAUUGCCUGUGUUCUUAAGUUAGUGCUUAAGACAUUGCCGCUAGAAGCUUCUCCUGAUCAUCUAGCCUGUAUUCUUGCUCCCUGGAAUGGAUUCUUGUGUUCAAAUCCCCUGCCUAAUCUAAAACGUAAGCAUUAACAAGAAAACAUUAACCUCAUUACACAAAAUGUUUAAAAAAUUUUAGUCGUAAAAAAUACAAAAGAGUUCUAUAUCAUUGUGGAAGUUUAGUAUGCUAAGUUAUUUUAAUAACCUUUUUCGAUUGAAGUUCUCAAGGGAAUGCUUUCUAUGCUAUGGACAGCACCACAUUCGGAUUCCUAAACCCAAAUGAACCUGUCUUUAGUCAUACAACCUAUGGCUCUGAAGUUACCAUCAUAAGAGCUAAACAUUAACAGCAAGUUGAAAGCAAUUAUUGGGGUUUUAGUUAGGGGAACAUAAAAAAAAAAGAUGAUUUUCAAGAAGAUGAGAUAAAAGAGAAGCCAGUUACGGCCGCUGCUUGGUUCAUCAUCUCAUCUCCUCACUGCUGGAGCCACCAGAGUGAUUUGGAUUUUGAAGGCAGCAAAUUCAAUGUUAAUAAUAAUACAAAAUUAAGAAGCAUUGAUAAAUAAUGUAUUGAGGUUAUAUUGAAUGUGAGAUUUCCUCCUUUACUUCCCUUUUUCCUUUUGUACAAUGAUCAUUUUGUAACUAUGACUGGUGCUCAAAAUUUCAGCAACUUCUCUGUAUCCUAUCUUCUUCUUUUUAUCUAUCUAUACAUAUUAUUAAAGUUCAACCAGUUAAUUGAAUGGCAUCACAAAAUUGAAUAGAGAAAAAAGGAAAGAGGGAAAAUAGGGUGUGGGAGAAAUAAAUAAUAAAAUAGCUAUUUGAACUUUUUCAAAAAUAUAAUUUUUAAAAAAGAUUGUAAUUAAGUAAUAUGUUAUAAAAUUCCUAUUAACUUUGUUAUAUAAGUAAAUGAAUAAUGAUUUCAUUGGAAAAAAAUGAAUAAAUACGAAAAUCAUAUCAACAAUAAUAUAAUUAAUGUGAAUAAAAGUAAAAAUAUUUAAUUAAUGUUAAUUAUUAUUAUUAGAAAUAUAGUAAUUAUGAUUGAUUUUAAAUCCUAUAAACGAUCUAUAUAAUAUAAGUUACAAAUACAAUAUACUCAUUUAAAAAUAAAUUUGACCAAAAUAUGAUAUAAAUUGUGAGCUUUGUUAUUAAUAAUUGAAUCAAGUUUUGCAAACAAAUAAUUUGAUAACAUAAACAUUAAUGCUAACGUAUAUGAAUAUUAAUAUAAACGCAUUAGUUUUAAUAACAAUACAAAUGUUUUUUAAAGGUAUACCAUCUAUGCCUUCAAAUAUGUAUGUUCAUAAUAAAAAUUAUGUAAUUUAAGAAUAAUUAUUUAUUCUUAAAUUACAUAAUUUUUAUUGUAAUAAAGCAAUGGUGAGGAACUAAAUAAAAAACUGAAAAAGUGACUUCAAUUUUCUUAAAAAUACAUAUAAAUAAAACUCAAUGAAAAUGAAGUUGCUGUAUGUUCAAAUUGUUCAAUACUUAAAAAUAGAAAGUAAUAUUAAAUUAAGAAUAAUUUGAUGUCUAUUUAAAAUUAGAUCAUCUCUAAAAAACUAUUUAGGCCCAUUUAGAUUCCUUACUCAAUGCCAUUGAAUUCAGGCUAAAAUAUAAAUUUAUUGUCAUCUUUGUGUUUGUAUUUAAGAUAUAUUUCAUCUUUAAUUUUAAUUUUACAAUUAUCAUAUUUAAUUUCACUACUACAAUAAUUAAUUUUAUCAUUGUCUUUAUUUUUAAUUUUACUAAAAUUAAUUUCACUCCUUAUCCAAAUUUUUAUUAAGAAAACAAAAAGAUAUUUAACACAAUAUUAUUACUCUUUCCAUUAUACAAAAAAAUAUAUAUAUUUUUGGUAUAUAAUACACAAUAGAUGGCAUACUUUUUAUGUAUAAAAAAAAAUUCAUGAAUUUAAGUAUAAUUAAAUUUUGUUUUAAUUCUAUUUCAAAAUUUAUAUUAAGUUUUGAAAUUUAUAUAAUUGUUUUAAUUCAAAUUUCUAAAAAUAAAUUUAAUUAACAAAAAAAAUCCUCUUUCAUUGAUCAAACAAAAACAAUAAAGUAACAAUCAUAGAGGAAAGAAAAACUAAUACCUCGAAAACAAAAAUACGAAUUUUGGGCUCUAAAAAUGUUUGUUUUUCAAAAAAAAAAUGUAAAAAAAAAAUUCAUACAUAUAAAUAAAAUUAAUAACCAACAAAAAAAGCAAAAUUAAUUACCGGUAUUGAUAGGCCUAUUGGGUCAAAAGACACAGUUUUUCUUACAUGGGCUGGGUCCAUUAGUACCGAAAUCGGGCUUUCCUUUGCACUAAAACACAAUGAUCGAUUCCCCAAUUUGGUAAUUUUUUGGAAUUAUAAACUGAUUGAAGAAAGAUACGCAAAGCAAUUAACAUAGAAAAGCAAAAUAAAAGAAAAUUGUUGUCAAAAGGGGUUUAAAGUUAUGGGAUUUCAAUCAAUUUUUCCCCCUCUUCUUUUUCUUUUUCCUGGUAAAAAUUUCCUCAUGCCCAGUUUUAUUUUCAAUCUUAAAAAAUUCUUUUUUUUACUGUAAAAUAUGGGUCUUUUUUUAAUUGAUUUUAUCUACUGUCUUUACAGUGACACUAUAAUUCGAGAGCUGGAGCAAUUGCAGCAAAUUUUUGGACACCCAACAUCGGCAAGGGCAGAGUAUUUGAUUUUUUUUUUUAAUUUCUUCUUUCUAUGAUCUUUGUUGGACUUUCACUGUGUAGAACGAAUUCUAUUUUUAGCUAGGCAUAACUUCUUUUUUUCUUAUUUUUGUUACUCAGGCUUUAUUGUAUGUUGGUUCUGUUCUGUUUUACCCAUAUUUCAUCAAUUUUUAUGAUUUAAAUUGAACUACUAUGUGAAAAGGAAUAUCGAGUAUUGCCAAGUAGUAUUUUCUUUGACUAUUACUGUACAUAAUUGUCAAUUUUGUUGUUCAAUUGCUAGCUGUUAAAUUUGCUGCAAAAGAAUGAUUAUUGCAGUUUGAAUCUCUUGUUUUUAUGGGGAAGAAUGGGAGGGUUGAAAAAGGGAAAUAAAAUGAAAUAGUUGGGUGGAAAGUGUUACCUUUUAUGGAGUUCUAGCUUAAUCAUCAUUUGUUUAAUUGUACAUUUUACACUUUCCAACAAUUGAAUGGAGCGAGUUUUUUGGAUUUCCAUUUCAUUGCUUUCAAGUAUCUUGGUCUAGAUAAGUUCCGUCCGUGUUUUCUGUUUUCAAAAUGAAUUAAUAUAUAUGACAUAACAGGUUCUUCUUGCAAAUUGGGAAUUGAAUGUUUAUAUGAAAAGGUGUUUAAAAUCUGAUCUUUUCUUUGUGGCAUCCAUAUUCUGCAAAGAUCUUUUGCCCUGUCUUUGUCCACCUCCUAGGUCUCAGUAUUUUGUCGGUUUGCUUAUGGUAGAGUUUGAUCUCCUUCUCUCCCAUUUUCCCUUUGUCCCCACUUUUCCUCUCCUUCCGCUUUAGCUCUUGAAAUUGCAUUUUAGAUCCUUGGUUGUUAUAGUGGAUUACAAGCAUACUUAACACUACGUUCAAGCUGUUGAAUUUUAGGUUCAACUUUCAAGUGUUAAAGUUUUAUUAAAGUUUUGAUUUCUUAUGUAAGCUUGUUUUACCCCCUUUUUUAGAGGGAGAGGGGGUUUGAGAGAGAUAAAAAUAGCACUUAUAUUAGUGUAUAUGGAUGUAUGUAUGUAUGUAUGUAUAUGGUAUACAUAAACAUAGGUUUAAAAAGUAUGCUACAUACGAUGUUUCUAUAAUACAAAAUUGUGUAAUUGCAAAAUAAAAUGUAAAUUUCAAGUACUGUGCACACUUAAAUUAUUUCUUAAAAAAUUCUAAAAAUUAAAUUCAAUAAAAUUAGAGUAUAACUUAAUGACCAAUAACAAAUAAAACUAAAAAAGGGAACCAUCAAGAACAUAAAAUUACUUGUGCAAAAUUAAUGCAUUAGCGAACCAUAUGAGGUUCUUGGUUGUUUUGCCUUAUUUAGAGGCUGUUUGAUUGGGUUUUUGCUAUUUGCUUUUUGCUUCCGAAAGUAAAAAAGCAAAAAUUGCAUUCCCAUAAGCAAUAAAAUAUUGAAGAGUUAAACACAAAAUAUGUAAAUUUUUUAUGAUUAACUACAUGAUUCUACUUCUAUAUAUACUAAUUGUGUUAUAACUGAUUUUAUAUUUUAAUUAUUUUUUCUGUUUCAGAUCAGUUAUGAUAUAUUUAUUGUUUACCUUUUGCUUUUCCUUUCUAGUAAAAUAUAUACGUUUUAUUCAUGUUCAUUUGUAACUUACCAGACUUCUUGACCAUGUUCUAGAAAUGCUAGUAUGUAACGAGUUUGCUUUGAAUAUGGCAGCUAACAAUAUCAGUGAAUCUUAGGUUUGUUGAUGCAAAUCAUGGCUAAUAGAUUCACUUGAAGCCUACUUAUCUAAAGAUCUUUAGAUUUUUGGAGGAUGAAAUACAGAGGUGGUGCUGAUGUUAAUAAUAUUGGACACUGAACACUGUCAAACAACAUAGAGGUGGAAAUAUACUGACUUUUUCAGGUUUCAGGGUUGGUUUUAUUUGUUGACUUCAUUCUACUACUUUUUUUUUUUUUUUUUUGGAAAGAUAUAUACCAACAUCUUAUGUAAAUAUGUAACUUGAUAUAGAUAAUUUGUAAUUUUGGGGAAGAGAGAGAAGGAAUGAAAUUGAGAAGAUAGUGGUUUUUCUUUGAAAUUUUGCCAUGAUGUAAAGUUGUUCUAGUCAGAGUUUUUUGAUGUUAUGAUGCUUAAGAAAUCCAGAUACUAGUGAUAUCUUUCCCCAAAAUAGUUCAUUCUUCAACUCCAUCUAUUUCAUCUGGUUUGUUUCUGGGAAUAAAAGCAUAUUCCUUAUUGGUUGCAAAAUUUUCAUUCAUUUUAGCUUCAAAUUUAUUGAUCAAUUAAAUUAUUAAUUGACUUGGUUAGUAUUUGUUGAAUCAUAUAACUUAGAAAAUGCAAUCAGUUAGUGGAGUUUUUAGAUUAUACAAGUUAGAGGGCUGUCACAAACCCUUUUACAAAUGUAUUAAAAAAUUAUAUAAAAAAAUUAAGAUAUGUGAUUUUUUUUAAUAUUGUUUAUAAAAUUUAAAAGUUUCUAUUAAACAUAUGUAAAGAAAUAAAAAUAUAUAAAAAUUAUCUCGUAUACAUGAAAUUUGCGAAAGAAGAAGAUUUUUUUUUUUUUUUAUGUGAGGUUGUUAGGAUUUAAACUUAAACUAUUGAAACUAAGAGUUUUACAUUUUACUAACAGGUUACAUGGUUAUUGUCUCAUUGAAUUUUUAAAUUCAGAGGAACUCUUUUAAAUAUAUUAACAAUAAAAAACUAAAAAGAUGCACAUACCAUGAAAUCUAAUAGUACAUUAGGAACAAAAACAUGAGAAACAAGUUGCUCAAUCAACAAAUUGAUUGGCCAAAAAAUCAACAAAUUAAAAACCCUCGUUUUAUUUUUGCUCAAAAGUUUGAAAAAAAAAAAAUCAAAAGAACACAUUCAUUCCCACUUCUCAAACUUGUCUGUUUUAGAAAUUGUGAUUUUAUAAUAGUGGAAUAAGAAAGAAAAUGAUAGGUACCAUGGGAAUGUAUUGGUCUAAGUCUUAGUCUUUGCUUUAUACUUAAUUUUUUCAUCAAGCAUGCAGAUGUAUUAAUCUUUUUGGCCCCAUCUUUACUUCACAAAAAUAAUAAUUUUAGCAGUUGCUUCAAUCUAAAUCAUUAAAAAGACUAAAAUAUAACAAUAAUAAUUAAUAUACUUAAAAUCCAUUCCCUGUAUGCUAAUUUAAUUGAAAGACAAAAGACAACCUUUAUUGAAAAAAUUGUUAUAUAUAUUUUAUCUUUUUUAAAAGACAAACUUGACUUAAGCGAACUAUUAAGAAGAUUAUUUUUAACAGAGUAAUGAUAGGGUAAGAAGACUUAAACAUUUGUAUGAUUGGAAGAUGUAAAAGUAUAAAGCAAACAAAAGACUAAAUACCAAUAAAAAAAAUCUCAUACUAUCAUUUUCUUUGUGAGUCCAAAAUUAGAAUAUCAAUUUUUUUUAUAAACUAUAAUUUUAUGAUGGGUGAAUCAAAAUACAUCAUCAUUUUGUUUAUCUACAUCCACUUUUUAAAAAAUUUUUAAGUGAAAUUACUUAUUUACCUAUCUCAUUUUAAUUUUAAAACUUCUAGAUAUGCAUUUCUGAUAAAUUAUAUAAUUUUUUAGAUUUUCAUAUCUAAUAAGUUAAAAAAGAUAUAUUUAGGUUUGGAAAAAAAAAUUCAAAGAAAAUAUCUUACAAAAAGUAAGAGAUUCUAAUACUGUUUAAAAAAUUUUAAAACUCUAUUAAUCAUGUGUAAAGAAAUCGAAAUAUAUAAAAAUUAUCUUGUAUACAUGAAAUUUGUGAAAAUAGAAGAUUGUCUUUUUUUUUCUGCUUGUAUAUGAGAUUGUCUAGAUUUGAACUUUAAACUAUUAAAAGUAAGAGUUCAAUAUUUUAUUAACAAAUUACAUGGUUAUUGGCUCAUUCAAUUUUUAAAUCAGUGCAUCACUUUAAAAUAUAGUAACAAUAAAAAACUAAAAAAGAUACACAUAUCAUGAAAUCUAAUAAUACAUUAGGAACAAAAGCAUAAGAAACAAGUUGCUUAAUCAACAAAUUGAUUGGCAAAAAAAAUCAACAAAUUAAAAACCUAUCUUUUAUUUUUGCUGAAAAGAUUGAAACAAAAAAAAAAAAAUCUAAACAACACAUUCACUCCUAUUUCUCAAACUUGUCUAUUUUUGGAAAUUGUGAUUUUAUAAUGGUGGAAUAAGAAAGAAAAAGAUAGAUCCUAUCGAAAUGCAUGGCAUCAAGCAUGCAAAUGUGUCAGUCUUUUCACCCCCAUUUUUACUUCAAAAAAAAAAUGAUGUUAGCAAUUGCUUCAAUCUAAGUCAUUGAAAAGACUAAAAUAUAACAAUAUUAAUUACUAUAUUUAAAAUCCAUCUCCAGUCUACCAAUUUAAUUGGAAGACAAAAGACAACCACCAUUGAGAAAAUUGCUAUUUUUUUGUCUUUUUUAAAAGAUAGACUUGGCUUAAACAAACAACUAAGAAGAUUAUUUUUCAUAAAGUAAUGAUGGGACAAGAAGACUUAGACAUUUGCAUGAUGGAAAGACUUAAAAGUAUAAAGUAAAGAAAAUACUAAAUACCAAUAAAAAAAAUCUCAUAUUAUCAUUUUCUUUGUUAGUCCAAAAUUAGAAUAUCAAUUUUUUUUGUAAAGUAUAAUUUUGUGAUGGGUGAUUCAAAAUACACCAUCAUUUUUUCUCUACAUCCACCUUGUUUAAAUUUUUUUUAAGUGAAAUUACUUAUUUACUUAUCUUGUUUUAAUUUUAAAACUUCUAAAUAUGUAUUUCUGAUGAGUUAUAUAACUUACAAAAUUUUCAUAUCUGGUAAGUUAGAAAAAGUUACAUUUAAGUUUUGAAAAAAAAUAGUUAAGAGAAAAUAUCUUACAAAAAGUAUGAGAUUAUAAUACUAUUUAUAAAAUUUAAAAACUCUAUUAAUCAUUUGUGAAGAAAUUAAAAAAAUAUAUAAAUUAUCUUGUAUACAUGAAAUUUUUUCAUUUGAAGAUUGUCUUUUUUUUAUUUUUUUUAUAUGUGAGAUUGUUAGGAUUUGAAUUUUAAAUUAUUGAAACUAAGAGUUUAGCAUUUUACUAACAGAAUAUAUAGUUAUUAGCUCAUCGAAUUUUUAAAUUAGAGGAUAUCUUUAAAAUAUAUUAACAAUAAAAAAUUAAAAAAAAAUGCACAUACCAUGAAAUCUAACAAUACAUUAGGAACAAAAGCAUGAGAAAGAAGUUGCUUAAUCAACAAAUUGAUGGGCCAAAAAAAAUCAACAAAUUAAAAACUUGUGUUUUACUUUUGCUGAAAGGUUUGAAAAAAACAUCUACAUAAUAUAUUCAUUCUCACUUCUCAAACUUGUGUAUUUUGGAAAUUGUGAUUUUAUAAUGGUGGAAUGAGAAAGAAAAAGAUAGAUCCUAUCAGAAUGCAUGGGUCUAAAUCAUAGUCUUUGCUUCAUACUUAGUCUUGGCAUCAGGCAUGCAAAUGUGUCAAUCUUUUCACCCCCAUUUUUACUUCAAAAAAAUAAUGAUGUUAGCAAUUGCUUCAGUCUAAGUUAUUGAAAAAACUAAAAUAUAACAAUAUUAAUUAAUAUACUUAAAAUCCAUCCCUUGUGUGUCAAUUUAACUAGAAGAAAAAAGACAACUUUCAUUGAGAAAAUUGUUGUUUUUUAUUUUUUUGUCUUUUUUAAAAGGCAGACUUAACUUAAGCAAAUUGAUAAGAAGAUUAUUUUCACAGAGUAAUGAUGGGGCAAGAAGACUUAGAUGUUUGCAUGAUGGGAGGACUUAUAAAAUAAAGAAAAGAUUAAAUACCAAUAAAAAGAUCUCAUACUAUCAUUUUCUUUGUGAGUCCAAAAUUAAAAUAUCAAAUUUUUUAUAAAAUAUAAUUUUCUGAUGGGUGAUUCUAAAUAUAUCAUCAUUUUUUUCUCUACAUCAAAAUUUUUUAAAAUUUUUAAGUGAAAUUACUUAUUUACCCAUCUCGUUUUAAUUUUAAAGCAUCUAGAUAUAACUUAUUAGAUUUUCAUAUCCAGUAAGUUAAAAAGUUACAUUUAGGAAUGGAAAAAAAUAGUUAAGAGAAAAUAUCUUGCAUAAAGUAUGAGGUUCUAAUGCCAUUUAUAAAAUUUAAAAUCUCUAUUAAUCAUAUAUGAUGAAAUUGAUAUAUAUAUAUAUAUAUAUAUAAAUAAUCUUGUAUACAUGAAAUUUGUGAAAUUAGAAAAUUAUCUUUUUUUUUUUUUUUGUAUGUGAGGUUAUCAAGAUUUGCACUUUAAACUACUAAAAUUAAGAGUUCAACAUUUUACUAACAAACAAUAUGGUUAUUUGCUCAUUUAAUUUUAAAUCAAAGAAUCUCUUUAAAAUAUAUUAACAAUAAAAAAACUAAAAAAUAAAAAAAUGCACAUACCAUGAGAUCUAAUAGUACAUUAGGAACAAAAGCAUGAGAAAGAAGUUGCUUAAUUAACAAAUUGAUUGCCAAAAAAAAAAAAAUCAACAAAUUAAAAACUUGUCUUUUGUUUUUGUUGAAAAGUUUGAAAAAAAAAUCUAAAGAACACAUUCACUCCUAUUUCUCGAACUUGUCUAUUUUGAAAAUUGUGAUUUUAUAACAGUAGAAUGAGAAAGAAAAAGAUAAAUAGAUCCUAUCGGAAUGCAUGGGUCUAAAUCAUAGUCUUUGCUUCAUACUUAGUCUUGGCAUCAACCAUGCAAAUGUGUCAAUCUUUUUGCCCCCUUUUUUACUUCAAAACAAUAAUGAUGUUAGCAAUUGUUUCAGUCCAAGUCAUUGAAAAGACUAAAAUAUAAUGAUAUUAAUUAAUAUACUUAAAGUCCAUUUCCAGUUUGCCAAUUUAAUUAGAAGACAAAAGAUAACCAUCAUUGAAAAAAUUGCUAUUUUUUUGUCUUUUUCAAAAGAUAGACUUGACUUAAGCAAACUGCUAAGAAGAUUAUUUUUCACAAAGUAUGAUGGGGCAAGAAGACUUAGACAUUCUGUAAUGUGGGAAACUUAAAAAGUAUAAAUAAGAAAGACUAAAUACGCAAUAAAAAAAUCUCAUACUAUCAUUUUCUUUGUUAGUCCAAAAUUAGAAUAUCAAUUUUUUUUUUUUGUAAAUAAUAAUUUUGUGGUGGUGAUUCUAAAUACAACAUCAUUUUUUCUCUACAUCCACCUUUUUAAAAAAUUUUUAAGUGAAAUUACCUAUUUACUCAUCUUGUUUUAAUUUUAAAACUUCUAAAUAUACAUUCCUAAUGAGUUAUAUAACUUACAAAAUUUUCAUAUCCAGUACGUUAGAAAAAGUUACAUUGAAGUUUGAAAAAAAAAGUUAAGAGAAAAUAUCUUAUAAAAAGUAUAAGAUUUUAAUAAUGUUUAUAAAAUUUAAAAACUCUAUUAAUCAUAUGUGAAGAAAUUAAAAUAUAUAUAUACAUAAAUUAUCUUGUAUACAUGAAAUUUUUUUCAUUUGAAGAUUGUUUUUUUUCAUUAAUUUUUUUAUAGUGAGAUUGUCAUGAUUUGAAUUUUAAACUAUUGAAACUAAGAGUUUGGCAUUUUACUAAUAGACUAUAUGGUUAUUUGCUUAUUGAAUUUUUAAAGUAGAGGAUACCUUUAAAAUAUAUUAACAAUAGAAAACUAAAAAAAUGCACAUGCCAUGAAAUCUAAUAGUACAUUAGGAAUAAAAGCAUGAGAAAGAAGUUGCUUAAUCAAGAAAUUGAUUGGCAAAAAAAAACAACAAAUUAAAAAUCUGUGUUUUAUUUUUACUGAAAGGAUUGAAAAAAAAUCUAAAGAACACAUUCACUUUCAUUUCUCAAACUUGUCUAUUUUGGAAAUUGUGAUUUUAUAAUGGUGGAAUGAGAAAGAAAAAGAUAGAUCCUAUCGAAAUGCAUGGGUCUAAAUCAUAGUCUUUGCUUCAUACUUAGUCUUGGCAUCAACCAUGCAAAUGUGUCAAUCUUUUCGCACCCAUUUUUACUUCAAAAAAAUAAUGAUGUUAGCAAUUGCUUCAGUCUAAGUUAUUGAAAAAACUAAAAUAUAACAAUAUUAAUUAAUAUACUUAAAAUCCAUUCCUAGUUUGCCAAUUUAAUUAGAAGACAAAGACAACCACCACUGAGCAAAUUGCUUUUUUCUUUUUUUUUUGUUUUUUUUAAAUGAUAGACUUGACUUAAGCAAACUACUAAAAAUAUUAUUUUUCAUAGAGUAAUGAUAGGGCAAGAAGACUUAGACAUUUGCAUGAUGGGACGGCUUAAAAAUAUAAACUAAAGAAAAGACUAAAUACCAAUAAAAAAAAAUCUCAUACUAUCAUUUUUUUUGUGAGUCCAAAAUUAAAAUAUCAAUUUUUUUAUAAAGUAUAAUUAUGUGAUGGAUGAUUCUGAAUACCCCAUCAUAUUUUUCUUUACAUCCACUCUUUUUUUUUUAAUUUUUAAGUAAAAUUACUUAUUUAUCCAUCUCUUUUUAAUUUUAAAACAUCUGGAUAUAACUUAUUGGAUUUUCAUAUCUGGUAGGUUAAAAGUUACAUUUAGGUUUGGAAAAAAAUAGUUAAGAGACAAUAUCUUGUAUAAAGUAUGAGAUUCUAAUGCCAUUUAUAAAAUUUAAAAUCUCUAUUAAUUAUAUAUGAUGAAAUCAAAAAAUAUAUAAAUUAUCUCGUAUGCAUGAAAUUUUUGAAAUUAGAAAUUUAUCUUUUUCUUUUUUUUGUAUGUGAGGUUAUCAAGAUUUGAACUUUAAACUACUAAAAUUAAGAGUUCAACAUUUUACUAACAAACUACAUAAUUAUUUGCACAUUUAAUUUUAAAAACUAACAAUAAAAACAUUUUAAAAUAUAUUAACAAUCAAAAUCUAAAAAAUAAAAAAAUGCGUAUACCAUGGGAUCUAAAAGUACAUUAGGAACAAAAGCAUGAUAAAGAAGUUGCUUAAUCAACAAAUUGAUUAAAAAAAUCAACAAAUUAAAAACCUAUCUUUUAUUUUUUUCUGAAAAGUUUGAAAAAAAAAAAUCUAAAGAACACAUUCACUCUCAUUUCUCAAACUUGCCUAUUUUGGAAAUUGUGAUUUUAUAAUGGUGGAAUGAGAAAGAAAAAGAUAGAUCCUAUCAGAAUGCAUGGGUCUAAAUCAUAGUCUUUGCUUCAUACUUAGUCUUGGCAUCAAGCAUGCAAAUGUGUCAAUCUUUUUGCCCCCAUUUUUACUUCAAAAAAAUAAUGAUGUUAGCAAUUGCUUCAGUCUAAGUUAUUGAAAAAACUCAAAUAUAACAAUAUUAAUUAAUAUACUUAAAAACCAUUCCUAGUCUGCCAAUUUAAUUAGAAGACAAAGACAACCACCACUGAGAAAAUUACUUUUUUUUUGUCUUUUUUAAAUGAUAGACUUGACUUAAGCAAAUUGUUAAAAAUAUUAUUUUUCACAGAGUAAUGAUAGGGCAAGAAGACUUAGACAUUUGCAUGAUGGGAAGGCUUAAAAGUAUAAAGUAAAGCAAAGACUAAAUACCAAUAAAAAAAAUCUCAUACUAUUAUUUUUUUUGUGAGUCCAAAAUUAGAAUAUCAAUUUUUUUAUAAAGUAUAAUUUUGUGAUGGAUGAUUCUGAAUACCCCAUCAUAUUUUUCUUUACAUCCACUCUUUUUUUAAAAAAAUUUUUUAAGUGAAAUUAUUAAUGUACUUAUCUCAUUUUAAUUUAAAAGCUUCUAGAUAUGCGUUUCUUAAGUUAUAUAUCUUAUUGAAUUUUCAUAUUCGAUAAAUUGAAAAAGGUUAUAUUUAGGUUUGAAAAAAAAUAGAUAAGAGAAAAUAUCUUAUAGAAAUUACAAGAUUUAAGAAUGUUUAUAAAAAUGAAAAACUCUAUAUAAAUUAUCUCUCAUACAAGAAAUUUUUUUAAAUUAGAAGUUUUUUUUUUUUUUAUAUGAGGUUGCUAGGGUUUGAACUUUAAACUAUUAAAACUAAGAGUUAAGCAUUUUAUUAACAGAUUAUGUGGUUAUUAACUCAUUGAAUUUUUAAAUAAGAGGAUAUCUUUAAAAUAUAUUAACAAUAACAAUUAAAAAAUAAAAAAACUGCACAUACCCUAAAAUCAAAUAGUACAUUAGGAAUAAAAGCAUGAAAAAGAAGUUGCUUAACGAACAAAUUGAUUGGCCAAAAAAAUCAACAAAUUAAAAACUUGUGUUUUAUUUUUGCCAAAAAGUUUGAAAAAAAAUCUAAAGAACAUAUUCAUUCUCACUUAUCAAACUUGUCUAUUUUGGAAAUUGUAAUUUUUUAAUGGUGGAAUAAGAAACAAAAUGAUAGAUACUAUAGGAAUGUAUUGGUUUAAGUCUUAGACUUUGCUUUAUACGUAGUUUUGGCAACAAGCAUGCAAAUGUGUUAGUUUAUUUGCGUCCAUCUUUACUUUACAAAAAUAAUAAUCUUAGCAAUUGCUCCAAUCUAAGUCAUUAAAAAGACUAAAAUAUAACAAUAAUAAUUAAUAUACUUAAAAUCCAUUUUCAGUUUGUCAAUUUAACUGGAAGACAAAAGAUAACCUCCAUUAAGAAAAUUGCUAUGAUUUUUUUAUCUUUUUUAUAAGACAGACUUAACUUAAGCAAAUUGGUAAGCAGAUUAUUUUUCAUAGAGUAAUGAUGGGAUAAGAAGACUUAGAUAAUUGCAUGAUGAGAAGACUUAAAAGUAUAAAGUAAAGAAAAGACUAAAUGCCAACAAAAAAUCUCAUACUAUCAUUUUCUUUGUGAUUCCAAAAUUAGAAUAUCAAUUUUUUUAUAAAGUAUAAUUUUUUGAUGGGUGAUUCUAAAUACACCAUUUUUUCCUCUACAUUUACUUUUUUUUUAAAGUUAUAUUACUUAUUUACACAUCUCAUUUUAAUUUUAAAACUUUUGAAUAUACAUUUCUGAUAAGUUGUAUAACUUAUCGAAUUUUCAAUUCUGAUAAGUUAAAAAUGAUAAAUUUGAUUUGGAAAAAAAAAAGUUAAAAGAAAAUAUGUUACAAAAGUAUGAGAUGCUAAUAUUGUUUAUAAAAUUCAAAAAAUCUAUUAAUUGUAUGUGGAGAAAUCGAAUAUAUAAAAAUUAUCUCGUAUAUAUGAAAUUUGUGAAAUUGGAAGAUUGUCUUUUUUUUUCUUGUAUGUGAGGUUGUCAAGAUUUGAACUUUAAACUAUUGAAACUAAAAAUUUAGUAUUUUACUAAUAGACUACUUGGUUAUUGGAUCAUUGAAAUUUUAAAUUAGAGGAUCUCUUUAAAAUAUAGUUAAUCAUAAAAACUUGAAGAAAUAAAAAAUGCACAUACCAUGAAAUCUAGCAGUACAUUAGGAACAAAAUCAUGAAAAAAAAUUGUUUAAUCAACAAAUUGAUUGGCCAAAAAAAAUUAAUAAAUUAAAAAUCUGUGUUUUAUUUUUUUGAAAAGUUUGAAAAAAAAAUCUAAAGAACACAUUCAUUCUCUCACUUCUUAAACUUGUUAAUUUGGAAAUUAUGAUUUUAUAAUGGUAAAAUAAGAAAGAAAAUGAUAGAUACUAUGGUAAUGUAUGGGUUGAAGUCGUAGUCUUUGCUUUAUACUUAGUCUUGGCAUCAAGCAUGCAAAUGUGUUAGUCUUUUUGCCUCAUCUUUACUUUACAAAAGUAAUAAUAUUAGCAAUUGCUUUAGUCUAAGUUAUUAAAAAAAACCAAAAUAUAAAAAUAAUAAUUAAUAUACUUAAAAUCUUGUCCCAGUCUGUCAAUUUAACUAAAAGACAAAAGACAAUUUCAAUUGAGAAAAUUGUUCUUUGUUUUGUCUUUUUUAAACGAUAGACUUGACUUAAACAAAUUGCUAAGAAGAUUAUUUUUCAUAGAGGAAUGUUGGGGUAAGAAGACUUAGACAUUUGCAUGAUGAGAAGACUUAAAAGUAUAAAGUGAAUAGAAGACUAAAAACCAAUAAAAAAAUCUCAUACUAUCAUUUUCUUUGAGUCUAAAAUAAAAAAAUCAAUUUUUUUAUAAAGUAUAAUUUUGUGAUGGAGAUUGUAGAUACACUAUCAUUUUUUUCUCUACAUCUGGAUAUGAAAAUUAGGUAAUUUAUAUAACUUAUUAGAAAUACAUAUCUAGAAGCUUUAACAUUAAAAGGUGGAUCUCUAUAAAGUAUAAUUUCCAUUGAUUCAAGGACUUUGAAAAAAAAAAUAAAGACAAUUUUCAAAUCCUAAAGUUUUUCUUUCAUCCUAUUAUUUUCAAAUAAUUAAAAAUUUAGAUCCUAUUAUUUUCAAAUAAUUGAAUAUUUAGGUAUCUAUUGAAUACUACGAUCAACGUCUUGACUCUUUCAUUGUACGUUCUCAAAUCUUAUAGAUAAGAUUCCACCAAGUGAAUAAUUGCUAAUUAUUUAAGAUGAUUAAUUAUUACAUUCUUGAGAUUCAACUAAAAAAUAUAAUUUAGAUUUCAUUUGGUUUGUAUUUUUUUCUUUUACUAUUUUUUUUUCAAUUCAUUUAUUAAAAAAUAAAAACCAAAAGCAUCAAUUAAUUGGAGGAUUAAAAAGUGAGAAAAUUAUGUAAUCUCAUUGGUUAAUUUCCUUUUUUCGAUUAAAAAAUUUAUUCAGUUUAAAACAAUAUAAAGUAUGAGUGUAUUUGAUAUUAUAGAUAAAAUUUCUAAUGUUCUUUUUAUUUUUUAAAUUUUGUUGGGAUUUUAGAUUUUGAUUUAUUAUGAGUGUAUUUUAUAUUAAAAUCUUAAAUUUAUUAUAUAAAAUUUAUAUUUUGAGGUUUCAAAUAUAAAAAUGUAAUCAAAAUCAAAAUGAUUUUGGAAUAUACUCGUAUAGAAAAGUAAUAGAAUUUUGUGUUGGAAAAGCAAAGAUGAUAAUUUUGAAAUAUCCAAGUAGAGAAUGAUAGAUAAAGAAAAUGAGAUAGUGAGAGUAUAAUUAAUUAGUAAUUAGAAAAUGAAUUGAAAAAAAAAAAAAAAACUUAGAAGUGAUGAUUGAAGACAAUUGAAAAGAUCAAUAUAAUUACGUAAAGAUGGUAAUAUAUAGUCUAAUUAAAGAUUGAAGUUGAACAAUUAAUAUUUAAUUUUGAAUAAUUUAAAUUAAAUUCCCUUUUGAACAAUUAAAAAAAAAAGUUAGUAUUAAUUUCUUAUGUAGCGCGACAAUGAGAUUGAAACAAAAAUGCACCAAAUGACGUUCUUCUUCUGACUCCACUAGUGCCAAGUGUGCCAAAGUUCAUUCUCCAUUUUUGUCAUCUGAAUGACUUCGCCGGUAAGCAAUUCCGAAGGCUAUAAACUUUAAUUAGCAUAAAACAACACCAAUGCCAAGAUUACAUAUAAUAUUUUAUAGAAAAAAUUAUAAUAAUUUUUUUUAAAGGUUAGAUUUAAGAAGAGAGAAGGUGCUAUAGGUAAAAGAAUUUGAACUCUAAACCUGUUAGAUAUUAUCUUUUAAUGAUAAUUGUAUAAAUCAACUAGGAGCGUAACUAGGCUCAAAUUUUUUUUUUUAACCAUUGUAGCAUAAUACCUUAUCCAACAAAAAAUAAUAUUUGAUCCCUUCUUUCCUAAUCAAAUUAUAAUUUGACCUCUCAUUUCUUUUAUUUUUGGCUCUCCUUUCGAAAGUAACAAAUUCAAAAAAUUAUUUUAUUAUUAAUAUUCUUUUAUAUAAAUGUAUUUUAUUUAUUUAGUUUCUUAUGAGGUUGAUCAAGGAAGGAAGAAAGAAGCUUCUGACCUUAGACAAAGUAACUUUAGACCAAUUCUAAAGUUCUUUUAAAGAAAAGGAAACAAUUUUAGAUAAAGCAAAGCAAGAAACAUGUGUAUGAGGCAAGAACAAGAAAAACCCACGCGUCAUGAAUUGAAGACUAAUUCAUUAAUAGAAAAUCCCAUUAAUUAUUGUUCUAUGGAAAAAUAAUCGUUUUGUCACUUUCAUAUUUCUAAUGUUCAUAUUUGUAAUUUCACUCAUUCAUUAAUAUUAAGGUUCAUUCCCAUUAAAAUAAUAUUGGUUGAUAUUUUUAUUUGAAGUAUUGUAAAAUAUUAAAUAUGAAUCUAUAUGUUCUAAGUUCUUACAAUUCAAACCAAUAUUCUUUAAUAAUAUUAAAAACAAAAAUAAUAAAAAGUACUAUACAUAUGAUAAAUUCAAUAUUAAAUUAUUAAUAUGUUGUUUUGAAUUCUUAAUGAUUAAUAAAAAUAUUUUGCAAAUAAUAAUCCAAAAAUACAUUUCAAGACGAUUACAUAAAGUAAUAUAUUCACCUAAUGCAUUAAAAAUAAUAGAUAUAAAAUUAACUAUAUCAACCAUUACAUUUAAGAUUAAAUUAUUACAAUAAAUAGUAUAUUAACUAAUUUUAAAGAGUGGAUAAAUAAGUAUUACAAUAAGUAAUAUAUUAACUAAUUUUAAAUAGCAUAAAUAGUAUAUAUCAAAUAAUAUAUCAAAUAUUCAAUUAUUUACCAUCUAUCACCAUCCCUAAACAGAAUUUCAAGAGAGAAGCAAUCAAUCAAAUCUAAUGGAAUGGAUAGGAAGGUGAAGCACGGUCUAAAGCUAAGCUCCUGUGUCAGAUCCCAUUAUUUCCUCUGACUUGACAUCAAUAUACAAGCGAAAUCUGAAUGCUUGGAAACUCAGUUUCAGCAAUUUCACUUGGUUGCCUAGAUGUUUCCUGCAUGCUAUCAUCUUUUGCCUUCGUUUCCUUUCAUUCAUGCUUUUGCUUUAGAUUUUCAGGUUAGGUAGGCAAUAUUUUUACAACAUAUGAUACCAUAUUACAACAGGUUUUGCAACAAAAAAAGAAUAAAAAAUGCACUAAAUGGUAUCCAUAUGACUAAAUGAUAUCCUUUCUUUUUAAUUAUUAAUCUAAUGGUGCUAGGAUAAACUUUAUUAUAGACCAAAGAAUAAGGCAUACUAUUAUAAAGAAAGAAUUGUUAAAAUAAUUAUUCUUUUCUCUGAAUGCAUAUUUAGAAAAAAAAAAGAAAUUGAUACAUAUGAGGAAGUUGAUCAAGGAAACAAAAGGAGAUUCAAACGUUGAAUUGAAGAAGAAGAAGAAGAAACAAACUUAUUAAUUAGGAUUUAAAAAAAAAAAAAAAGAAGUGUUCCAUCUAAUUUCAUAAUAACAAAGUUGAGUUGACUCAUUAAUCUUUGCAAGUUUUACUUCUCUUCAGAUGUUAAACUUAGUGAAAAUUUUCAUUAUUUUUUAGUAGUGAAGAAAUUCCUUCCUACUGAUCUACAUGUAACACUGUUACCUAACAUUGAGAAAAUUAAUUUUUUUAUUUGUUUUUUUUUUUUUUUGCAUGAAUGCAUAAUAUGAAAUAAAAAGUAGGAAGAAAGGAAAAAAUAUAGUGACAAAGAUUAAUUUACAAAAGCAAAAUUAUCAGCCUUAUCACCAUUCAAAUCUGUUAUUCAUUCUUUAAAAUUCAAAAUGGACAAGCACUAAAUAUGUCUGUCAAUCUUCCACCUAUUUUGAUUCAACUCCUACAGAAAAAGCUCAAACUCAUGAUUUGUAGAAACACGUGAUUGGAAAAACGCAUGUGAACCUAUCUCUUGAUAUCUAGGGAGAUAUAUAGCUACAAUAACAGUAUAAUAAUGUGAAGUACUUGUCUAUAUAUACCAUGCAAGGAAAUCUCAAACUCCACAGUCUUCCCUUCAUUUUUUUAUAGAGAGCCAACAAAACAUGAAGAAUCCUCAUAUCCUAAUUUCACUCAUUUUUCCUAGCUUGUUUUUCUCCUCAUGCUUUGUAUCUCUUGUGCUAUCUUUUUCCCCUUCUUAUACUGAUCUCCAAAACCAGUGCCUUGAUGACCAGAGAUCUACUCUGUUGCAAUUGCAUCGUGAUCUUUACUAUGCUCCAAAUUUUACUUUCUCUACCGAAGUUGAGCUUUGGGAUCUCAACACUAAUUGUUGCUCUUGGAAAGGAAUUACAUGCGAUGCUCUUGGUCAUGUGAUUGGGAUUGAUCUCAGUUACAAAAAUCUUUCAGGCAGCUUUCACUCCAUUUUCAAUCUCCAUCAUCUUCAACGCCUUAAUCUUGCUGGAAACAAUUUUAAUUCCACUCUGUUUCAAUAUGAGUUUGACAAACUCCCAUAUUUAACUCAUCUCAACCUUUCAAACUCAUGUUUCCAUGGCCAAAUUCCUGUGGGGAUUUCAUACUUAACAAGGUUAGUCUCUCUUGAUCUAUCUAAUCAAGAUUCUUGCUAUCUACACAAUUACCAAAUUCUUGAUCCAAAUUUCUGGUAUGAUGUUUUUCCUUACAACCUUUAUCAACCUUUAAAACUAGAAAACCCAAACUUCAAGUCAUUCAUCCAAAAUUUGAAAUCUCUUACGGAGCUCUACUUGGAUAGUGUGAACAUUUCAACUCAAAGUACUAAAUGGUGUGAAGCCACAUCCAUAGUACUUCAUAACCUGCAUGUGUUAAGUCUGUCAUAUUGUGGUUUGAUAGGUCCAGUUUGUUCUUCACUCUCAAGACUUCCUUUUCUUUCCAAACUUUUCCUCAACGGGAAUUCGAUCUCUUAUUUGCCUCCUAAUUUCUUGGAAAUUUCCUCUCGUUUGCUUUCUCUCAGUUUAGUGAAUUGCAAUUUGAGUGGGCAUUUUCCAACUGAAGUUCUCUCAUUGCCAAAAAUUCGGAGCAUUGACAUUUCAGAAAAUCACUUUCUUGGAGGUCAGUUGCCAGAAUUUUCAUUAAACAAUGCUUUACAGAUCUUAACGAUUUAUUCUACAAAUUUCAGUGGAAAACUGCCAGAAACAAUUGGUAAUCUCAAGUUCUUGACAAAUUUAGAUCUCGAUAAUUGCAAUUUCUUUGGACAAAUUCCAUCAUCAAUUGCAAAUCUUACAAACCUUGUGGAACUGGAUCUAUCUGGUAACAAUUUCAGUGGUUUUAUCCCUGCAUUUCAUAGAUCUGGAGUUCCAAAUCUUGCAUAUCUUUAUUUGUCGUGGAACCACCUUUCUGGAUCAAUACAUUCUUCUUUAUUUACUCUCCCAUCAUUGCAGGCCUUGGAUCUUAGUGAAAAUCAAUUGAUUAGUGAAAUUGAAGAGUUCCUCAAUGAAUCUUCUUCAUUGAUUGAAACAUUGUAUUUAGGCUACAAUAGCUUUAGUUCCAUGAAGCUUGGCAUGUUCUCGCAACUCAAGAACUUACGGUUUCUUGACCUUUCCAAUACGAGCUUGUCAAUUGAAAGCAACAUCACAAGCCUUGCUUUUCCCCGAUUAGAGGAGCUAAACCUAAAUUCAUGUAACCUUACUGAAUUUCCAGAAUUCAUCAAAACUCAAGACAAGUUGACUAUUCUAUGUCUUUCUAACAACGAAAUCCAUGGUUUUGUGCCUAAUUGGUUGUGGAAGACCACUCUUUUAUGGUUAGACCUUUCUUUCAAUGCGAUUGAUUUUCCAAAAGACGUCCCUUUUGGUGAUGCAAACUCCUCUUUUCCAAUGUUGAGUCACUUGCGUUUACAAUUCUGUAACCUAAGCAUGUUUCCAGAGUUUUUAAAGAGUCAAACUAGUUUAGAAUAUCUUGUCCUUUCAAAUAACAAAAUAAGUGGUGCAGUGCCAAACUGGGUGUGGAAGAAAAGUUUGUGGUAUCUAAAUCUUUCUAACAAUUCUCUCUCAUCUUUGGACCAAUUUUCUUUGAACCAAUCUCUAACUUCUUCACAAGGCUCUUUAUCAAGACCUAUUUGCAAUUUGAGUCAACUUGCGACCUUUAAUGCAUCCUUUAACAAAUUAAGUGGGCCAAUCUCAAGUUGCUUGGGCAAUCUCAGUUCCCUCAGCUCUUUGGAUCUACAAAAAAAUAAUUUCAGCGGCAGCAUACCAGAUUUUGCAAAAGCGACCCACUUAUAUUGGCUUCAACUCAAUGAUAAUAAAUUGGAAGGGAAGUUGCCAAGGUCAUUAGCCAAUUGCACAAUGCUCCACGUUUUAAAUCUUGGAAACAAUACUCUGCAUGACACAUUCCCUUUGUGGUUGGGAAAAUUGCCUGCAUUGAUGGUUCUUGUAUUGCGUGCAAAUAAGUUUUAUGGUCCAAUUAAACAUAUGAAAAAUUGUUUUCAAGAUUUGGAUGUACUAGACAUUGCUUUCAAUAAUUUUUCUGGUCAAUUACCAAUUGAAUUCUUUCAAGCCCCUCAACUAAGGUCACUCAACAUUGGUGCGAAUAAACUGGAAGGAAAGUUGCCGAGGUCAUUAGCCUAUUGCAAAAAGCUUGAAGUUUUGGAUGUUGGAAAAAAUAUGAUACAAGACACAUUUCCUUUUUGGUUGGUGAAAUUGCCUUCUUUAAAGGUUCUUGUACUAAGAGCAAAUAGAUUUUAUGGUCCAAUUAAAAUUUCUGAGGAUGAAAAUGUUUUCCCAGAAUUACACAUAUUGGACCUCGCUUCCAAUAACUUUUCAGGUGUGUUAUCUGUUGGAUUUUUUCAAUCUUUGAAGGCAAUGAAGUCGAUGACUGAUCGCAACAAAGCUAAGCCAGAUUACAUUGGAGACAUGUACUACCAGGACUCUAUGACAAUUGUGAAUAAAGGGUUUGAAAUUUUUUACAAGAAAAUCUUAACCAUCUUUUCUUGUCUUGACCUUUCCAAUAAUAGUUUCCAUGGGAGAAUACAGGAGGAAAUACAAAACCUCAAGUCACUCAAAGCGCUAAACUUCUCCUACAACAGCUUCCUUGGCCCAAUCCCUUCAGCACUUGGAAACUUAACUGAGCUUGAGUCGUUGGACCUCUCCCAGAACAACCUCUCAGGAAAGAUUCCUCCACAGCUUGCAAGCCUAACUUUUCUUGAAGUAUUGAAUCUCUCUUACAACCAACUUGAGGGAAGCAUACCACAAAGCUACCAAUUUGGUACAUUUCAAAACGAUUCUUACAAAGGGAAUCCAAGAUUGUGUGGGCCGCCUUUGACAAAGAAAUGCAAUGAAGUUGGUCUUGGAAUGCAACCGCCUAAGGAAGAUGAGGAUUCAUGGGUAGACGGUAUAUCUGUUUGGAAAAUCGUUUUGACUGGGUAUGGAUGUGGUUUGGUAAUUGGGUUAUCUAUUGGAUAUACAAUGCUGAAUGAGAUGGGGAACAAAUGGAUGGAUAGGUUUACAUGGAAUCGAAAUCAAAAAUGGAGAAGAUCUUCUAGGUGACUCCAUCAAAAUUCAAGUUUCAAAUUCAUUUGGUAAGCAUUCUAGAAUACUCAAUAAUUCAAAAGUUUUCUUAUUGGUUCUUUCAGCUGUAGUUUAUUGCCUAAACAAAUAAAAUUAUUUAAAUACUCUGGUGCAUUAUAAGUGUGAUAUAUAUAUAUAUAUAUAUAUAUAUAUAUAUAUACUCAUUUCCCUUUUAAACUUGGCAUUGCUUUUAAAACUGAAAACAAAAAUUGCCUGCAACCGAGGAUAUGUCCUUUGAAUUCCUAACCUCAUGUUAUAAAUGACAAUCAUGAGUUUCCAAGUUAGUAAUUUGUAAAAGACAUGUGGGUGACUGGCAUUUUGAGUUAGAUUGGGCUGUCAACCAUCUUAACAGCAAAGCAAAGCUUUGGCAUCUAUUGUCCUUAAUUAGAUUGGCUUGGGAUGCUCAUAUAUAUUUUAUUUGGCAGGAGCACAAUCAAAGGAAGUUUGGCAGGCCAUCUAAAGAUAUAGAAGCUAUUGUUUCAACUAUCAGAAGUUACUUUUCGCUUAGUUCAAUAACAAGAUUGCAGUCUUCAGUUGCACUCUUCCUCUUCAACAACAGAAAUUGUGUCUGAAUGUUUUUAGCUUGGUGUUACGGUACUUGUGUCUUAGUUCUUUCUCUUCUGUUCACCUAAGAUGAUUGGCAGUAUGUCUGGUUGUAUUGUGCUUCUCUUCUGUUCUGUCUAUAAGGUGGCGUUUUACUGCUGAGUUAUGGGGUUCCCCUGUUGUUCACCCUAUUGUGUAACUCUGUUUUUAUUAAUAAUUUCUGGCUUAGCAAAAGAAAAAUGUGUCUGAAUUGGGGACAGGUUCCUUAAUGUUGCUUAGUUUGAUUACUUUGCAAAAGUUAGAUUGUUCUUGGACAUUUGUAAUGUUUUGAUAGCUUACUGUUUACUUGUAGCAAGUCUAAUGCUUUCUUUGCGUUAAUAAAAAUCAUUCACCCAAAGAAAUUCUUAACGAAAAUCUUAUUAUCUUUUAAGCUCUUCAUUAUUGUUAUACCUAAGUGAUCAUGUUAGCAGCCACAUAUUAGGUCUUACACAUGAAAACCCCGUUUGCGACAUCAUCAUCUAAAAGGUAUAAAAAGUAGAACCAAACCAGAGAGAUGAUUCGCUACUGAACUCUCUCUACUCUCUUUAACUGCUUCUUAUCAUUUACUUGCUUCUGGUAUACCUUACUAACUUAACUUGAGCGUCGGGGAAUGCCUCAAAAUAACAUUUUUGGCACACUGACUUUCUGCUCUGUGAUAGGUCACACAAACUCUCCUUCUCAACCUCCGGUAAAACUUUUGACUAUCAGACCAGGAAUUACAUUAACAAUAUCAAUUAUUCAACUCAACUAUUUGCGGUGCAGGAAUUUGAUAUAAGCCAUGGCAUGUACAACAAUGACUACGCCCACCACUUUAGCUGCCAAAACUAGAAGUUACAUCUCCUAACACAGAAAAAUCUUCACAGACCAAGCUCAAGCUAAGAUGCUUUAUUCCUGUAUUAACUGCUACAUCACUACAAAGAAGAAAACAUCGAAAAGAAAAUAACAAAGCUUCCGGUUCUAGGUAUCAAGCUCGACAAUUCCAAACUAACUUCGAUAGUAUUUUAUUGUCCCUAACAACUAUAGAUUUGACUAUGGCGAGAAAGAAUGAAAUAUUUCGCUUAUUAUUUUCUUCAACUUUAAUCCCAUAUCAUCCUUUGUUUCUUUGCUUCAGCACUCCCACAGACAAAAACAAAUGGCUUGUUGUAAGCUCUAUUGCUAUAUGAUUGAUUUGCAUGUAGAAUAGACCUUGACUAAACAAAAACAUGAGGGCAAUACAUUCAGUAACUUAUAUAUACUCACUUCACUAGAAUUCCAGUGAACCCUUUCAGUAACUUAUUCUCUAUCUAAUAGAAAUAAAGCGUCAUAACUAAAUAGGCAAUAUUCACAUUGAUGUGCUAAGUGUUCUGAUACAGCCACUAAUCCAUAAUUAAAAGAUGAAGUUAUAGAAGACAUGCUAUCUUUCAAGCACUGGUCAUUUUAUAGGUAGUUUUUUCUCUAGUAGUUACCUUGAUGCUGUAAACCAGAAAGGUUGUCAAGCCUUCUGACAUUUAGCCUAUUUUGAGUAUUAGCUCAGAAUUUAUGUUUAGAAGGUUGGUGGAGGUAAAAAGAUAUCUGAUGACUUUGGGGUUGACAAAAGCCACAUUGGGCAGAGUGAUCAUGCAUAUAUGAAGACUGUGCCCCUAGAGGCUUUCUCCUACAACUGUCCUCAUGCAGCCCUAAGUUCUUCCUCAUUUGAAUCCUUCUCUAACUAGAAAUGUAAGUAUCAACUAGAAAAAUAAUUUAAUCUUAUCAAUUCGGUCAUUUGAAAAUUUUACAGAGCAAAAAGAAAACAAAAACUCAUGCUAAAAAAGAAAAUUUUAGAGGGAAAAAAGGAAACCAAAAAAUAUUACUAUUUCUUGAGUUUAAGUUUAGGUUUGCUAGCUAAUUUCAUUUUUUUUUUAUUUAAUGCAGGACCUGUAUUUUUCCAGGAAGAAAACUGAUCAUUAAUGUUUUCUAUGCUUUGGACUUGGACAGCACAAAAAAUGACAGUUUCCAUUAGCCGCCCUACCCAAUUGAAACUACCUGCAAUCCAACAUUCUUAAACUCUUUGAAGUAACAUCCUAGAUCCUACCAGUAUGUGUCAUCGAGACCUGGAUUCUGAUCUGAUCAAGCUGAAUUCUUGGCCAUUAUGAAGGUUGUGAAGUUGGAUGCUGACCCUUGGAAAAUUAAUACUGGAUUGCAAUGCUAUCUCUAGGUAGAAGAAAUGCUACUUCGUGGGUAAAAGGCAGCAAUAGGGUUUGUUGGCAUCUUAGGAACGCCAAUUUUGUAUAUAAAUUACAAGUUUUACAAUUGUCUACUCAUUCAGCUGUUUUCGACGACUCUUGGAAUUUCAUGUAAAAACCUAAUUCUUGCUCUGCUUAAUACUAUCACUCAAUUCAUAAGUCUGUUGUGGAAUGACAGAAAAAAAUGCUUACCUAAAUAGUAAUGCACAUGCCUGCAGCAACAAUGAUUUUAAAGAGCUCAUCACUGCAUAAUCCAAAAUUCCCCCAAGCUCAAGCAGGGAAAUGAUUUCGUUUAAUAAGGUAUUCAGACAAGGGAAAUGAUUUUAAAGGGCGAUGAAUCGUCAUUGUCAUCAUCACUCUGGCCUACCCCUGCCUCAUCAUCAUCAUAAUCGCUACCCAAAACCAGAUUUCUCUUCCUUGCUUUCUCUGCUUCUUCCAGUCCUUCUCUAAUUGCCAUCCAGACUUGUAAUCUCCACUAUCAUGCAUAAACUUACAUGAAUCCUCUAACCACAGUAACCAGUUUCUUUGUAGUCUAUACAGAUGUCAGGUUGAUAAUCAAAUCUCUCUGAAACCCUGAUGUGGGCAGAAGCCCUAACGUGAGCCACCAGCUUUCUCACUGGCAACUGUCUGCUCCCUUCAAACGCAGCCUUAUGAUCCACAUAGCCAUGCUUUCCUUUAUACAACUUCUCUCCCACAGAGCUUUGGCUUUCCCCUUCAAAGCCUCCUCUGCUUGUUUAAGAACUUUCUCACCUAUAGCUCGAGCAUCUUAUAUAAACUCAGUCUCAGUUUCUAAGGUUGCGGUAGCUCUGCUAUCAUUUUGAACUUGAAGUUCCUUCGAAGACUCAAAUUGAAAAAUCGGUUUGUCAAAUUCUGUAUCUGAUUCAUUGAGAGCAGCACUCCUGGGGGAUCCAGUCGAAAAGUAUAACUUAUUGUCAGGCUUCAAAGCCCUCUUCUGAUUGUGUGACGGGGAUGUGCCAUUUCUGGAGUCUUCAUCUUCAUCUUCAUUUGUUUUCCUUUUCCUUAUGUUUUUGCCCUUUGUUAGCUUCCUAAAGAAAUUGCAGACUGAAAAAUCGAAGAGUUAACUAUAUAAGUAAAGAUACUGUCUGAAUUUGAUGCACACUAACAGAAACGGCCGGUUCUUUUUCAUUAUUAUUAUUUUUUUCAAAAAGAAAUGUCACAAUCACAGCGGCAAUGGGAGAACGCGACCACCGGUGCAGUGGCGGGCUUCGCCACCGUUGCAGCGAUUUACCCCCUGGACAUUGUCCGUACGAGAUUUCAAGGUAAUCCUCUUCUUCUUCUUCUUCUUCCGUCUCUUUCUUUAUAUAUACAUAGUUUCGACAAAAAAGUUUCAGUUUUUUUGGUGCUGAUUGGAUCGAGUUUUCAAAUAGUUAACGAUGGUCGACUCACCAAUUUCCCGACUUACAAGAACACCGCCCACGCCAUUUUUAUCAUUACUAGCUUAGAGGUUCACACCUUUUUUUUUCUUUCAUUUAAUUAGGCUUAGGCACUUUAUUUUUCUUUUCUCUCCAUGUAAAUUUGAGGUCUUUCUCGCUUUCAUUGGAGAUUAACGUUUCUCUUUUGUAUGCUGUUUUUCUUUUGAUAUAUGCUAAAAGUUUGGUGAGUUUGUCAUGCAGGGUUUGAAAGGGCUUUAUGCAGGCUUCUUUCCUGCAGUUUUAGCGUCCUCUGUUUCCUGGGGUUUAUAUUUCUUCUUGUAGGUGCCAUCAUCAAUUUACAUGUUACAACUUUUCCUUUGAUUACAGUACAUUUGUUGUCAAAUAUAUGUGCACAUUUGAAUUAUUAGCUGCAGCGGAAACGACUAAUUUGCUGAUUUUUUUUAAUGUAAAUAGAUUGAUUUUAAUAUGCAAUGGGGAAUAUAAAGAGUUAAUGUGUUUUGAUUUGUUGAAAAAUGUAGUGUGACAAUCAAUUAAUCUAAAGUGUCUGCUACUACUGUCUUAAUUUGAUGCAAGUUGCAAAUUAUCUCUGUUGAAACCCAGUUUUGAUGUUUAGAAACCAAAAUUCUGAGUAGAGUUUGAUAUGCAAUCAAACGGAAAAAGGGAAAAAAAACUCAACAAAAGAAAUGUGCUUCUGCAAUCUGCAAAAUUGGCUUGAAGAUCUUUCCUGAUUGAAGUGAAGCUUCAGAGAUGGAAAAUUGGCAAGUAAUAAUAAGUAAACACAUAUUAAUUACCUGCUUAAUCCAUUAAAUAAGAGAAAAAAACCUUAAUGACUUCAUAUCAAUAAUGAAAUGGGCCUACUGCAACAAUUCAGAAAAUGGAAUCAUACUUCAAAAACAUUCCAUUUGCUACAAUAUUGAUUGUACUGGUGACAAUGUCUAACCCACAAGCAUGAGCUCCAUGACCAAAGGUCCCUGCAAAUAGCUUCCACCAAUGCCGAGGAUUCUAAAGCUGUACAUAGCAAUUUGGUUGAAAGCAGAUUUGUGAAGCUUUCAUUUCAUAUAACUUGGCAGCAAGAAAAUGAUUGGGAGAAGCUAGUGAGUAUGGAGAAACGAUAUGGACAGGAUCACUAUCUUCAAUUUUGGACAGGAUGUUUUGAAGUCAAGAUCAGCUUGACGGGGUAAAGCAAAGACUUGGUGACUGGUGAGGAACUAAAUAAAAACUGAAAUAAUACCUUCAAUUUCCUUAAAAAUAUAAAUAAAACUCAAUGACAAUGAAGUUGAUGUAUUUUCAAAUUGUUCAAUGUUUAAAAACUGAAAACAAAAGAAGUAAUAGCAUCAUAUGUUGGCUGUUGGGUUCAGAAUAAUUUGUUGCUUACUUAACAUUAAAUCAUCUAUAAAGAAACUAUUUAGUCCCUUUUAGAUGCCAUCACAGACUCAGUGUGAUAGAAUUCAGGUCAAAAUAUGGAUUCAUCACCAUUUAUAUAUUUGUAUCUCACAUAUAUUUCAUUAUUGAUUUUAAUCUCUAUGCUAUUAUAUCUAAUCUCAUCAUAAUAAUAAUUAUUUUUUCUAUUAUCGUUAUUUUUAAUUUCACGGAAACUAAUUUUGCUUCUCAUCUAAAUUGUUAUCGAAAAAAAAGUGAGAUCUAGCACAAUACUUAUUACCCUUUUCAUUAUAUAUAUAUAUAUAUAUAUAUAUAUAUAUAAAACUUACAUAAUGCACAAUAGAUGGCACAAUUUUUAUGUAUAAAGAAGAACUCAUGAAUUUAAGUAUAAUCAUAUUUUGUUUUUAUUUUUUAAAAAAAUUUAUAUUAACAUUUGAAAUUUAUAUCCCUUUCUUUUGAAUUCAAAUUUCUAAACACAAAUUUAAUUAACAAAAGAAAUUCCUCUUUCAUUGAUCAAACAACAAAAAUUAAGAAACAAUCAUUGAGGAAAGAAAAACUAAUACCUCGAAAACAAAAAUAAGAAUUUAGGGCUUUAAUAAUGUUUGUUUUUCAAAAAAAAAAAAGAUUGUAAAAAAAAUUCAUACGUAUAAAUAAAAUUAAUAAUCAACCAAAAAGAGCAAAAUUAAUUACCCGAAUUAGUUUGGAUAAGCCUAUUGGGUCAAAAGACCUCUUUUUUUUACAUGGGCUGGGCCCAUUAAUACCGAAAUCGUGCUUCCCUUUGACUUCUUGCACUAAAAAUACAAUGAUGGAUUCCGAAUUUGGCAAUUGUUGUGAAUCAUAAAGUGUUUGAAGAAAAAUACGAAAAGCAAUUAACUGAGAAAAGCAAAAUUUAAAAAAAAUGUUGUCAAAAGGGAUUAAAGUUAGGGCGUUUUAAUCGAAUUUUCCUCUCCUUUUUUCAUUUUCCUGGUGAAAACUUCCUCAUGCCCAGUUUUAUUUUCAAUCUUAAAAUUUUUUUAAUUGAUUUUAUCUCCUGUUUUUGCAGUGACACUGUAAUUCGAGAGCUGGAGUCAUUGCAGGUAAUUUUUGGAAACCCCACAUUAGCAAAGGCAGAGUAUUUGAUUUUUUUUUUUUUUAAUUUCUUUUUUCUGUGAUCUUUUUUAGACUUUCACUGUGUAGAAAAGUUCUAUUUUUUGCUAAGCAUAACUUUUUUUUUUCUUAUUUGUGUUUCUCAGGCUUUAUUGUAUGUUGGUUUUGUUCUGUUUUAUCCAUAUUUCAUUUAUUUUUAUGAUUUGAAUUGAACUACUAUGUGAAAAGGAAUAUUGAGUAUUGCCAAGUAGUAUUUUCUUUGACUAUUACUGUACAUAAUUGUCAAUCUGUUAUUCAAUUGCUGGCUGUUAAAUUUGCUGGAAAAGAAUGAUUAUUGCAGUUUGAAUCUCUUGUUAUUAUGGGGAAGAGUGUGAGGGUUGAAAAAAGGGAAAGCAAAAUAAAAUGAAAUAGUUGGGUGGAAAGUGUUACCUUUUAUGGAGUUCUUGCUUGCAAUCAUCAUUUGUUUAAUUGUACAUUUUGCAUUUUCCAACAAUUGAAUGGAGGGAGUUUUUCGGAUUUCCAUUUCACUGCUUUCAAGUAUCUUGGUUUAGAUAAGUUUCGUCAGUGUUUUCUGUUUUCAAAAUGAAUUAAUAUACAUGACAUAACAGGUUCUUCUUGCAAAUCGGGAAUUGAAUGCUUAUGUGAAAAGGUGUUUAAAAUCUGAUCUUUUCUUUGUGGCAUCCAUAUUCUGCAAAGAUCUUUUGCCCUGUCUUUGUUCACCUCCUAGGUAUCAAUAUUUUAUCGGUUUGCUUAUGCUAGAGUUUGAUCUCUUUCUCUACCAUUUUCCCUUUGCCCCUACUAUUCCUCUUCUUCCUCUUUAGCCUUUGAAAUUGCUUUUUAGAGCCUUGGUUGUUAUAGUGGAUUACAAGCAUACAUAACACUAUGUUCAAGCUGUUGAAUUUUAGGUUCAACUUUCAAGUGUUAAGAGUUUUAUUAAAGUUUUAAUUUCUUGUGUAAGCCUUGUUUUACCCCCUUUUUUAGAGGGAGAGGAGGUUUGGGAGAGAUAAAAAUAGCACUUAUUUUAGUGUAUACGGAUGUAUGUAUGUAUGUAUGUAUAUGGUAUAUAUAAACAUAGGUUUAAAAAAUAUGCUACAUACAAUGUUUCUAUAAAAAAUCAUGAUUGCAAAAUAAAAUGUAAAUUUUAAGUACUGUACAUACAUAAAUCAUUUCUAAAAAAAUUCUAAAAAUUAAAUUCAAUAAAAUUAGAGUAUAACUUAAUGACCAGAAACAAAUAAAACUAAAAAAAAGAACUACCAAGAACAUAAAAUUAUUUGUGCAAAAUUAAUGCAUUAGUGAAUCAUAUGAAGUUCUUGGUUGUUUUGCCUCAUUUAGAGUCUGUUUGAUUGGUUUUUUGCUAGUUGCUUUUUGCCUCCAAAAGCAAAAAUGAAAAAAUUGCUUUUCCAUAAGCAAUAAAAUUUUGAAGAGCUAUACACAAAAUAUGUAAAUUUGUUAUGAUUAACUACAUGGUUCUACUUCUAUAUAUACUAAUUGUGUUAUAUAUUUUAAUUAUUUUUUCUGUUUUAGACCAGUUAUGAUAUAUAUAUUUUACUUUUUUCUCUUCCUUUCUAGUUAAAUAUAUACGUUUUAUUCAUGUUCAUAGGGAACUUACCAAACUCCUUGACCAUGCUCUAGAAAUGCCAGUAUGUAACGAGUUUGCUUUGAAUAUGGCAGCUAACAACAUCAGUGAAUCUUAGGUUUCUUGAUGCAAAUCAUGGCUAAUAGAUUCACUUGAAGCCUACUUAUCUAAAGAUUUUCGGAUUUUUGGAGGAUGAAAUACAGAGGUGGUGCUGAUGUUAAUAAUAUUGGAGACUGAACACUGUCAAACAACAUAGAGGUGGAAAUAUACUGACUUUUUCAGGUUUCAGGGUUGGUUUUAUUUGUUGACUUCAUUCUACUAUUUUUUUUUUUUGGAAAGAUAUAUACCAACAUCUUAUGUAAAUAUGUAACUUGAUAUAGAUAAUUUGUAAUUUUGGGGAAGAGAGAGAAGGAAUGAAAUUGAGAAGAUAGUGGUUUUUCUUUGAAAUUUUGCCAUGAUGUAAAGUUGUUCUAGUCAGAGUUUUUUGAUGUUAUGAUGCUUAAGAAAUCCAGAUACUAGUGAUAUCUUUCCCCAAAAUAGUUCAUUCUUCAACUCCAUCUAUUUCAUCUGGUUUGUUUCUGGGAAUAAAAGCAUAUUCCUUAUUGGUUGCAAAAUUUUCAUUCAUUUUAGCUUCAAAUUUAUCGAACAAUUAAAUUAUUAAUUGACUUGGUUAGUAUUUGUUGAACCAUAUAACUUAGAAAAUGCAAUCAGUUAGUGGAGAUUUUAGAUUAUACAAGUUAGAGGGCUGUCACAAACCCUUUUACAAAUAUAUUAAAAAAGUAUAUAAAAAAAUUAAGAUAUGUGAUAAUUUUUUAAUACUAUUUAUAAAAUUUAAAAGCUCUAUUAAACAUAUAUGAAGAAAUCAAAAUAUAUAAAAAUUAUCUCGUAUACAUGAAAUUUGCGAAAGAAGAAGAUUUUUUUUUUUUUUUAUGUGAGGUUGUUAGGAUUUAAACUUAAACUAUUGAAACUAAGAGUUCUGCAUUCAUUCCCACUCUUAUUUUGGAAAUUGUGAUUUUAUAAUGGUGGAAUAAGAAAGAAAAUGACAGAUACUAUGAGAAUGUAAUGGUCUAAGUAUUAGUCUUUGCUUUAUACUUAGUUUUGGCAUCACGCAUGCAAAUUUAUUAAUCUUUUUGCCCCCAUCUUUGCUUCACAAAAAUAAUAAUUUUAGCAGUUGCUUAAGUCUAAGUCAUUAAAAAGACUAAAAUAUAACAAUAAUAAUUAAUAUAUUUAAAAUCCAUUUCCUGUGUUCUAAUUUAACUAGAAGACAAAAGACAACCUCUAUUAAAAAAAUUGUUAUUAUUUUUUUUGUUUUUUUUAAAGACAAACUUCACUUAAACAAACUGCUAAGAAAAUUAUUUUUUAUAGAGUAAUGAUAGGGUAAGAAGACUUAAACAUUUGCAUGAGUGGAAUAAUUAAAAGUAGAAAGCAAAGAAAAGACUAAAUACCAACAAGAAAAUCUCAUACUAUCACUUUCUUUGUGAGUCCAAAAUUAGAAUAUAAAUUUUUUUAUAAACUUUAAUUUUAUGAUGGGUGAUUCAAAAUACAUCAUCAUUUUUUUUCUCUACAUCCAUUUUUAAAAUUUUUUUUAAGUGAAAUUACUUAUUUACACAUUUCGUUUUAAUUUUAAAACUUCUAGAUAUGCAUUUUUGAUAAGUUAUAUAACUUUUCAGAUUUUGAUAUCUGGUAAGUUAAAAAAAUAUAUUAAGGUUUAAAGAAAAUAAUUGAGAGAAAAUAUCUUAUGGAAAGCAUGAAAUUCUAAUACCAUUUAAAAAAUUUAAAAACUUUAUUAAUCAUAUGUAAAGAAAUUGAAAUUUAUAAAAAUUAUCUCACAUGAAAUUUGUGAAAAUAAAAGAUUGUCUUUUUUUUUUCUUGUAUAUGAAGUUGUCAAGAUUUGAACUUUAAACUAUUAAAACUAAAAGUUCAAUAUUUUACUAACAAAUUAUAUGGUUAUUGGCUUAUUGAGUUUUUAAAUCAGUGCAUCACUUUAAAAUAUAGUAACAAUAAAAAACUAAAAAAAAAUGCACAUACCAUGAAAUCUAAUAGUACAUUAGGAACAAAAGCAUAAGAAACAAGUUGUUUAAUCAAUAAAUUGAUUAGCCAAAAAAAUCAACAAAUUAAAAACCUGUCUUUUAUUUUUGCUGAAAAGUUUGGAAAAAAAAAUUCUAAAGAACACAUUCACUCCCAUUUCUGAAACUUAUCUAUUUUGGAAAUUGUGAUUUUAUAAUGGUGGAAUAAAAAAGAAAAAGAUAGAUCUUAUCAUAAUGCAUGGGUCUAAAUUAUAGUCCUUGCUUCAUACUUAGUCUUGGCAUCAAGCAUGCAAAUGUGUCAAUCUUUUCGCCCCCAUUUUUACUUCAAAAAAUUAAUGAUGUUAGCAAUUGCUUUAGUCUAAGUCAUUGAAAAGACUAAAAUACAAAAUAUUAAUUAAUAUACUUAAAAUCCAUUCCCAAUCUAUCAAUUUAAUUGGAAAACAAAAGAUAACCACCAUUGAAAAAAUUGCUAUUUUUUUUUGUCUUUUUUAAAAGAUAGAUUUGAUUUAAGCAAACUGCUAAGAAGAUUAUUUUUCAUAGAAUAAUGAUAGGGUAAGAAGACUUAGACAUUUGCAUGAUGGAAGACUUAAAAGUAUAAAGUAAAGAAAAGACUAAAUACCAAUAAAAAAAAAUCUCAUACUAUCAUUUUCUUUGUUAGUCAAAAAUUAGAAUAUCAAUUUUUUUUUGUAAAGCAUAAUUUUGUGAUGGGUGAUUCUAAAUACAACAUUAUUUUUUCUCUACAUCCACCUUUUUUUAAAAAAUUUUAAGUGAAAUUACUUCUUUACUCAUCUUGUUUUAAUUUUAAAACUUUUAAAUAUGCAUUUCUGAUGAGUUAUAUAAUUUACAAAAUUUUCAUAUCUGGUAAGUUAGAAAAAAGUUACAUUUAGGUUUAAAAAAAUAGUUAAGAAAAAAUAUCUUACAAAAUGUAUGAGUUUUUAAUAUUGUUUAUAAAAUUUAAAAACUCUAUUAAUCAUAUAUGAAGAAAUUAAAAUACAUAUAUAUAUAUAUAUAUAUUAUCUUGUAUACAUGAAAUUUUUUCAUUUUAAGAUUGUCUUUUUUUUUUUUUUUUAUAUGUGAGAUUGUCAAGAUUUGAAUUCUAAACUAUUGAAACUAAGAGUUUAGCAUUUUACUAUCAGACUAUAUGAUUAUUAGCUCAUUGAAUUUUUAAAUUAGGGGAUAUCUUUAAAAUAUAUUAACAAUAAAAAACUAAAAAAAUGCACAUACCAUGAAAUCUAAUAGUACAUUAGGAACAAAAGCAUGAGAAAAACGUUGCUUAAUCAACAAAUUGAUUGGCCAAAAAAAAAUCAACAAAUUAAAAACCUAUGUUUUAUAUUUGUUGAAAGGUUUGAAAAAAAAAAUGGUGGCAUAAGAAAGAAAAUGAUAGAUACUAUGGGAAUGUAUUGGUCUAAGUGUUAGUCUUUGCUCUAUACUUAGUUUUGGCAUCAAGCAUGCAAAUGUGUCAAUCUUUUUGCCCCCAUCUUUACUUCACAAAAAUAAUCUUAGUACUUCAGUCUAAGUUAUUAAAAAGACUAAAAUAUAACAAUAAUAAUUAAUAUACUCAAAAUCCAUUCCUUGUGUGCCAAUUUUAGUAGAAAACAAAAGACAACUUUCGUUGAGAAAAUUUUUUUUUUUUUUAUCUUUUUUAAAAGGCAGACUUGACUUAAGCAAAUUGCUAAGAAGAUUAUUUUCACAUAAAAAUGAUAGGGCAAGAAGACUUAGACAUUUGCAUGAUGGAAAGACUUAAAAGUAUAAAACAAAGAAAAUGAUUAAAUACCAAUAAAAAUAUAUCAUACUAUCAUCUUUUUUGUGAGUCCAAAAUUAAAAUAUCAAUUUUUUUAUAAAGUAGAAUUUUGUGAUGGGUGAUUCUAAAUAUAUCAUCAUUUUUUCUCUUUAUCAAUUUUUUAAAUUUUAAGUGAAAUUACUUAUUUACCAAUCUUGUUUUAAUUGUAAAGCAUCUAUAUAUAACUUAUUGGAUUUUCAUAUCCGACAAGUUAAAAAAAGUUACAAUUAGGUUUGGAAAAAAAUUAAGAGAAAAUAUCUUGCAUAAAGUAUGAGAUUUUAAUACCAUUUAUAAAAUUUAAAAUCUCUAUUAAUCAUAUAUGAUGAAAUCGAAAUAUAUAUAAAUUAUCUCGUAUACAUGAAAUUUGUGAAACUAGAAAAUUGUCCUUUUUUUUUUUUUGUAUGUGAGGUUAUCAAGAUUUGAACUUUAAACUACUAAAAUUAAGAGUUCAACAUUUUACUAACAAACUACAUGGUUAUUUACUCAUUUAAUUUUAAAUCAAAGAAUCUCUUUAAAAUAUAUUAACAAUAAAAAACUAAAAAAUAAAAAAAUGCACAUACCAUGAGAUCUAAUAGUACAUUAGGAAUAAAAGCAUGAGAAAGAAGUUGCUUAAUCAACAAAUUGAUUGGGAAAAAAAAUCAACAAAUUAAAAAUUGUCUUUAUUUUUGCUGAAAAGUUAAAAAAAAAAAAUCUAAAGAACACAUUCAUUCCCACAUCUAUAACUUGUCUAUUUUGAAAAUUGUGAUUUUAUAAUGGUGGAAUAAGAAAGAAAAUGAUAGAUACUAUGGGAAUGCAUUGGUCUAGAUCUUAGUCUUUGCUUUAUACUUAGUAUUAGCAUCAAACACGCAAAUGUGUUAGUCUUUUUGCCCCUAUCUUUACUUCACAAAAAUAAUAAUUUUAGUAGUUGUUUCAAUCUAAAUCAUUAAAAAGACUAAAAUAUAAUAAUAAUAAUUACUAUACUUAAAAUCCUUUCCUAGUUUGCCAAUUUAAUUGAAAAACAAAAGACAACCACCAUUUAAAAAUUGUUAUGUUUUUUUUUUUUUUUUUUAAGAGACAAACUUGACUUAAACAAAUUACUAAGAAGAUUAUUCUUCACAGAGUAAUGAUGGGGCAAAAAAACUUAGACAUUUGCAUGAUGGGAAGGCUUGAAAGUAUAAAGUAAAGAAAAGACUAAAUAUCAAUAUAAAAAUCUUAUACUAUCAUUUUCUUUGUGAGUCCAAAAUUAGAAUAUCAAUUUUUUUUAUGAAGUAUAAUUUUGUGAUGGGUGAUUUUGAAUACACCAUCAUAUUUUUCUCUACAUCCACUCUUUAUUUUUUAAAUUUUUAAGUGAAAUUAUUUAUUUACUCAUCUUGUUUUAAUUUUAAAGCUUCUAGAUAUGCAUUUCUUAAAUUAUAUAACUUAUUGGAUUUUCAUAUCCAAUAAGUUGAAAUACAUUUAGGUUUGAAAAAAAAAUAGUUACGAGAAAAUAUCUUGCAGAAAGUACGAGAUUUAAUGUUUAUAAAAUUUAAAAACUUUAUUAAUGAUAUGUGGAGAAAUAUAUACAUAUAUAUAUAAAUUAUCUCGCAUACAAGAAAUUUUUUAAAUUAGAAGAUUUUUUUUUAAUAUGAGGUUGUCAGGGUUUGAGCUUUAAAUUAUUAAAACUAAGAGUUAUACAUAAACUAUUAAAACUAUUAAAAAUAGCCCUUAUAUUAGUGUUUGGAUGUUUGUAUGUAUGUAUAUGGUAUACAUAAACAUAGGCUUAAAAAAUAUGCUACAUACGAUGUUUCUAUAAAAAUUCAUGUAAUUGCAAAAUAAAAUGUAAAUUUCAAGCACUAUGCAUACAUAAAUCAUUUCUAAAAAAAUUCUAAAAAUUAAAUUCAAUAAAAUUAGAAUAUAACUUAAUAACCAGAAAUAAAAAAUACUAAAAAAGGCAAAUACCGAGAAUAUAAAAUUACUCAUGCAAAAUUAAUGCAUUAGCGAACCAUAUGAAGUUCUUGGUUGUUUUGUCUUAUUUACAAUAUGUUUGAAUGGAUUUUUGCUAUUUGCUAUUUGCUUCCGAAAGCAAAAAAGAAAAAAUUGCAUUUCCAUAAGCAAUAAAAUUUUGAAAUAUGUAAAAUUUUUAUGAUUAAUUACAUAAUUCUACUUCUAUAUAGACUAAAUGUGUUAUAAUUGAUUUUAUAUUUUAAUUAUUUUUUUCUCUUUUAGAUCAAUCAUGAUAUUGUAUUUUUACCUUUGGCUUUUCCUUUCUAGUAAUUUUUCUAAAGGCAAAAAGUAGAAACUCCAACUAGAUGGGAUCUUAUAGUUUCUUUUAUUCUCUUAGUUGUUUCUUUUAAGCAGGUGGGAGACAUAAUGAAACUUUAACCUUUUGGUAUGGAGUCAAAAGUUGGCAAGUAUUACAUUUAUAAGUAUCCAUUACAAACAAAUUAAUCAUUUACCGAUUAAAAUUUUGGUUAAAACUUACCCUGAAUAAAAGAUUUUCAAGUACAAAACUGUUUCUACUUUAUAGGACUUUUAUGUGGAAGGGCAACGAUAUACUCACCCAUGCAGGGGCCAAAAUUUUAUUAAUGUGAGGAAAAUUAUACUGAAAAAUAUCAUUACUGAAAUUGGAAGGUGUUCAGGACUUCUGCUAAGCCCCUUCACUUCCCUAUUGGAAAAGUUGUUUUUAUUCUGGCGGAUGUCUUUGUUUUCUUUCAUCCCAAAUAAUAAAUCUAUGACCAUGAAAUUCUUAACGCUUUCUCUUUCUUCAUGUACUAAGAAGAGCAUCAAGGUUGGGAAUUUGUCACUUCUUUUCCCACAAAAUGACAAUGAAACCGUCAAAAAACAUUUGGAUUCGACAUCCGCAGUGCCAUGUGGAGAUUGGAAGUGUUAUGUUAAGUAUGAAGGAGAAGAUCAGACAUCAGUAAGCUCUCAGCACUGUCAGGUAAUAAAGAAUGAGACAGCUUCAACAUCCUUAUCAUCAGAAGCUGUCUUUAUGCCAUAUGUAUGUCAAAUUUUCAAAGGUGAUGAUGAUUCUUUGGAGUACUAUAGCAAUUUUGCACGGAAGAAUGGAUUUUCAAUAACAAAAGCACGCUCCAAAGAAAGCUAGAAUUUAGGGAUCUACCAACGAGAUUUUAUCUGUUAUAGUUAUGGGUUUAAUCAACCAAGAAAAAAGGCCAAUGUGGAGCAUCCAAGAGACUGGAAUUCAGUGCGAUGUGGAUGUGAUGCAAAAUUUUAUUCGACAAAAGAAAUCAUCCAUGAUGUUACUCAAUAGUGUGUUUCACAAUUUAGUAAUGUCAAUAACCAUGAAUUAUUGGAAGAUGACCAAGUAAGUUUGCUUCCUGCAUAUCGGAAAAUUCAGGAAGCAGAUCAGGAAAGAAUUCUUUUACUCUCCAAAGCUGGGUUUCCUGUCAAUAGUAUCAUGAAGGUUUUGGAAUUAGAAAAGGGAGUCCAGCCCGGGCAGUUGCCUUUUGUCAUGAAGGGUGCUAGGAAUUUUGUACGGACUUGUGCAAAGACUGUUCAAGAAAGUGACGUUUUGCUUACCGAGAAAAAAGAAAAUGAUACAUUCGAACUUCUUGAGGCCUGCAAGGCUACGCAGAGAGGGAUGCUAAUUUUGUUUAUGAUUAUACUACAGAUGAAAAUAGUAAGGUUGAAAAUAUUGCAUGGUCAUACGGAGAUUCUAUUCGUGCAUAUACAGUAUUUAGUGAUGCUGGUACCUUUGACACUACAUAUUGUUCUAUCCCUUACGGAUUGCUUCUUGAAGUAUGGUUUGGUCUAGAUAAUCGUGGAAAGCCAAUUUUCUUUGUAUUACUGCAAGAUGAAAGUGUGUCAGUCUUUUUGCCCCCCAUCUUUACUUCACAAAAAUAAGUAUAAAGCAAAGACUAAAACUUAUCAUAGAAAUUAAGGAAAGCUUUUAAAAAGAAAAAAAAAUAAUGAAAGAAAGAUAAGUCUUAGUCUUUGCUUUGUACUUAGUCUUGACAUGAAACAUGUAAAUGUAUCAGUCUUUUUGCCCCACCUUUACUUCACCAAAAUAAAUAUAAAGCAAAGGUUAAAACUUGUCACAGAAAUUAAGGGAAGUUUUAAAAAGAAAAGAAACCAAAGAAAGAAUGAUAAGUCUUAGUCUUCGCUUUAUACUUAGUCUUAACAUGAUGCAUGCAAAUGUGUCAAGUCUUUUUGCCCCCAUCUUUACUUCAAAAAAAUCACAAUAAAGCAAAGACUAAGACUUAUCAUAGAAAUUAAGGGAAGUUUUAAAAAGAAAACGAAAGAAAGAAUGAUAAGUCUUAGUCUUUGCUUUAUACUUAGUAUUGGCAUGAAGCAUGCAAAUGUGUCAAUCUUUUUGCCCCUAUCUUUACUUCACAAAAUUAAUAAUAUUAGCAUUUACUUUCAUUGAAAAGACUAAAAUAUAGUAAUAAUAAAUAAUAUACUUAAAACCACUUCUCAAUUUGUCAAUUUAAUUGGAAGACAAAAGAUAACCUCCAUUAAGUAAAUUAUUGUGUUUUUUUUUAUCUUUUUUAAAAAGAUAGAAUUGACUCAAGCAAACUAUUAAAAAAAUUAUUUUUCAUAAAGGUAAGAAGACAUAGACAUCUGCAUGAUGAGAAGACUUUUAAAAAUAUAAAGCAAAGCAAAGACUUAAUACCAAUAAAAAAAAUCUCAUUCUAUCAUUAUCUUUGUGAGUCCAAUUUUGUGAUUCACUUAUGACAUAUAAUAUUUAUAUAUUGGUAAUGUAUCAAAUAUAAAUUAUUUUUAAAAUAAAAUAUGCUGAGAGUUGGAAAAAUAAUGAUAUCUUUUUGUUUAUAUUCAUUAAUCACUCAAUCCCAUUAAUAUGUAUAUAAUAUAUAUUUUUAAAAUUUUAUUAUAUAUUAUUUAUAAUUAAUUUUAAAAAUUAUUUAUUAUAUUUACAAUACAAUAUGGUAUUUGAUAUUAGAUUCUCAAAUUAUAAUACCUAUUUCAAUUUAACAAUUAUACUGAUAUAUAUUUUUUUUGAACUUUUACUUCGCAGCUUAUAAAUAUUCAACGCUUGACAUAUAUGUAAUAUUUUUUAAGUUUAUCCUUUUAUUUAUAAUUAAAUUUACAAUAAAGUUUUAUCAUCUUUUAUAAUAAAGAAAUAAUUAAUCAUUUUAAUGGUAACGUCUAAAUGUAGGAUUCCUUUUCAAGCUCUUUAUUAUUGUUACACUUAAGUGGUAAUAUCAGCAGCCACAUAGUAGGCCUUACACAUGGAAACCUAGUUAGCCACGUCAUCACCCACGAGAUAAAAAAGGUUGAAUCAUACCAUACAUGUGAUUCACUACUCAACUUUCUUUACUCUCUUUAGUUGCUUCCUGCUUUCUCUCAUUUCCUUGUUUCUGAUAUACCUUACUAACUUAAGUGUUGGAACAUAUGCUCCAAAAUAACUUCUUAAUCAUUUGAUAGAACGUAUUAAUUUAUAGGCAGAAAGAGGAGCAAUUUUUCUUUCUUUAAUCAAUAAUAAUUAUUCAUUUGUUCUAUCAAUGUAUGAGUUAUUAACAAAAUAACUUUCUCUUUACUUUUUAUUUGAUCAAUAGGAGUUUUAGCAAACAUUAAGUAUUAAACCAUAAUUAUCUUUUAAAUGAAUCAAAAGAUAUUUUCUUAAGUUAGAUAAUGACACUUGACUACAUCAUAUCUAACACUUCCAUAUAUAUUUAAUUAAAUUUAGUUUCGAUAACUGAAUCUAAAUCUAUUUAAAUAACUACUAUUAUCCGCUAAAUAUCUAAAUCAUUAAAAUAUUUGAUUAUUUAAGUUUUUUUAUUAAGAUAUAAAAUAAACAAAAUUAAUUUUAAAAUUCAAGUUCAAUUUUAGUAAAUAUCAAAUAAAGGUUGUUUUUUAACAUUCAAAACUUUUCACAACUAUAAAAUUUUAUAUAUUUUGCAUAUAUAAAUGAAUAAUGAAUUUGGAUAUUUAAUACUAUCUAUUAAAAUGUAAACAGAUUUAGAUAUUUUAUAUUUGAGAAGUAUUAUAUGAAUUCUAUCAAUAUCCAUCACAAAUAUUAAACCAAUUAUCCAAAAUCAUAAUUAUCCAUUUAUAAAUUUUUUAUCAGAACAUAAACAAAUUAGAUAAUACCAAAUAUAUGAUUAUUUAGUAUAUAUUGUCAUCUCUAAAUGAAGUCCAAGAGAGAAGCAAUCAAUUAAAUCUAAUGAAAUGGAUGGAAAGGUGAAGCAUGGUCUAAAGCUAAGCUCCUGUCUCCCAUUAUUUCCUGUGUCUUGACAUCAAUAUACAAGCGAAAUCUGAAUGCGUGGAAACUCAGUUUCAGCACUUUCAUUUUGUUGGCUAGAUAUUUCCUGCAUGCUUUCAUUUUUUGCCUUUGUUUCAUUUCAUUCAUACUUUUGCUUUAGAUUUUCAGGUUAGGUGGGCAAUAUUUUUACAACAUGUGAUGCCAUAUUACAACAGGUUUUGCAAUAAAAAAAAAUGCACCAAACGGUAUCAAUAUGACUAAACGAUAUCCCUUUUUCUUAAUUAUUAAUCUAUUGGUGCCAGGAUGACUAAACUUCGCUGUAGACCGAAGAAUAAAGCAUACUAUACUAUUAUUUAGAAAGAAACAAUACAUAUGAGGAAGUUGAUCGAGAGAAGAAAAGGAAAUUGAUCGGAGAAGAAUAAGAAGAAGAAACAAACUUAUUAAUUAGAAUUAAAAAAAAAAAAACGUUCCAUCUAAUUCCAAAUAACAGAGUUGAGUUGAAUAAUAAAUCUUUGUAAGUUUUACUUCCUUUUAGAAUCAAGUUUAGUGAAAAUUUUCACUAUUUUUUUAGUAGCGGAGAGGAUUUUUUGCUACUAAUAUACACGUAUCACUAUCACCUAAUUUUGAGAAAAUUAAUUUUUUUUAUUUAUUUAUUUUUUGUACAAAUGCAUAAUAUGAAAUAAAAAGUGGGAAUAAAGGAAAGAAUAUAAUGAUAAAGAUUAAUUUACAAAAGCAAAACUAUCAGCUUUAUCAUCAUUGAAACCCAUUAUUCAUUCUUUAAAAUUCAAAUGGACAACCAAUAAAUAUGUUUGUCUUCCACCUAUUUUGAUUCAACUCUUAUAGAAAAAGCUCAAACUCAUGAUUUGUAUAAACACGUGGUUGGAAAAAUACAUUUGAACAUAUCCCUUGAGAUCAAGGGAGAUAUAUAGCUACAAAAACAAUAUGUAAUAUGAAAUACUUGUCUAUAAAUACCGUGUAUGCAAAUAUUAAACUCCAUAAUCUUCCCUUCAUUUUUUUUUCCAUAGAGAGCUAGCAAAACAUGAAGAAUCUUCAUAUCCUAAUUCCACUUUUUUUGCCUACCUUAUUUCUCUUCUCAUUCUCCUUAUCUCUUGUGCUAUCUUUUUCCCCUUCUCAUACUCAUCUUCAAAACCACUGCCUUGAUGACCAAAGAUCUGCUCUGCUACAAUUGCACCAUGAUCUGUACUAUGCCCCCAAUUUUACUUUCUCUUCCAAAGCUGAGCUUUGGGAUCUCAACACUGAUUGUUGCUUUUGGAAAGGAAUUACAUGUGAUGCUAUUGGUCAUGUGAUUGGGAUUGAUCUCAGUUAUAGAAACCUUUCAGGCAGCUUUUACUCCAUUUUCAAUCUCCAUCAUCUUCAACUCCUUAAUCUUGCUGGAAACAAUUUUAAUACCACUUUGUUUCAAUAUGAGUUUGAUAAACUCCCAAAUCUAACUCAUCUCAACCUUUCAAACUCAUGUUUCCAUGGCCAAAUUCCAAUGGAGAUUUCACAGUUAACAAGGUUAGUCUCUCUUGAUCUAUCUAAUCAAGAUUCUUGCUAUCUAAGAUACCCACUGCCUUCUGUAUUUAAACAACCUCUUAAACUAGAAAACCCAGACUUCAAGACAUUCAUCCAAAAUUUGAAGCCACUUACAGAGCUCUACUUGGAUAGUGUGUAUAUUUCAACUCAAAGUACUAAAUGGUGCGAAGCAACAUCCACGGUUCUUCGUAACCUGCAUGUGUUAAGUUUGUCAAAUUGUGGUUUGACAGGUCCAUUUUGCUCUUCACUCUUAAGACUUCCUUUUCUUUCUAACCUUUUCCUUGCUGGGAAUCCCAUCUCUUAUUUGCCUCCCAAUUUCUUGAAAAUCAAAUCUCCUUUGGUUUCUCUCAGUUUAGUGAGUUGCAAUUUGAGUAGGUAUUUUCCAACAGAAAUUCUCUUGUUGCCAAAAAUGAAAAGCAUUGACAUUUCAGAAAAUUACGCUCUUGGAGGUCAGUUGCCAGAAUUUCCAUUAAACAAUGCUUUACAGAUCUUAACGAUUUCUUCUACAAAUUUCAGUGGCAAACUACCAGAAUCAAUUGGUAAUCUCAAAUUCUUGACAAAUUUAGAUCUCAAUGGUUGCAAUUUCUUUGGACAAAUUCCAUCAUCAAUUGCAAAUCUUACUAACCUUGUGAAACUGGAUAUAUCCUAUAACAAUUUCAAUGGUUUUAUCCCUGCAUUUCAUAGAUCUGGAGUUCCAAAUCUUGCAUAUCUAUAUUUGCAGGGGAACCACCUCUCUGGAUCAAUACAUUCUUCUUUAUUUGCUCUCCCAUCAUUGCAGGCCUUGGAUCUCAGUGAAAAUCAAUUGUUUGGUGAAAUUGAUGAGUCCCUCAAUGCAUCUUCUUCAUUGAUUGAAACAUUGUAUUUAGGCUACAAUAGCUUUAGUUCCAUGAAGCUUGACAUGUUCUUCCAACUCAAGAACUUAAGGCGUCUUGACCUUUCCAAUAUGAGCUUAUCAAUUGAAAGCAAUAUCACAAGCCUGACUUUUCCCCAAUUAGAGGAGCUAGACCUAAGUUCAUGCAACUUUACUGAAUUUCCAGAAUUCAUCAAAACACAAGACAAGUUGGCUUCUCUAGAUCUCUCUAACAACCAAAUCCAUGGUUUUGUGCCUAAUUGGUUGUGGAAGACCACUCUUUCAUGGUUAGACAUUUCUUUUAAUGCGAUUGACUUUCCAAAAGAGAUUCCUUUUGGUGACGCAAAUUCCUCUUUUCCAAUGUUGAGUAGUUUAGAAUAUCUUGACCUUUCAAAUAACAAAAUAAGUGGUGCAGUACCAAACUGGGUGUGGAAGAAAAGUUUGUGGCAUCUGGAUCUUUCUAACAAUUCUCUCUCAUCUUUGGACCAAUUUUCACUAAUCCAAUCUCAAACUUCUUCACAAGGCUUUUUAGCAAGAUCUAUUUGCAAUUUGAGUCAACUUGAGAGGUUUAAUGCGUCCUUUAACAAAUUAAGCGGGCCAAUCCCAAGUUGCUUGGGCAAUAUCAGUACUCUCAGCUAUUUGGAUCUAAAAAAUAAUAAUUUCAGCGGCAGCAUACCAGAUUUUGCAAAAGCAACCCAAUUAAUUUUGCUUCAACUCAAUGACAAUAUAUUGGAAGGGAAGUUGCCAAGGUCAUUAGCCAAUUGCACAAUGCUCAAAGUUUUAAACCUUGGAAACAAUACUCUGUAUGACACAUUCCCUUUAUGGUUGGGAAAAUUGCCUUGGUUGGUGGUUCUUAUAUUGCGAGUAAAUAGGUUUUAUGGUCCAAUUAAAAAUGUGAAAAAAAAUUUUCAAGACUUAGAUGUUCUAGACAUUGCUUUCAAUAAUUUUUCUGGUCAAUUACCAGUUCAAUAAAGUGUUUAUAAAAUUGAUGUAUGUUCAAAUUAUUCAAUACUUAAAAACUAAAAAAGUAAAAACUAAUAACAUGUUAUGUUAACUGUUGAGUUAAGAAUAAUCUAGUGCCCACUUAACAUAAGAUCAUCUUUAAGGGUCCUUUUGGAUUUCUUAGUAUAUUUGGUGCGAUAGAAUUUAGGCUUAAAUACGGAUUUAUUAGUAUUUUUAAUUUUGUAAAAAUUUAUUUUUCUUUUCAUUCAAAUUGUUAUUAAGAUCUAACACAAUAUUUUAUUAUCCUUUCUAUUAUAAAAGAAAAUUAUAUUUUGGUACAUAAUGCUCAAUAGAUAACAUACUUUUUACAUAUAAAAAAGAAAUAAUGAAUUUAAGUAUAAUCAUAUUUUGUUUUAAUUCUAUUUCAAAAUUUAUAUUAACAUUUAAAAUUUAUAUCUUUUUCUUUUGAAUUUAAUUUCUAAACACAGAUUUAAUUAACCAAAAAAACUCUCUUUCAUUGAUCUAACAACAACAAUGAAGAAGCAAUCAUAGAGGAAAGAAAAACUAAUACCUUGAAAACAAAAAUAAGAAUUUAGGGCUUUUAUCAAAAUUUUUUUCAAAAAGAUUGUAAAAAAAUUCAUACAUAUAAAUAAAAUUAAUAAUCAACCAAAAAAGCAAAAUUAAUUACCCGAAUUCGUAAUGAUAGGCCUAUUGGAUCAAAAGACCUGGCUUUUCUUAAAUAGGCUGAGUCCAUUAAUACCAAAAUGGGCCUUUCUCCUGACUUUUUCAAUAAAACACAAUGAUCGAUUCCCAAUUCCGCAAUUUUUUUAAUCAUAAACUGAUUGAAGAAAAGUAUGCAAAGCAAUAGGAAAGCAAAAUUAAAAAAAAAAAAAAAAAAGUUGCCAAAAGGGGUUUAAAGUUAGGGGGUUUUAAUCAAUUUUUCCCCGUCUUUUUCUUUUUUCUUUUUCCAGGUAAAAAUUUCCUCAUGCCCAGUUUUAUUUUCAAUCUUAAAAAAUUCUUUUUUUUUUUACUGUAAAAUAUGGGUAUAUUUUUAUUGAUUUUAUCUCUUGUUUUUAGAGUGACACUUAAAUUCGAGAGCUGGAGCAAUUGUAGCUAAUUUUUGGAAAUCCCACAUUGGCAAAGGCAGGGUAUUUCAUUUUUUUUUUAUUUCUUUUUUCUAUGAUCUUUGUUAGACUAUCACUGUGUAGAAAAUUCUAUUUUUAGCUAAGCAUAACACUUCUUUUUUUUUUUUUCCAAUAUUUGUGUUUUUUAGGCUUUAUUAUGUGUUGAGUCUGUUCUGUUUUACCCAUAUUUCAUUUAUGUUUAUGAUUUGAAUUGAGUUACUUUGUGAAAAGAAACAUUGAGUUACGCCAAGUACUUUGUGAAAAUGAAUAUUAUGUCAAAUUUGGUGCAAAAGAAUAAUUAUUGCAGUUUUGUAUCUCUUGUUAUUAUGGGGAAGAAUGGGAAAAAGAAUUAAAAUGAAAUAGUUGGGUGGAAAGUAUUAGCUUUUAUGGACUGCUAACUUGUAAUCAUCAUUUCUUUAAUUGUACAUCUUGCAUUUUCCAACAAUUGAAUGGAUUGAGUAUUUGGGGUUUCCAUGUCAUUAGUUUCAAGUAUCUGGUAUAGAUAAGUUUCAUCAAUGUUUUCUAUUUCCAAAAUAAAUUAAUAUAUAUGACAUAACAGGUUCUUUAUAUGACAUAAAUUUACUCAAAAUUUAUUAAGUUUAUCAUAGACAUAAAAAAAAAAGUUUUUUUUUUUAUAAAGAACAAAGAAAGAAGGAUAAGUCUUAGUCUUUAUAUUUAGUAUUGACAUCAAGUAUGUAAAUGUGUGGUCUUUUUUCCGUUAUCUUUACUCUACAAAAAUAAUAAUCAUAGCAAAUGCUUCAGUCUAAGUUAUUAAAAAGACUAAAUAUAACAAUGAUAAUUAAUAUAUUUAAAACAAUCUGCUAAUUUAAUUGGAAGACAAAUAAUAACCCAUAUGAAUAUUAACAUCCACACAUUAAUUAUUAAUAAAAUAUAAAUAUUUUUUAAAAGUAUACCACUUAUGCCUUCAAUUUAAUAUGUUAAUGAUAUAAAUUAUGUAAUUUUUAAUGAUUAUUUUUAAUAUUUAAUUUUGAUUUUAUUUCAUUAUUAGAACUAUUAUUGAUAGAAUUAUUGUUAUUAACAAAAUAUAAUUAUAUUGAUAUUUGCAUGUAUUAAAAUAUUCAAUUAAUAUUAAUUAUUAAAAUCAUCAAAUAAUUAAUUAUCUCACAUUAUAAUUUUUCUAUUAAUUCUUUUGAAUGGGUUGUGGAGGGCAAAAUGAAAAAGUGGGUUUAGGCCUUAAUUAGCCCUUACCAUGUGAAGCAACAAAUCCCUCGUAGGAAAAACAUAUACGACAAAGCUUCAAAUCUAUUGGAUUAUUAACUUUCUUUUUUAAUUUGGGAAAAUGACCUUAGAACCGUGCUUCAAAGAAGAGUGUGUAUCAAUUAUUUGAGUUAAAUGCUCGAAUGCCACUAAUUUUUAUUUUAAAUAUAGAAUAUAUAUAGGGAAAUUACUAAUUAUAUUGUCAAUAUAGUUUUUUAACUUUAUAAGCAAGAUUUAAGGAUGUCAAUGGAUAGAAUAUGGAGUGGAUAGAGCAUUCUCUAUCCUAUUUCUGAAUUUAAUAUUAUAUCCAUCCUUGUGUUAUGCUUUAACUUAAGAAAAUGAUAAGUCUUUAUCUUUGCUUUGUACUUAGUCUUGGUAUGAAGCAUGCCAAUGUGUCAGUCUUUUUGCCUCCAUCUUUACUUUUAUAAAAAUAAGUAUAAAGCAAAGAUUAAGACUUAUCAUAGAAAUUAAGAAAAAUUUUUUAAAAGAAAAAAAAUGAAUGAAUGACAAGUCCUAGUCUUUGCCUUAUACUUAGUGUUGGCAUGAAGCACAUGCAAAUGUGGUAGUCUUUUUGCUCCGAUCUUUACUUCACAAAAAAAAAAGCAUAAAAUAAAGAAUGACUUAUCGUAGAAAGUAACGAAAGUUUUUAAAAAGAAAAAAAAAAAGAAAGAAUAAAUUAUAACUCUUAGUCUUUGCUUUAUUCUUAGUUUUGGCAUGAAACAUACAAAUGUGUCAAUCAUUUUGCCUCAUCUUUACUUCACAAAAAUAAGUAUAAAGCAAAGAUUAAGAGUUAUCAUAGAAAUUAAUGGAAGUUUUAAAAGGAAAAGUAAAACCAAAGAAAGAAUGAUAAGUCUUAGUCUUUGCUUUACACUUAGCCUGGGCAUGAAGCAUGCAAAUGUGUCAGAUUUUUUGCCCCCAUCUUUACUUAACAAAAAUAAGAAUAUUAGUGUUUACUUCAGUCUAAGCCAUUGAAAAGAUUAAAAUAUAAUAAUAAUAAUUAAUAUACUUAAAAUUCAUUAUUAGUCUUUCAAUUUAAUUGGAAGACAAAAGAUAACCUUCAUUAAGUAAAUUAUUGUAUUUUCUUGUCUUUUCUAAAAGAUAAAAUUAACUUAAGCAAACUACUAAGAAGAUUAUUUUUCAUAAAGUAAUGAUGGGACAAGAAGAUUUAAACAUUAACAUUAUGUGAUGACUUAAAAGUAUAAAGCAAAAAAAAAAUACUAAAUACCAAUUCAAAAAUCUCAUACCAACAUUAUCUUUGGAAGUCUAAAAUUAAAAUAGCAAUUUUUUUAUGAAGUAUAAUUUCGUGAUUCACUUAUAGCAUAUAAUAUUUAUAUAUUGAUAAUGUAUUAAAUAUAAUUUUUUAAAAAUAAAAUAAGUUGAGAGUUUGAAAAAUAAUUAUAUCUCUUUGUUUACACCCAUUAAUCACUCAAUCCCAUUAAUAUUAGAAUAUUUUUUAAAAAUUUUAUUUUAUAUUUAUAUAUUAUUUGUAAUUAAUUUUAAAAAAAUAUUUAUUAUAUUUCCAAUACGAUGUGAUACUUGAUAAUAAAUUCUCAAAUUACAAUACCUAUUUUAGUUUGACAAUUAUACUGAUAUAUAUAUUUUUUGAACUUCUACUUUGUGGCUUAUAAUUAUGCUGAUAUUCAAGUUCGAUAUUUAUAUAUAUAUAUAUAUAUGUAACUCUUUUUUUUAAGUUUAUCAUUUUAUUUAUGAUUAGAUUUAUAAUAAACUUUUAUCAUCUUUUAUAAUAGAGAACUUAUUAAUCAUUCUAAUGGUAAGGUCUAAUGUAGGAUUUAGUCGGUGUCAUUUUCUUUGUUCAUUUUUAAUGAAAAUGUUAUUAUCUUUUAACCUCUCCAUUAUUGUUACACAUAAGUGGUCAUAUCAACAGCCACAUAGUAUAUCUUAUACAUGGAAACCUAGUUAGUCGGAUCAUCACCCACAAGGUAAAAAACGUAAAAUCAAACCAGACAGGUAAUUCACUAAACUCUCUUUAUUCUAUUUAACUGCAUCCUGCUCCCUAUCAUUUCCUUUCUUUUGGUAUACUUUACUAAUUUGAGCAUCAAAGUAUAUGCCCUGAAAUAACAUCUAGAUCAUCAGAUAGAACACAUUAAUUUAUAGGCAGAGAGAGGAGCAAUUUCUUUCUUUAAUUAUAAUCAUUAUAAUUCAUAUGUUCCAUCAACAUAUGAGUUAUUAAUAAAAUUAACUCUUUAGUUUAUAUUUGAUCAAUAGGUGUUUUAGCAAACAAUAAGUAUUAAAUCAUAAUUGUCUUUUAAAUUAUGAUUCAAAUAAGUUAUGGAAUUAAUUUUGAUCCAAGGAUCUAAAAAAAUAUAAGAUUACAUUAGUGUAAGUUGAUCCCUAUUAUAUAUAUAUAUAUAUAUAUGUUUUUUUUUUACAAAAUUGAUAUAUAUAUAUAUAUAUACACGUGUGUUUAUAUAUAUUUAUGUGUAAAAAGUAUAUGUUUAUAUUAUAAACUUUUACGAUUAUAUAUAUUUAUUCAAAUAAGUAUAAUGAUAGAAAUAUCACUUUUAAGUUAUAUAAUACAAUAACAAAACAAGUUUAAUAAAGAUGGUUUUAGGUUAAAUUGGAUUUUACCUAAUUGAAAACUUGCCAAUUUGCCAUUCGCAUAAGUUUACCGACAAAAGAGAUUAAGAUUAGGAAAAGAAAAUUUAUAAAUACUGAAAAUUAAACCUUAUUUUACUAGAAUUCACUUUUUAAGAGAGAUAAAUAAACCAUUUGAGUAAAGCUUUAUGUUUUUAUUUUAAUUCACAUACAUAAACNNNNNNNNNNNNNNNNNNNNNNNNNNNNNNNNNNNNNNNNNNNNNNNNNNNNNNNNNNNNNNNNNNNNNNNNNNNNNNNNNNNNNNNNNNNNNNNNNNNNNNNNNNNNNNNNNNNNNNNNNNNNNNNNNNNNNNNNNNNNNNNNNNNNNNNNNNNNNNNNNNNNNNNNNNNNNNNNNNNNNNNNNNNNNNNNNNNNNNNNNNNNNNNNNNNNNNNNNNNNNNNNNNNNNNNNNNNNNNNNNNNNNNNNNNNNNNNNNNNNNNNNNNNNNNNNNNNNNNNNNNNNNNNNNNNNNNNNNNNNNNNNNNNNNNNNNNNNNNNNNNNNNNNNNNNNNNNNNNNNNNNNNNNNNNNNNNNNNNNNNNNNNNNNNNNNNNNNNNNNNNNNNNNNNNNNNNNNNNNNNNNNNNNNNNNNNNNNNNNNNNNNNNNNNNNNNNNNNNNNNNNNNNNNNNNNNNNNNNNNNNNNNNNNNNNNNNNNNNNNNNNNNNNNNNNNNNNNNNNNNNNNNNNNNNNNNNNNNNNNNNNNNNNNNNNNNNNNNNNNNNNNNNNNNNNNNNNNNNNNNNNNNNNNNNNNNNNNNNNNNNNNNNNNNNNNNNNNNNNNNNNNNNNNNNNNNNNNNNNNNNNNNNNNNNNNNNNNNNNNNNNNNNNNNNNNNNNNNNNNNNNNNNNNNNNNNNNNNNNNNNNNNNNNNNNNNNNNNNNNNNNNNNNNNNNNNNNNNNNNNNNNNNNNNNNNNNNNNNNNNNNNNNNNNNNNNNNNNNNNNNNNNNNNNNNNNNNNNNNNNNNNNNNNNNNNNNNNNNNNNNNNNNNNNNNNNNNNNNNNNNNNNNNNNNNNNNNNNNNNNNNNNNNNNNNNNNNNNNNNNNNNNNNNNNNNNNNNNNNNNNNNNNNNNNNNNNNNNNNNNNNNNNNNNNNNNNNNNNNNNNNNNNNNNNNNNNNNNNNNNNNNNNNNNNNNNNNNNNNNNNNNNNNNNNNNNNNNNNNNNNNNNNNNNNNNNNNNNNNNUGAGGAAAUUUUUACCAGGAAAAAGAAAAGAAGAGGGGGAAAAAUUGAUUGAAAAUCCCAUAACUUUAAACCCCUUUUGACAACAAUUUUCUUUUAUUUUGCUUUUCUAUGUUAAUUGCUUUGCGUAUCUUUCUUCAAUCAGUUUAUAAUUCCAAAAAAUUACCAAAUUGGGGAAUCGAUCAUUUGUGUUUUAGUGCAAAGGAAAGCCCGAUUUCGGUACUAAUGGACCCAGCCAUGUAAGAAAAACUGUGUCUUUUGACCCAAUAGGCCUAUCAAUACCGGUAAUUAAUUUUGCUUUUUUUGUUGGUUAUUAAUUUUAUUUAUAUGUAUGAAUUUUUUUUUACAUUUUUUUUUUGAAAAACAAACAUUUUUAGAGCCCAAAAUUCGUAUUUUUGUUUUUCGAGGUAUUAGUUUUUCUUUUCCUCUAUGAUUGUUACUUUAUUGUUUUUGUUUGAUCAAUGAAAGAGGAUUUUUUUUGUUAAUUAAAUUUAUUUUUAGAAAAUUUGAAUUAAAACAAUUAUAUAAAUUUCAAAACUUAAUAUAAAUUUUGAAAUAGAAUUAAAACAAAAUUUAAUUAUACUUAAAUUCAUGAAUUUUUUUUUAUACAUAAAAAGUAUGCCAUCUAUUGUGUAUUAUAUACCAAAAAUAUAUAUAUUUUUUUUGUAUAAUGGAAAGAGUAAUAAUAUUGUGUUAAAUAUCUUUUUGUUUUCUUAAUAAAAAUUUGGAUAAGGAGUGAAAUUAAUUUUAGUAAAAUUAAAAAUAAAGACAAUGAUAAAAUUAAUUAUUGUAGUAGUGAAAUUAAAUAUGAUAAUUGUAAAAUUAAAAUUAAAGAUGAAAUAUAUCUUAAAUACAAACACAAAGAUGACAAUAAAUUUAUAUUUUAGCCUGAAUUCAAUGGCAUUGAGUAAGGAAUCUAAAUGGGCCUAAAUAGUUUUUUAGAGAUGAUCUAAUUUUAAAUAGACAUCAAAUUAUUCUUAAUUUAAUAUUACUUUCUAUUUUUAAGUAUUGAACAAUUUGAACAUACAGCAACUUCAUUUUCAUUGAGUUUUAUUUAUAUGUAUUUUUAAGAAAAUUGAAGUCACUUUUUCAGUUUUUUAUUUAGUUCCUCACCAUUGCUUUAUUACAAUAAAAAUUAUGUAAUUUAAGAAUAAAUAAUUAUUCUUAAAUUACAAAAUUUUUAUUAUGAACGUACACAUUUGAAGGCAUAGAUGGUAUACUUUCAAAAAAAUAUUUGUAUUGUUAUUAAUAACUAAUGCGUUCAUAUUAAUAUUCAUAUACGUUAGCAUUAAUGUUUAUGUUAUCAAAUUAUUUAUUUGCAAAGUUUGAUUCAAUUAUUAAUAACAAAGCUCACAAUUUAUAUCAUAUUUUGGUCAAAUUUAUUUUUAAAUGAGUAUAUUGUAUUUGUAACAUAUAUUAUAUAGAUCGUAUAUAGGAUUUAAAAUCAAUCAUAAUUACUAUAUUUCUAAUAAUAAUUAAUAUUAAUUAAAUUUUUUACUUUUAUUCACAUUAAUUUUAUUAUUGUUGAUAUGAUUUUCGUAUUUAUUCAUUUUUUUCCAAUGAAAUCAUUAUUCAUUUACUUAUAUAACAAAGUUAAUAGGAAUUUUAUAACAUAUUACUUAAUUACAAUCUUUUUUAAAAAUUAUAUUUUUGAAAAAGUUCAAAUAGCUAUUUUAUUAUUUAUUUCUCCCACACCCUAUUUUCCCUCUUUCCUUUUUCUCUAUUCAAUUUUGUGAUGCCAUUCAAUUAACUGGUUGAACUUUAAUAAUAUGUAUAGAUAGAUAAAAAGAAGAAGAUAGGAUACAGAGAAGUUGCUGAAAUUUUGAGCACCAGUCAUAGUUACAGUAUAUUAUGCACAAAAAAUUAUCAUUGUACAAAAGGAAAAAGGGAAGUAAAGGAGGAAAUCUCACAUUCAAUAUAACCUCAAAAUAUUAUUUAUCAAUGCUUCUUAAUUUUGUAUUAUUAUUAACAUUGAAUUUGCUGCCUUCAAAAUCCAAAUCACUCUGGUGGCUCCAGCAGUGAGGAGAUGAGAUGAAUGAACCAAGCAGCGGGCCGUAACUGGCUUCUCUUUUAUCUCAUCUUCUUGAAAAUCAUCUUUUUUUUUUUUUUUUUUUUUAUGUUCCCUUAACUAAAACCCCAAUAAUUGCUUUCACUUACUGUUAAUGUUUAGCUCUUAUGAUGGUAACUUCAGAGCCAUAGUUGUAUGAACUAAAGACAGGUUCAUUUGGUUUAGGAAUCCGAAUGUGGUGCUGUCCAUAGCAUAGAAAGCAUUCCCUUGAGAACUUCAAUCGAAAAAGGUUAUUAAAAUAACUUAGCAUACUAAACUUCCACAAUGAUAUAGAACUCUUUUGUAUUUUUUACGACUAAAAUUUUUUAAACAUUUUGUGCAAUGAGGUUAAUGUUUUCUUGUUAAUGCUUACGUUUUAGAUUAGGCAGGGGAUUUGAACAACAAGAAUCCAUUCCAGGGAGCAAGAAUACAGGCUAGAUGAUCAGGAGAAGCUUCUAGCGGCAAAUGUCUUAAGCACUAACUUAAGAACACAGGCAAUGAGGCUUUCAUCAACCCCAAGUCAUCAAAUAUCCUCCACCCGCACAAAACUUCCAAAAUAAAUGCCGAGCUAAAACUCAAAACAGGCUAAAUUGAAAAUUGCAGAAGGCUUGACAAAAUGACCAGUGAUUCAAAGCAUAUCAUGUCUUCAGAGGUCCAUGAUUUCUGACAUGAAUUGUUCAAAGAAGAGGAUUGGCUGCCAAGAUGCAUGGAGUUUAGUCCCUGAAAGUAAAAUGUAAUUAGAUGUUUUAAGAGAAAGUGGGGAAAAUAUAAUCAAGAUUUUAUCAUUCCUUUAUGUCCAAAAAAAGAUUCAAUUAUUUGAAUUUUAUAACUUUAUUUAUUAACUAUGGAUUAGUAGUUAUAUCAGAACAAUGCUUGGCAGAUCAUUUUGUAUAUUUGACUGUAUAUCUAGUAAUGAAUGACCAUUUCUCCUAUUUGAUAGAGAACAAAUUACCGAAAGGAUUUACUUGAAUCAUGAAGAUGUGAGUAUAUGUAGGUCAUCAUCCAAGCAACCAAGGUACUCUCUUGGUAGUGGUCCAUGGUGGAUACCUGAUGCAAUUUUCAGUCCUACCUUGGGUGGUUUUCACUUUCAAAUGUGAGUCAUUAGUACCUCUUUCAUGCAACGACUUGAAGUUGAGAGGGAAAGGCCAUUUGCUUGUGCCUGGACAUAUGAUGCAGCUGAAGCAGCAAUUAUGUAAGUAACAUCUACGCGGAAUAAGCCUUUAUUCAGAAAUCAUAUGCUUUUCCGAACUGUAUUCUGGCAAUCCAUGCUUUCUUUUCCAAGAAAUAUGUUGGCCCUGGUAUCUUCUCAAACCAUUGGCCUGAAGCUGAGAAACAAAAAUCAAGGCUUUUAUACUCAUAAGCUCUAUUUUAUAGAACUAUAGCUUACAAGAAAACAUUUAUUUAUUUAUUUAUUUUUACUGUGUGUGGUGAGUGCGGAAGCAGAGAAACAAUUGAUGAUUUUGGAUUAACAUGAAGAAAAUACUCUAAAGUAAUUAGCUAUAAAAUGUUAGGGAAAACCUAUCAAUUGGCAGUACAGAUGCAUUCCUGGAUCUCUUAUAUGAAAAUAAGCCACGUCGGAUAAAAGGGCAGCAACAAAAAUGAUUUUGGCUUCGAAGAAUAACACCUACACCAGAAAUCUUGAAAAGGACUCACACUUCAUCUCCAUUUGCAUCAUGAUCAAGGACUCUGUCUCAACAAAUUUCUCAACAAAUCUUGAGAUUUCCACCCAAUUCUCUAUUCUCUUGUUCAUUAUUUCAGGCUCAGUCACUGCUCUACAUGCCAUGUAGCUUGGUUUAGACUUCAGAUUCCUAAACUACAAAAUGGUAAAAAAAUUACUGAUAAUGAACGGCCUAAACGAAAGUUGAUGAAGAAUGACAAUGCUACAAGAACAAAUAUGACAUGAUAAUGAAUUAUUAGGCAAUCAGAUAGAACUUUUUAGAUAGACCAACCAUGCAAAAUCGGAAAUAUACCACAAUUAGUAACAACACAUUUGGGUUAUUAACUAUUCCAAAAUGCUUACUUGUUGAGACUGAAAAUUGAAUUCUGAUGGAAUCACCUUGAUCUUCUCCUAUUCCUUUUGUAGCAGUCAAGCCAUUUGUUUCCCAUCUCAUUCAGCACUGUAUAUCCAAUAGAUAAUCCAAUCACCAAUCCACAUGCAUACCCAAUCAAUACGAUUCUCCAAUCAGAUAAACCAUCUAGCCAUGAAUCUACAUCUUCCAUUGGAGGAGGCAUUGGAACAGCAGCUCCAUUGCAUUUCCUUGUCAAAGGUGGCCCACAUGAUCUUGGGUUCCCUUUGUAAGAAUCGUUCGAAAAUGUACCGAAUUGAUUGCUUUGCUGUAUGCUUCCUUCAAAGGGAAGCAUUGACAUUUCAAACAAUGACCAUCUGAUGGAAGAGUAAAUAAAGAAGAAUGUAUUGAUUCAGAGAGGCGGUUCCCCGACAAAGAAAGAUGCAAGAUUUGAAACUCCAGAUCCAUGAAAUGCUGGGAUAAAAUCACUGAAAUUGUUAUUAGAUAGAUCCAGUUGCACAAGGUUAGUAAGAUUUGCAAUUGAUGAUGGAAUUUGCCCGGAGAAAUUUGUAGUCAAAAUCGAUAAGAUCCGUAAAGCAAUGUUUAACAAAAUUCUGGCAACUGACCCAUCAGAUGGUCAUUGUUUGAAAUGUCAAUGCUUUGUAUUUUGGCAAUGAAAGAACUUUUGUUGGAAAAUACACACUCAAAUUGCAAUUCACUAAACUGAGAGAAACCAAACUAGAGGAAAUUUCCAAGAAAUUAGGAGGCAAAUAAGAGAUUGGAUUCCAACCAAGGAAAAGUUUGGAAAGAAAGAUAGUCUUGAGAGUGAAGAACAAAAUGCACUUGUCAAAUUACAUUUCGAUAGACUUAAAAUAUGCAAGUUAGGAAGUGCUAUGGAUGUGGCUUCACACCAUUUACUACUUUGAGUUGAAAUGUUCACACUAUCUAGACGUUUGCAAGGGGUCUUAAAUUUUGGAUUAAUGUCUUGAAGUUUGGGUUUUCUAGUUUUAGAGGUUGUUGAAGUUCAAAAGGCAAUGGAUAGUAGUAGAAGUUAUUGUAUGGAUGGAGAAUUUGGUUAUACCGUUGAUAGCAAGAAUCUUGAUUAGAUAAAUCAAGAGAGACUAACCUUGUUAAGUAUGAAAUCUCCACUAGAAUUUUGCUAUGAAAACAUGAGUUUGAAAUGUCAAGAUGAGUAAAAUUUGAGAAUCUGUCAAACUCAUAUUGAAGCAGAGUGAUAUUAAAAUUGUUCCCAACAAAAUUAAGGUAUUGAAGAUGAUGAAGAUUGAAAAUGGAGUGAAAGCUACCAAAAAGGUUUUUGUAACUGAAAUCGAGCUCAAUCACAUGACCAGAAGCAUCGCAUGUAAUUCCUUUCCAAUAGCAACAAUCUAUAUUGGGAUCCCAAAGCUCAACUUUGGAAGAGAAAGUAAAAUUUGGGGCAUAGUUUAUUCUUACAUUACAUUACAUUCACAUUUUCUGCCCAACACUUGGCAACAGUAUCCUAAAUAAUGUUGAAGACAAAUGGACAGGUGAUCAUCUUCAAACCGAUUUGUCUUUUUUUUUUUUUAUAAUGAUUAUUUAUUUAAUUAACAUUAAUGUCUAUGUACGCGAGCAUAUAAUUAAAUCUAUUAAGAAGAAGUUUUGGAUUUAUAUAUGUAUGCUGAAAGCUAUUUGAACCAGAAAUAAAUUUUAAAAAAUAGUGCAAGAAAAUAUCAUUAAACAAUGCAUGGGUUCAAUCCUUUAAGGGCAUUCAAAUUGGAAAUUGAUCAAGCAAUUCCUGAAGAAAUGCACUCUUUGAUAUUUUGUGUAUCCUACCAACUACCACAUUUUUCCAUUGGAGACAAGAGAGAGUUCCAAUCUAUCAUAAUCAAAACUUGAUGUAUCAGCUAGAUAUAUCAUGUUUAUUGUUGUGGAAGUUACAAGCAAGUUCUUUUUAAAAAUAAUAAAAUAUAACCACAUAAAGUUCUUGCAAUACUUUUAAUUCUAAAUAAAAAAAGACCCAAUGUUAGGAUAUUUUAGAUGUAUACCAUUAUUUCUGUUGCCCUCUUGCAUCCACAGGCAUGGUUUCUUGAUUUUGCAAAAAUAUGGAGCCCAUUUUUUUUUAACUUGAAACUAUUAAAAAUUAAAUUUUAUUUUUUUACUUAAAACUGUUAAAAAUUAAAAUUUAAUAUUUAAAGCAUCAAAUAUUUUAUAAAUAGAUUACAAUUUUUAUUGACGGAACACAUUAUUUCAAGAUAAAUUAAUAAUCUAAAAAUAUGUCUUUGUUGAUUUCAAAAACCAUAAUAUUCGUUUUUUUAGCUUAGUACUAAGAGAGUGAUUUAAACGUGUAUGAAAGGGUUGAAUAUGCAACCUAUUCACUUAUCAAAUCUUAUUUAACGAAUUUGAUGAUUACUUUGCAGAAUGUUUAGCCACACAAUGUUUUUAGUCUCACAUUUUGCUUGAAAUGUAGAGAUUAUGAUUAAAAUCCUGUUACGAAACAAUCAAUUAAUAAACUAAUCAGCCUGUCAAGAUAAAAAAUCUGACCGGCCGACUGACUAACUUGUAAUAAUGAAUUUGGUCAAUGCAUUUUCUUUUUCUUAUUUUUAAGUACAAAUACUUAAUUACUAUGUAUUAAUUGAUGAUAAAAUUUAAAUAUGAUAAUACUAAAUACAAUACAGUCAUAUAAUUCAAAAUAAAACAUAAAAGCAAUACAAUUCAAUAUGUAAACAAAAAUUAUAUGAGUUCAAUAAAAAUAAAAAUAUAUAUUUUAUAUUUGAUUUGUUAAUAUGAAUUAUGACAUAAUAAUUUUUUUAUUUUAUAUAUUUAAUAUAAAAUAAAUAUGACAUUAAUACAUAAAUGAGCAAAUCUAAUACAUAUCCUAGUUUGCAGGCAAAUUUUGUUUUUAGUUUUAAAAGCAAUACUAAAUUUAAAAAGGCAAUGAGACGCUGAAAGUUGAAACCUUCUUGAAUUAAAUUUCAAAUGAAAUUACUUAAGUCAAAUAUCAUUUAGUGUAGAGAUAUAAUAUAUGUAUAUAUAUAUGUAUAUAUAUCACACUUAUAAUGCAAGAGGGUAUUUAAAUAAUUUUUUUUGUUUAGGCAAUUAACUACAGCUCAAAGAAUCGACAAAAAAACUUCGGAGUUUUUAAGUAUUCUAAAAUACUUAUCAAAUGACUUUGAAACUUGAAUUUUGAUGGAGUCACCUAAAAGAUUUUCUCCAUUUUCGAUUCCGGUUCCAUGUCAACCUGUCAAUCCGUUUGUUUCCCAUUUCAUUCAGCACUGUAUAUCCAAUAGAUAACCCAAUCACUAAACGACAUCCGUACCCAAUCAAUACGAUUUUCCAAACAGAUAUACCAUCUACCUAGGAAUCUUCAUCUUCUUAGGGUGUGGCAUUCCAAGAUCAACUUCAUUGCGUUUCCUUGUCAAAGGUGGCGCACACAAUCUUGGGUUCCCUUUGUAAGAAUCGUUUGAAAAUGUAUAGAAUUGUAGCUUUGUGGUAAGCUUCCCUCAAGUUGGUUGUAAGAGAGAUUCAAUACUUCACUGCAAGUUAGGCUUGUAAGCUGUGGAGGAAUCUUUCCAGAGAGUUUGUUCUGGGAGAGGUUCAACGACUCAAGCUCAGUUAAGUUUACAAGUGCUAAAGGGAUUGGGCCAAGGAAGCUGUUGUAGGACAAGUUUAGCGCGUUGAGUGACUAGAGGUUUUGUAUUUCUUCCGGUAUUCUCCUAUGGAAACUAUUAUUGGAAAGGCCAAGACAAGCAAAAAUGGUUAAGAUUUUCUUGUAAAAAAUUUCAAACCCUUUAUUUACAAUUGUCGUAGAGUCCUGGUAGUACUUGUCUCCAAUGUAAUUAUUAAGAAACGAAAGAUUUGAAACUCCAGAUAUAUGAAAAGGAGGGAUUAAGCCACUAAAAUUAUUAAUUGCUAAACUCAAUUUCACAAGAUUUGUAAGAUUUGCAAUUGAUGAUGGAAUUUGUCCAAAGAAACUGCAAUUAUGGAGACUUAAAAUUGUCAAAAAUUUGAGACUACUAAUUGAGUCUGGUAGUUUUCCACCGAAAUUUAUAGAAAAAAUCCUUAAGAUCCGUAAAGCAUUGUUUAAUGGAAAUUCUGGCAACUGACCUUCAAGAUUGUAAUUUUUUAAAAUGUCAAUGCUUUGUAUUUUUGGCAAUGAGAAAACUUUUGUUGGAAAAUGUCCACUCAAAUUACAAUUCAUUAAAUUGAGAGAAACCAAAUGAGAGGAAAUUUUCAAGAAAUUGGGAGGCAAGUAAGAGAUCGAAUUCCCACGAAGGACAAAUUGGGAAAGAAAAGGAAGUUUUGAGAAUGAAGAACAAAAUGGCCCUGUCAAACCAUAGUUUGAUAGACUUAACACAUGCAGGUUAGGAAGAAUUAUGGAUGUGGUUCACACCAUUUAGUACUUUGAGUUGAAAUGUUCACACUGUCCAGGUAGAGCUCUGUAAGAGGUUUCAAAAUUUGGAUUAAUGUCUUGAAGUUUGGGUUUUUUAGUUUCAGAGGUUGUUCAAGUUGAAAAGGCAGAUGGUUUGGAUCAAGAAUUUGCAAAUAUCUUAGAUAGAAAGAAUCUUGAUCAGAUAGAUCAAGAGAGACUAACUUUGUUUCGUAUGAAAUCCCCACUGAAAUUUGGUCAUGGAAACAUGAGUUUGAAAGAUUGAGAUGAGUUAAAUUUAUGAGUCUAUCAAACUUAUAUUGAAACAUAGUGAUAUUAAAAUUGUUUCCAGCAAGAUUAAGACGUUGAAGAUGAUGGAGAUUGAAAAUGGAGUGAAAGCAGCCUGAGAGAUUUUUGUAACUGAGAUCAAGCCCAAUCACAUAACCAAGAUCAUCACAUGAAAUUCCUUUCCAGGAGCAACAAUCAGUGUUGGGAUCCUAGAGCUCAACCUUGGAAGAGGAAGUAAAAUUUGGGGCAUAGUAAAGAUCAUGGUGCAAUUGCAGGAGAGCAGUGUUUUGGUCAUCAAGGCACUGGUUUUGAAGAUCAGUAGGAGAACACUAAAAAGAUAGAAUAAGAGAGUACAAAGCAUGAAAGAGAAAUAAGGUAGGCAAAAGAGUGAAAUCAAAGAUACGAAGAUUAUAUUGCUAUUGCCGAAUCCUUUUUUUCGAAGUUAAGUUACUAAUUUAAAAAAAAAAAAUGUGUUUUGUUGAUUUCAAAAAUUAUAAUAUUCCUUUUUUUUUUUUACACUUAGUACUUAGAAAGGUGAUCUUAACGCGUAUGAAGAGUUGAAUGUGCAACAUUACUCACUCAUCAAAACACCCUAUUUACAUAAUUUGAUGAUUACUUUUUAGAACGAUUAGCUAUACGUAAUAUUUGUAGUCUCAGAUUUUAGCUUGAAUUGUAGAGAUUAUGAUUAAAACUUGUUAGAACAGGCCAAUGAAUAAACUAAUCAGCCUGUUAAGGAAAAAAAAAUCCUGGACGGCGGCCGAUUGCACCUACUUGUAAUAAUGAAUUUGUUGGCUAUUAAUUUUAAAGUCAAUGCAUUUUUUUUCUUAUUUUAAGUACAAAUACUUAAUUAUUAUUUAUUAAUAGUUAAAAAAAAUUAUAUAUGAUGAUGUUAAAUAUGAUAUGGUAACACAAUUAGAAAAAAGACACAAAAACGAUAUAAUUAAAAUUUUAACAAAAGUCAUUUGAGUUUGAUAAAAGAAAAAACCUAAAAAUUAAAUUGUGUUUAAUAUAUUAAUAUGAAUUGUGACAUAAUAACUUUUGUAUUUUAUAUAUGUUCAACGUAAAUAUACGAAUUUAGUAGAUCUAAUAAAAAUGUCAAUUAAAAUUGGAUCAAGAUUUUUUUUUUUGAAAAUAGAGUUAUGUUGAAAACGCAUUUAAAGUGUUUUACUCUAUCUUGUUAUCCACAUGAUAUCUCUAUCUUGUUUUUAAAAAAACUUCCAAUUUUUGGGAUUUUCUUUUUUUUUUUUUUAAUUUUUUACUUUUAGUUUUUUAUCAGAUAAAUUUUAUAAUAAAAAAGUUAAUUAAAAUAGAGGUGACAAAAUAACCUUUAUAUGAUGGGUUUCAAUUGAUUCCUAUUCAAUAGGUGCAUAUUCUUUUAAUUUGAGAUAAUUGGAUUGAGCACUUUUUUAAAUCGAGCUCCAGAAAGAAUAAGAUUUUUAAUAUUACGUUUUCAGCUUGAAUGUGUAUAAAAAAUAUAUUUUUUAUUAUUUAUUCAUUCUAUAUUUAUAUAUAUUUUUAUUAAAAACAUAUUAUUUAAUAUUUUAAUUUAAUAAAUUUAUUUGUUUUAUUACAAUCCAAUUGAUAUGAUUUUUUUAAAAAUAAAGAUUGAGUUAAGUUUUAUUUCUUUAUAUAAUUUAGAUCAAGUCAAAAUCAGUUUUAAUAUAUUCUGUCUUGAAUCUCUUUUGGAUAUAUAAAAGAAUAUAUUUUAUUAUUUAUUAAAUUUAAAUUUAAAUUUAUUAUAUUAAUAAAAAUAUUAUUUAAUAUCAUAAUUUAAUAAAAAACUAUAUUUAUAUAAUUAAGUUGUAAUUUAUAUUGAAAAAUAAAUACAAUUACAUUUGUCUAUUUGUUAUCAUCUAUUAAAAUUUGACAUAAAAAUUUUUCUUUGCUUACGUUUAAGAUAUAAUUUAAAAAAUAAAAAAUAAUAUUGUGACAAAACGUGGAUCUAAUUUUAAUGAAAGUAACAAUUAUAGAAAAAAAAAAUGCUUCUUCACUCUUUGGAAAAUUCAAUGGUUUCAACUUACAAUCAUAAUUGAAAGUUAAAAGUGAUUUGUUUUCAAGAGUAUUUUUAGCCAUAUAUUUCUAUUACCUAAACUUCGUAUGUUGGUGCAAUAUGCACCAUGCAAAGAUAUCUUUUUCUCUCUCAAUACCGUAAUAGAUUUUUUUUAAGUGUUUACUUAUAAUAUGUAUAAAAAAUUAUAAAUAUAAUUUUGAAAUAAUAUAUUAUUAUAUUAUUAUAAUUAUUUGAAGUUUUUAUAUUUUGAAAAAAAUUAUAAUUACAUUAUUAUUAAUAUUAUCAAAUAUAAAUUAUAUAAUAAUUAAAUAAUCAAUCAAUCAAAAAUAAUUGUUAAUAUUAUUAAAUUUAUUUGGAUGAAUUUAUUAAUUUUGUCGGUAGAAAUGAUGUUUAGAGAAAAAUUUUAAAGAUGUCUUUUAAUUUUAUUUUUUAUUUUUUAAUAUUUGAAGUGUCUAUGAACAUUGUACUCCAACCUUUGCAUCCACACUGUAUACAAAAAACAAUUGAUACCCAUGUAUAGGAUGAUGAUCAGCUAUCACCGUAGGGAUAUCCAAGAAUUCUGCCUUUGUUAGAUCAAAAGCAGUGAUGUACUCAUGUUUUUGUUUUGAACCAUUUACAAUUCCUUUUUAAUAAUAUGAUUUUAAUACAUCUUAAAUUACAAUAUGAAUAAAACUAAGUUAUUAAAUCACAUAAAAUAAUAAAUAAAAUUAAUAAUUUUCAUUGAUCCCAUUUCUUAUUUUGUAUGACUUGCACAAAUUAUAAUAAAAUAUUUAAUAUGAUAUUUAAAUUUUAAAAAAUUUUAAUUCGAUAUUUGAACUAAUCAUGUUAAAAAUAAGAAUCAAAUUAAUUAAUAAAUUUAUAAUUUAAAUAUCAAAUUAAAAAAUUUUAAAUUUUAAAUAUAAUAUUAAAUAUUUUAUUAUAAUUUAAAAUUAUUCAUAAUAUUAAUUUUUGUAAUAUUUUUAUGGGUAUGCUCUGCUACGCUACAACUUUAUUUAGAGGGAUCUUUUUCCGCCGUUAAAAAGUUGCUUAAAAAAAAAGUUGAGUGUGAACUAAACAUUUUUUAGCGAAAGAUUAAUUUUACGUUGAUGAAAAUAUUAGAGACAGAGCCUUAAAAGGGCAGUAUUUUUUUUUAUUUUUCUAAAUAUUCUUGAUUCUACCGUAUUUUUCCUUUUUUUUUUAAAUUCUUCAAAAAUUAAUUAUGGAUGAUGUUGGAUCCAUCGAUCAAACCAAUCAAACAGGUUAAAACAGUAACCAGAGGUUUUGAUUAUUGGUCCGAUUUAAAGCAUUGUGUCUAGCAAGUUGGACCGAUAAGAAAUCGGUUUGAUUAUUUAUAUUUUUAAGGAAAUUGAAGGUAUUAUUUCAGUUUUUAUUUAGUUCCUCACCAGUCACCAAGUCUUUGCUUUACCCCGUCAAGCUGAUCUUGACUUCAAAACAUCCUGUCCAAAAUUGAAGAUAGUGAUCCUGUCCAUAUAGUUUCUCCAUACUCACUAGCUUCUCCCAAUCAUUUUCUUGCUGCCAAGUUUUAUGAAAUGAAAGCUUCACAAAUCUGCUUUCAACCAAAUUGCUAUGUACAGCUUUAGAAUCCUCGGCAUUGGUGGAAGCUAUUUGCAGGGACUUUUGGUCAUGGAGCUCAUGCUUAUGGGUUAGACAUUGUCACCAGUACAAUCAAUAUUGUAGCAAAUGGAAUGUUUUUGAAGUAUGAUUCCAUUUUCUGAAUUGUUGCAGUACGCCCAUUUCAUUAUUGAUAUGAAGUCAUUAAGGAUUUUUUCUCUUAUUUAAUGGAUUAAGCAGGUAAUUAAUAUGUGUUUGCUUAUUAUUACUUGCUAAUUUUCCAUCUCUGAAGCUUCACUUCAAUCAGGAAAGAUCUUCGAGCCAAUUUUGCAGAUUGCAGAAGCACAUUUCUUUUGUUGAGUUUUUUUCCCUUUUUCCGUUUGAUUGCAUAUCAAACUCUACUCAGAAUUUUGGUUUCUAAACAUCAAAACUGGGUUUCAACAGAGAUAAUUUGCAACUUGCAUCAAAUUAAGACAGUAGUAGCAGACACUUUAGAUUAAUUGAUUGUCACACUACAUUUUUCUACAAAUCAAAACACAUUAACUAAUUGUAUUCCCCAUUGCAUACUAAAAUCAAUUAUUUACAUUUAAAAAAAUCAGCAAAUAAGUCGUUUCCGCUACAGCUAAUAAUUCAAAUGUGCACAUAUAUAUUUGACAACAAAUGUACUGUAAUCAGGGGAAAAGUUGUAACAUGUAAAUUGACGAUGGCACUUACAAGAAGAAAUAUAAAUCCCAUGAAACAGAGGACGCUAAAACUGGAGGAAAGAAGCCUGCAUAAUGCCUUUUCAUACCCUGCAUGACAAACCCACUAAACUUUUAGCAUAUAUCAAAAGAAAAACAACAUACAAAAGAGAAACGUUAAUCUCCAAUGAAAGCGAGAAAGACCUCAACUUUACAUGAAGAGAAAAGAAAAAUAAAGAGCCUAAGCCUAAUUAAAUGAAAAAAAAAAAAAAAAGAGAAAAAAAGUGCGAACCUCUAAGCGAGUAAUGGUAAAAAUGGCGUGGGCGGUGUUCUUGUAAAUCAGGAAAUUGGUGAGUCGACCAUCGUUAACUAUUUGAAAACUCGAUCCAAUCAGCACCCAAAAAGACUGAAACUUUUUGUCGAAACUAUGUAUAUAUAAAGAAAGAGACGGAAGAAGAAGAAGAAGAGGAUAACCUUGAAAUCUCGUACGGUCGAUGUCCAGAGGGUAAAUCGCUGCAACGGUGGCGAAGCCCGCCACUGCACCAGCGGUUGCGUUCUCCCAUUGCCACGGUGAUUGUGACAUUUCCUUUUGAAAAAAUAAUAAUAAUGAAGGGGAACCGGCCGUUUCUGUUAAUGUGCAUCAAAUUAAGACAGUAUCUUUACUUAUAUCGUUAACUCUUUCAUUAUUCAGUCUGCAAUUUCUUUUGGAAGCUAACAAAGGGCAAAAACGUAAAGUAAAUGAAGACGAAGAUGAAGACUCCAGAAAUGGCACAUCUCCGUUACACAAUCAGAAAAAGGCUUUGAAGCCUGACAAUAAGCUAUACUUUUCGACUGGAUCCUCCAGGAGUGCUGCUCUCAAUGAAUCAAAUACAGAAUUUGACAAACCGAUUUUUCAAUUUGAGUCUUCGAAGGAACUUCAAGUUCAAAUUGAUAGCAGAGUACGGCAACCUUAGAAACUGAGACUGAGUUUACAUAAGAUGCUCGAGCUAUACGUGAGAAUGUUCUUAAACGAGCAGACAAGGCCAUGAAUCUACAUCUUCCAUUGGAGGAGGCAUUGGAACAGCAGCUCCAUUGCAUUUCCUUGUCGAAGUUGGCCCACAUGAUCUUGGGUUCCCUUUGUAAGAAUCGUUCGAAAAUGUACCGAAUUGAUUGCUUUAAUGUAUGCUUCCUUCAAAGGGAAGCAUUGACAUUUCAAACAAUGACCAUCUGAUGGGAGAGUAAAUGAAGAAGAAUGUAUUGAUUCAGGGAGGCGUUCCCCGAACAAGAAAGAUGCAAAGAUUUGAAAAUGCCAGAAUCCAUAUGAAAUGGCAGGGAUAAAAAUCACUGAAAUUGUUAUUAGAUAGAUCCGUUGCACAAGGUUAGUAAAGAUUUGCAAUUGAUGAUGGAAUUUGCCAGAGAAUUGUAGUCAAAAAUCGAAUAAGAUCCGUAAAGCAAUGUUUAAACAAAAAUUCUGGCACUGACCCAAUCAGAUGGUCAUUGUUUGAAAAUGUGGCAUGGCCUUGUUACUUUUGGCAACUGAAAGAACUUUUUGUUGGAAAAACAUACCACUCAAGUUGCAGAUUCACUAAACUGAGAGAAAACCAAACCUAGAAGGAAAUUUCCAAAAAUUAGGAGGACAAAUAAGAGAUUGGAUUCCAACCAAGGAAAAGUUUGGAAAGAAAAGAUAGUCUUGAGAGUGAAGAACAAAAUGCACUUGUCAAAUUACAUUUCGAUAGACUUAAAAUAUGCAAGUUAGGAAGUGCUAUGGAUGUGGCUUCACACCAUUUACUACUUUGAGUUGAAAUGUUCACACUAUCUAGACGUUUGCAAGGGGUCUUAAAUUUUGGAUUAAUGUCUUGAAGUUUGGGUUUUCUAGUUUUCGAGGUUGUUGAAGUUCAAAAGGCAAUGGAUAGUAGUGGAAGUUAUUGUAUGGAUGGAGAAUUUGGUUAUACCGUUGAUAGCAAGAAUCUUGAUUAGAACUAACCUUGUUAAGUAUGAAAUCUCCACUAGAAUUUUGCUAUGGAAACAUGAGUUUGAAAAGUCAAGAUGAGUUAAAUUUGAGAAUCUGUCAAACUCAUAUUGAAGCAGAGCGAUAUUAAAAUUGUUCCCAACAAAAUUAAGGUAUUGAAGAUGAUGAAGAUUGAAAAUGGAGUGAAAGCUACCAAAAAGGUUUUUGUAACUGAAAUCGAGCUCAAUCACAUGACCAGAAGCAUCAUAUGUAAUUCCUUUCCAAUAGCAACAAUCUAUGUUGGGAUCCCAAAGCUCAACUUUGGAAGAGAAAGUAAAAUUUGGGGCAUAGUUUAUUCUUACAUUACAUUACAUUCACAUUUUCUGCCCAACACUUGGCAACAGUAUCCUAAAUAAUGUUGAAGACAAAUGGACAGGUGAUCAUCUUCAAACCGAUUUGUCUUUUUUUUUUUUUUUAUAAUGAUUAUUUAUUUAAUUAACAUUAAUGUCAAUGUACCAGCAUAUAAUUAAAUCUAUUAAGAAGAAGAAGUUUUGGAUUUUAUAUAUGUAUGUGAAAGCUAUUUGAACCAGAAAUAAAUUUUAAAAAAUAGUGCAAAGAAAAUAUCAUUAAACAAAUGAUGGGUUCAAGCUUUAGGGGCAUUCAAAUUGGAAAUUGAUCAAGCAAUUCUGAAGAAAUGCACUCUUUGAAUAUUUUGUGUAUCUACCAACUACCACAUUUUUCCAUUGGAGACAAGAGAGAAGUUCCAAAUCUAUCACAAUCAAAACUUGAUGAUGCUGAUGAUCAGCUAGAUAUAUCAUGUUUAAUUUUGUGGAAGUUAGCAAGCAAGUUCUUUUCAAAAAUAAUAAAAUAUAACCACAUAAAGUUCUUGCAAUACUUUUAAUUCUAAAUAAAAAAAGACCCAAUGUUAGGAUAUUUUAGAUGUAUACCAUUAUUUCUGUUGCCCUCUUGCAUCUACAGGUAUGGUUUUCAUUAUCAUUUGAAACAUAUCAUUUUUUAAUGAAGGCUUUAAAAGAUCUAAAAUUGACAAGUAUGAUAUUUAAAUGAUUUACUAAUUAAAUGGGAGCUUGAAUGAUCCAACAGAUUAUAAAUUGUUGAUUUCAUAUAAAACUGUUUUAGUAUAAAGGAAGACUAUUACUUGAUUUAUCAUUUAUUAUUGAAGUAAUUAAGGAUGAUAAUGUGAUAUUAGCAAUAAAUAAUUGAUUUAAUUGAUACAUCUACCUUUUUUUUUUUUUUUCUGUCAAGGAGUUUUCUUUAAAGAAUAAAAUAAGGAAAGUAGGCCUUCGGAUCCCAGAACGAAUAAUAUAUCACAUAGCAAGUGUCGUUUAAUGUUGAUUCGUUGCAUCAACAAUAGCGCGUAUUCUACUCCUUUUCAACCAAAAAAGGGCAUGCAGUUGUCUUUAGAGUUGGGAUCGGCGGUCAGCUAUUGAAACUCUAUCUCCACUCCCAUGAAGUUCCAUGAGAGCAAUCCAAGAAGGAAAAAAAAAAAAAACAAAACAAAAUAGCAACAUCGUGCACUACAUCAAAUAUUGAGAUUAGAGUAGGAAAUAGGAGAAAAUGCCAUACACAUACUUUUUGAAUCAUAUAACUUCUAAUUUAUAUAAUUAAUGUUAUAGAUAAUGAAAAAAGGAGAGGGUGUUUACGUGCCACCCUACCCUUCCUCCAAAACUUUAAUUUUUAUUUACUUUUUAUUUAGUUUUUUAAUUUAUUUUUUUAAAUAAAUUUUGUAAAAAAAAAUAUGGAUGAUAAAAUAAUCUAUAUUUGAUUAAUUUUAAUUCGCAUCAAGUGCAUUUUUUUUAAAUUAAUAUUGAAUCGAGUUUUUUUUUCUUUUGGAAAAUAGGGUUAUUGGCUUGAAGAAUGAUUUAAAGUUUUCUACUCCAUCAACGUGGUACCUCUCUCUCUUGUUUUUUAGUUUUUAUUUUUUAAAACUUCUUAUUUUUUGGGGUUUCCUUUUUUCUUUUUCCUUUAUUUUAAAAAUUUUUUACUUUUAUUUUUUUAUUAGAUAAAUUUUGUAAUAAAAAAUUAAUUGACAUAGAGGUGACAAAAUAACUUGUAUAUAAUAUGUUUCGAUUUAUCCCAAUUCAAUUGGUGUGUUUCCUUUUCAUUCAGGAUAAAUGGGUUGAAUUUUUUUAAAAUCGAGCUUAGAAAAAAGUAACAUUUUUAGUAUUACACUUCGAUUUUGGUAUAUAUAAAAAAUAUAUAUUAUUAUUUAUUUAAUUCUAUAUCUAUAUAUGUAUUUUAUUUAAAAAAUAUUAUUUAAUAUUUUAUUUAAUAAAUUUAUGUGUCACUCCAUUUGACUUUUUUAGUCAUUUUCUUUAUUUUUUUAAAUUUUUAUUACAUAAAUUUUAUAUAAAAAAGUAAACAGAUGUAGGGAUAAUAAAACAAUCUAUAGGUUUUGAUUCGCUACAACCUAAUCGAUAAUUUUUUUUAGUAAGAAUUGAGUUUUCUUUUUUUGAACAAUUUAGGUCAAGUCAUGAUUAGAUUUGGAGUGUUUAAUUCCAAUUCUCCUCUGGAUAUAUAAAAAAAUAUAUUUUAUUAUUUAUUAAAUUUAUGUUUAUAUAUAUUAUAUUAAUAAAUAUACUAUUUAAUACUUAAAUUUAAUAAAAAAAAUAACAUUUAUAUAUGUUGUAAUUUAUAUUAAAAAAAUAAAUAUACUUACAUUUGUUUUGUCAUUCAUUAAAAUUUAUAUAAAAAUUUUACUUUUUUUCAUAUUUAAAAUAUAAUUUUAAAAAAUAAAAAAAUCCAGAUCUAAUUCUAAUGGAUGUAACCAUUAUAGAAAAAAAAAAGCUUCUUCGCUCUUUGGAAAAUUUAAACUUAUUCUUUUUCAAGACCAUUUUUCGCCAUAUAUUUCUAUUUCUGAAACUUCGUAUGUUGGUGCAAAACGCACCAUGCAAAGAUAUCCUCUCUCUCUCUCUACACAACAAAUGGAUUUUGUUUCAAAGCAUGCACUUAUAAUAUAUAUAUAUAUAUAUAUAUACACAUAUAUAUAAAUUAUAAACACAAAUUUAAAACAAUAUAUUGUUAUAUUAUUAUAUAUAUAAUUAUCCAAAGUCCUCACAUUUAAAAAAAAUUAUAAUUACAUCAUUAUUAAUAUUAUUAAAUACAUAAUUUUUUCAAUAUAUGUAAUUAAACAAUUAUUCAAUCAAGAAUCAUUAUUAAUACUAUUAAAUUUUAUUUUGAUAAAUUUAUCAAUUUUAUCGACAGAAAUAACAUUAAAAAAAUUUUUCGUUUAAAUUUUUAAAUUUUUUUUAAUAUUUAAGGUGUCUAUGAACAACAUACUUCAACCUUUGCAUCUGCCACUGUAUACAAAAACAAUUGAUACCCAUGUGUAUGACGAUGAUCAGCUAUUGGUGUAGGGAUAUCCAAGAACUCUUCCUUUGUUAGAUUAGAGGCAGUGACGCACUUAUGUUUUUGUUUUGAACCAUUUACAGUUCCUUCUUAAUAAUAUGAUUUUAAUACAUCUUAAAAUUACAAUAUGAAUAAAAUUAAGUUAUUAAAUUACAUAAAAUAAUAAAUAAAAUUACUAAUUUUCGUUGAUCCCAUUCCUUAUUUUAUAUGGUUUGGAUAGAAAAUAUAAUUUUUUAAUAAAAUUAAUAUCAUGAAUAAUUCUUAAAUUAUAAUUAAAUUUUAAUGUAAUAUUUAAAUUUAAAAAAUCUCUAAUAUAUAUAGUAUUUAAAUUAUGAAUUGUUAACUAAUAUCGUAUUUAAAAAGUUAUUUUAUUUAUUAUUUAUUAUCAUUUAAAAUUAAUUAUAUUAAAAAUAAAUGCUAUAUUAAUUAAUAAAUUUAUAAUUUAAAUGUCAAAUUAAAAAUUUUUAAAAUUUAAAUACUAUAAUAAAUAUUUUUUAUAAUUUAAAAACUAUUUAUAAUAUUAACCUUUCGUAAUAUUGCGAUAAGUAUGCUCUGCUCAUUCUUAUGCUACAACUUUGUGUUAAAAGACCCUUUUCCUCCGUUGACGAUAAAAAAAAAAUUGCUUAAACAAAAAGUUGAGUGUGGACUGAACUUUUUUUAAGAAAAAAUUAGUUUUACGUUAAUGAAAAUAUUAUAGAUGGUGACUCAAAAGGACAUUAUUUUUUUAAAAAAAUUUUCUAAAUAUUUCCUGAUUCAACCUUAUUUUCUCUUCUUUUUUUUUUGUUGAAAUUUCUUCAAAAAUUAAUUAUGGAUGACAGUGGAUCAGUCGGUCAAACCACUCAGACAAGUUAAAUCAAUGACCAGAGCUCUUGACUAUCGGUUUUAUUUUUAAAAAAUUGGGUUUAACAAGCCAAAGUAGUAAGGGAUCAGAUUCGAUAUUUUAAUAUUUAAUAUUAUAAAUUUUAAAAAAUUAAUUUAAAUUUAAAUAUUUUAAAAAUUAAAUUGAUGCGAAUUAAAUUUUAUUUGUUAAGUUUAAUUUAUUAAAUUUUUAAAAUGUACUCAAUAUCAUUUUCAUAUUAUUUUUUAAAUAUAUUUAAAUAUAAUAUAAUUAGUUUUGUUUUAUAAAAUAAAAAAAUUAUAUAAAAAUUAAUAAAAAUAUAAUAUGAUUUGAUUUGAAUUUUUUUUAUUACUUAAUUCAAUGAGUCAAAAAUCAACCCGAUUUGAAUUAAAAUAUUAAAUAUUUAAUUCCAAUCAAAUAAAAAAAUUAUUGUAAUUUUCAAUCAAUUUUUUAUUUCUCCAUUUUUUAAAAGAUUUUCGAUUUUAUUUUAUUUUCCAACGUUAUUGAAGCCAAAUUCUUCCUUAUUUAAGCUCAAUUUAAUUUAAUAAUAAAUGAACUUAUAAAUAAACAAACUCUUAAUAAAUUUAACAACACGUAUUCUAACUCAUUUUAAUUAUUUUUAUUGAACUUUAGCCGAACAUGAAAGAACUCGAACUUAAUGCUUAUAGCCCACAACCGUAGCUCACUAAGUAAUAUUCAUUGCUUAUUUUAAUUCUUAUGUUGACGUGGGAAUAUUAAAAAUAUGUUUUUAUUAUUUUAAACUUCAUUAAUAGAUUUUAUUUAAUUUGUAAGCAUAUAAAAAAAGUUAUUUUGUAAUAAUAUUUUUAAAAAAUUAAAAAAUAUUUUUAAUGAUAUAUAAUAAUUUAUAAAUUGAUAAAGAUAUUAAAUUUUGAAAUAAUUAAUUUAUAAUAUUUUAAAUAAAUUAUAAUUAAAUUUAUUCAUACACAUUAAAUAAGUUUGUUUGUAAAAAUAAAUAAAUUAAAUAGAUCUUUGUUAGUAUUUAAUUUAUUUAAUAAAUAAACAUAAAAAUAUUAUUUAAAAUUAUUUAUUAAAUUUAAUAAACAAUUAUAAAUAAAAAAAAUAUCAAAUAUAUUUAUGAAUGGUUCAUAAAAAAACUCUGUUGUUUACGUUGUGGCCUAUUACAUAAUUACUUAAAUUGUUUUAAACGCUUCACUUUUUUCUUACCCUUUUCUUCUUCUUCUUCUUCUUCUUCUUCUUCUUCUUCUGCUGCUGCUGCUUCUCCGUCUAGUAAGAGAAAGUGGAGACAACCAGUGGCUUCCUCAGUGCUAGAGCUUGGUGGAAUCAUAAUUGCUAAAGAAGGUAAAAAAUUGCUACUUUUUAUGAACUUGGUUUUGCUGUUAUAUGCUUUUAUUGACUGUUCCUUGAACUGGUCCAUUUCAGUAUUUGCAGAUAUUGGAUUCUAACUUUGACUAGUAAAUUAUUAUGCGUAAUGGGUAUUUUGUCCAGUACUUUAAUCUGGGUUGGGAAAGGUUAAUUGAAUUUAUAUGUUGGAGCUUUCAAAAUAUGCCCUUUGUUUGUGUUCAAAUUGUGUUUGAUAAGAAAGUUGGACUUAUGGUGUUUGGAUUUGAUAUAUUUUGGAAUGGAAUAUAAUUAUAAGAUGGUUAGUCUAGGUAGAUUACACCUUUCUUUGAGUAUCAUGAAUUGAUUGAAAGUGUCAGCAAUCAAAAUCUAUUAUUGAGUUUUUUGGUUUGAAAAUUGGCAUGGUAUAUGCUUUGAUAUUUUGUUAUUAGUGAAAUUUGAUUUACGACUUUCUGUUUUUUCAUAAUUUAUGAAUGAUUUAGUAUUUUUUGGAUGGUGGGAUUUGUAGAUGUGGUGAGGGAUGAUCGAACAAACAUUGCUCCGGACACAAUUUUUUCAAAACUGUGAAUGCAGCUCCAUAAAAGAAUAAUCAUCCUCUUGGGAUUCUGAAGAAUGGAAUAUAUGACUAUUUCAAUGCCAAUUACCCCAACAUGUUCUCUGGUUCAUAUUUUGUCAACCAAUCCUUCCUAAUUCACAUCUUUGCUGAAAGAAUAUCUUUUGUAAUUCCUUAAACAAGGAUUCAGAAAAUAUUGGAUCCCCACCUACACAAGAAAAUUGUUGAUAAAACUCUGAUAAGUUUGAUAAUCUCUGCCCAAUUGUUUCAGUAAAACUGGUAAAAUGUUUGUCCACUAGUGCCCUAUUUUUUUUCUUUUCCUCUUUUAUGUUCCUCUGAAUUGGCAAAUACUAUUGGAUAACAAAGGAACAGCUUUUGAGUUUAAAUAUUUUGUACAAUCAAUCUUGUGCUCUGUUUUAGAAUAAUUGGUCUAGGAUCUUUGAAAAAUUAAAAUAAAAAAGGUAUGUUAAUUUGUAUCCAUAUGGGCUUUCAUAGAUCACCAAAGGUUGUCUAUUAACUUGGGAUUACAUAUGUUACUAUGGAGGCUUGAACCUCUGUGUCUGAGUGUGGGUGGAUUAGUGAGUGCAAGGGAGUGAAUAUUUUUUAUCAAAUGUUAAGGUUAUAGAUAUUUCACUCUCCCUACAUAUGGCCCAUUAAAGCAUGUUGUUGUUCCACAAUAUAUGUAUACACAAUAUAUGUUGGAUCAUUUUAUUUAUUUUGGAUCCUUGGAUAAUGUUUUUAAGAAUUUUUUUUUAUAACAGUAAAUCUUCUUUUUGCUGAAUUUUGAUGAUGUACUGGUGCCUGCUGAUCAUGUAAGCGGUGGCUAUAAUGAUACAUAUUAUGUUGACUCUCAAACUGUACUGAGGUGUCAUACAAGUGCUCAUCAAGCAGACACGUUGAGAAUGGGCCACACUCAUUUACCUAUAACCGGUGAUGUUUACCUUAGAGAUUCUAUGGAUUCUACCCAUUACCCUGUAUUUCAUGAGGUUUCAUUUUGUUAAAAAUCUCUUUAAUUUUGAUUAGCUUUUUAAAAUUCUCUUCUCUUAGGAAAUUGUUCUGAGUACAUAGGAAUUUUGCUUCCCCUGCUACAUGCGGAGCACAGCCAUCUGUAUGUUGGGCCGUACAAUGUGCUCCUCAGUGGGUUAACAGGAUGAACAACUGUAUUCUUGAUGAAGGCCAUUAAACAUGCAAAGCUGUUUGAUGAAGGUCGAUUCAUACUAAUUGAGCAUUUAGCCUUUCAUGAGAGAAAGCUUGUCUUAUCUAGUUAUGACACCAGUUAGUUUGUUGAUCAUGUAUCAUUCAUUACCUUAAUUAAUAGUAAUAAGGAUUUUGACUCACUUAGUUUAAAACCUUCUUUCAAGCGAUUGAAGCAGCAGUUGUAAACAAUUUGAAGUUCAUCAUGCUUGAGGCAAGGAAUCUAUAAAACUUUUGCUCUUGUUUUUGUUAAGAUGACAGAUUCAAGCGAGCCCUAUUAUCCAGGAAAAGCACCUCAACAAUCUGAACUAGGUAAAAUUUGUUCCUUUUUUUCUUAUUCUUUUUAAAUGUAUAAAUGUAUAUUUACUUAUGCAGCUAACUCUUUGAUUAUUCAGUCUGCAAUUUUUUUCAGGAAGCCAAAGGGCAAAAACAUAAGGAAAAGGACAAUAAAUGAAGAUGAAGAUGAAGAUUCCAGAAAUGGCAAAUUUCUGUUGCACAAUCAGAACAAGGCUUUGAAGCCUGACAAUAAGUUAUACUUUUCAACUGGAUCCUCCAGGAGUGCUGCUUCCACUGAAUCAAAUCGAUUUUUCAAUUUGUCUUCGAAGGAAAUUCAAGUUCAAAAUGAUAGCAGAGCUACGGCAACCUUAGAAACUGAAACUGAGUUUACAAAAGAUGCUCGCACUAUACGUGAGAAAGUUCUUAAACGAGCAGAGGAGGCUUUGAAGGGGAAAAGCACAAGCUCUGGCAGAUAGAAGUUGUAUAAAGGAAUGCAUGGCUAUGUGGAUCAUAAGGCUGGGUUUCGAAGAGAGCAAACAGUUGCUAGUGAGAAAGCUGGUGGCUCACAUGGACCUCUUAGUGCUUCUGCCCACAUCAGGAUUUCAGCGAGAUUUGAUUAUCAGCCUGACAUCUGUAAAGACUACAAAGAAACUGGUCACCGUGGUUAUGGAGAUUCAUGUAAGUUUAUGCAUGAUCGUGGAGAUUACAAGUCUGGAUGGCAGUUAGAGAAGGACCAGGAAGAAGCAGAGAAAGCAAGGAAGAGAAAUCUGGCUUUGGGUGGCAAUGAUGAUGAUGAGGCAGGGUUAGACCAGAGUGAUGAUGAUGAUGAUGAUUCGUUGCCCUUUGCAAGUUUUAUUUGCCUGCAUCCUUUUGUGGAUCGUGUUGUUACUAAGUGCAAGCACUAUUUCUGUGAGCAUUGUGCUUUAAAGGUCCCCUCAUAUGCCCUUUCAUAUAGAGUAAUUUUAUUUAAUGUCUUUUUGUUCUAGGUUAAUAUCUAUUAGUUUUUGUUAUAUUUGUUGUGAAUGCAUUACUUAGAUGGUAAACUUUUUUGGUUACUGACAUACAAAGAAUAUUUUAUGUGGUCAAACUUUCUUUUUUUUUUUUUUUUUUCUGGUAUAGAAAUAGGACAUGUUUGCACUGUACUUCUUCAACUUUUGGUGUCUCAUGUCAAUAUGGUUUACAUUAUUAUUUUCAUUUGAAUGUAAACUGACCAAUUGCAUCUUUUGUUUUUCUUUUUUCAGCAUCAUGCAAAGAAUGCGAAGCGCUUUGCAUGCAGCCAACUCACCCUUGGCAUUUUCAACACUGCACAUGAGAUACGUAGACAGAUGGCUGAAGAGGGUAAACGAUAAGUCCAUUGAUGCUUUGCUUCAACUCCUGUUGCCAUGAACACUUUUAUUUCCGUGCUUGAGCUGGGGGAAUUUUGGAAUGAUGAGCCCUUUAGAAUCAUUGUUGCUGCAGGCAUGUGCAUUAGUAUUUAGGUAAGCAUUUUCUGCAGCAUUCCACAACUGACUUAUGAGUUGAGUGAUUGUAUUAAGCAGAGUAAGAAUUAGGUUUUUACAUGAAGUUGCAAGAGUUGUCGAAAACAACUGAAUGAGUAGACAAUUGUAAAACUUGUAAUUUAUAUACAAAACUGGCUUUCCUAAUAUGCCAACAAACCCUAUUGCUACCUUUUACCCAUGAAGUAGCGUUUCUUCUACCUUGAGAUAGCAGUCCAAUCCAGUAUUAACUUUCCAAGAAUCGGCAUCCAACUUCACAACCUUUGUAAUGGCCAAGAAUUCAACUUGAUCAGAUCAGAAUCCAGGUCUCGAUGACACAUACUGGUAGGAUCUAGGAUGUUACUUCAAAGAGUUUAAGAAUGUUGGAUUGCAGGUAGUUUCAAAUGGGUAGGGGGCUAAUGGAAGCUGAGAUUUUUUGUGCUGUCCAAAUCCAAGGCAUAGAAAACAUUAAUGAUCAGUUUUCUUCCUGGAAAAAUACAGUUCCUGCAUUCAAGACCCCAAAAAAAAAAAAAAGUGAAAUCAGCUAGCAAACCUAAACUUAAACUCAAGAAAUAUUAAUCUUUGGCUCUUAGCAGUAGUUGUAUAGACAAAAAAUUUUUAGCAUGACCUUUUGUUUCCUUUUUUCCCUCUAAAUUUUUCUGUUUUAGCAUGAGUUUUUUUUCUUUUUUCCCUGUAAAAUUUUAAAACGGCCAAUUCAUGAGAAUAAAGUAUUUUUCUAGUUGAUACUUACAGUUCUAGUUGGAGAUGGAUUUAAAAGAGCAAGAUCUUAGGGCUGCAUGGGAAGGACAGUUGUAUGAGAAAGCCUCUAGUGGCAAAGUCUUUAUAUAUGCGUAAUCACUCUGUCCAAUUUGGCUUUUGUCAACCACAAAGUCAUCAAAUAUCAUUUUACCUGCAAAAUCUUCUAAACAUAAAUUCUGAGCUAAUGCUCAAAAUAGGCUAAAUAUCAGAAGGCUUGACAACCUUCCUGGUUUACAGCAUCAAGCUGACUACUAAAGAAAAAACUAACUUUAAAAUGACCAGUGAUUGAAACAUAGCAUGUCUUCUAUAACUUCAUCUGUUAAUUAUGGAUUAGUGGCUAUAUCAGAACACUUGGCACAUCAACGUGAAUAUUGGCUAUUUAGUUAUGAUGCUUUAUUUCUAUUAGAUAGAGAAUAAGUUACUGAAAGGAUUCACUGGAAUUCUAGAGAAGUGAGUACAUAUAAGUUCAUCAUCCAAACAACCAAGAUGCUUUGGUGCCUCUUGCGUUUUUCUGUUCAAACUAGUGAUCUCUUCUAUUACUUGAUACAAAUGUUCUUGUGGAAAAACACUUAUUUACAGCUGAUUGUAAUCUUAUAAUCUGUAUAUUUAUAUUUGUAUCUCUAGAAUUAAGUAUUUAUAUCCCUAUAAUUAAGGACAAAAAAUUAGGAUAAAUAAUCCCUCAAUUAUAGGAUCAGUUUUUUGGAAGAUUUAGUUUCCUAGUUUACCCACCAGUUAGUUGUAUAUAAAUCUAUGGUGCUUGUAUAAUUCUUCAUGAGCAGUUUUUCAAUAUACAUUCAGUUUUACUCUUAGUUUUUCAUACAGUUUUAUUUCUUAGUUUUUCCAUAGUUCAAUGUCCCACCUUGGAUGGUUUUCACUUUCAAAUACAAUGGUCAUUCUUGCUUCUCACUAGACAAAAGAUGCAGCCGAAACAUCAGUUUUGUAAGAAACAGAUAAGCUGUUUAAGCUUUUAAAGAUAAAAUUAAAUCAAUUAAUCAAGUCCACAUAAUAAUUUAAGUUUAGCAUUCACAUAUCUUUCUCGCCAUAGUCAAAUCUAUAGUUGUUAGAGAUAAUAAAAUACCAUCGAAGUUACUUUGGAAUUGUCGAGCUUGAUACCUGGAACUGAAAGCUUUCUUCUUUUCUUUUCAGUGUUUUUCUUCUCUGUAGUGAUGUAGCAGAUAAUACAGGAAUAAAGCAUCUUAGCUUGAGCUUGAUCUGUGAAGAUUUUUCUGUAUUAGGAGAUGUAACUUCUAGUUUUGGCAGUUAAAGUGGUAGGAGUAGUCAUUGUUGUACAUGCCAUGGCUUGUAUUAAACCUGCACUGCAAAUAGUUGAGUUGAAUAAUUGAUAUUGUUGAUGUAAUUUCUGGUCUGAUAGUCAAAAGUUUUACUAGAGGUUGAGAAGGAGAGUAUGUGUGACCUGUCACAGAGUAGAAAGUCGAGUGUGCUGAAGAUAUUAUUUUGAGACAUUCUCGGAUGCUCAAGUUAGUAAGGUAUACCAUAAGCAAGUAAAUGAGAGAGAGUAGGAAGCAGUUAAAGAGAGUAAAGUGAGUUCAACUGUGAAUCACCUGUCUGCUCUGGAUGCUUCUUAGAUGACGACAUAGCAAACUGGGCUCUCAUGUGUAAGAUCUACUAUGUGGCUGCUGACACGACCACUUAGGUAUAACAAUAAUAAAGAGUUUAAAAGACGAUAAGAUUCUUGUUAAGAAUUUAUUUUGGAUAAAUGAUUUUUAUUAAUCCAAAAAAAGCAGUAGGUAUGCUACAAGUAAACAGCAAGCCAACGUUACAAACUUCCAAGAACUAGCAAAUAAAGCAAACUAAUUAACAAAAGAGUCUAACUUUUGCAAAGUAAUCAAACUAAGCAACAUUAAGGAACCAGUCCCCAAUUCAGACACAUUUUUUUGCUAAGCCAGAAAUUUAUUAAUAAAAACAGAGUUACACAACAGGGGAACCUCAUAACUCAGCAGUAGAACACCACCCUAUAGAUAGAACAGAAGAGGAGCACAAUACAACCAGACAUUACCGCCAAUCAUCCUAGGCGAGCAUAAGAGAAAGAACUGAGACACAGAUACCAUAACACCAGGCCAAAAACAUUCAGGCACAAUUUCUGUUGUUGAAAAGGAAGAGUGGAACUGGAGACUGCAAUCCUGUUAUUGAAUCGAAGCCAAAAGGAACUUUUGAUAGCUGAAACAAUAGCUUCUAUAUAUCUAGAAGGCCUGCCAAACUUCCUUCUAUUGUGCUCCUGCCAAAUAAAAUAUAUGUGAGCAUUCCAAGCCAAUCUAAGGAAAAUAAAUGCCAAAACUUUGCCCUUAAAAUGGCUGACAGCCCAAUCUAACUCAAAAUACCAGUCACCCACAGGUCUUGUAGAAAUUACUAACUUGAAAAUUAAUUUUCAUUUGUAAAAUGAGGUUAGGAAAUUCAAAGGACAACCUAGUUUGCAGGCAAUUUUUUUUACCAAGUUUCAAAAAGGGAACGAGACAUAAAGUUGAAAUGUUCUUGAAUUAAAUUUUGAAUGCAAUCACUUUAAUAAGUUAUUAGUUAGUUAGUGCAGAUAAAUGACAAUAUAAGAGAGCAUUUAAAUAAUUUUAUUUGAUUUGGCUACAGUUCACAGAAUCAGUAACAAAAGUUUUGAGUUAUUAAGUAUUCUAGAAUGCUUACCAAAUGACAUUGAAACUUGAAUUUUGAUUGAGUCACCUUGAUCUUCUCCAUUUUCGAUUCCAAUUCCGUGUAAACCUUUCCAACCAUUUGUUCCCCAACUCAUUCAGCACUGUAUAUCCAGUACAUAAUCCAAUGACCAAUCCACAUCCAUACCCUAUCAACACAAUUUUCCUGUCAGAUAAACCAUCUACCCAUGAAUCUGCAUCUUCCUUAGGGGUUGGCAUUCCAGGACCAUCUUCAUUGCAUUUCCUUGUCAGAGGCAGCCCACAUAAUCUUGGAUUCCCUUUGUAAGAAUCGUUUGAAAAUGUACCGAAUUGGUAGCUUUGUGGUAUGCUUCCCUCAAGUUGGUUGUAAGAGAGAUUCAAUACUUCAAGAAAUGUUAGGCUUGUAAGCUGUAGAGGAAUCCUUCCGGAGAGUUUGUUUUGGGAGAGGUCCAACGACUCAAGCUCAGUUAAGUUUCCAAGUGCUAAAGGAAUUGGGCCAAGGAAGCUGUUGAAGGAUAAGUUUAGCACUUUGAGUGACUUGAGGUUUUGUAUUUCUUCCGGUAUUCUCCCAUGGAAACUAUUAUUGGAAAGGUCAAGACAAAUAAGGAUGGUUAAGAUUUUCUCAUAAAACAUUACAAACCCUUUAUUCACAAUUGUUACAGAGUCCUGGUAGUAAUUAUCUCCAAUAUAAUCUGGCUUAGCUCUGUUGCCAUCAGUCAUCAUUCUCAUUGCCUUCAAAGAUUGGAAAAAUCCAACAGAUAACUCACCUGAAAAAUUAUUGGAAGCAAGGUCCAGUAUGUGUAACUCUGGGAAAGCAUCUUCAUCCUCAGAAAUUUUAAUUGGACCAUAAAAUCUAUUUGCUCUUAGUACAAGAACUUUCAAAGAAGGCAAUUUCACCAACCAUGAAGGAAAUGUGUCCUGUAUCAUAUUUUUUCAAAGGUCCAAAACUUCAAGAUUUCUGCAAUUGGCUAAUGAACUCGGCAACUUCCCUUCCAAUUUAUUCCCACUGAUUAUGAGUGACCUUAGUUCAGUGGCUUGAAAGAAUUCAAUUGGUAAUUGACCAGAAAAAUUAUUGAAAGCAACGUCUAGCACAUCCAAGUCUUGAAAAUAAUUUUUCACAUGUUUAAUUAGACCAUAAAACCUAUUUGCUCUCAAUAUAAGAACCACCAACCGAGGCAAUUUUCCCAACCACGAUGGGAAUGUGUCAUACAAAGUAUUGUUUCCAAGGUUUAAAACUUCGAGCCAUGUGCAAUUGACUAAUGACCUUGGCAACUUUCCUUCCAAUUUAUUGUCAUUGAGUUGAAGCAAAAAUAAUUGGGUGCCUUUUGCAAAAUCUGGUAUGCUGCCGGUAAAAUUAUUUUUUUGUAGAUCCAAAUAGCCGAGAGUUCUGAUAUUGCCAAAACAACUUGGGAUAAGCCCGCUUAAUUUGUUAUAAGAUGCAUUUAACCUUUCAAGUUGACUCAAAUUACAAAUAGAUCUUGAUAAAGAGCCUUGCGAAGAAGUUAGAGAUUGGUUUAGUGAAAAUUGGUCCAAAGAUGAGAGAGAAUUAUUAGAAAGAUCCAGAUACCACAAACUUUUCUUCCACACCCAAUUUGGCACUGCACCACUUAUUUUGUUAUUUGAAAGGUCAAGAUAUUCUAAACUAUUUUGACUCUUUAAAAACUCUGGAAACAUACUUAGGUUACAGAAUUGUAAACCUAAGUAUCUCAACAUUGGAAAAGAGAAGUUUGCAUCACCAAAAGGAAUCUCUUUUGGAAAAUCAAUUGCAUUGAAAGAGAGGAAUAAGGUUGAAAGAGUGGUCUUCCACAACCAAUUAGGUAUAAAACCAUGGAUUUGGUGGUCAGAAAGAUAUAAAGAAGCCAACUUGUCUUGUGUUUUGAUGAAUUCUGGAAAUUCAGUAAGGUUGCAUGAACUUAGGCCUAGCUCCUCUAAUUGGGGAAAAGUAAGGAUUGUGAUGUUCUUUUCAAUUGAUAAGCUCAUGUUGGAAAGGUCAAGGUGCCUUAAGUUCUUGAGUUGGAAAAACAUGUCAAGCUUCUUGGAACUAAAGCUAUUGUAUCCUAAAGACAAUGCUUCAAUCAAGGAGGAAGAUGCAUUGGGGAACUCACCAAUUUCACCAAUCAAUUGAUUUUCCCCAAGAAACAGGGUAUGCAAUGAUGGGAGAGUAAAUAAAGAAGAAGGAAUUGAGCCAGAGAGGUGGUUCCCCUGCAAAUGAAGAUAUGCAAGAUUUGGAACUCCAGAUCUAUGAAAUGCAGGGAUAAAACCAUUGAAAUUGUUAUAGGAUAUAUCCAGUUCCACAAGGUUAGUAAGAUUUGCAAUUGAUGAUGGAAUUUGUCCAAAGAAAUUGCACCAACUGAGAUCUAAAUUUGUCAAGAGCUUAAGAUUACCAAUUGUUUCUGGCAGUUUUCCACUGAAAUUUGUAGAAGAAAUUUUUAAGAUCCGUAAAGCAUUGUUUAAUGAAAAUUCUGGCAACUGACCUCCGAGAGCGUAAUUUUCUGAAAUGUCAAUGCUUUGUAUUUUUGGCAACGAAAGAACUUCUGUUGGAAAAUCCCCGCUCAAAUUGCAAUUCACUAAACUGAGAGAAACCAAAGGAGAGGAAAUUUCCAAGAAAUUGGGAGGUAAAUAAGAGAUUGAAUUCCCACCGAGGAAAAGUUUGGAAAGAAAAGGAAGUCUUAAGAGUGAAGAACAAAAUGGACCUGUCAAACCACAAUUUGACAAACUUAACACAUGCAGGUUACCAAGAACUAUGGAUGUGGCUGGACACCAUUCGGUACUUUGAGUUGAAAUGUUCACACUAUCCAAGUAUAGCUCUGUAAGUAGCUUCAAAUUUUGGAUGAAUGUCUUGAAAUUUGGGUUUUCUAGUUUAAGAGGUUGUUUAAAUCCAGAAGGCAGUGGGUAUCUUAGAUAGCAAGAAUCUUGAUUAGAUAGAUCAAGAGAGACUAACCUUGUUAAGUAUGAAAUCUCCAUUGGAAUUUGACCAUUGAAACAUGAGUUUGAAAGGUUGAGAUGAGUUAGAUUUGGGAGUCUAUCAAACUCAUAUUGAAACAAAGCGGUAUUAAAAUUGUUUCCAGCAAGAUUAAGGAGUUGAAGAUGAUGGAGCUUGAAAAUGGAGUAAAAGCUGCCAGAAAGGUCUCUAUAACUGAGAUCAAUCCCAAUCACAUGACCAAUAACAUCACAUGUAAUUCCUUUCCAAAAGCAACAAUCAGUGUUGAGAUCCCAAAGCUCAGCUUUGGAAGAGAAAGUAAAAUUGGGGGCAUAAUAAAGAUCAUGGUGCAAUUGUAGCAGAGCAGAUCUCUGGUCAUCAAGGCAUUGUUUUUGGAGAUGAGUAUGAGAAGGGGAAAAAGAUAACACAAGAGAUAAAGAGCAUGAGAAGAGAAAUAAGGUAGGCAAAAAGAGUAGAAUUAGGAUAUGAAGAUUCUUCAUGUUUUGCUAGCUCUCUAUGGAAAAAAAAUGAAGGGAAGAUUGUGGAGUUUAAGAUUUGCAUACACGGUAUUUAUAGACAAGUACUUCAUAUUACAUACUGUUAUUGUAGUUAUAUAUCUCCCUUGAUAUCAAGGGAUAGGUUCAAAUGCAUUUUUCCAACCACGUGUUUGUACAAAUCUUGAGUUUGAGCUUUUUCUAUAAGAGUUGAAUCAAAAUAGGUGGAAGACAAACAUAUUUAUUGGUUGUCCAUUUGAAUUUUAAAGAAUGAAUAAUGGGUUUCAAUGAUGAUGAAGCUGAUAGUUUUACUUUUGUAAAUUAAUCUUUAUCACUAUAUUCUUUCCUUUAUUCCCACUUUUUAUUUCAUAUUAUGCAUUUGUACAAAAAAUAAAUAAAUAAAUAAAUAAAUUUUCUCAAAGUUAGGUGAUGUAUAUUGGUAACAAAGAAUCCUCUCCGCUAAUAAAAAAAAAAGUGAAAAAUUUCAUUAAACUUGAUUCUGAAGGGAAGUAAAACUUACAAAGAUUUAUUAUUUAACUCAACUAUGUUAUUUGGAAUUAAAUGGAACAUUUUUUUUUUAGAAAAAUUCUAAUUAAUAAGUUUGUUUCUUCUUAUUUUUCUCCGAUGAAUUUCCUUUUGUUCUCUCGAUCAAAUUCCUUAUACAUAUUGUUUCUUUCUAAAUAAGCAUUCAGAGAAAAGAAUAAUUACUGUAACAAUUUUGUCUUUAUAAAAUUCUUUGGUCUACAGUAAUGUUUAGUCAUCCUGGCACCAAUAGAUUAACAAUUAAGAAAAAGGGAUAUCGUUUAGUCAUAUUGAUACCGUUUGGUGCAUUUUUUUUUUAUUGCAAAACCUGUUGUAAUAUCACAUGUUGUAAAAAUAUUGUCCACCUAACCUGAAAAUCUAAAGCAAAAGUAUGAAUGAAAUGAAACAAAUUCAAAAGAUGAAAGCAUGCAGGAAAUAUCUAGCCAACAAAGUGAAAGUGCUGAAACUCAGUUUCCACGAUUUCGCUUGUAUAUUGAUGUCAAGACAGAGGAAAUAACGGUAGACAGGAGCUUAGCUUUUGACCGUGCUUCACCUUUCCAUCCAUUUCAUCAGAUUUAAUUGAUUGCUUCUCUCUUGGACUUCAUUUAGAGAUGGCAAUAUAUACUAAAUAAUCAUAUAUUUGGUAUUAUCUAAUUUGUUUCUGUUCUGAUAAAAAAUUUAUAAAUGGAGAAUUAUGAUUUUGGAUAAUAGGUUUACUAUUUGUGAUGGAUAUUAAUAGAAUUUAGAUAGUACUUCUCAAAUAUCAAAUAUCUAAAUUUAUUUAAAUUUUAAUAAAUAGUAUCAAAUAUUUGAAUUCCUUAUUAAUUCAUAUAUGCAAAUUAUAUAAAAUUUUAUAGUUGUGAAAAGUUUUGAAUGUUAACAAAUAACUUUUAUUUUAUAUAUACUAAAAUUGAACUUGAAUUUUAAAAUUAAUUUUUUUUAUUUUAUAUUUUAAUAAAAAAAACUUAAAUAAUCGAAUAUUUUAACGAUUUAGAUAUUUAACGGAUAAUGCUUAUUUAAAUAGAUUUAGAUUCGAAUAUUGAAUCUAAAUUUAAUUAAUUAUUUAAAUGGAUUCGAAUGUAAUGAAAAUUAAAUAAAUUUAUAUACAAAUACCUCAAAAAUAACAAAAUCUUUUAUUUAAUUUUGAGAAUUUAAAACAACAUAUUAAUAAUAUAAUAUUGAAUUUAUACAUCAUGUGUAUAAUACUUUCUUAUUAUUUUUUUUUUAAUAUUGUUAAUGAAUAUUGGUCUGGAUCGUGUGAACUUAGAAUAUAUAGAUUCAUAUUUUAUAUUUCGAAAUACUUCAAAUAAAAACAUUAACCAAUAUUAUUUUUAAUGAUAAUGAACCUUAAUAGUAAUGAAUAUAUAAGUGAAAGUUACAAAUGAGAACACUAGAAAUAUGAAAGGGACAAAAUGAUUGUUUUUUCAUAGAACAAACAUUAAUGGGAUUUUCUAUUAAUAAAUUAGUCUUGAAUUUAUCAUGCACGGGUUUUUCUUGUUCUUGCCUCGUACACAUAUGUUUCUUGCUUUGCUUUGUCUAAUGUUGUUGGUCUAAAGUUGUUUCCUCUUUUUUAAAAGAACUUUAGAAUUGGUCCAAAGCUGCUUUGUCUAAGGUCAGAAAUUUCUCUCUUCCUUCCAUCAACUACCUCAUAACAAAACAAAAAAUAAAAUAAAUACUUAUAAAAAAAAUAUUAAUAAUAGGAUAAUUUUUUAAUUUAAAAUUCAUCUCAAUUGAUUCAUAUAAUUAUUAUUGAAAUAUAAUAUCUAACAAGUUUAAAGUUCAAUUUCUCACGUAUAUAACACCAUCUCUUUUCAUAGACCACGGCUUUUUUUCCUUUAAUUAUAAUAAUUUUAUUUCUAUACAAUAUUAUAUGUUAUCUUUGCAUUGGUGUUGUUUUAUACUAUUUAAAGUUUAUAGCCUUUGUAAUUUCUUACAAGCAAAGUCAUUCAAAAGACAAAAAUGGAGAAUGAACAUUGGGCACACCAGGCACUAGUGAAGUCAGAAAAAGGACAUCAUUUGGUGCAUUUUUUGUUUCAAUCCCAUUGUCACGCUACACAAUAAAUUAAUAGGAACUUUUCUCUUUUCUUUUUUUUUUUUCUAAAUUGUUCAAAAGGGAAUUUAAUUUAAAUUGUUCAAAAUUAAAUAAUAAGUGUUCAACUUCAAUGUUUAAUUAGACUACAUAUUAUCAUCUUUACGAGAUUAUACUUAUCUUUCCAUAUGUCUUCAAUCAUCACUUCUAAGUUUUUUUUUUUGUUAUUUAUUUCUUAUUUUCAAUUCAUUUCUAAUUAGUAAUUAAUUAUACUUUUAUUAUCUCAUUUUCUUUAUCUAUCAUUUCCUAUUUGGAUAUUUUAAAAAUUAUCAUCUUUGCAUUUUGCAACACAAAAUACUUUUACUUUUAUGUACGAGUAUAUUCCAAAAUCAUUUUGAUUUUUUAAUACAUUUUUAUAUUUAAAACCUCAAAAUAUAAGUUUUAUCUAAUAAACUUAAGUUUUUAAUAUAAAAUACCUCAAGUCUAAUAAGUAAUAUUCUUAAAUACCAUAAAAAUCAAAUAGAGAAAAUGCAAAUUUGAUGGAGGGAAUAUAAAUAAAAUUUUAAUGUAAAAAUUUUUAAAAAAAGAAAAUGAUAUGUAUAUAUAAUUUGAAUAAUUUCUGUAAUUGUAAUGAACCUUAAUAUUAACAAUAUCUAAAAAUUAAAAAUGUGAAAUCACUCAUAUAUAUAUAUAUAUAUAUAUAUAUAUGAAAGGGAGAAAAUGAUUGUUUUUGCAUAGUACAACAAUUAAUGGGAUAUUGUGCUAAUGAAUUAGUCUUCAAUUCAUUAUUCAUACAUGCUUUUCUUGACUCUGCGUCGUACACAUAUGUUUCUUGCUUUGCUUUACGUGUCUCAUGAUUCAUGAAACCACUCAAGUCUCAGCGAAGGCUUGACUCUUCAAUAUGUUUCUUGCUUUGCUUCAUGUGUUUCAUGAUUCUUGAAACCACUCAAGUCUCAUAGAAGACUUGACUUCAUCAAAGAAGUGAGGAGACAAAAGCAAACUCAUAAUAUUAGUAUAAUAUAAAUGUGAAUCAUAAUUGUUAUUAAUUAGCUCUCUUAUUACCAUUUUCAUUGAUGAUGAUGAAUUAUAAUUACCUGCACAAUGAUAUAUAUAUAUAAAUAUAUAUUAUUUGAAUACAAAAAUAGAACUUUACUCAAAUGGUUUAUUUACUUCUCUUAAAAAGUGAAUACUUAUAAAAUAAGGUUUAAUUUUCAGAACUUAUAAACUUAUGCGAAUGGCAAAUUGAUAAUUUUUCAAUUAGGGAAAAUCCAAUUUAACCCAAAAUCAUCUUUAGUAAACUUAUUUUAUUAUUGUAUUAUACAACUUAAAAGUGAUAUUUCUACCAUUUAUCGUAAAAAUUUAUAAUAUAAAUAUAUACUUAUAAUAUAUAAAUACAUAUAAACACACAUUUAUAUAUAUCAAUUCUAUAAAAAAGAAAAUAUACAUAUAUAUAUAAUAGGAAUCCACUUACACUAAUAUAACUUUACACUUUUUAGAUUCUUAGAUUAAAAUUAAAUUUAUGACUCAUUUGAAUAGUAAUAAUAUUUUUAAAUUUUGAUCCAAGUAUAAAAAAAAAUGUAUAAAAAUUAUACUAGUGUAAGUAGAUUUUUUACGCACACACAUACAUAUAUGAAAGGUAUUAGAAAUUAUGGGUCAACGUGUCAUUAUCUAACUUAAGUAAAUCUCUUUUGAUUCAUUUAAAAGAUAAUUAUGAUUUAAUAUUUAUUGCUUGUUAAAACUCCUAUUGAUCAAAUAAAAACUAAAAAGAGAGUUAUUUUGUUAAUAACUCAUACAUUAAUAGAGUGUAUGAAUAAUAAUUAUUAAUUAAAGAAACAAAAAUUAUUCCUCUCUCUACCUAUAAAUUAAUGUAUUCUAUCUGAUGAUUAAAAUGUUAUUUUCGGGUAUAUGCUCCAAUGCUCAAAUUAGUAAGGUAUAUCAGAAGUAAGUAAAUAAGAGAGAGCAAAAAGCAGUUAAAAAAAGUAAAGAGAGUUGAGUAGUGAAUCACAUGUCUGGAAAGAUUCUACCUUUUCUACCUUGUGGGUGGCAACGUCGCUAAGACCUACUAUGUAGCUAUUGAAAUGACCACUUAAGUGUAACACUAAUGAAGAGCUUAAAAGAUAAUAAUAUUUUCGUUAAAGAUGAUCAAAGAAAUGAAACGGGAGAAAUGCUACAUUUAGAUGUUAUCAUUAGAAUGAUUAAUAAGUUCUCUACCGUAAAAGAUGAUAAAAGUUUAUUAUAAAUUUAACUAUAAAUAAAAGGAUAAACUUUAAAAAAGUUAUAUAUAUAUAUAUGUCAAACUUUGGAUAAUUAUAAGCCACAAAGUAAAAGUUUUUUAAAAAAUCAACAUGAUUGUUACAUUGAAAUAGGUAUUAUAAUUUGAGAAUGUAAUAUUGCAUAUCAUAUUGUAUCCUAAAUAUAUUAAAUAAUUUUUAAAAUUAAUUAUAAAUAAUAUAUAUAAAUAUACAAUACUUUUUUUAAAAAAUACUAUACAUAUUUAAUGAGAUUGAGUGAUUAAUGGAUAUAAACAAAAAGAUAUAAUUAUUUUUCAAACUCCUGACAUAUUGUGUUUCAAAAAAAUAUUUAUAUUUGAUACAUUGUUAAUAUAGAAAUAUUAUAUAUAAUAAGUAAAUCAUGAAAAUAUAUUUUAUAAAAAAUUGAUAUUUUAAUUUUAGACUCAUAAAAAUAAUGAUAGUAUGAGAUCUUUUCUAUUGGUAUUUAGUGUUUUCUUUGCUUUAUACUUUUAAAUCUUCCCAUCAUGAAAAUGCUAAGCUUUCCUGCCCCAUCAUUACUUUAUGAAUAAUAAUCUUUCUUGUAGUUUACUUAAGUCAAGUUUGUCUUUUAAAAAAGACAAAAAAAAAUAGUAAUUUACUCAAUGAAGGCUGUCAUUUAUCUUCCAACUAACUGGGAAUGGGUUUUAAGUUUAGUAAUUAUUAGUACUAUAUUUUAAUCUUUUCAAUGACUUAGACCAAAGCAAACGCUAAUAUUAUUAUUUUUGAAAAGUAAAGAUGGGAGCAAAAAGACCAAUACGCUUGCGUGCUUCAUACCAAGACAAAGUAUAACAAAGAUGCUUAAUAUUCUUUACAUAUAAGAAGAAAUCCUACUAUAAACAAUAUUACAUAAUUAGCUAAUAGUGUUAUUUAUAUAUCCGUGGGAAAGAAUCUCUCCACUACUAAAAAAUAAUGAAAAUUGUCACUAAGCUUGACGUCUGAAGGGAAGUAAAACUUGCAAAGAUUUAUCGGUCAAGUCAACUCUGUUAUUAUGUUAUUAACUGAAACACUUCUCUUUUGAAAAUUCUAAUUAAUAAUUUUGGUUAUUCUUCUUCUUCAAUUCAAAGUUUGAAUCUCCAUUUGUUCCCUCCAUCAACUUCCUCAUAUUUAGCAUUUAUUUUUUUCUAAAUAAGCAUUCAGAGAAAAGAAUAAUACCGUAACAAUUCUGUCUUUAUAGUAGUAUGCGUUAUUCUUUGAUCUGUAAUAAAGUUUAGUCAUCCUGGCACCGUACCAUUAGAUUAAUUAUUAAGAAAAAGGGAUAAAGUUUAGUCAUAUGGAUAUCGUUUGGUGCAUUUUUUUUGUUGCAAAACCUGCUGUAAUAGGGCAUCACAUGUUGUAAAAAUAUUGCCCACAUUAACUGAAAUUCUAAAGCAAAAGUAUGAAUGAAAUGAAACGAGGGCAAAAGGUGAAAGCAUGCCGGAAACAUUCAGCCAACAAAGUGAAAGUGCUGCAACUGAGUUUCCACGCAUUCAGAUUUCGCUUGUAUAUUGAUGUCAAAGUCAGAGGAAAUAAUUGGAGACAGGAGCUUAGCUUUAGACCGUGCUUCACCUUCCCAUCCAUUUCAUUAGAUUUGAUUAAUUGCUUCUCUCUUGGACUUCAUUUACUGAUGACAAUAUAUACUAAAUAAUCAUAUGUUUGGUAUUAUCUAAUUUGUUUAUAUUCUGAUAAAAAUUUAUAAAUUGAUAAUUAUGAUUUUGGAUAGUAAGUUUAAUAUCUGUAAUGGAUUUGGAUAGGAUUCUGAUAUUAUUCUUUAAAUAUCAAAUAUCUUAUCCGUUUAAAUUUUAAUAAAUAUUAUCGAACAUCGGAAUCCAUUAUCCGUUUACAUAUAUAAAAUUUUUAAAUCUUAACAAACAACAUUUAUUUGUUAUUUAUUAAAAUUGAACUUGAAUUUUAAAUUUAAUUUAAUUUAUUUUAUAUUUUUACAAAAAAACUUAAAUAAUCAAAUAUUUUAACGAUUUAGAUAUUUAGCAGAUAAUGCUUAUUUAAAUAGAUUUAGAUUCGGAAAUCAAAACUAAAUUUAAUUAAAUAAUGGAUUCUAAUAUAAUGAAAAUUAAAUAAAUUCAUAUACAAAUACCUCAAAAAUAGCAAAAUCUUUUUAUUAAUAUUGAAAAUUUAAAACAACAUAUUAAUAAUAUAAUACUGAAUUUAUCAUAAGUAUAGUACUUUUUAUUAUUUUUGUUUUUAAUAUUGUUAAUGAAUAUUGGUUUGGAUAGUAUGAACUUAGAAUAUAUAGAUUCAUAUUUUAUAUUUUAAAAUACUUCAAAUAAAAAUAUUAACCAAUAUCAUUUUUAAUGGUAAUGAACCUUAAUAUUAAUGAAUAAGUGAAAGUCACAAAUGUGAACAUUAGAAAUAUGAAAGGGACAAAAUGAUUGUUUUUUCAUAGAACAAAAAUUAAUGGGAUUUUCUAUUAAUGAAUAAGUCUUCAAUUCAUCAUGCAUGAGUUUUUCUUGUUCUUGCCUCGUACACAUAUGUUUCUUGCUUUACUUUGUCUAAUGUUGUUGGUCUAAAGUUGCUUUGUCUAAGGUCAGAAAUUUCUCUCUUCCUUCCAUCAACUACCUCAUAACAAAACAAAUAAAUAAAAUAAGUACUUAUAAAAAAAAUAUUAAUAAUAAAAUAAUUUUUUAAUUUGAGAUUUAUCUUAAUUGAUUCAUAAGUUAUUGUUGAAACUUAGUAUCUAACAUGUUUGAAGUUCAAUUUUUCAUGUCUAUAACACCUUCUCUUCUCAUAGACCAUGAUUUUUUUUUUUAAAUUAUAAUAAUUUUUUUCUAAAUAAUAUUAUAUGUAAUCUUAGCAUUGGUGUUGUUUUAUGCUAAUUAAAGUUUAUAGCCUUUGUAAUUGCUUACAAGCAAAGUCAUUCAGAAGACAAAAAUGGAGAAUGAACUUUGGCACACCGGGCACUAGUGGAGUCAGAAAAAGGACAUCGUUUGGUGCAUUUCUUGUUUCAAUCCCAUUGUCACGCUACGCAAUAAAUUAAUAGGAACUUUUCUCUUUUUUUUUUUUUUUUCUCUAUAUCGUUUAAAAGGGAAUUUAAUUUAAAUUGUUCAAAAUUAAAUAAUAAGUGUUCAACUUCAAUGUUUAAUUAGACUACAUAUUAUCAUCUUUACGAGAUUAUACUUAUCUUUCCAUAUGUCUUCAAUCAUCACUUCUAAGUUUUUUUUUUUUGUCAUUUAUUUUUUUAUUUUCAGUUCAUUUUCUAAUUCGUAAUUAAUUAUACUUUUAUUAUCUCAUUUUCUUUAUCUAUCAUUUCCUAUUUGGAUAUUUUAAAAUUAUCAUCUUUGCAUUUUGCAACACAAAAUGCUUUUACUUGUAUGUAUGAGUAUAUUCCAAAAUUAUUUUGAUUUUUAAUACAUUUUAUAUUUAAAACCUCAAAAUAUAAGUUUUAUAUAAUAAAUUUAAGUUUUAAUAAAAUACACAAAAGUCUAAUAAGUAAUUUUCUUAAAUACCAUAAAAAUCAAAUAGAGAAAAUGAAAAUUUGAUGGAGGGAAUAUAAAUAAAAUUUUAAUGUGAAAAAUUAAAAGAAAAUGAUAUGUAUAUAUAAUUUGAAUAACUCCCGCAAUUGUAAUGAACCUUAAUAUUAAUAAUAUAUAAAAAUUAAAAAUGUGAAAUAACUGAUAUAUAUAUAUAUAUAUAUAUGAAAGGAAGAAAAUAAUUGUUUUUGCACACUACGACAAUUAAUGGGAUUUUUUCUUCAAUUCAUUAUUCAUGCAUGUUUUUCUUGUCAUUGUGUCGUACACAUGUUUCUUGCUUUGCUUUAUGUGUCUUAUGAUUCAUGAAUCCACUCAUGUCUGAGCGAAGACUUGACUUCUUCAAAUAAUUGAGGAGACAAAAGCAAACUCAUAAUACUAGUAAAAUAUAAAUGUGAAUCAUAAUUAUUAUUAAUUAGCUCUCUUAUUACCAUUUUAUUGAUGAUUAUGAAUUAUAAUUACCUGCACAAUGAAAUAUAUAUUACAUGAAUAAAAACAUAGAGUUUUAUUUAAAUGGUUUAUUCAUCUCUCUUAAAAAGUAGAUUCUCCUAAGAUAAGAUUUAAUUUUCAGUAUUUAUAAAUUUUCGUUUCUUAAUUUUUCCUAAAUUUUUAUCUCUUUUGUACUUAAGCUUAAUUGGCAAGUUUUCAAUUAGGUAAAAUCCAAUUUAACCCAAAAUUAUCUUUAUUAAACUUAUUUUAUUACUGUAUUACAUAACUUAAAAGUGAUAUUUCUAUUAUUAUACUUGAAUAAAUUUAUAUAAUCGUAAAAUUUUAUAAUAUAAACAUAUACUUAUUAUAUAUAAACAUAUAUAAACACACAUGUAUAUACAUAUCAAUUCUGUAAAAAAGAAUAUAUAUAAAUAUAUAUAUAAAUAAUAAAAAUUCACUUACACUAGUAUAAUCUUACACUUUUUUGGACCCUUUGAUAAAACUUAAAUUCAUAAAUCAUUUGAAUCAUAAUAAUAUUUUUAAAUUUAGUAAUUUUGAUCUAAGUAUCCAAAAAAGUAUAAAAGUUACAUUAAUAUAAGUAGAUCUUUCAUAUAUAUAUAUAUAUUUAUUAUAUAUAUAUAUAUAUAUAUACAUAUAUAUGGAAGGUGUUAGAUAUUAUGUACUCAACGUGUCAUUAUCUAACUUAAGAAAAUAUCUUUUGAUUCAUUUAAAAGAUAAUUAUGGUUUAAUACUUAUUAUUGCUAAAACUCUUAUGAUCAAAUAAAAACUAGUGAGAGUUAUUUUGUUAAUAACUCCUACAUUGAUGGAACAUAUGAAUAAUGAUUAUUGAUUAAAGAAAGAAAAAUUGCUCCUCUCUUUGCCUAUAAAUUAAUAAUCAAGAUGUUAUUUUGGGGCAUAUACUCCGAGACUCAAGGUAGUAAGGUAUAUCAGAAGCAAGGUAAUGAGAGAGAGCAGGAAGCAAUUAAAUAGAGUAAAGAGAGUUUAGUAGUGAAUCACAUAUUUGGUUUGAUUCUACCUUUUCUAUCUUAUGGGUGAUGACGUGGAUAAAUGGGCUUCCAUGUGUAAGACCCAUUAUAUGACUACUGACAUUACCACAUAACUGUAACAAUAAUGAAGUGCUUAAAAGGUAAUAACAUUUUUGUUAAAGAUUAAAAAAGAAAAUGAGACAGAAGAAAUCCUACAUUUAGACGUUACCAUUAAAGUGAUUAAUAAGUUCUUUAUUGUGAAAGAUGAUAAAACUUUAUUGUAAAUUUAAUUGUAAAUAAAAAGGACAAACUUGAAAAAGUGUUAUAUAUAUGUCGAAUUUUGGAUAAUUAUAAACCAUGAAAUAAAAGUCCAAAAAAGAAUAUCAAUAUAAUUAUUAAAUUGAAAUAGGUACUAUAAUUUGAGAAUAUAAUAUCAAGUAUCAUAUCGUUUUGUAAAUAUAAUAAAUAAUUUUAAAAAUUAAUUAUAAAUAAUAUAUAUAUAAAUAUAUAAUAAAAUUUUUAAAAAAUAUUAUACAUAUUAAUGGGAUCGAGUGAUUAAUGAAUAUAAACAAAAAGAUACCAUUAUUUUUCUAACUCUCAACGUAUUUUGUUUUUUAAAAAAAAUUAUAUUUGAUACAUUAUCAAUAUAUAAAUAUUAUAUCCUAUAAGUGAAUCACAUAAUUAUACUUUAUAAAAAUUGAUAUUCUAAUUUUGGACUCACAAAGACAAUGAUAGAAUAAGAUUUUUUUUUAUUGGUAUUUAGUCUUUUCUUUGCUUUAUAUUUUUAAGUCUUCCCAUCAUGCAAAUGUCUUAAGUCUUCUUGCCCCAUUAUUACUCUAUGAAAAAUAAUCUUCUUAGUAGUUUACUCAAGUCAAUUCUGUCUUCUUUUAAAAAAAAAAGCAAUAAUUUACUUAAUAGAGGUUCUCUUUUGUCUUCCAAUUAAAUUGACAAACUAAGAAUAGAUUUGAAAUUUAUUAACUAUUAUUACUAUAUUUUAGUAUUUUUAAUGACUUGAACUGAAGUAAACGCUAAUAUUAUUAUUUUUUUGAAGUAAAGAUUGGGGCAAAAUUAUAGAUACAUUUGCUUGCUUCAUACCAAGACUAAGUAUAAAGCAAAGACUAAGACUUAUCAUUCUUUCUUUGGUUUUCUUUUUCUUUCUAAAACUAAGUAUAAGUCUUAGUCUUUGUCGUUAUACUUAUUUUUGUGAAGUAAAGAUGGGAACAAAAACACUGACACAUUUGCAUGCUUCAUGCCAAGACUGAGCAUAAAGCAAAGACUAAGACUUAUCAUUCUUUCUUUGGUUUUACUUUUCUUUUUAAAACUUCCCUUAAUUUCUAUGAUAAGUCUUAGUCUUUGCGUUAUACUUCCCUUAAUUUCUAUGAUAAGUCUUAGUCUUUGCAUUAUACUUAUUUUUGUGAAGCAAAGAUGGGGGCAAAAACACUGACACAUUUGCAUGCUUCAUGCCAAGACUAAGCAUAAAGCAAAGACUAAAACUUAUCAUUCUUUCUGUGGUUUUACUUUUCUUUUUAAAACUUCCCUUAAUUUCUAUAAUAAGUCUUAGUCUUUGCUUUAUACUUAUUUUUGUGAAGUAAAGAUGGGGGCAAAAACACUGACAUAUUUGCAUGCUUCAUGCCAAGACUAAGUAUAGAGCAAAGACUAAGACUUAUCAUGUUUGUGAAGUAAAGAUGGGGGCAAAAAGAUUGACAUACUUUCAUCCUGCAGUAAUACACAUCCUAAGAAAAUUAGCUUUCCAUGAUUAUCUAUACCAAAUCAUACUCCAAUAAGCAAUCCGUAAGUGAUAGAACAAUAUGUAGUGUCAAAGGUACCAGCAUCACCAAAUACUGUAUAUGCACAAAUAGAAUCCGCAUAUGACCAUGAAAUAUUUUCAACCUUACUAUUUUCAUCUGUAGUAUAAUCAUAAACAAAAUUAGCAUCCCUCUCUGCAUAGCCAUGCAGGCCUCAAGAAGUUCGAAUGUAUCAUUUUCUCUUUUCUCGAUAAGCAAAGCAUCACUUUCCUGAACAAUCUUUUCACAAGUCCGUACAAAAUCCCUAGUAUCCUUCUUGAUAAAAGGCAACUGUCCGGGCUGGACUCCCUUUUCUAAUUCCAAAACCUUCAUAACAAUUUUUUAAAAAGACAGAAAAAAUAACAAUUUUCUCGAUGGAGGUUACCUUUUCUUUUCUAGUUAAAUUGGCAUAUUGAGAAUGGAUUUUAAGUAUAUUAUUAUUAUUAUUAUUAUUAUUAUUAUUAUUAAUUUUAGUUUUUUUAAUGAUUUAGACCGAAGCAACUGCUAAAAUUAUUAUUUUUGUGAAGUAAAGAUGGAGGCAAAAAGACUAACAUUUGCAUGCUUGAUGCCAAGACUAAGUAUAAAGCAAAGACUAAGACUUAGACCAAUACAUUCCUAUGGUAUCUAUUAUUUUCUUUCUUAUUCCACCAUUAUAAAAUCCUAAUUUCCAAAAUAAGUAAGUUUAAGAAGUAAGAAUGAAUGUGUUUUUUAGAUUUUUUUUUUCAAACCUUUCAACAAAAAUAAAACACAAGUUUUUAUUUUGUCGAUUUUUUUUUGCCAAUCAAUUUGUUGAUUAAGCAACUUGUUUUUCAUGCGAUUGUUCCAAAUGUACUUUUAGAUUCAUGGCAUGCUCAUUUUUUUUUUUUUAGUUUUUAUUUUUAAUAUAUUUUUAAAAGAUCCUAUGAUUUAAAAAUUCAAUGAACCAAUAACCAUGUAGUCUGUUAGUAAAAUGCAAAACUUUUAGUUUCAGUAGUUUAAAAUUCAUAUGCUGACAACCUCACAAACCAAAAAAAAAAAGACAAUCUUCUAAUUUCACAAAUUUUUUGUAUACAAGCUAACUUUUAUAUAUAUAUACCAAUUUCUUUAUGUAUGAUUAAUAAAGGAUUUAAAUUUUAUAAAUGGUAUUAGAAUCUCAUAUUUUCUGUAUGUAUGAUAUUUUCUCUUAAUUAUUUUUUUUCAAACCUAAAUGUAACUUUAUUAACUUAUCGAAUAUGAAAAUCUGGAAGUUAUUUAACUUAUCAAAAAUGUAUAUCUAGAAGCUUUAAAAUUAAAAUGAGAUGGAUAAAUAAGUGAUUUCACUUAAAAGAUUUAAAAAAAAAAGUGUAUGUAAAGAAAAAAAAAUGGUAUAUUUAGAAUCACCCAUCACAAAAUUAUACUUUAUAAAAAAUUUUGACAUUCUAAUUUUGGACUCAUAAAGAAAAUGAUAGUAUGAGAUUUUUUUUAUUGGUAUUUAUUCUUUUCUUUGCUUUAUACUUUUAAGUCUUGUCAUCAUGCAAAUGUUUAAGUCUUCUUGCUCCAUCAUUUCUCUUGUGAAAAAUAAUCUUCUUAGCAAUUUGCUUAAGUCAAGUCUAUCUUUUAGAAAAGACAAAAAAUAAAAACAUAGCAAUUUUCUCAGUGGAUGUCAUUUUUUGUCUUUUAGUUAAAUUAGCAAAUUGAGAAUGGAUUUUAAAUAUAUUAAUUAUUAUUGUUAUAUUUUAGUAUUUUUAAUUAUUUAGACUGAAGUAACUACUAAGAUUUUUAUUUUUGUGAAGUAAAGAUGGGGGCAAAAAGACUAACACAUUGGCAUGCUUGAUGCCAAACUAAGUAUAAAGCAACAACUAAUACUUAGACCAAUUCAUUCCCAUAGUAUCUAUCAAUUUCUUUCUUAUUCCACCAUUAUAAUGUCACAAUCUCCAAAAUAGACAAGUUUGAGAAGUGAGAAUGAGUGUGUUCUUUAGAUUUUUUUUUUUCAAACUUUUCAACAAAAAUAAAACAUAGGUUUUUAAUUUGUUAUUUUUUCUUUUGCUAAUCAAUUUGUUGACUAAGCAACUUGUUUCUAAUGCUUUUGUUCCUAAUGUACUAUUAGAUUUCAUGGUGUGUAUUUUUUUUAUUUUUUAUUCUUAUUAUAUUUUAAAUAGAUCCUAUGAUUUAAAAAUUCAAUGAGCCAACAACUAUGUAGUAUGUUAGUAAAAACUAAACUCUUAUUUUCAGUAGUUUAAAAUUCAAAUUCUAACAGCCUCAAAUAAAAAAAAAGAAAAAAUCUUUUGAUUUCACAAUUUUCAUGUAUAUUUCAAUUUCUUCACAUAUGAUUUAUAGAGGAUUUAAAUUUUAUAAAUAGUAUUAGAAUCUUAUGCUCUUUAGAUAUUUUCUGUCAACUAUCUUUUUCCAAACCUAAAUGUAAUUUGUUUUAAAUUACCAGAUAUGAAAACCCGUAUGUUCUAUAACUUAUCAUAAAUGCAUAUCUAGAAGUUUUAAAAUUAAAAUGAGAUGGAUAAAUAGGUAAUUUCACUUAAAAAUUAAAAAAAAGUAGAUGUAGGGAAAAAUGAUGAUGUACUUAGAAUCACCCAUCACAAAAUUAUACUUUUAUAAAAAGUUGAUAUUUUAAUUCUGGACACACGUAGAGAAUGAUAGUAUGAGAUUUUUUUAUUGGUAUUUAGUCUUUUCUUUGCUUUAUUCUUUUGAGUCUUCCCAUCAUGCAAAUGUCUAAGUCUUCUUGCCCUAUUAUUAGGCUAUGAAAAAGAAUUAUGAUAGGGCAAGAAAACUUAAACAUUUGCAUGAUGGGAAGACUUAAAAUUAUAAAGCAAAGCAAAGACUAAAUACCAAUAAAAAAAAUCUCAUCCUAUCAAUUUCUUUGCGAGUCCAAAAUUAGAAUAUCAAUUUUUUUUUAAUAAAGUAUAAUUUUGUGAUGGGUGAUUCUAAAUACACCAUCAUUUUUUUCUCUACAUUUACUUUUUUCUUAAUUUUUAAGUGAUAUUACUUAUUUACCCAUCUCAUUUUAAUCUUAAAGUUUUUAAAUAUGCAUUUUUGAUAAGUUACAUAACUUAUUGGAUUUUCAUAUCCGAUAAGUUAAAAAAAGUUACAUUUAGGUUUGAAAAAAAAGGUUAAGAGAAAAUAUCUUAUAAAAAGUAUGAGAUUCUAAUACCAUUUAUAAAAUUUAAAAACUCCAUUAAUCAUAUGUGAAGAAAUUGAACUAUAUAUAUAAAUAAAUUACCUCGUAUACAUGAAAUUUGUGAAAUCAAAAGAUCAUCUUUUUUUUUUUUGUAUGCGAGGUUGUUAAGAUUUGAACUUUAAACUACUAAAAUUAAAAAUCCAACAUUUUACCAACAAACUACAUGGUUAUUGGCUCAUUGAAUUUUUAAAUUAGAGGAUCUCUUUAAAAUAUAUUAACAACAAAAAAAAACUAAAGAAAGAAAUACAUAUACCAUAAAAUCUAAUAGUACAUUAAGAACAAAAAGAUGAGAAACAAGCUACUUAAUCAACAAAUUGAUUGGCCAAAAUAAUCAAUAAAUUAAAAGCCUGUGUUUUAUUUUUGCUGAAAAGUUUGAAAAAAAAAUCUAAAGAACACAUUCAUUCUCACUUUAUAAACUAGUCUAUUUUGGAAAUUGUGAUUUUAUAAUGGUGCAAUAAGAAAGAAAAUGAUAGACACUAUAGGAAUGUGUUGGUCUAAGUCUUAGUCUUUGCUUUAUACUUAGUCUUGACAUCUUUUUACACCCAUCUUUACUUCACAAAAGUAAUAAUCUUAGCAGUUGCUUCAGUCUAAAUCAUUAAAAAGACUAAAAUAUAACAAUAAUAAUUAAUAUACUUAAAAUCCAUUCUCAGUCUACUAAUUAAAGUGGAAGAUAAAAGAUAAUUUCCAUUGAGAAAAUUGCUAUGUUUUUUUUUCUAAUCUUUUUUAAAAGACAUACUGGACUUAAGCAAACUGUUAAGAAAAUUAUUUUUUCACAAGGUAAUGGUGGGGCAAAAUGACUUAAACACUUGCAUGAUGGGACAACUUAAAAGUAUAAAGUAAUGAAAAGAAUAAAUACCAAAAAAAAAAAACUCAUAUUAUCAUUUUCUUUGUGAGUCCAAAUUAGAACAUCAAUUUUUUUUAUAAAAGUAUAAUUUUGUGAAGGUCGAUUCUAAAUACACCAUCAUUUUUUUUCUACAUAUACUUUUUUUUUUAAUUUUUAAGUGAAAUUACUUAUUUAUCCAUCUCAUUUUAAUUUUAAAGCUUCUAGAUAUACAUUUAUGAUAAGUUAUAUAUCUUAUUAAAUUUUCAUAUCUGGUAAGUUAAAAAAAGUUAUAUUUAGGUUUAGAAAAAAAUAAUUAAUAGAAAAUAUCUUAUAGAAAGUAUGAGAUUCUAAUACCGUUUAUAAAAUUUAAAUCCUCUAUUAAUCAUAUGUGAAGAAAUCAAUAUAUAUAUGUGUGUGUGUGUAUAUAUAUAAUUAUCUCAUAUACAUGAAAUUUGUGAAAUCAUAAUAUUAUCUUCUUUUUUUUUGUAUGUCAGGUUAUGAGGAUUUGAACUUUAAACUAUCAAACUAGGAAUUCAAUAUUUUACUAAUAAAUUACAUGGUUAUUGGCUCAUUGAAUUUUUAAAUCAGAGAAUCUCUUUCAAAUAUAUUAACAAGAAGAAAACUAAAAAAAUAAAAUAAUGUAGACACCAUGAAAUCUAAUAGUACAUUAGAAAUAAAAACAUGACAAACAAGUUGCUUAAUCAACAAAUUGAUUGGCCAAAAAAAAAAACCAACAAAUUAAAAACCUAUGUUUUAUUUUUGUUGAAAAGUUUGAAAAAAAAAAUCUAAAGAACACAUUCAUUCUUACCUUUGAAGCUUGUCUAUUUUGAAGAUUGUGAUUUUAUAAUGGUGGAAUAAGAUAGAAAAUGAUAGAUACGAUGCGAAUGUAUUGGUUUUAGUCUUUGCUUUAUACUUAGUCUUGGCAUCAAAUAUGCAAAUGUGUCAAUCUUUUUGCCCCUAUCUUUACUUCACAAAAAUAAUAAUUUUAGCAGUAGCUUCAGUCUAAGUCAUUAAAAAUACUAAAAUAUAACAAUAAUAAUUAAUAUACUUAAAAUCUAUUGUCAAUCUACUAAUUUUACUAGAAGACAAAAGAUAACCUCUAUUGAGAAUAUUGCUAUGUUUUCGUAAGAUUUUUUUUAACUAUUUUUUUUCUAAACCUAAAUGUAACUUUUUUUAACUUACUGAAUAUGAAAAUCUGGUAAGUUGUAUAAUUAUAAAAAAUAUAUAUCUAGAAGCUUUAAAAUUAAAAUGAAAUGGAAAAAUAAGCGAUUUCACUUACAAAUUAAAAAAAAAAAAAGAUGUAUGUAGAGAAAAAAAAUGAUGGUGUUUUUGAAAUCACCUAUCACAAAAUUAUACUUUAUAAAAAAAAUUGAUAUCUAAUUUUGGACUUACAAAGAAAAUGAUAGUAUGAGAUUUUUUUUAUUGGUAUUUAUUCUUUUCUUUGCUUUAUACUUUUAAGUCUUCCUAUCAUGUAAAUGUCUAAGUCUUCUUACCCCAUCAUUACUCAAUCAAAAAUAACUUUCUUAGCAGUUUGCUUAAGUCAAGUCUAUCUUUUAAAAAAGAUAAAAACAUAGCAAUUUUCUCAAUGAAGGUUGUCUUUUUGUCUUCCAUUUAAAUUAGCCUGAGAAUGGCUUUUAAGUAUAUUAAUUAUUAUUGUUAUAUUUCAGUAUUUUUAAUGAUUUAGAUUAAAACAACUGCUAAGAUUAUUAUUUUUGUGAAGUAAAGAUAGGGGCAAAAAGAUUGACACAUUUGCAUGCUUGAUGCCAAGACUAAGUAUAAAGCAAAGACUUAAGACUUAGACCAAUACAUUCCCAUAGCAUCUAUCAUUUUCUUUCUUAUUCCACCAUUAUAAAAUCUCAAGUUCCAAAAUAGACAAAUUUGAAAAGUGAGAAUGAAUGUAUUUUUUAGAAUUUUUUUAAAAACUUUUCAGCAAAACUAAAACACAAGUUUUUAAUUUGUUGAUUUUUUUUGGCCAAACAAUUUGUUGAUUAAGCAACUUGUUUCUCAUGUUUUUGUUCCUAAUGUACUAUUAGAUUUCAUCACAUGUGCAUUUUUUUUUUAUAUUUUUUAGUUUUUAUUAUUAAUACAUUUUAAAGAGAUCUUUGAGUUAAAAAUUCAAUAAGCCAAUAUCCAUAUAGUCUAAUUAGUAAAAUGCUAAACUCUUAGUUUUUUAGUAGUUUAAAGUUCAAAUCUUGACAACUUCACAAAGAAAAAAAAACAAAUUUCUAAUUUUGCAAAUUUCAUGUGUAUGAGAUAAUUUUUAUAUAUUUUGAUUUCUUCACAUAUGAUUAGUAGAGGAAUUAAAUUUUAUGAAUGGUAUUAGAACCUCAUACAUUCUGGAAGAUAUUUUCCUUGAACUAUUUUUUUUAAGCAUAAAUGUAGCUUUUUUUUAACUUAUCAGAUAUAAAAAUCUAGUAAAUGGAAAUGUGAAUUUAGAAGCUUUAAAAAUAAAACUAGAUGGGUAAAUGGUAGUAUCACUAAGAAAAUUAAAAAAAAAAGUGAACGUAGAGAAAAAAAUGAUGGUAUGUUUAGAAUCAUCCAUCUCAAAAUUAUACUUUAUAAAAAACUUGACAUUUUAAUUUUGGACUUCCAAAGAAAUUGAUAGUAAUGAGAUUUUUUUAUUGAUAUUUAGUCUUUUCUUUGCUUUAUUCUUUUUAGUCAUCCAUCAUGUAAUUGUCUAAGUCUUCUUGUCCCAUUAUUACUCUAUGAAAAAUAAUCUUCUUAAUAGUUUGCUUAAGUCAAGUCAAUCUUUUAAAAAAGAUAAAAAGCAUAGCAAUUUUCUUAAGGGAGGUUGUCUUUUGUUUUCCAGAUAAAUUAGCAUAUUAGGAAUGCAUUUUAAGUAUAUUAAUUAUUAUUGUUAUAUUUUAAUCUUUUUAAUGACUUAGACUGAAGGAACUGCUAAGAUUGCUACUUUUGUGAAGUAAAAAUGGGGGCAAAAAGACUUACACAUUUGCAUGCUUGAUGCCAAAACUAAAUAUAAAGCAAAGACUAAGACUCAGACCAAUACAUUCCCAUAGUAUCUAUCAUUUUCUUUCUUAUUCCACCAUUAUAAUAAUAUCACAAAUUUCAAAAUAAACAAGUUUGAGAAGUAAGAAUGAAUGUGUUGUUUAGAUUUUUUUUCGUCAAACUUUUUAGAAAAAAUAAAACAUAUGUUUUCAAUUUGUUGAUUUGUUUUUUUGCCAGUUAAUUUGAUUAUUAAGGAACUUGUUUCUCAUGCUUACCUAAUGUACUACUAGAUUUCAUGGUAUGUCCAUUUUUUUUUUUUUAGUUUUUUUAUUGUUAAUAUGUUUUAAAGAGAUCCUCUCAUUUAAAAUUCAAUGAUGUCUAUUAAUAAAAUGCUAAACUCUUAGUUCCAAUAAUUUAAAGUUCAAAUCUUGACAACCUCAUGUACCACAAAAAAAAAAAAAAAAACAAUCCUUUAAUUUCACAAAUUUCAUUUAUACAAGAUAAUUUUUAUAUAUUUCAACUUAUUCACAUAUGAUUAAUAGAGUUUUUAAUUUUUAUAAAUGGUAUUAGAAUAUUAAUACAUAUCCUAAUAUUUUUAUAUAACUUUUAAUAUAUUUAUAAAAGGGUUUGUGACAACCCUCUAACACUUAUAAUCUAAAAACUCUACAAACUGAUUGCAUGUUCUAAGUUAUAUGAUUCAACAUAUACCAACCAAGUUAAUUAGUAAUUUAAUUGUUUGAUAAAUUUGAAGGUAAAAUGAAUGAAAUUUUUGCAGCCAAUAAGGAAUAUGCUUUUAUUCCCAGAAACAAACCAGAUGAAAUGGAUGAAGGUGAAGAAUGAACUAUUUUGGAACAAGAAAUCACUAGUAUUUGGAUUUUUGAAGCAUUAUAACAUCAAGAAAAUCUGACCACAACAACUAAACAUCUGCAUCAAGUUGCAUAUUUACAUCAGAGCAAUCAAAUGAUUCCACUGAUGUUUUCUCCUCUAUUCCCUCUAAGUGACACAACAUAUCAAACUCAACUUUGAACUCUUCAUACUAUGGCCUAAAUGGUAGAGAGAACCAACUUGAUAAUUUGGAAAGAACAUGCCAUGAACAUAUAACAUGUUCUAUAUUUGCCGAUUCUCUUGCAAUAGCAUCUUUCAGGUUAGAGUCAAUAACCAUUAGAAUCAAUCAACCCAUUUUGAGACCAAUUGUACCAAAAAUAAUUAAGUUAAACAUGGGUUAACUCUAUUAAUUAAUACUGAUAGCCUGAGCUCUUUUCACUAAAAUAACCAUAUCUCAAGAUAUCCAACUUAGAAUUAAGAUCUUUUUAAUACGUUAGAAACUAAAGUCAAUAAGUUUACUAACUAUAUAUGGCCCAUCUCGUGAUUCCUUAUAGAUUAAUUAAACAAUUUUUAUAAUCCAUGUCAUAUGCUGUUGUCAAACAGUAUGUAUACCUUCUAAUAAAAAUUACACAUUUAUUCAUAGGAAACUCAAAAUUCAAUUCCACUUGUUUUGUUGGAAAAUAAACUUAAUAACCUUUUCAAACAUAUAUGGCACAAUUUUUAAUUCCUUGUAUAAAAUUUAAGAUAAUUUUCAUAAUUCAACCUUGAUGAUGCUACCAUAUAGUCUGCAUAUCCUUAAGUAAAAAUUAGACAACUCUACAUAAAAAACUUGGAUUCGACUUCUGUUUAUUUCAUUAAAAAGUAGAUUCAACAUACUUUCCAACAAUAUAUAAUAAUCAUAGCAAUAAUCUAUCCAUUAAUACAUAAUUAUAUUUUAAUUCACUCUUGUAGAUCAUAGCAUCUCAUCUCAAAACAAAAUUUCUACUUCAAUAUUUAAAAACUCAAAUCCCCAUUUUCAGCCUUUAAACUCCAUUCAAUUAUCAUCAAUAAAUCUUAAGAACAUGAAAUAAACAAAGCCUAAUAAUUUACGCAAAUUGAUCAUGAAGAUUAAUGAAAGAUAUCAUAAUUUUCUUGGUUUUUCUCUCAAAACUUUAACUCCAUUUAAAAGCAACCAAAAUAGUAUAUUUAUCUUAAAUAAAAAUAGGGCUUAUGUCACCAUUAAGAGACUAACUCGAAUGUAGUCUCUGAUUUUGGAUUCUAUAUUUGAUUUUCAUGCUUUCUAACCUUAAGGAAGACCGGUAAGAAGAAUUCUCAUUUUCUUUUCUGUUUCAUUAUAACUGGAUUUUUCUUAGUAAAACACCUUAGCCACUUUUUCUUUAAUAAUUAACCUCUUAAUUAACUUAAUGAGCUUUAGUAAUAGUCUAGCCCAAUUAUCAUUUGGGUUGGGUAUUACAAAAUCACAUAUCUAUUUUGAUUCUACCUUUUCUAUCUCGUGGAUGACUACGUGGCUAACUGGGUUUCCAUGUGUUAAACCGACUAUAUGGCUGCUAAUAUUUUUCACUUAAGUGUAACAAUAAUAAAGAGCUUAAAAGAUAAUAGCAUUUUCGUUAAAGAUAAACAAAGAAAAUGAGACGGAAGAAAUCCUAUAUUUAGACGUUACAGUUAAAAUGAUUAAUAAGUUUUCUAUUGUAAAAGAUGAUAAAACGUUAUUGUAAAUUAAAUUCUAAAUAAAUGGAUAAACUUAUAAAAGUGUUACAUAUAUGUCAAACUUUGGAUAAUUAUAAGCCCUGAAGUAAAAGUUUGAAAAAGAAUAUUCGUAUAAUUAUUAGAUUGCACUAGGUAUUAUAAUUUGAGAAUCUAAUAUUAAGUAUCAUAUCGUAUCGUAAAUAUAAUAAAUUAAUUUUAAAAUUAAUUGUAAAUAAUAUAUAAAUAUAAAAAAAAUUAAAAAUAUUAUUCAUAUUAAUGGGAUUGAGUGAUUAAUGAAUAUAAACAAAAAGAUUUAUUAUUUUUCUAACUCUCAACAUAUUUUGUUUUAAAAAUAAUUUAUAUUUGAAACAUUGUCAAUAUAUAAAUAUUAUAUGCUAUAAGUGAAUCACAAAAUUAUACUUUAUAAAAAAUUAUUAUUCUAAUUUUGGACUCACAAAGAUAACAAUAGAAUGAGAUUUUUGUUGGUAUUUAGCCUUUGCUUUUCUUUAUACUUUUAAGUCUUCCCAUGCAAAUGUCUAAGUCUUCUUGCCCCAUCAUUACUCUAUGAAAAAAUAAUUUUCUUAAUAGUUUGCUUAAGUCAAUUCUAUCUUUUGAAAAAGACAAAAAAAUAGUAAUUUACUUAAUGGAGAUUAUCUUUUGUCUUCUAAUUAAAUUGACAAAUUGAGAAUGGAUUUUAAGUGUAUUACUAUAUUUUAGUCUGUUUUAUGACUUAGACCGAAGUAAAUGCUAAUAUUAUUAUUUUUGUGAAGUAAAGAUGGGGGCAAAAAGACUAAACACAUUUGCAUGCUUUAUGCCAAAGACUAAAUCUAAAGCAAAUACUAAGACUUGUCAUUCUUUCUUUGGUUUUACUAUUCCUUUUAAAACUUCCCUUAAUUUCUAUUAAGAUAAGUCUUAGUCUUUCCUUUAUACUUAUUUUUGUGAAGUAAAGAUAGGGAUGCUUCAUGCCAAGACUAAAUAUAAAGCAAAGACUAAGACUUAUCAUUUUUUCUUUGGUUUUACUUUUCUUUUUAAAACUUCCCUUAAUUUCUAUGAUAAGUCUUAGUCUUUGCUUUAUACUUAUUUUUGUAGAGUAAAGAUGAGGGCAAAAAGAUUGACACACUUUCAUCUUGCAGUAAUACACAUCCUAAGAAAAUUAUCUUUCCAUGAUUAUCUAUACCAAACCAUACUCCAAGAAGCAAUCCGUAAGUGAUAGAACACUAUGUAGUGUCAAAGGUACCAGCAUCAACAAAUACUGUAUAUGCUGGAAUAGAAUCUGCAUAUGACCAUGAAAUAUUUUCAACCUUACUAUUUUCAGCCGUAGUAUAAUCAUAAACAAAAUUAUCUUCCCUCUCUGCCAUAGCCUUGCCGGCCUCAAGAAGUUACGAUGUAUCAUUUUCUCUUUUCUCGGUAAGCAAAGCAUCACUUUCUUGAACAGUCUUUUCACAAGUCCGCACAAAAUUCCUUGCAUCCUUCUUGAUAAAAGGCAACUGUCCGCGCUGGACUCCCUUUUCUAAUUCCAAAACUUUCAUGAUACCAUUGACAGGAAACCCGGCUUUGGAGAGUAAAAGAAUUCUUUCCUGAUCUGCUUCCUGUAUUUUCCGAUAUGCCGGAAGCAAACUGACUUGGUCAUCUUCCAAUAAUUCAUGGUUAUUUACAUUACUAAAUUGUGAAACACACCAUUGAGUAACAUCAUGGAUGACUUCUUUUGUGGAAUAAAAUUUUGCAUCACAUCCACAUCGCACUGAAUUCCAGUCUCCCGGAUGCUCCACAUUGACCUUUUUUCUUAGUUGGUUAAACCCAUAUCUAUAACAGAUAAACUCUCGAUGGUAGAUCCCUAAAUUCUAGCUUUCUCUGGAGCAUGCUUUUGUUAUUGAAAAUCCAUUCUUCCGUGCAAAAUUGCUAUAGUACUCAAAAUAAUCAUCAUCACCUUUGAAUAUUUGACAUACAUAUGGCAUAAAGAUAGCUUCUGAUGAUAAGGAUGUUGAAGCUGUCUCAUUCUUUAUUACCUGAGAGUGCUGAAAGCUUACUGAUGUCUGAUCUUCUCCUUCAUACUUAACAUAACACUUCCAAUCACCACAUGGACACUGCUGAUGUCGAAUCCAAAUGUUUUUUGACGGUUUCAUUGUCAUGUUGUGGGAAAAGAAGUGAUAAAUUCCCAACCUUGAUGCUCUUCUUAGUACCUGGAGAAAGAGAAAGCCUUAAGAACUUCAUGAUCUUAGAUUUAUUAUUUGAGAUGAAAGAAAACAAAGACAUCCACCAGAAUAAAAAACAUCUUUUCCAAUAGGGAAGUGAAGGGGCUUAGCAGAAGUCCUGAACACCUUCCAAUUUCAGUAAGGAUAUUUUUCAGUAUAAUUUUUCUCACAUUAAUAAAAUUUUGGCCCCUGCGUGGGUGAGACUAUCGUUGCCCUUCCACAUAAAAGUCCUAUAAAGUGGAAACAGUUUUGUACUGGAAAAUCUUUUAUUCAGGGUAAGUUUUAACCAAAAUUGAAUCGGUAAAUGAUUAAUUUGUUUGUAAUGGAUACUUAUAAAUGCAAUACUUGCCAACUUUUGACUCCAUACCAAAGGGUUAAAGUUUCAAUAUGUCUCCCAACUGCUUAAAAGAAACAACUAAGAGUAUAAAAGAAACUAUAAGUCCCCUUCUAGUUGGAGCUUCUACUUUUUGCUUUUUGCUUUUAGAAGAAUUACUAGAAAGGAAAAGCCAAAGGUGAAAAAAAACAACAAUAUCAUAAUUGAUCUAAAACAGAAAAAAUAAUUAAAAUAUAAAAUCAAUUGUAACACAUUUAAUCUAUAUAGAAGUAGAAUUAUGUAGUUAAUCAUAAAAAAUUUACAUAUUUCAAAAUUUUAUUGCUUAUGGAAAUGCAAUUUUUGCUUUUUUGCUUUCGGAAGCAAAAAGCAAAAAGCAAAAAUCCAAUCAAACGGACUCUAAAUAAGACAAAACAACCAAGAACUUUACAUGGUUCACUAAUACAUUAAUUUUGCAUGAGUAAUUUUAUGUUCUCGAUAGUUCCCUUUUUUAGUAGUUUCUAUUUCUAGUUAUUAACUUAUAUUCUAAUUUUUUUUUAAUUUAAUUUUUAGAAGUUUUUUAGAAAUGAUUUAUGUAUGCACAGUGCUUGAAAUUUACAUUUUAUUUUGCAAUUACUUUAUUGUUUAUAGAAACAUCGUAUGAAGCAUAUUUUUUAAGACUAUGUUUAUGUAUACCAUAUACAUACAUACAUACAUCCAUACAUCCAUAUACACUAAUAUAAGGGCUACUUUUGAUAGUUUUAAUAGUUUAUGUAUAACUCUUAGUUUUAAUAGUUUAAAGUUCAAAUUCUGACAAUCUCAUAUAAAAAAAAUCUUCUUAUUUAAAAAAUUUCUUUUAUGCAAGAUAAUUUAUAUAUAUCUAUAAAUUUCUCCACAUAUGAUUAAUAGAAUUUUUAAAUUUUAUAAACAUUAUUAAAUCUCAUAUUUUUUGUAAGAUAUUUUCUCUUAACUAUUUUUUUCAAACCUAAAUGUAAUCUUUUUCAACUUAUCGAAUAUGAAAAUUCAGUAAGUUAUAUAACUUAAGAAAUGCAUAUCUAGGAGCUUUAAAAUUAAAAUGAGAUGAAUAAAUAAAUAAUUUCACUUAAAAAUUAAAAAAAGGAGUGGAUGUAGCGAAAAAUAUGAUGGUGUAUUCAGAAUCACCCAUCAGAAAAUUAUACUUUAUAAAAAAAUUGAUAUUCUAUUUUUUGAACUCACAAAGAAAAUGAUAGUAUGAGAUUUUUUUAUUGGUAUUUAGUCUUUUCUUUACUUUAUUCUUUUAAGCCUUCCCAUCAUGCAAAUGUCUAAGUCUUCUUGCCCUAUCAUUACUCUGUGAAGAUAAUCUUCUUAGCAAUUUGCUUAAGUCAAGUCUGUCUCUUAAAAAAGAUAACAAAACAUAACAACUUUUUCAAUGGUGGUUGUCUUUUUUCUUUUUUUCAAUUAAAUUGGCAAACUAGGAAUGGAUUUUAAGUAUAUUAAUUAUUAUUGUUAUAUUUUAGUCUUUUUAAUGAUUUAGAUUGAAGUAACUGCUAAAAUUAUUAUUUUUGUAAAGUCAAGAUGGGGGAAAAAAGAUUAACACAUUUGUGUGUUUGAUGCGUAUAAAGCAGGACUAAGAUUUAGACCAAUGCAUUCCCAUAGUAUCUAUCAUUUUUUUUCUUAUUCCACCAUUAUAAAAUCACAGUUUUAAAAAUAGACAAGUUUGAGAAGUGGGAAUGAAUGUGUUCUUUAAAAUUUUUUUUCAAACUUUUUAACAAAAAUAAAAUAUAGGUUUUUAAUCUGUUGAUUUUUAUUUUUUGCCAAUCAAUUGGUUGAUUAAGCAACUUCUUGCUCAUACUUUUGUUCUUAAUGUACUAUUAGAUCUCAUGAUAUGUGCAUUUUUUUAUUUCUUAGUUUUUUUAUUGUUAAUAUAUUUUAAAGAGAUUCUCUUAUUUAAAAUUAAAUGAGCAAAUUAAUAACCAUGUAGUUUGUUAGUAAAAUGUUGAACUUUCAUUUUCAAUAGUUCAUAAUUCAAAUCCUGAUAACCUCACAUAAAAAAAAAAAAGACAAUUUUCUAGUUUCAUAAAUUUCAUGUAUAUGAGAUAAUUUAUAUAUAUUUCGAUUUCAUCAUAUAUGAUUAAUAGAGAUUUUAAACUUUAUAAAUGGUAUUAGAAUCUCAUCCUUUAUGCAAGAUAUUUUCUCUUAACUAUUUUUUUUCCAAACCUAAAUGUAACUUUUUUCUAACUUACCAGAUAUGAAAAUCCAAUAAGUUAUAUCUAUAUGCUUUAAAAUUAAAAAAAGAUGGGUAAAUAAGUAAUUGCACUUAAAAAUUAAAAAAAAUGAUAUAGAGAAAAAAAUGAUGAUAUAUUCAUAAUCACCCAUCACAAAACUAUACUUUAUAAAAAAAUUGAUAUUUUAAGUUUGGACUCACAAAGAAAAUGAUAGUAUAAGAUCUUUUUAUUGGUAUUUAAUCUUUCCUUUGUUUUAUACUUUUAAGUCUUCUCAUCAUGCAAAGGUCUAAGUCUUCUUGCCCCAUCAUUAAUAUGUGAACAUAAUCUUCUUAGCAAUUUGCUUAAGUCACGUCUACCUUUUAAAAAAGACCAAAAAAAAAAAACAAUUUUCUCAAUGAAAGUUAUCUUUUGUCUUCUAGUUAAUGGCACACAAGGAAUGGAUUUUAAGUAUAUUAAUUAUUAUUGUUAUAUUUUAAUCUUUUUAAUGACCUAGACUGAAGCAAUUGCUAAGAUUAUUUUUGUGAAGUAAAGAUGGGGGCAAAAUGAUUGACACAUUUGCAAGCUUGAUGCCAAAACUAAGUAUAGAGCAAAGACUAAGACUUAGACCAAUACAUUCCCAAAGUAUCUAUCAUUUUCUUUCUUAUUCUACCAUUAUAAAAUCACAAUUUUCAAAAUAGAGAAGUUUGAGAAGUGAAAAUGAAUAUAUUCUGUAGAUUUUUGUUUUUCAAACCUUUCAGCAAAAAUAAAACACAAGUUUUUAAUUUGUUGAUUUUUUUUGGCCAAUCAAUUUGUUAAUUAAGCAACUUCUUUCUCAUGCUUUUGCUCCUAAUGUACUAUUACACUUCAUGGUAUGAGCAUUUUUUUAGUUUUUUAUUGUUAAUAUACUUUAAAGAUAUCCUUUAAUUUAAAAAUUCAAUGACCUAAUAACCAUAUAAUUUGUUAGUAAAAUGCUAAACUCUUAGUUUCAGUAGUUUAAAAUUUAAAUCCUGACAAUCUCACAUAUAAAAAAAUAAAAAAAAAAGACAAUCUUCAAAUGAAAAAAUUUCAUGUAUAUGAGAUAAUUUAUAUAUAUAUUUUAAUUUCUUUACAUAUAAUUAAUAGAGUUUUUAAAUUUUAUAAACAGUAUUAAAAUCUCAUACUUUCUAUAAGAUAUUUUCUCUUAAUUAUUUUUUUUUCAUACCUAAAUGUAAUUUUUUCUAACUUACCAGAUAUGAAAAUUCUGUAAGUUAUAUAACUCAUCAAAAAUACUUAUUUAGAAAUUUUAAAAUUAAAACAAGAUGAGUAAAUAAGUAAUUUCACUUAAAAUAUUUUUUUAAAAAGGUGGAUGUAGAGAAAAAAUGAUGGUGUAUUUAGAAUCACCCAUCACAAAAUUAUACUUUACAAAAAAAAAAUUGAUAUUCUAUUUUUGGAUUAACAAAGAAAAUGACAGUAUGAGACAUUUUUUAUUGGUAUUUAGUCUUUUCUUUACUUUAUACUUUUAAGUCUUCCCAUCAUGCUAAUGUCUAAGUCUUCUUGUCCCAUCAUUACUCUGUGAAAAAUAAUCUUCUUAGCAAUUUGCUUAGUCAAGUCUUUCUUUUAAAAAGACAAAAAAUAGCAAUUUUCUCAAUGGUGGUUGUUUUUUAUCUUCUAAUUAAAUUGGCAAACUGGGAAUGGAUUUUAAGUAUAUUAAUUAAUAUUGCUAUAUUUUAGUCUUUCAAUGACUUAGACUGAAGCAAUUGCUAACAUCAUUUUUUUUGAAGUAAAAAUAGGGGCAAAAAGAUUGACAUAUUUGCAUGCUUGAUGCCAAGACCAAGUGUGAAGCAAGGACUAUGAUUUAGAUCAAUGCAUUCUGAUAGGAUCUACCUUUAUCUUUCUUAUUCCACCAUUAUAAAAUCACAAUUUCCAAAAUAGACAAAUUUGAGAAAUGGGAGUGAAUGUGUUCUUUAGAUUUUUUUUUUCAAACUUUUCAACAAAAAUAAAAGAUAGGUUUUUAAUUUGUUGAUUUUUUUAGCCAAUCAAUUUGUUGAUUAAGCAACUUGUUUUUAUGCUUUUGUUGNNNNNNNNNNNNNNNNNNNNNNNNNNNNNNNNNNNNNNNNNNNNNNNNNNNNNNNNNNNNNNNNNNNNNNNNNNNNNNNNNNNNNNNNNNNNNNNNNNNNNNNNNNNNNNNNNNNNNNNNNNNNNNNNNNNNNNNNNNNNNNNNNNNNNNNNNNNNNNNNNNNNNNNNNNNNNNNNNNNNNNNNNNNNNNNNNNNNNNNNNNNNNNNNNNNNNNNNNNNNNNNNNNNNNNNNNNNNNNNNNNNNNNNNNNNNNNNNNNNNNNNNNNNNNNNNNNNNNNNNNNNNNNNNNNNNNNNNNNNNNNNNNNNNNNNNNNNNNNNNNNNNNNNNNNNNNNNNNNNNNNNNNNNNNNNNNNNNNNNNNNNNNNNNNNNNNNNNNNNNNNNNNNNNNNNNNNNNNNNNNNNNNNNNNNNNNNNNNNNNNNNNNNNNNNNNNNNNNNNNNNNNNNNNNNNNNNNNNNNNNNNNNNNNNNNNNNNNNNNNNNNNNNNNNNNNNNNNNNNNNNNNNNNNNNNNNNNNNNNNNNNNNNNNNNNNNNNNNNNNNNNNNNNNNNNNNNNNNNNNNNNNNNNNNNNNNNNNNNNNNNNNNNNNNNNNNNNNNNNNNNNNNNNNNNNNNNNNNNNNNNNNNNNNNNNNNNNNNNNNNNNNNNNNNNNNNNNNNNNNNNNNNNNNNNNNNNNNNNNNNNNNNNNNNNNNNNNNNNNNNNNNNNNNNNNNNNNNNNNNNNNNNNNNNNNNNNNNNNNNNNNNNNNNNNNNNNNNNNNNNNNNNNNNNNNNNNNNNNNNNNNNNNNNNNNNNNNNNNNNNNNNNNNNNNNNNNNNNNNNNNNNNNNNNNNNNNNNNNNNNNNNNNNNNNNNNNNNNNNNNNNNNNNNNNNNNNNNNNNNNNNNNNNNNNNNNNNNNNNNNNNNNNNNNNNNNNNNNNNNNNNNNNNNNNNNNNNNNNNNNNNNNNNNNNNNNNNNNNNNNNNNNNNNNNNNNNNNNNNNNNNNNNNNNNNNNNNNNNNNAUUCAGUGUUCCAAGGCACCAAUACAUGAUUGUGUUUAAUUCCAUUUGUGAUGGCAUAGAAAACAUUGUAUAAUUUGUCAUAUAUAUGAAAAUGAACUAAAUGGGAUGAAAUUUUCUUUCUUAUUCAUAUAAGAAAGAUAUGACUAUGGAGAUAGAAUGCCAUCAUCCAAUUAAUACAUUAUUGGUUAAAGAAAAUAAAGGUAUUUUUGCUUCUUGUACCUGAAAAAAUGGUCUUUUAUAGGCUGUUUUAAAAUGAAAACUGAACAAGUUUUUAGAGGGUUUUUAAUAGUAUCAUGGACAAAUGGCCAAAGAUGUGGCUUGGUUAUAUACCAGUAUUAACAUAUGGGCGUUAAAUUAAUAAAUUGGGUUUGUGAAAGCUGUAGCCUUAGAGUUAGGCAAUCAAUGAUUUAACCAACAUUGAAAUUCAUUCAUGAAUUUUUACAUGAAAUUAUGAGUAGAACUUUAGGAUUAUAAUUAUUGUUUAUAUUAGUGUAUGAAAAUGAUUAUUUGGAAUUCAUGUUUAUGACUUGCAUUUGAUAUAGUGAUCUAGAUAUGAACAUAUUGGUCACAAAUGAUUGUGAAAAUAUUUAAAAUUAGAGUUAAAUAUACUAUUAGACACUAUUGUAAAUAAGCAUAUUGGUCUUAUGAGUAAAGUUUUAAUUUAUUAUAUAUCCAAAAAUGUUUUGACCAAUUAAAAGGUGUUAAAUAACAAGAUAUAUAGGCUACACAAUGGUGGAGAGAAAUAAAGUUCUCAUAAAAUUUUGAAAUCAAGUUUAGAGGUUUCAAUAAUCAUGAACUUGGGAAUUGGCUAUUGGGCAAUUACUAUAUGCAUUGAAAACUCAUGAUAACAUUUGAGAUGGUUGGCUUUCACUAAAAGACAUCAUUAUAACUGAGAUAAUUUUAAUAGCCAAAUCUACAUGAUUUUUAGGUAUGAGGUGGAUUAUUAUGGUGGGAGUAGAAUAGCCAUAAGCCAAAAUUGAUGCCACAAUCUUGAUCAUGUUGUGGUAAUUUUUGUUACGUAUAUGGUCUACUUCAUAGAUUGUACAAAUGAUUUAUCAUCUAUGGUUUUAUAGAGUUAAAAUUUCAAAGUAUAUUUACUUUGGAAGCCAUGAGUGAUUCAAAGAUCUUAUGAAUUUGAAAACUUUUAUAAUAGCAAAAAGAAUGCUAUUUGAUCCAUUUGGGUGAUGAAAGUGGUUUUGUUCAUGGUAAUAAAAAAUUAUUAAUAGUGUCCAUGAUGAAAUAGAUUCAUAUAAAUAUUUAUGUAUUGACAUAAAAGUCUUAAAAAGAGAUCAUAGAAGCAUGAUUAUAUAUGAAAUCUAAUUAUUGAUAUAAACUCUUAUAUUAAGUUAAAAUAUAAAAGUUUUAGAACUUUUAUUGAAAUAUUAAAAUAUCAGCUAAUUAUCUUUCAUUAAGAAUGGAUUUGGAGGCCUCCUACUUAAAAAGAAAAAAGCCACCAAAUAGUUAAAAGAUAAAUGAAAUGACAAUUUGAUUAAAUAUAUAUGAUAUCUUGACAAUUGAAUAAGAUAUUCUUUAAUAAAAGAAUGCAUACUUGCACAUGGUGGGGGUGAUAAGAAUCAAAAUAAAUAAAAAUUACCACCAUAGUGUUAUAAGAUUUUAUUAAAAUUUUAUGAGCAAAUUAUAUAAGCUAAUAAGUUUAAACAUUUAUUAAAGUAAAGUCAUAAAAAAAGUCCUUAAAAAUCUUAGAAGGACUAAAAUUGUUUGGUUUAUUCAUUGAGUUUAUCUAAUUGUACUAGAAGUAUAAUUGUAUUAAAAAUGUAUAAAAGUAUGGAAAUAGAGUGGUUGAAAUUAAUAAAUAUAGAGUUGUGGCCACAACCAAAACCAACCAUUUCUUAAAAUGAUAAGAAUUAGGCAACAAUGUCCAAAGCAUAUAAAUGAUAUACAAAACAUACUAGCCUGAAGUAAUUAUAUUAGAGAUUCAAUCUCAAGUGGGGAUAAUUACCAUAAAAGAAAUUUGAAUUUCAAAAUAUUUGAUUUGUAGUAUUACAACUAGAAUGGAUUUAAACCCUUACUAUUAGACACCGAUAAUGGGAACUAAACUUUGAAUUAGUAAUCUGUAAUUACAAAGUUUAAUGGGUAAAAAUAAGUUAUUAUUACAUGUCUAUUAAACACUAAUAAAAUCCAUUUAAAUUUUAGAAACUAGUGUGAUCCAUUGCAAGGGGAGGAUAAGUUUUUAUACUUUUAAUGGAGUUUUAAAUGUCUAAAAAAAUGGAGACAUAAUAGAAACUUACCUAUAUUAACAUAGAAGUGGUGCCGCUUCAACAAGACGAAUUGGGUCUCUCUUGUAAAUGUUUAUGAAUAGGAUAAGCACAUAGCCAUAACAGUGCUAAAAACGGUUAUAAACCUCCUACAAAAGAAUAAAUAAGAAUUAUAUGUGUUAUACUUUAAUUCUAAUACCAAGAGUUGACGUUUAAUAUACGGAUACCAUCAACUUUAUUAGAAUUUUAAGAUAUAUACACUAAUUGAAGGUUUAAAUCGAGAAAUACUUUCUUGUAUUCAUAAUAUUUAUUAGUGUGAAAGGUAAAAAUUAAGCACCAACAUUCCAAACUAAUGGGGUAUUGUUGGUAGUUUAGAAUGUGGUGCAUCUCACAUUGGAUAGAAAGAUUUAAUUAUUGAUAGAUAAAAUUAAUUUUUGUAUGAAUUUAUUCAUAUUUUAAAUAAUUAUGUUUGAAUAAAAAUAAUUAUCAUAUGACAUAUGGUCAUAACUAUUUGAAUAUAAAUAAAUUAUUAUUCAUAAAGGUCAUGAUUAUAUAGAAUAUCAUAAUCAUCUGAAUAUAAGUUUAUGUCUUUUCAUUUAUUAUAAAUAAAUCUUUUAGUAUAACCAUUUUCACUACUUUUGAUUGGAGAGUUUGAGAUUAAUUUCUAUUAUUUCUCUUCUCUUAUUUAUUUUUUCUAACAUAUACAACUUCUCUCCCCCUAACCUUGUGUUUUCUCCCCCAAAGCCUCCUCUGCUCGUUUAAGAACUUUCUCUCGUAUAGCAUGAGCAUCUUCUGUAAACUUGGUCUCAGUUUCUAAGGUUGCCGUAGCUCUGCUAUCAUUUCAAACUUGAAUUUCCUUCGAAGACUCACAUUGAAAAAUCGGUUUAUCAAAUUCUGUAUUUGUUUCAGUGGGAGCAGCACUCCUGGAGGAUUCAGUUGAAAAGUAUAACUUAUUGUUAGGCUGCAAGCCUUUUUCUGAUUGUGCAACAGAGAUGUGCCAUUUCUGGAGUCUUCAUCUUCAUCUUCAUCUUCCUUUGUUGUCCUUUUCCUUAUGUUUUUGGCCUUUGUUGGCUUCCUAAAUAAAUUGCAGACUGAAAAAUCAAAGGGUCGGCUAUAUAAGUAAAUAUACAUAUACACCUUUAAAAGGAAAAAAAAAAAAAAAGAAAAAAAUUUUACUUGUUCAGAUUGUUAAGGUUCUUUUCCUAGAUACUGGGGCUCGCUUGAAUCUGUCAUCUUAACAGAAAAAAGAGCAAAGGUUUUAUAAGUUCCUUGCCUCAAGCAAGAUGAACUUCAAAUCGUUUCCGAUUGCUUCUUCAACACUUGAAAGAAGGUUUUAAACAAAGUGUCUCAAAAUCCUUAUUACUGUUAAUUAAGGUAAUGAAUGAUACAUGAUCAACAAGCUAACUGUUGUCAUAACAAGAUAAAAUCAAGCUUUCUCUCAUGAAAAGGCUAUAUGCUCAAUUUUACCCUAAAUCAUAAAUUUCUAUUUAUGUAAGAAAGUGAAGGAAUUAAAAUUUUUAUCCAAAUCACAAAAUGUAUUGGAGAAUUAGUAAGAAUCGGCCUUCAUCAAACACCUCCUUAUGUUUGAAGGCCUUCCUCAAGAAUACAAUUGUUCAUCCUGUGAACCCACUAAGAAGCCCAUUGUACGGCCCAACAUAUGGAUGGCUGUGCUGCGCAUGUAGCAGGGGAUGCAAAAUUCCCAUGUACUUGGAACAAUUUCCUAAGAGAAGAGAAUUUUAAAAAGCUAAUCAAAAUCAAAGAGAGUUUCAACAAAAUGAAACCUGAUGAAACACAGGGAAAUGGGUAGAAUCCAUAGAAUCUCUAAGGUAAACAUCGCCAGUUACAAGUAAAAGAGUGUGUCCCCUUCUCAACAGCUCUGCUUGAUGAGCACUUGUCUGACACCUCAGUACAGUUUGAGAGUCAACGUAACAUGUAUCAUUAUAGCUCCUGCUUACAUGAUCAGCAGGCACAAGGACCCUAUUGGCUGGUCAUACUGUUUGCAUAGCUCCAAAAACAGCUCUACCGAAAUGUAAAAGCCUUUUUGGAUUGGAGAGAUGGAAUGAUAUUCAAAAUCGCCUGGUCAAAUUAAAAAGCUCACUACAGAGACCAUGUAUUUUGGAACAACAUACUUUAAUGGGCCAUAUGUAGGGAGAGAGCAAUGUUUAUAAACUCAAUAUAUUAGCAAAACUAUUCUUUCCCUUGCACUCACUAACCCGCACACAAUCCCACAGGGGUUCAAGCCUACUGGGUAACUUAUGUAAUCCUAAGUUAAAACACAACCUUUGGUGAUCUACAAAAGCCCAUACAGAUACAAAAUUCAGAUCUUUUUUUUUUUAAAUUUUUCAAAGAUCCUUGUAAUACCCGUAAAAAAAAAGGGGGGGGGCUAUUUUAAGUGGGGGUUUAGUAAAGACUGAGAAAUGUAGAUGACCUAUUGAUAAAUAACUCAAUUUUUUUUAAUAGGGUUAACUUAUUUAGUUUUCAGUCGACGACUAAUCGAAAGAAAAAUACAAACUUAUUUUUCCUCUAUUUCUUAUACAGAAAAGAUAAAUUGAAGGAUUCCAAGUGAAGGGAAAGAACUAAUCUACAAGGAAAAUUGUCUAUCAAAGGUAAGUAAAUAAUCUCUUUCAAUUUUAGAAUAUUGAUUGUUAAGUCUUGAAGUGUAAUUUGUAAUCGUUCCAUUAUCUCUCUUCGGGCAGAUAAUUUAGGCUUUAAUUAGGGUCAAAUUAAGUGUUGAGAAAGUUGGUAAUGUGAUUUUAUUGCUGAAACAGAAAUUUGAUGAGAAUAGAAAGGAAAAUUUUUGUUUCAUAUGAAUCCUGAUAUGAAUCUUGUGUUUGUAGUGAUGGAUUAAGGUUAUAUUCUGUAUUAAAAGGUUAAAUAUUGCUAUGAUAAUUAUAUAUCGUUGAAAAGCAUGUUGAAUCUACUUUCUAAUGAAACAAACGGGAGUCAAAUUCGAGUUUUCUAUAAAGAGUUAUCCAAUUUUUACCUAAGGAUGUGCAGGCUGCCUAGUAGCAGCAAUAGGGAGGAAUUUCGAAAUUCCUCUUAAUUUUUAUACAAGAAUUUACAGAUUAAGCUAUAUAUGUUUGAAAAGCCUAUUGAUUCUACUUUCCAAUGAAUUAAGCAGAAUUGAAUUUGGAGUUUCUUAUGAAUAAAUACGUAAUUUUUAGGAGAAGGGAUACAGGCUGUCUGGCAGCAGCAUAUGACGUGGAUUGCAAAAAUUUUUAUAAUUAAUCCACAAGGAAUCACGAGAUGGCUCAUAUAUGGUUAGAAAGCUUGUCGAGUCUAGUUUCUAACACAUUAAAAAGAUUUUAAUUCUGAAUUUGAUAUCUUGAGAUAUGGUCAUUUUAGUAAAAGUAGUGCAGGCUGCCAGAAUUAGUUACUUGAGUUAUUUCUUAUUUAGAUUAAUUGUUUUGGUAUAAGCAGUCUUAAAUGGGUUGAUUAACUACUAUUAUGUUGAAAUUAUCUUGAAUAGGCCAUUAAUUAUUGAGGGAAAAAAACUAUGUGGCAGAAUCGGAAAGAGGUAAGUAGAAUCACACUUUGCUUGUUUUUGAAUCAAUGUAUAUAUAUGUUUUUCUAAAUGAAUAAAUGUUUUAUUUCUUUAUUUUCGACAUAUGAAAAUAGGAUCAAGCAUAUGAUUGUUUUGUGUUUUGCUAUGUAAAUAAUGGUUCAUGUUUAUGAAUGAAAUGAGAAAGUGAUUUUUGUUUAAAAGAAUGAUUUUAUGAUAGCUACGUUUUUACAUCUCUAGGAAGUGGAGUCUUCGACACCAGAACUAGUUCUACGGCCCUAGCUAAUGGUUUAUAAUAGUUAGCAAAGAAAUGAUCAUACGACCCUGUUAACGGGUUAUAGUAGUUAGUGUAAGGCCCUAGCUAGCGGGUUAUAAUAGUUAGCAAUGAUCAUAAGGAUGAAAUUGUUGAUACGGCCAAUGUCACGGGUUAUAUUAGUAACCAUAGCUAACAAUAAAUGAAUGAUAAUGAUGGUUUGUAAUGAAUGAUUUUUUUAUAAAUUGAUCUAUGAUUUGGUGACAUGUUUUGAUACUGAUUUACGAUCUAUGAAUACUUAAUAGAAUGCCGAUAUUUGAAUUAUUUUUGACAUUAUGCGUUGAUAAAUGUUUUAAAGAAUGAUCUAUAUAGUACGUAUGAAAAUGAUGUUUGAUCUGGUAAGAUGUGUGAGCCUAUACUUACUGAGCUAUAGUUUGCUCAUUCCCUAUUUUCUUUUCUUUUACAAAUAUUAUAAAUGAUAAGUAUGAUUAGUCUUGAGAGGAGCUAGAAGAAUCAACCAUUGGAGAACUACUUAGAAAUUAGGAUUUUAUAAAGUAUUGUUUUUUUUAGUUGUAAUACUUGACUUUGAACCUUUGGAGACUUGUUAUUUAGUUAUUUUCUUAAUGAGAACCUUAUUAUACUUGAGAGUUGUUCAAUGAUUAUGGAUUAGGCUUCAUAUUGCUUUGGGAUUUUACUUCAAAGUAAUAUGGCCGUGUUAUGUCUCAAUCUCAGGAUGUGACAAUCCUAAACCAAUUAUUCUAAAACAGAGCAUAAGAUUGAUUGUGCAGAAAAAAUUGGGCAGAGAUUAUCAAACUCAUCAAACAUGUUGGGGUAAUUAGUAUUGAAAUAGUCAUAUAUUCCAUUCUUCGGUUAUUCCUGCUAUGGAGCUACAUUCCCAGAUUUGAAAAAAAUUGUAUCCGGAAACAUUGUUUGUUAGAUCACCUCACCACAUCUACAAAUCCCACCAUCCAAACAUACUAAAUCAUUCAUAAAUUAUAAGUCAUGGAUCAGAUUUCACCAAUAACAAAAUAUCAAAGCAUGUUACCGUUCAAAUAUUCAAACCAAAAAACUCAAUAAUAGAUUUUGAUUACUGACACUUCAAUCAUGUAAUCCACCUAGACUACAGAUGCAUAUUUUGUUUAUGAUUAUUACUACAGAUGAAAUUUAAGGUUUGAAAAUAUUUCAUGGUCAUAUGGAGAUUCUGUUCGUGCAUAUACAGUAUUUUGUGAUGCGGUUUCCUUUGACACCACAUAUUGUUCUAUCACCUAUGGAUUGCUUCUUGGAGUAUGGUUUGGUAUAGAUAAUCAUGGGAAGCCAAUUUUCUUAGGAUGUGUAUUACUGUAAGAUGAAAGUUCUAAUUCUUUUGCUCGGGCUUUACAGUUUCGUGGACAUAAUUAAUUGUGAUCAAUCUGUAAUUGUCUUAUUGUCUAUUUAUGAUUUUCUUCUUUUGAACAGACUUUUCUUCGUUUUAUGAGAGUUAAACGUCCACAAACAAUUCUAACGGAUAUUGAAUCUAGCCUAAGAGAUGCUGUUGCAAGGGAAUUGCCAAAUACAAAACAUGUUAUAUGUUCAUGGCAUGUUCUUUCCAAAUUAUCAAGUCGGUUCUCUCUACCACUUGGGACACAGUAUGAAGCGUUCAAAGCUGAGUUUGAUAUGUUGUGUCACUUACAGGGAAUAGAGGAGAAAACGUCUGUGGAAUCAUUUGAUUGCUCGGAUGUAAAUAUGCAACUUGAUGCAGAUAAUUUUUAAUUUUGGGGAAGAGAGAGAAGGAAUGAAAUUGAGAGAUACUGUUUUUUUCUUUUGAAAUUUUACCAUGAUGUUUAGUUGUUGUAGUCAGAUUUUCCUGAGGUUAUGAUGCUUCAGAAAUCCAGAUACUAGUGAUUUCUUGUCCCAAAAUAGUUCAUUCUUCACCUUCAUCCAUUUCAUCUGGUUUGUUUUCCGGGAAUAAAAGCAUAUUCCUUAUUGGCUGCAAAAUUUUCAUUCAUUUUACCUUCAAAUUUAUCAAACAAAUAAAUUACUAAUUGACUUGGUUAGUAUAGUUGAAUCAUAUAACUUAGAAAAUGCAAUCAGUUACUAGAGUUUUUAGAUUAUAAGUGUUAUAAAUAUAUUAAAAAAUUAUAUUAAAAAUCUUAGGAUAUGUGUUAAUAUUCUAAUACCGUUUAUAAAAUUUAAAAACUCUAUUAAUCAUAUGUGAAGAAAUUGAAAUAUAUAAAAAUGAUCUCAUAUAAAUGAAAUUUGUGAAAUUAAAGGAUUGUCCUUUUUUUUUUUUUUGGGUACAUGAGGUUGUCAAGAUUUGAACUUUAAAAUUAUUGAAAUUAAGAGUUUAGGAUUCUACCAAUAGACCACCUAAUUGUUGAUUUAUUGAAUUUUAAAUGAGAGGAUCUCUUUAAAAUAUAUUAAUAAUAUAAAACUAAAAAAAUAAAAAAAAUGCACAUACCAUGAAAUCUAGUAGUACAUUAGGAAAGCAUGAGAAACAAGUUCCUUAAUAAACAAAUUAACAGGCAAAAAAAAAUCAACAAAUUGAAAACCUGUGUUUUAUUUUUUUCUAAAAAGUUUGAUGAAAAAAAAUCUAAAGAACAUAUUCAUUCUUACUUCUCAAACUUGUUUAUUUUGAAAAUUGUGAUAUUAUUAUAAUGGUGGAAUAAGAAAGAAAAUGAUUAGAUAUUAUGUGAAUGUAUUGGUCUAAGUCUUAGUCUUUGCUUUAUACUUAGUCUUAGCAUCAAGCAUGCAAAUGUGUAAGUCUUUUUACUCCAUCUUUACUUCACAAAAAUAAUAAUUUUAGCAGUUGCUUCAGUCGAAGUUAUUAAAAAGAUUAAAAUAUAACAAUAAUAAUAAUUAAUAUGCUUAAAAUGCAUUCCCAAUAUGCUAAUUUAAUUGGAAAACGAAAGACAACCUCUAUUAAGAAAAUUGCUAUUUUUUUUAUCUUUUUUAAAUGAUUGACUUGAUUCAAGUAAACUGUUAAGAAGAUUAUUUUUCAUAGAGUAAUGAUGGGGCAAGAAGACUUAGACAAUUGCAUGAGGGGAUGACUUAAAAGAAUAAAGCAAAAAGAAAAGACUAAAUAUCAAUAAAAGAAAUCUCAUUACUGUCAUUUUCAUUGUGAGUCCAAAAUUAAAAUAUCAGGUUUUUUUUAUAAAGUAUAAUUUUGUGAUGGGUGAUUCUAAAUAUACCAUCAUUUUUUUCUCUACAUUCACUUUUUUUUUUUUAAUUUUCUUAGUGAUACUACCUAUUUACCCUUCAAGUUUUAUUUUUAAAGCUUCUAAAUUCACAUUUCAAAAAAAAAUGCAUUUCCCAAUAUGACUAAUUUAUUGGGAUGAGAUUCUAAUAUAAGACAACCUCUAUUAAGAAAAUUGCUAUUUUUUUAUCUUUUUUAAAUGAUUGACUUGAUUCAAGUAAACUGUUAAGAAGAUUAUUUUUCAUAGAGUAAUGAUGGGGCAAGAAGACUUAGACAAUUGCAUGAGGGGAUGACUUAAAAGAAUAAAGCAAAAAGAAAAGACUAAAUAUCAAUAAAAGAAAUCUCAUUACUGUCAUUUUCUUUGAGUCCAAAAUUAAAAUAUCAAGUUUUUUUUAUAAAGUAUAAUUUUGUGAUGGGUGAUUCUAAAUAUACCAUCAUUUUUUUUCUCUACAUUCACUUUUUUUUUUUAAUUUUCUUAGUGAUACUACCUAUUUACCCUUCAAGUUUUAUUUUUAAAGCUUCUAAAUUCGCAUUUCUAAUAAGUUAUAUAACUUACUGGAUUCUAAUAUCCAAUAAGUUAAAAAAAAGGUUACAUUUAUGCUUAGAAAAAAAUAGUUCAGAGAAAAUAUCUUACAAAAUGUAUGAGAUUCUAAUAUCAUUUAUAAAAUUUAAUUCCUUUACUAAUCAUAUGUGAAAAUAUUGAAAUGUAUAAAAAUUAUUUCGUAUAUAUGAAAUUUAUGAAAUUAGAAGAUUUUUUUUUUGUGAAGUUCUCAGGAUUUAAACUUUAAACUACUAAAAAACUAAGAUUUUAGCAUUUUACUAAUAGACUAUACGGUUAUUGGCUUAUUGAAUUUUUAACUCAUAUGAUCUCUUUAAAAUAUAUUAACAAUAAAAAACUUAAAAAUGCAAAUGCAAUGAAAUCUAAUAGUAUAUUAGGAACAAAAACAUGAGAAGCAAGUUGCUUAAUCAACAAAUUGAUUGGCCAAAAAAAAUCAACAAAUUAAAAACUUGUGUUUUAGUUUUGUUGAAAAGUUUUUAAAAAAAUCUAAAAAAUACAUUCAUUCUCACUUUUCAAAUUUGUCUAUUUUGGAAAUUGUGAUUUUAUAAUGGUGGAAUAAGAAAGAAAAAUGAUAGAUACUAUAGGAAUGUAUUGGUCUAAGUCUUGGUCUUUGCUUUAUACUUAGUCUUGGCAUCAAGCAUGUAAAUGUGUUAGUCUUUUUACCCCAUCUUUACUUCACAAAAAUAAUAAUCUUAGCAAUUGCUUCAAUCUAUAUCAUUAAAAAUACUAAAAUAUAACAAUAAUAAUUAAUAGACUUAAAACCCAUUCUCAAUUUGCUAAUUUAAAUGGAAGACAAAAGACAGCCUUCAUUGAGAAAAUUGCUAUGUUUUUGUCUUUUUUAAAAGAUAAACUUGACUUAAGUAUGUAAUAAUAUAUAGAUCUGUAAAUCUAUAGCUAGAUACUGACUUGAGGAGUCGCCAUUAAUUUUUUUUUGUUUAGGUGCAAUCAGCCACUUAAUUGAAUCUAUCCCUUUUAAAGAGGAUUCCUAAGUUCGACUUAGGUAUCUCUAAAAGAUAAAUUCAAUGUCUGCGAAACCAAAACUAAGUCUGGGAAUACAGUUACGUGUGAGGAAGGUUAUAGCACCCUCACAACUCCCAUCGGAAGAUGGUACCAACUUGAUUUCGUGUUAUCCAUUAAGCUUAAAAAAUUUACCAAGUAAUUAAUUAUUAAAAAUUAUUCUUAAUUGACUCCAAUACUUUUGACAAAAAAUUAAGAAAAUUCCCUCACCUCAAGAGUAUACAAGAAAACUACUGUUUCUCUUGUAGAGGCUCCAUCGUCGGAUUAUUUAAUGUUUAAAAAUUUUUCAAAGAAAGAAAAAGAUAAAAGAAAUAAUAAUUCGACUUUUGACAUAGAUUUUUUUUUGUUGUUUUAUAAGAAACAAAAACUCAUGCUUUUAUACAAGAAAAAUUGAUACUUUCAACUUUUCCUUAAUGCAUUUUAAGGUUUUUUAUUUUCAAGGAAAAUUGAUACUUUCAAUUUUUCCUUAAGAAUAUUUUUUCGUCAAAUUUUAUUUUUAAGAAAAAUUGGUAUUUCCAACUUUUCCUCAAGAAAUGUUUUUUUGAAAAUUUUAUUUUCAAGGAAAAUUGAUACUUUCAACUUUUUCUUAAAAAUAUUUUUUGAAAAAUUUUAUUUUUAAGGGAAGUUGAUACUUUUAACUUUCCCUCAAAAAUAUUUUUAAAACAAUUUUUAUGUUCAAAGAAAAUUGAUACAUUCAACUUUCCUUCAAAAAUAUUUUUUCAAAAUUUUAUUUUAAAGAGAUUAUUUAAAAUUAAAGGAUAUUUAAUUAAAUAAAUAACUUAUUUUAAUUUAGUCAAUAAAUAAAUAAGGGAAAAAAUAAUAAUCAAUAAAUAAAUAAUAAAAUUAAAUGGAAAAGAAAAAAAAACCUUUCGUGUGGCUCAACUCAGCGGCUGAAACAACAUGGUUAUAGACACAAUAAGGGCUAGAAUGACAUUGCUUGGGGGUAUGACUCGGCUUAAGACAAAGACUGGAAAAAGUUGUUAAAUCUGGGAAUUUUCUAGAUUUUUUUUCAAAAAAAAAUUUAAAAACUCCAAAAAAUCUUAAAAAAAUUUUCUUGACUGCUUUCUCUAAUUUAUGCCUCUCUCCCUAAUUUUUUUUGUGUGUUUGUAUGAUCUGUGUGGGCAUGUAUUUAUAGGAUUCUGAAUUUGAGAAUUUCAAUCCAAAAAGGAAUCCCAAUUUCCUUUGAAUUCCAACCUCAAAUCCAACUCCAACUUUACAAACCAAUUCCAACAAUUUCACACAAACUCAACUACCUUUUUUUUUGUUUUUUUUAUUUUUUUAUUAGCAAAAAUCAAAAGUAAACUCUCGGACAGAUUGGGGUGUCUACAAAGCAAACUACUAAGAAAAUUAUUUUUCACUAAGUAAUGAUGGGGAAAGAAGACUUAGACAUUUAAAUGAUGAGAAGACUUAAAAGUAUAAAGCAAAGAAAAGAAUAAAUGCCAAUAAAAAAAAAUCUCAUAUUACCAUUUUCUUUGUGAGUCCAAAAUUAGAAUAUCAAUUUUUUUUAUAAAGUAUAAUUUUGUGAUAGGUGAUUCUAAAUACACCAUCAUUUUUUUUUCUCUACAUACUCUUUUUCUUAAUUUUUAAGUGAAAUCACUUAUUUAUCCAUCUCGUUUUAAUUUUAAAGCUUCUAGAUAUACAUUACUGAUAAAUUAUAUAACUUAUUGGAUAUUUAUAUUCAGUAAUUAUAAAAAAGUUACAUUUAGGUUUGGAAAAAAAAAUAGUUCAAAGAAAAUAUUUUACAAAAGCAUAGCAAUAUUCUCAAUGGAGGUUGUCUUUUGUCUUCCAAUUAAAUUAGCAAAAUGAAAGUAGAUUUUAAAUGUAUUAAUUAUUAUUAUUAUUAUUAUUAUUUUAAUGACUUAGAUUGAAGUAACUACUAAGAUUAUUAUUUUUGUGAAGUAAAGAUGAGGGCAAAAAAACUGACACAUUUGCAGGUUGAUGCCAAGACCAAGUAUAAAACGAAGGCUAAAACUUAGACCAAUACAUUUCCAUAGUAUCUAUCAUUUUCUAUUUUAUUCCACCAUUAUAAAAUUACAAUCUUCAGAAUAGACAAGUUUCAAAGGUGAGAAUGAAUGUGUUCUUCACAUUUUUGUUUCAAACUUUUCAACAAAAAUAAAACAUAGGAUUUUAAUUUGCUGGGUUUUUUUUUUUGGCCAAUCAAUUUGUUGAUUAAGCAACUUGUUUCUCAUGUUUUUGUUCCUAAUAUACUGUUAGAUGUCAUGGUAUCUGCAUUAUCUUAUUUUUUGGGUUCUUGGUUGUUAAUUUAUUUGAAAGAGAUCCUCUGAUUUAAAAAUUCAAUGAGCCAAUAACCAUGUAAUCUAUUAGUAAAAUAUUGAAUUCUUAGUUUUGAUAGUUUAAAGCUCAAAUUCUCACAACCUCACAUACAAAAAAAAAGAAAAAGAUAAUAUUCUGAUUUCACAAAUUUCAUGUAUAUGAGAUAAUUUAUAUACAUAUAUAUAUUUCUAUUUUUUCAUAUAUGAUUAAUAGAGGAUUUAAAUUUUAUAAAUGGUAUUAGAAUAUCAUACUUUCCAUAAGAUAUUUUGUUUAACUAUUUUUUUCUAAACCUAAAUGCAACUUUUUUUUAACUUAUUGGAUAUGAAAAUCCAAUAAGUUAUAUAACUUAUCAUAAAUGUAUGUCUAGAAGUUUUUAAAAUUAAAACAAGAUGGAUCAAUAAGUAAUUUCACUUAAAAAAAAAAUAGUAUAUGUAGAGAAAAAAAUGAUGGUGUAUUUAGAAUCACUCUUCACAACAUUAUACUUUUAAAAAAAUUGAUAUUCUAAUUUUGGACUUACAAGGAAAAUGAUAGUAUGAGAUUUUUUUUGUUUGUAUUUAUUCUAUUCUUUGCUUUAUACCUUUAAGUCUUCCCAUCAUGCAAAUGUAUAAGUCAUCUUGCCCCAUCAUUACCUUGUGAAAAAUAAUUUUCUUAACAGUUUACUUAAAUCCAAUCUGUCUUUUAAAAAAGAAAAAAAAAACAUAGCAAUUUUCUCAAUGGAACUUAUCUUUUAUUUUCUAGUUUAAUUAGUUGAUUGGGAAUGGAUUUUAAGUAUAAUAAUUAUUAUUGUUAUAUUUUAGUCUUUGUCAUGACUUAGACUAAAGCAACUGCUAAGAUUAUUACUUCUGUGAUGUAAAGAUGGGGCCAAAAAGAUUGACAUAUUUGCAUGUUUGAUGCCAAGACUAAGUAUAAAGCAAAGACUAAGACUUAAACCAACACAUUCCUAUAGUGUCUACCAUUUUCUUUCUUAUUGCAUCAUUAUAAAAUCACAAUUUCCAAAAUAGACAAGUUUGAAAAGUGAGAAUGAAUGUGUUCUUUAGAUUUUUUUUUCAAACUUUUCAGCAAAAAUAAAACACAAGUUUUUAAUUUGUUGAUUAAGCAGCUUGUUUCUUAAGCUUUUACUGCUAAUGUACUAUUAGAUUUCAUGGCAAAUGUAUUUUUUUCUUUCUUUAGUUCUUUCUAUUGUUAAUAUAUUUUAAAGAGAUUCUCUAAUUUAAAAAUUCAAUGAGCCAAUAAACAUGUAGUUUGUUAGUAAAAUGCUAAAUUUUUAAUCUCAAUAGUUUAAAGUUCAAAUCUUUACAACCUUACAUACAAAGGAAAAAAAGACAAUCUUAUGAUUUCACAAAUUUCAUGUAUACGAGAUAAUUUUUAUAUAUAUUUUGAUUUCUUCACAUAUGAUUAAUAGAGUUUUUAAAUUUUAUAAACGGCAUUAUAAUCUCAUAAUUUCUGUAAGGUAUUUUCUUUUUACUUUUUUUUCAAACCUAAAUGUAACCUUUUUAAAUUAUGGAAUAUGAAAUCUGAUAAGUUAUGUAACUUACUAUAAAUGCAUAUUUAUAAGCUUUAAAAUUAAAAUGAGAUGGGUAAAUAAGUAACAUCACUUAAAAAUUAAGAAAUAAAGUAAAUGUAGAGAAAAAAAAUGAUGGUGUAUUUAGAAUCACCCAUCACAAAAUUAUAUUUUAUUAAAAAAUUGAUAUUCUAAUUUUGGACUUACAAAGAAAAUGAUAGAAUGAGAAUUUUUUUUAUUGGUAUUUAGUCUUUUCUUUGCUUUAUACUUUUUAAUCUUCCCAUCAUGCAAAUGUCUAAGUUUUCUUGCCCCAUCAUUAUUAUUUUUCAUAGAGUAAUAAUAGGGUAAGAAGACUUAGACAUUUGCAUGAUGGGAAGACUUAAAAGAAUAAAGCAAAGAAAAGGCUAAAUACCAAUAAAAAAAAUCUCACACUAUCAUUUUCUUUGUGUCCAUAGUUAAAAUAUCAACUUUUUAUAAAAGUAUAAUUUUGUGAUGGGUAAUUCUAAAUACAUCAUCAUUUUUUUCUCUACAUCAACUUUUUUUUUAAUUUUUAAGUGAAAUUAUUUAUUUAUCCAUCUCAUUUUAAUUUUAAAACUUCUAGAUAUGCAUUUAUGAUAAGUUAUAGAACUUACCAGAUUUUCAUAUCUGGUAAGUUAAAACAAGUUACAUUUAGGUUUGGAAAAAAUAUAGUUAAGAGAAAAUAUCUUACAAAGAGCAAAAGAUUCUAAUACUAUUUAUAAAAUUUAAAUCCCUUAUAAAUCAUGUGUGAAGAAAUAGAAAUAUACAUGAAAAUUGUGAAAUCAAAAGUUUGGGUUUUUUUUUUUUGUGUGCGAGGUUGUGAAAAUUUGAACUUUAAACUAUUGAAACUAAGAGUUCAAUUUUUUACUAACAUAUUACAUGAUUAUUGGCCUAUUGAAUUUUUUAAUUAGAGGAUCUAUUUAAAAUAUAUUAAGAAUAAAAAAUAAAAAAAUGUACAUACCAUGAAAUCUAAUAGUACAUUAGGAACAAAAGCAUUAGAAAAAAGUUGCUUAAUCAACAAAUUGAUUGGCAAAAAAAAAAAAAGAAAUCAACAAAUUAAAAACCUAUGUUUUAUUUUUGUUGAAAAGUUUGAAAAAAAAAAAUCUAAAGAACACAUUCAUUCUCACUUCUCAAACUUGUCUAUUUUGGAGAUUGUGACUUUAUAAUGGUGAAAUAAGAAAGAAAUCGAUAGAUACUAUGGGAAUGUAUUGGUCCAAGUCUUAAUUUUCGCUUUAUACUUAGUUUGACAUCAAGCAUGCAAAUAUGUUAGUCUUUUUGCCCCAAUCUUUACUUCACAAAAAUAAUAAUCUCAGUAGUUGUUUCAAUCUAAGUAAUUAAAAAUACUAAAAUAUAAUAAUAAUAAUUAAUAUACUUAAAAUCCAUUCUCAGUUUACUAAUUUAACUGAAGGACAAAAGACAACCUCUAUUGAGAAAAUUGCUAUAUUUUUUUUGUUUUGUCUUUUAUAAAAGAUAGACUUGACUUAAGCAAAUUGUUAAAAAGAUUAUUUUUCAUAGAGUAAUGAUGGGCAAGAAGACUUAGACAUUUACAUGAUGAGAAGACUUAAAAGUAUAAAGCAAAGAAAAGAAUAAAUACCAGUAAAAAAUCUCAUACUAUCAUUUUCUUUAUGAGUCCAAAAUUAGAAUAAAAAGUUUUUUUAUAAAGUAUAAUUUGGUGAUGGGUGAUUCUGCAUACACCAUUUUUUCUCUACAUACACUUUUUUUUUUUAAUUUUUUAAAGUGAAAUCACUUAUUUAUCCAUCUCAUUUUAAUUUUAAAGCUUCUAGAUAUACAUUUUUUAUAAGUUAUAUAACUUACUGGAUUUUUAUAUUCGAUAAGUUAAAAAAGUUAUAUUUAGGUUUGAAAAAAAUAGUUAAGAGAAAAUAUCUUAUGUACAGAAAGUAUGAAUUCUAAUACCGUUUAUAAAGUUUAAAUCCUUUGUUGAUCAUACGUGAAGAAAUUGUUAUAUAUAUAUAUAUAUAUAUAACUUAUCUUGUAUACAUGAAAUUUGUGAAAUCAGAAGAUUGUCUUUUUUUUUUUUGUGAGAUUGUCAAUAUUUAAAUUUUAAACUAUUAAAACUAAGAGUUCAACAUUUUACUAAUAGACUAUAUAGUUAUUGGUUCAUUGAAUUUUUAAAUCAUAGGAUCUUUUGAAAAUAUAUUAACAAUAAAAACCAAAAAAAAAAAAAGUGCAUACCAUGAAUAUAAUAGUACAUUAGGAACAAUAGCAUGAGAAACAAGUUGCUUAAUAUUGGCAAAAAAUAAUCAACAAAAUAAAAACCUAUGUUUCAUUUUUAUGAAAAAAUUUGAAAAAAAAAAUCUAAAGAACGCAUUUAUUCUUACUUCUCAAACUUAUCUAUUUUGGAAAUUAUGAUUUUAUAAUGGUGGAAUAAGAAAGAAAAUAAUAGAUACUGUAGGAAUGUAUUGGUCUAAGUCUUAGUCUUUGCUUUAUACUUAGUCUUGGCAUCAAGCAUGCAAAUGUUAGUCUUUUUGUCCCCAUCUUUACUUCACAAAAAUAAAAAUUUUAGCAAUUGCUUCAAUCUAGGUCAUUAAAAAGACUAAAAUAUUAUUAUAAUAAUGAUAAUAAUAAUAAUAAUAAUAAUAAUAAUAAUAAUAAUAAUUAAUAUACUUAAAAUCUAUUCUCAAUAUGCCAAUUUAACUAGAAAAGAAAAGAUAGCCUCCAUUAAGAAAAUUAUUAUUUUUUUGUCUUUUUAAAAAAAGUAGACUUAACCUAAGCAAAUUGUUAAGAAUUUUUUUUUUGCAGAGUAAUGAUGGGACAAAAAGACUUAGAGAUUUGCAAGAUGGGAAGACUUAAAAAUAUAAAACAAAGAAAAGACUAAAUACCAAUAAAAAAAAUUUCAUACUAUCAUUUUCUUUGUGAGUCCAAAAUUAGAAUAUCAAUUUUUUCAUAAAGUAUAAUUUUGUGAUGGGUGAUUUUAAAUGCUAUGUCAUUUUUUCUCUACAUCCAUUUUUUUUUUAACUUUUUAAGUGAAAUUACUUAUUUAUCCAUCUCGUUUUAAUUUUAAACCUUCUAGAUAUGUAUUUCUAAUAAAUUCUAUAACUUACCAGAUUUUAAUAUCCGAUAAAAAAAGUUACAUUUAGAUUUUGAAAAAAAAAUAGUUAAGAGAAAAUAUCUUAUCAAAAUUUUUAAGCUUCCAGAUAUGCAAAUUUAGAAACUUUUAAAAGCUUUUGGAUAUGCAUUCUAGAGACUUUUAAGUGCUUCUAGAUUUACAAAUUUGAAAACUUUUAAAAGUUUUCAAAUUUUGUAAAUCCAAAAGCUUAAAAGUAAAAGGAGUGUGAAGAGAAAAAAGAAAGAGUAUUUAAAUAAUUUCAUUUAAAAUAAUUUUGAAAAAAAAAAAGAGGUGUGGAGAGACAAAAUGGGAGUAUAUUUAGAAUUUUCUUUAGUGAUUCACAUAUAGCAUAUAUUAUUUAUAAAUUAACAACGUAUCAAAUAUAAAAUUUUUCUUUUGAAAAUAGAAUGUGAUGAAAGUUUGAAAAAUAAUCAUAUUUUCUAUUUAUGUCCAUUAAUCACUUAAUCCCAUUAAUAUGUAGAGAAUUUUUUAAAAAAAUUUAUUUGAUUUAUAUAUUGUUUAUAAUUAAUUUUAAAAAUUAUAAAAAUUAUUUAUAAUAUUUACUAUAUGAUAUGAUACUCAAUAUUAGAUUCUCAAAUUACAAUGCAUAUUUUCACUUUAACAAUUGUGCUACUUUUUUUGUUUUUUGAACUUUUACAUCGUGACUUAUAACUGUCCAAAGUUCGACAUAUAUGUAACUCUUUUUAAGUUUAUCCUUUCAUUUAUAAUUAGAUUUAUAAUAAAGUUUUAUCAUCAUUUGCAAUAGAGAACUUAUUAAUGAUUCUGAUGGUAAUGUCUAGAUGUAGUAUUCCCACCGUCUCUUUUUUUUUUUUUUAGAUAUCUCAAAAUUAUGUCAUCUUUUUUUUUAUUGGAAUAUCUCAAACUCUUUUUUUUUUAUAUUUUAAAAUUAUUUUUGUGUCUUUUUAACUUUUUGACAUUAAAAAUCAUGAAAUUUUAAUCUUAUAAAAAAAUUAAAUUUUAAUAUUAAAAAUAUUAAAGUUAAAGUUUUUUUCUUAAACUCCAUAAAAAUUAAUAACCCAGAAAAAUGCUCACAUGCAUAAAUAUUAAUGCGUAUAUUUGCAGCAACAAUGAUGUAUAAGUCUCGUUCAAUUAAGCAUUAUAUCUACCUUGGUUUCCACAAUUAGAACAUACUUCAUUUAUUAAAUGCUCCAGUUAUAUGAGGUAGUAAAAAUUUAAUUUAAUUUGGAAGUGGUAAGGUCGUCGGAUCAUUGGAAAUGUCAAAAUAAAUGUGCGCAUCGUCAAGUGGUAGGAUUUUUUUUUUUGGUUAAUUUUCUUUACAUAGAAAUAUUUUGUUUAUUAUGAUAAAACAUUGUGUCCGUACAAAUGAAAAUAAAUGGCAAGAAAACAAGACUUUAAGGAAGAAAUUUUUCAAUAAUCCAUCUUUGAAAGAUGUGCGUGAUAAUAUAUCAAGAUAAGUUUUCAAGUAAUAAACAACAUAUAUUAUAUAUUAAAAAUUAUAAAAAAUAAAACAUGUGACAAUAUAUAUUAAUAAUAUAUACAAAUAUAUAUAUAUAUAAAUAUCUAUAAAUUAUGUGAAAUUUAUGAGGUCGGAGGAUUGUUAUAUAUCCCAAUAUGUUAGAAAGUAAAAAAUUAAUAUAAUUAAAAAAAUACAAUUGCCAUUAAAUCUAAUAGUAUAUUACAAACAAAAGCAAGAGAAACAAGUUGCCUAAUCAACAAAUUGAAAAGCAUGUUUUACUUUUGCUGAAAAUUUUGAAGAAAAAAUCUAAAGAACACAACUUUUUUUUCUGACGUUUCAAUUGAUUCAAGGACUUUGAAAAAAAAAUAAAGACAAUCUUCAAAUUCUAAAGUUUUUCUUUCAUCCUAUUAUUUUCAAAUAAUUGGAAAUUUGAGUAUUUGAUUGAAUUUGAAAAAAAAAUAAAGACAAUCUUCAAAUUCUAAAUUUUUCUUUCAUCCUAUUAUUUUCAAAUAAUUGGAAAUUUGAGUAUUUGAUUGAAUACUACCAUCAAUGUUUUAACUUUUUUCGCUGUACUUUCUCAAUUUUUGUAGAUAAGAUUCCACCAAGCAAUUAGUUGCUAAUUAUUUAAGAUGAUUAAUUAUAAUUAGAUUUCAUUUGGUUUGUAUUUUUUUCGUUUACUAUUUGUUUUUUGUUUUCAAUUCAUUUAUUAAAAAAAAUAAAAACCCUAAACUGAAAAAUAUAAUUUAGAUUUCAUUUGGUUUGUAUUUUUUUUCUUUUACUAUUUGUUUUUGUUCUCAGUUCAUUUAUUAAAAAAAUAAAAACCAAAAGCAUCCAUUAAUUGGAGGAUUAAAAGGUGAGAAAAUUAUGUAAUUUCAUUGGUUAAUUUCCUUUUUUUUUUUGUUAAAAAAUUUAUUGAGUUUAAAACAAUAUAAAGUAAGAGUGUAUUUGAUACCAUGGAUAAAAUUUCUAAAAUUCUAUUUAUUUUUUUAAUUUCAUUAGGGUUUCAGAUUUCUAUUAAUUAUUAGUGUAUUUUAUAUUAAAAACUUAAAUUUAUUAUAUAAAAUUUAUAUUUUGAGGUUUUAAAUAUUAAAAUGUAAUUUAAAAAAUAAAAAUGAUUUUGGAAUACACUUGUACAGAAAAGUAAUAGCAUUUUGUGUUGAAAAAAACGAAGAUUAUAAUUUUAAAAUAUCCAAAUAGGGAAUGAUAGAUAAAAAAAUAAAAGGAGAUAGUAGGUACAAAAUUAAUUGCUAAUUAGAAAAUGAAUUGAAAAUAAGAAACAAAUAACAAAAAAUAAAAAAACUUAGAAGUGAUGACUGAAGACAUUUGGAAAGAUAAGUAUAAUUACGUAAAAAUGGUAAUAUAUAGUCUGAUUAGAUAUUGAAGUUGAACACUUAUUAUUUAAUUUUGAAUAAUUUAAAUUAAAUUUCUUUUUAAACAAUUAAAAAAAAAAAGAAAAGUUACUAUUAAUUUCUUGUGUAGCUUGACAAUGGGAUUGAAACAAAGAUUCACCCAUUGAGGUCCUUUUUCUGACUUAACCGGCAAAGAAAAGCCCAUGCAUGAUGAAUUGAAGACUAAUUCAUUAAUAGAAAAUCCCAUUAAUUUUUGUUCUAUGGAAACACAAUCAUGUUGUCCCUUUUAUAUUUGUAAUGUUCACGUUUAUAACGUUCACUUAUUCAUUAAAAUUAAGGUUCAUUAUCAUUAAAAAUAAUAUUGGUUAAUAUUUUUAUUUGAAGUAUUGUAAAAUAUAAAAAUAUGAAUCUAUACAUUCUAAGUUCUUACUGCACAAAUCAAUAUUCUUUAACAAUAUUAAAAACAAAAAUAAUAAAAAGGACUAUAUAUAUAUAUAUGAUAAAUUCAAUAUUAAAUUAUUAAUACGUUGUUUUGAAUUCUCAAAGAUUAAUAAAAUGAUUUCACAAACAAUGCUCUAAAAGCUUACUCUAAGGUUAUUACAUAAAAUAAUAUCUUCAUCCAAUACAUUAAAAAUAAUAAAAAUGAAAAUUAUUAAGCAUCACCUAUUGCAUUUAAUAUAAAAUUAUUACAAUAAAUAAUAGAUUAACUAAUUUUAGAGAGUGAAAAACUCUUUAACGAAUUUGUUUUAUUUACGUGUAAGAAUGGAGAAGUAAAAAUGACAACACAGUGAAUAUCCGUUAUUGUUUAGAUAUUUGUAGUUAAAUCUAUUUAAUUUUCAUGGUCUUCAAAUUCAUUUAAAUAUUCGAUUAAAUUUAAUAUCAUUAUCUGAAUAUGAAACCAUUUAAAUAAACAUCAUCUGUUUCAUAUUUGAAUCCAUUAAAAUAUCCAAUUACUUAAAUUUAAUUUUUUACUAAAAUAUAAAUUCAACAAGAAUUAAAUUUAAAUUUAAAAUUUACUCUUGAUUAAUAAUAAGUAAAGGUUGUUUGUUAAGAUUCGAAAAUAAAAUUUUGCAUAUUUUACAUAUGUAAAUAGAUAAUAUAUUCAAAUAAUUGAUACCAUAUGGUUUAAAACUUAAACGAGUUUGAAUAUCCAAAUGGUACUAUCUAAAUUCUAUCUCAAUCUAUUCAAUAUCUAUUUAUAAAUAUUUGAAUUAGACAUAAACAGAUCAGAUAAUUUAUCAAAUAUUCAAUUAUUUACUGUCCAUCAUCAUUCCUAAACGGAAUAUCAAGAGAGAACCAAUCAAUCAAAUCUAAUUGAAUGGAGAGGAUUCCUCCCUACUAUAUACACGUGCCACCAUUAUCUAACUUUGAGAAAAUUAAUUUUUUAUUUUUUUUUACAAAUACAAAAUAUGAAAUAAAAAAGGGGAAUAAAAGAAAGAAUAUAGUGAUAAAGAUUAAUUUACAAAAGCAAAACUAUUAGCCUUAUCAUCAUUGAAACCCAUUAUUCAUUCUUUAAAAUUCAAAAUUGACAAGUAAUAACCAUGUUUGUCUUCCAUCUAGUUUGAUUCAACUCAUACAAAAAAGGUUCAAACUCAUGAUUUGUACAAACACGUGGUUGGAAAAACACAUUUGAACCUAUCUCUUGAGAUCAAGGGAGAUAUAUAGCUACAAUAACAGUAUGAAAUAUGAAGUACUUGUCUAUAAUAUCGUGUAUGCAAAUCUCAAACUCCACAAUCUUCCCUUCAUUUUUUUUUUUUUUAUAGAAAGCCAACAAAACAUGAAGAAUUUUCAUGUCCUAAUGUCACUCAUUUUCCCUACCUUGUUUCUCUUCUCAUGCUCUGUAUCUCUUGUGUUAUCGUUUUCCCCUACUCAUACUGAUCUCCAAAACCAGUGCCUUGAUGAUCAGAAAUCUGCUCUAUUGCAAUUGCACCGUGAUCUGUACUAUGCCCCAAAUUUUACUUUCUCUUCCAAAGUUGAGUUUUGGGAUCCCAACACUGAUUGUUGCUCUUUGAAAGGAAUUACAUGUGAUGCUGUGGGUCAUGUGAUUGAGCUUGAUCUCAGUUACAAAAACCUUUCGGGCAGCUUUCACUCCAUUUUCAAUCUCCAUCAUCUUCAACGCCUUAAUCUUGCUGGAAAUAAUUUUAAUACUACUCUGUUUCAAUAUGAGUUUGAUAGAUUCUCAAAUUUAACUCAUCUCAACCUUUCAAACUCAUGUUUCCUUGGCCAAAUUCCAGUGGGGAUUUCAUACUUAACAAGGUUAGUCUCUCUUGAUCUAUCUAAUCAAGAUUCUUGCUAUCAACGGUAUAACCAAAUGCUCCAUCCAUACAACUACGUCUUCUACUACUAUCCGCUGCCUUUUGACCUUCAACAACCUCUUAAACUAGAAAACCCAAACUUUAAGACAUUAAUCCAAAAUUUAAGAUCUCUUACGGAGCUCUACUUGGAUAGUGUGAACAUUUCAACUCAAAGUACUAAAUGGUGUGAAACCACCUCUGUAGUACUUCCUAACUUGCAUGUGUUAAGUUUGUCGAAUUGUGGUUUGACAGGUCCAUUUUGUUCUUCACUCUCAAGACUUUCUUUUCUUUCCAAACUUUUCCUUGGUGGGAAUUCAAUCUCUUAGUUGCCUCCCAAUUUCUUAGAAAAUUCCUCUCGUUUGGUUUCCCUCAGUUUAGUGAAUUGCAAUUUGAGUGGGCAUUUUCCAAUAGAAGUUUUCUUAUUGCAAAUACAAAGCAUCGACAUUUCAGAAAAUGACAAUCUUGAAGGUCAGUUGCCAGAAUUUUCAUUAAACAAUACUUUACGUGUCUUAAAGAUUUCUUUUACAAAUUUCAGUGGAAAACUGCCAGAAUCAAUUGGUAAUCUCAAGUUCUUGACAACUUUAGAUCUCCAUGGUUGUAAGUUCUUUGGACAAAUUCCAUCAUCAAUUGCAAAUCUUACUAACCUUGUGGAACUGGGUCUAUCCUAUAACAAUUUCAGUGGUUUUAUCCCCGCGUUUCAUAGAUCUGGAGUUCCAAAUCUUGCAUAUCUUUUUUUGUGGAGCAACCACCUCUCUGGAUCAAUACAUUCUUCUUUAUUUGCUCUCCCAUCAUUGCAGGCCUUGGAUCUCAGUGAAAAUGAAUUGUUUGGUGAAAUUGAUGAGUGCCUCAAUGCAUCUUCUUCAUUGAUUGAAACAUUGUAUUUAGGCUACAAUAGCUUUAGUUCCAUUAAGCUUGACAUGUUCUCCCAAAUUAAGAACUUAAGGGUUCUUGACCUUUCUAAUAUGAGCUUAUCAAUUGAAAGCAACAUCACAAGCCUGCUUUUCCCCAAUUAGAGAAGCUAUACCUAAGUUCAUGCAACUUUACUGAAUUUCCAGAAUUCAUCAAAACACAAGACAAGUUGGCUUCUCUAGAUCUUUCUAACAACCAAAUCCAUGGUUUUGUGCCGAAUUGGUUGUGGAAGACCACUCUUUUGAGGUUAGACCUUUCUUUCAAUGCGAUUGAUUUUUCAAAAGAGGUUCCUUUUGGUGAUGCAAACUCCUGUUUUCCAAUGUUGAUUAUCUUGUAUUUACAAUUCUGUAACCUAAGUAUGUUUCCAGAGUUUUUAAAGAGUCAAACUAGUUUAGAAGAGUUUGACCUUUCAAAUAACAAAGUAAGUGUGCAGUACCAAACUGGGUGUGGAAGAAAAGUUUGCGGUAUCUGGAUCUUUCUAACAAUUCUCUCUCAUCUUUGGACCAAUUUUCUCUCAACCAAUCUCUAACUUCUUCACAAGGCUCUUUAUCAAGACCUAUUUGCAAUUUGAGUCAACUUGAGACCUUUAAUGCAUCCUUAACAAAUUAAGCGGGCUAAUCCCUAGUUGCUUGGGCAAUAUCAGUUUUCUCAGGUAUUUGGAUCUACAAAAAAAUAAUUUCAACGGUAGCAUACCAGAUUUUGCAAAAGCGACCCAAUUAUAUUGGCUUCAACUCAAUGAUAAUAAAUUGGAAGGGAAGUUGCCAAGGUCAUUAGCCAAUUUGCACAAUGCUCCGAGUUUUAAACCUUGGAAAUAAUACUCUGCAUGACACAUUCCCUUUGUGGUUGGGAAAAUUGCAUGAGUUGAUGGUCCUUGUAGUGCGAGCAAAUAGGUUUUAUGGUCUAAUUAAACAUGUGAAAAAUUAUUUUCAGCAUUUGGAUGUACUAGACAUUGCGUUCAAUAAUUUUUCUGGUCAAUUGCUGAUAGAAUUCUUUCAAGCCCCUCGACUAAGGUCAUUCAAAAUUGGUGGGAAUAAACUGGAAGGAAAGUUGCCGAGGUCAUUAGCCCAUUGCAAAAUGCUUGAAGUUUUGGACGUUGGAAAAAAUAUGACACAAGACAUUUCCUUUUUGGUUGGUGAAAUUGCCUUCUUUAAAGGUUCUUAUACUAAGAGCAAAUAGAUUUUAUGGUCCAAUUAAAAUUUCUGAGGAUGAAAAUGCUUUCCUAGAGUUACACAUACUGGAUCUUGCUUCCAAUAACUUUUCAGGUGAGUUACCUGUUGGAUUUUUUCAAUCUUUAAGGCAAUGAAGUAGAUGAUUGAUGGCAACAAAGCUAAACCAGAUUAUAUUGGAGAUGAUUACUACCAGGACUCUGUGACAAUUGUGAAUAAGGGGUUUGAACUUUUUUACCAGAAAAUUUUAACCAUCUUUGUUUGUCUUGACCUUUCCAAUAAUAGUUUCCAUGGGAAAAUACCGGAAGAAAUACAAAACCUCAAAUCACUCAAAGUGCUAAACUUGUCCUACAACAGCUUCCUUGGCCCAAUUCCUUUAGCACUUAGAAACUUAACUCAACUUGAGUCGUUGGACCUCUCCCAGAACAAACUCUCCGGAAAGAUUCCUCUACAGCUUACAAGCCUAACUUUUCUUGCAGUAUUGAAUCUCUCUUACAACCAACUUGAGGGAAGCAUACCACAAAUCUACCAAUUCAAUACAUUUUCAAACGAUUCUUACAAAGGGAAACCCAAGAUUGUGUGGGCCGCCUUUGACAAAGAAAUGCAAAGAAGUUGGUCUUGGAGUGCCACCCUCUAAGGAAGAUGAAGAUUCAUGGGUAGAUGGUAUAUCUGUUUGGAAAAUCGUACUGAUUGGGUAUGGAUGUGACUUGAUGAUUGGGUUAUCUAUUGGAUAUACAGUGCUGAAUGAGAUGGGAAACAAAUGGAUGGAUAGAUUUACAUGGAAUCGGAAUCAAAAAUGGAGAAGAUCUUCUAGGUGACUCCGUCGAAAUUCAAGCUUCAAAUUCAUUUGGUAAGCAUUCUAGAAUACUUAAUAACUCAAAAGUUUUCUUCUUGAUUCUUUGAGCUGUAUUUAAUUGCCUAAACAAAUAAAAUUAUUUAAAUAUUCUCUUGCAUUAUAAGUGUGAUAAAUAUAUCUGCAGUAACUGAAAUUUGACUAAAGUGAUUACAUUUGAAAUUUAAUUAAAGAAGGUUUCAACUUUGGACAUCUCAUUCCCUUUUUAAACUCGGCAUUGCUUUUAAAACUAAAAGCAAAAAUUGCCUGCAAACUAGGAUAUGUCCUUUGAAUUCCUAACCUCAUUUUAUAAAUGACAAUCAUAAGUUUCCAAGUUAGUAAUUUGUAAAAGACAUGUGGGUGACUGGUAUUUUGAGUUAGAUUGGGCUGUCAGCCAUCUUAAGAGCAAAGCAAAGCUUUGGCAUCUAUUGUCCUUAAUUAGAUUGGCUUGGGAUGCUCAUAUAUAUUCUAUUUGGCAGGAGCACAAUCAAAGGAAGUUUGGCAGGCCAUCUAAAGAUAUAGAAGCUAUUGUUUCAACUAUCAGAAGUUCCUUUUGGCUUAGUUCAAUAACAAGAUUGCAGUCUCCAGUUCCACUCUUCCUCUUCAACAACAGAAAUUGUGUCUGAAUGUUUUUGGCUUGGUGUUACGGUACCUGUGUCUCAGUUCUUUCUCUUCUGCUCGCCAAAGAUGAUUGGCGGUAUGUCUGGUUGUAGUGUGCUUGUCAUCUGUUUUGUCUAUGGGGUGGUGUUUUACUGCUGAGUUAUGGGGUUCCCCUGUUGUUCACCCUAUUGAGUAACUCUGUUUUUAUUAAUAAUUUCUGGCUUAGCAAAAGAAAAAUGUGUCUGAAUUGGGGACUGGUUCCUUAAUGUUGCUUAGUUUGAUUGCUUUGCAAAAGUUAGAUUGUUCUUGGACAUUUGUAAUGUUUUGAUAGCUUACUGUUUACUUGUAGCAGGUCUACUGCUUUCUUUGGAUUAAUAAAAAUCAUUUAUCCAAAGAAAUUCUUAACAAAAAUCUUAUUUUUUUUAAACUCUUCAUUAUUGUUAUACCUAAGUGAUCAUGUCAGCAGCCACAAAGUAGGUCUUACACAUGAAAGCCCAGUUUGCCACAUCGUCAUCUAAGAGGUAUAAAAAGUAGAACCAGAUAAGACAGGUGAUUCACUACUGAAUUCUCUUUGCUCUCUUUAACUGCUUCCUACUCUCUCUCAUUUACUUGCUUCUGGUAUACCUUACUAACUUGAGUGUCGGGGAAUGCCUCAAAAUAACAUUUUUGGCACACUGACUUUCUACUUUGUGACAGGUCACACAAACUCUCCUUCUCACCCUCCAGUAAAACUUUAGACUAUCAGACCAGGAAUUACAUCAACAAUAUCAAUUAUUCACCUCAACUAUUUGCAGUGAAGGAAUUUGAUAUAAGCCAUGGCAUGUACAACAAUGACUACGCCUACCACUUUAACUGCCAAAACUAGAAGUUACAUCUCCUAACACAGAAAAAUCUUCACAGACCAAGCUAAAGCUAAGAUGCCUUAUUCCUGUAUUAACUGCUACAUCACUACAGAGAAAAAAACAACGAAAAGAAAAGAACAAAGCUUCAAGUUCCAGGUAUCAAGCUUGAAUAACUUCGAUAAUAUUUUAUUGUCCCUAACAACUAUAGAUUUGACUAUGGCGAGAAAGAUUGAAAUAUUUCCUUUAUUAUUUUCUUCAACUUUAAUCCCAUAUCAUCCUUUGUUUCUUUGCUUCAGCACUUCCACAGACAAAAACAAAUGGUUUGUUGUAACUCUAUUGCUAUUUGAUUGAUUUGCAUGUAGAAUAGACCUUGACUAAACAAAAACAUGAGGGCAAUACAUUCAGUAACUUAUAUAUACUCACUUCGCUAGAAUUCCAGUGAAUCCUUUCAGUAACUUAUUCUCUAUCUAAUAGAAAUAAAGCGUCAUAACUAAAUAGCCAAUAUUCACAUUGAUGCGCUAAGUGUUCUGAUAUAGCCACUAAUCCAUCAUUAAAAGAUGAAGUUAUAGAAGAUAUGCUAUGUUUCAAUCACUGGUCAUUUUAUAGGUAGUUUUUUCUCUAGUAGUCAGCUUGAUGCUGUAAACCAGGAAGGUUGUCAAGCCUUCUGAUAUUUAGCCUAUUUUGAGUAUUAGCUCAGAAUUUAUGUUUAGAAGAUUUUGUAGGUGAAAAGAUAUUUGAUGACUUUGGGGUUGACAAAAGCCACAUUGGACAGAGUGAUUGUGCAUAUAUGAAGACUUUGCCGCUAGAGGCUUUCUCCUACAACUGUCCUUCUCAUGCAGCCCUAAGAUCUUGCUCUUUUGAAUCCAUCUCUAACUAGAAAUGUAGGUAUCAACUAGAAAAAUACUUUAUUCUCAUGAAUUUCGUCAUUUGGGAAUUUUACAGGGAAAAAAGAAAACAAAAGCUCAUGCUAAAAAAGAAAAUUUUAGAGGGAAAAAAGGAAACAAAAAAUAUUACUAUUUCCUGAGUUUAAGUUUAGGUUUGCUAGCUAAUUUAACUUUUUUUUUUGUCAUGAAUGCAGGAAUCGUAUUUUUCCAGGAAGAAAACUUAUCAUUAAUGUUUUCUAUGCUUUGGUCUUGGACAGCAUAAAAAAUCACAGCUUCCAUAUGCCGUCCCUACCCAAUUGAAACCACCUGCAAUCCAAUAUUCUUAAACUCUUGGAAGUAACAUCCUAGAUCCUGCCAGUAUGUGUCAUCGAGACUAGGAUUCUGAUCUGAUCAAGCUGAAUUCUUGGCCAUUAUGAAGGUUGUGAAGUUGGAUGCCGAUUCUUGGAAAGUUAAUACUGGAUUGCACAGCUAUCUCUAGGUACAAGAAAUGCUACUUCAUGGGUAAAAGGCAGCAAUAGGGUUUGUUGGCAUCUUAGGAACGCCAAUUUUGUAUAUACAUUACAAGUUUUACAAUUGUCUACUCAUUCAGUUGUUUUCGACGACUCUUGGAAGUUCAUGUAAAAACCUAAUUCUUACUCUGCUUAAUACUAUCACUCAACUCACAAGUCUGUUGUGGACUGACACAAAAAAUGCUUACCUAAAUACUAAAGCACAUGCCUGCAGCAACAAUGAUUUUAAAGAGCUCAUCAUUGCAUAAUCCAAAAUUCCCCCAAGCUCAAGCGGGGAAAUGAUUUCGUUUAAUAAGGUAUUCAGACAAGGGAAAUGAUUUUAAAGGGCAAUGAAUCGUCAGUGUUAUCAUCAUUCUGGCCUAGCCCUGCCUCAUCAUCAUCAUAAUCGCCACCCAAAGCCAGCUAUCUCUUCCUUGCUUUCUCUGCAUCUUCCCAGUCCUUCUCUAAUUGCUAUCCAGACUUGUAAUCUCCAAGAUCAUGCAUAAACUUACAUGAAUCCUGUAACCACAGUAACCAGUUUCUUUGUAGUCUUUACAGAUGUCAGGUUGAUAAUCGAAUCUCUCUGAAACCCUGAGGUGGGCAGAAGCCCUAAGAGGUCCAUGUGAGCCACCAGCUUUCUUACUGGCAACUGUCGGCUCUCUUCAAACCCACCCUGAUGAUCCACAUAGCCAUGCAUUCCUUUAUACAACUUCUCUCCCACAGAGCUUGUGUUUUCCCCUUCAAAGCCUCCUCUGCUCGUUUGAGAACUUUCUUACCUAUAGCUCGAGCAUCUUAUAUAAACUCAGUCUCAGUUUCUAAGGUUGCCGUAGCUCUGCUAUCAUUUUGAACUUGAAGUUCCUUCGAAGACUCAAAUUGAAAAAUCGGUUUGUCAAAUUCUGUAUUUGAUUCAUUGACAGCAGCACUCCUGGAGGAUCCAGUCGAAAAGUAUAACUUAUUGUCAGGCUUGAAAGCCGUUUUCUGAUUGUGUAACGGAGAUGUGCCAUUUCUGGAGUCUUCAUCUUCAUCUUCAUUUAUUGUCCUUUUCCUGACGUUUUUGCCCUUUGUUAGCUUCCUAAAGAAAUUGCAGACUGAAAAAUCAAAAUAAUUUGAGUUAACAUACACAGUUAUUAAGAUAAUGAUCUUAAUUUGAUGCAGAAAAUACAUUAAACAGAAGGAAUAGUUCUUCUUUCUUAUUAUUUUUUUAAAAUAAAAUGUCAAUAAGUGGCAAUGGAGGAGAAUCAUUAAUCCCUCAGUGAGUACUUCCCCCUUUUAUUUGGACAUCUAUACGAGUUUCAAGUUAUUCCUUUUCUUCUAUUUAUUUGAUCGUCUUCCGCGUCUUUCUUUAUUUCAUGUUAAAAAAAUUUCUUUUGAUAGUGCUGAUUGAUCAGUUAUUAAAUAUUAGAUCUGAUCAAAUUAUUAAGAAUAAGGCAUUUUUAAUUACUGCUAGAUUACUUUUUUUAUCUUUUUUGUUCUUGAUCAUUUAUUAGGCUUAGGCACUUAUAUUUCUUUUCUCUCAUGUAAAUUUGAGGUCUUUCUCGCUUUCAUUGGAGAUUAACGUUUCUCUUUUGUAUGCUGUUUUUCUUUUGAUAUAUGCUAAAAGUUUAGUGGGUUUGUCAUGCAGGGUUUGAAAGGGCUUUAUGCAGGCUUCUUUCCUGCAGUUUUAGCGUCCUCUUUUCAUGGGGCUUAUAUUUCUUCAUGUAAGUGCCAUCAUCAAUUUACAUGUUACAACCUUUCCUUUGAUUACAGUACAUUUGUUGUCAAAUAUGUGUGCACAUUUGAAUUAUUAGCUGCAGCGGAAACGACUUAUUUGCUGAUUUUUUUUAAUGUAAAUAGAUUGAUUUUAGUAUGCAAUGGGGAAUACAAAGAGUUAAUGUGUUUUGAUUUGUUGGAAAAUGUAGUGUGACAAUCAAUUAAUCUAAAGUGUCUGCUACUACUGUCUUAAUUUGAUGCAAGUUGCAAAUUAUCUCUGUUGAAACCCAGUUUUGAUGUUUAGAAACCAAAAUUCUUAGUAGAGUUUGAUAUGCAAUCAAACGGAAAAAUGGAAAAAAACUCAACAAAAGAAAUGUGCUUCUGCAAUCUGCAAAAUUGGCUCGAAGAUCUUUCCUGAUUGAAGUGAAGCUUCAGAGAUGGAAAAUUAGCAAGUAAUAAUAAGCAAACAGAUAUUAAUUACCUGCUUAAUCCAUUAAAUAAGAGAAAAAAACCUUAAUGACUUCAUAUCAAUAAUGAAAUGGGCGUACUGCAACGAUUCAGAAAAUGGAAUCAUACUUCAAAAACCUUCCAUUUGCUACAAUAUUGAUUGUACUGGUGACAAUGUCUAACCCAUAAGCAUGAGCUCCAUGACCAAAAGUCCCUGCAAAUAGCUUCCACCAAUGCCGAGGAUUCAAAAGCUGUACAUAGCAAUUUGGUUGAAAGCAGAUUUGUGAAGCUUUCAUUUCAUAUAACUUGGCAGCAAGAAAAUGAUUGGGAGAAGCUAGUGAGUAUGGAGAAACUAUAUGGACAGGAUCACUAUCUUCAAUUUUGGACAGGAUGUUUUGAAGUCAAGAUCAGCUUGACGGGGUAAAGCAAAGACUUGGUGACUGGUGAGGAACUAAAUAAAAACUGAAAUAAUACCUUCAAUUUCCUUAAAAAUAUAAAUAAAACUCAAUGACAAUGAAGUUGAUGUAUUUUCAAAUUGUUCAAUGUUUAAAAACUGAAAACAAAAGAAGUAAUAGCAUCUUAUGUUGGCUGUUGGGUUAAGAAUAAUUUGUUGCUUACUUAACAUUAAAUCAUCUAUAAAGAAACUAUUUAGUCCCUUUUAGAUGCCAUCACUGACUCACUGUGAUAGAAUUCAAGUCAAAAUAUGGAUUCAUCAUCAUUUAUAUAUUUGUAUCUCACAUAUAUUUCAUUAUUGAUUUUAAUCUCUAUGCUAUUAUAUCUAAUCUCACCAUAAUAAUAAUUAGUUUUUUUAUUAUCGUUAUUUUUAAUUUCACGGAAACUAAUUUUGCUUCUCGUCUAAAUUGUUAUCGAAAAAAAAAAGAGAUCUAGCACAAUACUUAUUACCCUUUUCAUUAUAUUAUAUAUAAAAAAAAACCUACAUAAUGCACAAUAGAUGGCACACUUUUUAUGUAUAAAUAAGAACUCAUGAAUUUAAGUAUAAUCAUAUUUUGUUUUUAUUUUUUUAAAAAAUUUAUAUUAACAUUUGAAAUUUAUAUCCCUUUCUUUUGAAUUCAAAUUUCUAAACACAAAUUUAAUUAACAAAAGAAAUUCCUCUUUCAUUGAUCAAACAACAAAAAUUAAGAAACAAUCAUUGAGGAAAGAAAAACUAAUACCUCGAAAAAAAAAAUAAGAAUUUAGGGCUUUAAUAAUGUUUGUUUUUCAAAAAAAAAAAGAUUGUAAAAAAAAUUCAUACAUAUAAAUAAAAUUAAUAAUCAGCCAAAAAGAGCAAAAUUAAUUACCCGAAUUAGUAUGGAUAAGCCUAUGGGUCAAAAGACUCUUUUUUUUACAUGGGCUGGCCCAUUAAUACCGAAAUCGUGCUUCCCUUUGACUUCUUGCACUAAAAAUACAAUGAUGGAUUCCGAAUUUGGCAAUUUUUGUGAAUCAUAAAGUGUUUGAAGAAAAAUACGAAAAGCAAUUAACUGAGAAAAGCAAAAUUUUAAAAAAAUGUUGUCAAAAGGGGUUUAAAGUUAGGGCGUUUUAAUCGAAUUUUCCUUUCCUUUUUUCAUUUUCCUGGUAAAAACUUCCUCAUGCCCAGUUUUAUUUUCAAUCUUAAAAUUUUUUUAAUUGAUUUUAUCUCCUGUUUUUGCAGUGACACUGUAAUUCAAGAGCUGGAGUCAUUGCAGCUAAUUUUUGGAAGCCCCACAUUGGCAAAGGCAGAGUAUUUGAUUUUUUUUUUAAUUUCUUUUUUCUGUGAUCUUUUUUAGACUUUCACUGUGUAGAAAGGUUCUAUUUUUUGCUAAGCAUAAAUUUUUUUUUCUUAUUUGUGUUUCUCAGGCUUUAUUGUAUGUUGGUUUUGUUCUGUUUUAUCCAUAUUUCAUUUAUUUUUAUGAUUUGAAUUGAACUACUAUGUGAAAAGGAAUAUUGAGUAUUGCCAAGUAGUAUUUUCUUUGACUAUUACUGUACAUAAUUGUCAAUUCUGUUAUUCAAUUGCUGGCUGUUAAAUUUGCUGCAAAAGAAUGAUUAUUGCAGUUUGAAUCUCUUGUUAUUAUGGGGAAGAGUGUGAGGGUUGAAAAAAGGGAAAGCAAAAUAAAAUGAAAUAGUUGGGUGGAAAGUGUUACCUUUUAUGGAGUUCUAGCUUGCAAUCAUCAUUUGUUUAAUUGUACAUUUUGCAUUUUCCAACAAUUGAAUGGAGCGAGUUUUUCGGAUUUCCAUUUCAUUGCUUUCAAGUAUCUUGGUUUAGAUAAGUUUCGUCAGUGUUUUCUGUUUUCAAAAUGAAUUAAUAUACAUGACAUAACAGGUUCUUCUUGCAAAUCGGGAAUUGAAUGCUUAUGUGAAAAGGUGUUUAAAAUCUGAUCUUUUCUUUGUGGCAUCCAUAUUCUGCAAAGAUCUUUUGCCCUGUCUUUGUUCACCUCCUAGGUAUCAGUAUUUUGUCGGUUUGCUUAUGGUAGAGUUUGAUCUCCUUCUCUCCCAUUUUCCCUUUGCCCCCGCUAUUCCUCUUCUUCCUCUUUAGCCUUUGAAAUUGCUUUUUAGAGCCUUGGUUGUUAUAGUGGAUUACAAGCAUACAUAACACUAUGUUCAAGCUGUUGAAUUUUAGGUUCAACUUUCAAGUGUUAAGAGUUUUAUUAAAGUUUUGAUUUCUUGUGUAAGCCUUGUUUUACCCCCUUUUUUAGAGGGAGAGGAGGUUUGGGAGAGAUAAAAAUAGCACUUAUUUUAGUGUAUAUGGAUGUAUGUAUGUAUGUAUGUAUGUAUAUGUAUACAUAAACAUAGGUUUAAAAAAUAUGCUACAUACGAUGUUUCUAUAAUACAAAAUUGUGUAAUUGCAAAUAAAAUGUAAAUUUCAAGUACUGUGCACACUUAAAUUAUUUCUUAAAAAUUCUAAAAAUUAAAUUCAAUAAAAUUAGAGUUAUAACUUAAUGACCAAAUAACAAAUAAAACUAAAAAGGGAACCAUCAAGAACAUAAAAUUACUUGUGCAAAAUUAAUGCAUUAGCGAACCAUAUGAGGUUUCUUGGUUGUUUUGCCUUAUUUAGAGGCUGUUUGAUUGGGUUUUUGCUAUUUGCUUUUUGCUUCCGAAAGUAAAAAAGCAAAAAUUGCAUUCCCAUAAGCAAUAAAAUAUUGAAGAGUUUAAACACAAAUAUGUAAAUUUUUUAUGAUUAACUACAUGAUUCUACUUCUAUAUAUACUAAUUGUGUUAUAACUGAUUUUAUAUUUUAAUUAUUUUUUCUGUUUCAGAUCAGUUAUGAUAUAUUUAUUGUUUACCUUUUGCUUUUCCUUUCUAGUAAAAUAUAUACGUUUUAUUCAUGUUCAUUUGUAACUUACCAAACUUCUUGACCAUGUUCUAGAAAUGCUAGUAUGUAACGAGUUUGCUUUGAAUAUGGCAGCUAACAAUAUCAGUGAAUCUUAGGUUUGUUGAUGCAAAUCAUGGCUAAUAGAUUCACUUGAAGCCUACUUAUCUAAAGAUCUUUAGAUUUUUGGAGGAUGAAAUACAGAGGUGGUGCUGAUGUUAAUAAUAUUGGACAUUGAACACUGUCAAACAACAUAGAGGUGGAAAUAUACUGACUUUUUCAGGAUUCAGGGUUGGUUUUAUUUGUUGACUUCAUUCUAAUACUUUUGUUUUUGGAAAGAUAUAUACCCGACAUCUUCUGUAAAUAUGCAACUUGAUGUAGAUAAUUUGUAAUUUUGGGAAGAGAGAAGGAAUGAAAUUGAGAAGAUAGUGGUUUUUCUUUGAAAUUUUGCCAUGAUAUGAAGUUGUUUUAGUCAGAUUUUCUUGAUGUUAUGAUGCUUAAGAAAUCCAGAUGCUACUGAAAUCUUGCCCCAAUAUAGUUCAUUCUUCAACUCCAUCUAUUUUAUCUGGUUUGUUUCUGGGAAUAAAAGCAGAUUCCUUAUUGGUUGCAAAAUUUUCAUUCAUUUUAUCUUCAAAUUUAUCGAACAAUUAAAUUAUUAAUUGACUUGGUUAGUAUUUGUUGAAUCAUAUCACUUAGAAAAUGUUAUCAGUUAGUGGAGAUUUUAGAUUAUACAAGUUAGAGGGCUGUCACAAACCCUUUUACAAAUAUAUUAAAAAAUUAUAUAAAAGAAUUAAGAUAUGUGAUAAUUUUUUAAUACUGUUUAUAAAAUUUAAAAACUCUAUUAAACAUAUGUGAAGAAAUCAAAAUAUAUAAAAAUUAUCUCGUAUAUAUGAAAUUUGCAAAAGAAGAAGAUUGUCUUUUUUUUUUUUUAUGUGAGAUUGUUAGGAUUUAAACUUAAAUUAUUGAAAGUAAGGUUUUUGCGUUUUAUUAACAAAUUAUAUAGUUAUUGGCUCAUUGAAUUUUUAAAUCAAAGGAUCUUUUUAAAAUAUAUUAACAAUUAAAAACUAAAAAGAUGCACAUACCAUGAAAUAUAAUAGUAAAUUAGGAACGAAAGCAUGAGAAACAAGUUGCUUAAUCAAUAAAUUGAUUGGCCCAAAAAAUCAACAAAUUAAAAACCUGUGUUUCAUUUUUGCUCAAAGUUUGAAAAAAAAAUCUAAAGAACACAUUUAUUCGCACUUCUCAAACUUAUUUAUUUUGGAAAUUGUGAUUUUAUAAUGGUGGAAUAAGAAAGAAAAUGAUAGAUACUAUGGUAAUGCAUUGGUCUAAGUCUUAGUCUUUGCUUUAUACUUAGUUUUGGCAUCAAGCAUACAAAUGUAUCAAUCUUUUUGCCCCCAUCUUUACUUCACAAGAAUAAUAAUUUUUGUAGUUAUUUCAGUCUAAGUCAUUAAAAAGACUAAAUAUUACAAUAAUAAUUAAUAUCCUUAAAAUUCAUUCCCUGUGUGCCAAUUUAACCGGAAGACAAAAAGCAACCUCCAUUGAGAAAAUUUUUUUUUUUAUCUUUUUUAAAAGACAAACUUGAUUUAAGCAAAUUGCUAAGAAGAUUAUUUUUAACAGAGUAAUGAUAGGUUAAGAAGACUUAAAUAUUUGUAUGAUUGGAAGACUUAUAAGUAUAAAGCAAAGAAAAGACUAAAUAUCAAUAAAAAAAAUCUCAUACUAUCAUUUUCUUUGUGAGUCCAAAAUUAGAAUAUCAAUUUUUUUAUAAACUAUAAUUUUAUGAUGGGUGACUCAAAAUACAUCAUCAUUUUUUUACUCUAUAUCCAUUUUAAAAAAAUUUUUUAAGUGAAAUUAUUUAUUUACCCAUCUCAUUUUAAUUUUAAACUUUUAGAUAUGCAUUUCUGAUAAGUUAUAUAACUUUUCAGAUUUUCAUAUUUGGUAAGUUAAAAGAGAUAUAUUUAGGUUAGGAAAAAAAGUAGUUAAGAGAAAAUAUCUUACAGAAAGUUUGAGAUUCUAAAACCAUUGAAAAAAUUUAAAAACUCUAUUAAUCAUAUAUAAAGAAAUUCAAAUAUAUAAAAAUUAUCUCGUAUACAUGAAAUUUGUGAAAAUAAAAGAUUGUCUUUUUUUUUUUCUUGUAUAUGAGGUUGUCAAGAUUUGAACUUUAAACUAUUAAAACUAAGAGUUCGACAUUUUACUAACAAAAUACAUGGUUAUUAGCUCAUUGAAUUUUUAAAUUAGUGCAUCACUUAAAAAUAUAGUAACAGUAAAAAACUGAAAAAAAAUGUGCAUAACAUGAAAUAUAAUAGUUCAUUAGGAACAAAAGCAUAAGAAACAAGUUGCUUAAUCAACAAAUUGAUUGGCUAAAAAAAUCAACAAAUUAAAAACCUGUCUUUUAUUUUUGUUGAAAAGUUUGAAAAAAAAAAUUUAAAGAACACAUUUACUCCCAUUUCUCAAAUUUGUCUAUUCUGGAAAUUGUGAUUUUAUAAUGGUGGAAUAAGAAAGAUAAAGAUAGAUCCUAUCGGAAUGCAUUGAUCUAAAUCAUAGUCCUUGCUUCAUACUUGGUCUUGGCAUCAAGCAUGCAAUGUGUCAAUCUUUUUGCCCCUAUUUUUACUUCAAAAAAAUAAUGAUGUUAGCAAUUGCUUCAAUCUAAGUCAUUGAAAGACUAAAAUAUAACAAUAUUAAUUAAUAUACUUAAAAUCCAUUCCCAAUUUGCCAAUUUAAUUAGAAGAUAAAAAACAACCACCAUUGAGAAAAUUGCUAUUUUUUUGUCUUUUUUAAAAGAUAGACUUGACUUAAGCAAACUGCUAAGAAGAUUAUUUUUCACAGAGUAAUGAUGGGACAAGAAGACUUAGACAUUAGCAUGAUGGGAAGACUUAAAGUAUAAAGUAAAGAAAAGACUAAAUACCAAUAAAAAAUGUCUCAUAUUAUCAUUUUCUUUGUUAGUCCAAAAUUAGAAUAUCAAUUUUUUUUUUUUUGUAAAGUAUAAUUUUGUGAUGGAUGAUUCUAAAUACACCAUCAUUUUUCUCUACAUCCACCUUUUUAAAAAAAUUUUUAAGUGAAAUUACUUUAUUUACUCAUCUUGUUUUAAUUUUAAAAUUUUUAAAUAAGCAUUUUUGAUGAGUUAUAUAACUUACAAAAUUUUCAUAUCUGGUAAAUUAGAAAAAGUUACAUUUAGGUUGGAAAAAAAAAAAUAAUUAAGAGAAAAUAUCUUAUAGAAAGUAUGAGAUGUUAAUAUUGUUUAUAAAAUUUAAAAACUCUAUUAAUUAUAUGUAAAUAAAUUAAAAAAUAUAUAAAAAUUAUCUCAUAUACAUGAAAUUUUUUCAUUCGAAGAUUGUCUUUUUUUUUUUUUUAAUUUUUUUAUAUGUGAGAUUGUCAGGAUUUAAAUUUUGAACUACUGAAACUAAGAGUUUAGCAUUUUACUAACAAAUCAUAAGGUUAUUAGGUCAUUGAAUUUUUAAAUUAAAGGAUAUCUUUAAAGUAUAUUAACAAUAAAAAACUAAAAAAGUGCUGAUACCAUGAAAUCUAAUAGUACAUUAGGAGCAAAAGCAUAAGAAAUAAGUUGCUUAAUCAACAAAUUGAUUGGCCAAAAAAAAUCAACAAAUUAAAAACUUAUGUUUUAUUUUUGCUGAAAGGUUUGAAAAACAAAAAUCCACAGAAUAUAUUCAUUUUCACUUCUCAAACUUCUCUAUUUUGAAAAUUGUGAUUUUAUAAUGGUAGAAUAAGAAAAAAAAAAUGAUAGAUACUUUGGGAAUGUAUUGGUCUAAGUGUUAGUCUUUGCUCUAUACUUAGUUUUGGCAUCAAGCUUGCAAAUGUGUCAAUCAUUUUGCCCCCAUCUUUACUUCACAAAAAUAAUCUUAGCAAUUGCUUCAGUCUAGGUUAUUAAAAAGACUAAAAUAUAACAAUAAUAAUUAAUAUACUUAAAAUCCAUUCCUUGUGUGCCAAUUUAACUAGAAGACAAAAGAUAACUUUCAUUGAGAAAAUUAUUUUUUUUUUUUGGUCUUUUUUAAAAGGUAGACUUGACUUAAGCAAAUUGCUAAGAAGAUUAUUUUCACAUAUUAAUGAUGGGGCAAGAAGACUUAGACCUUUACAUGAUGGGAAGACUUAAAAGUAUAAAACAAAGGAAAGAUUAAAUACCAAUAAAAACAUCUUAUACUAUCAUUUUCUUUGUGAGUCCAAACUUAAAAUAUCAAUUUUUUUAAAAAGUAUAAUUUUGUGAUGGGUGAUUAUGAAUAUAUCAUCAUUUUUUUCUCUAUAUCAAUUUUUUUUUUAAAUUUUUAAGUGAAAUUACUUAUUUACCCAUCUUUUUUUAAUUUUAAAGCAUAUAGAUAUAACUUAUUGGAUUUUCAUAUCUGGUAAGUUAGAAAAAAGUUACAUUUAGGUUUGAAAAAAAUAGUUAAGAGAAAAUAUCUUGCAUAAAGGAUGAGAUUCUAAUAACAUUUAUAAACUUAAAAAUCUCUAUUAAUCAUAUAUGAUGAAAUCGAAAUAUAUAAAUUAUCUCGUAUACAUGAAAUUUGUGAAACUAUAAAAUUUUCUUUUUUUUUUUUUAUGUGAGGUUAUCAGGAUUUGAACUAAGAACUAUUGAAAAUGAAAGUUCAACAUUUUACUAACAAACUACAUGGUUAUUAAUUUGCUCAUUUAAUUUUAAAUAAGAGAAUCUCUUUAAAAUAUAUUAACAAUAAAAAACUAAAAAAUAAAAAAUACACAUACCAUGAGAUCUAAUAGUACAUUAGGAACAAAAGUAUGAGCAAGAAGUUGCUUAAUCAACUAAUUGAUUGGCAAAAAAUAAAAAUCAAUAGAUUAAAAACCUAUAUUUUAUUUUUGCUGAAAAGUUUGAAAAAAAAAUUUAAAGAACACAUUCAUUCCCACUUCUCAAACUUGUCUAUUUUGAAAAUUGUGAUUUUAUAAUGGUGGAAUAAGAAAGAAAAUGAUAGAUACUAUGGGAAUGCAUUGGUCUAAAUCUUAGUCCUGCUUUAUACUUAGUCUUGGCAUCAAACACGCAAAUGUAUUAAUCUUUUUUCCCCCAUCUUGACUUCACAAAAAUAAUAAUUUUAGCAGUUACUUCAAUCUAAAUCAUUAAAAAGACUAAAAUAUAACAAUAAUAAUUAAUAUACUUAAAAUCCUUUCUUAGUUUGCCAAUUUAAUUGAAAAACAAAAGAUAACCACCAUUGAAAAAAUUGUUAUGUUUUUUUGUCUUUUUUAAGAGAUAGACUUAACUUAAACAAAUUGCUAAGAAGAUUAUUCUUCACAUAGUAAUGAUGGGGCAAGAAGACUUAGACAUUUGCAUGAUAGGAAGGCUUAAAAGUAUAAAGCAAAGAAAAGACUAAAUACCAAUAAAAAAAUCUCAUACUAUCAUGUUUUAUGUGAGUCCAAAAUUAGAAUAUCACUUUUUUUUAUAAAGUAUAAUUUUGUGAUGGGUGAUUCUAAAUACACCAUCAUAUUUUUCUCUACAUCCACUUUUUUUUUUAAUUUUUAAGUGAAAUUAUUUAUUUACUCAUCCCGUUUUAAUUUUAAAGCUUCUAGAUAUGCAUUUCUUAAGUUAUAUAACUUAUUGGAUUUUCAUAUCCAAUGAAUUGAAAAAGGUUACAUUUAGGUUUGAAAAAAAAUAAUUAAGAGAAAAUAUCUUAUAGAAAGUAUGAGAUUUAAUGUUUAUAAAAUUUAAAAACUCUAUUAAUCAUAUGUGGAGAAAUAUAUACAUAUAUAUAUAAAUUAUCUCACAUACAAGAAAUAUUUUAAAUUAAAAGAUUUUUUUUAAUAUGAGAUUGUCAGGGUUUGAACUUUAAACUAUUAAAACUAAGAGUUAUACAUAAACUAUUAAAACUAUUAUAAAUAGCCCUUAUAUUAGUGUGUAUGGAUGUAUGGAUGUAUGUAUAUGGUAUACAUAAAAUAGGCUUAAAAAAUAUGCUACUUACGAUGUUUCUAUAAAAAAUCAUGUAAUUGCAAAAUAAAAUGUAAAUUUCAAGCACUGUGCAUACAUAAAUCAUAUCUAAAAAAAUUCUAAAAAUUAAAUUCAAUAAAAUUAGAAUAUAACUUAAUAACCAAAAACAGAAAACACUAAAAAACGGAACUAUCGAGAAUAUAAAAUUACUCAUGCAAAAUUGAUGCAUUAGCAAACCAUAUGAAGUUCGGUUGUUUUGUCUUAUUUAGAGUACGUUUGAAUGGAUUUUUGCUAUUUGCUUUUUGCUUCCUAAAGCAAAAAGCAAAAAUUGCAUUUCCACAAGCAAUAAAAUUUUGAAAUAUGUAAAUUUUUUAUGAUUAACUACAUAAUUCUACUUCUAUAUAGACUAAAUAUGUUAUAAUUGAUUUUAUAUUUUAAUUAUUUUUUCUGUUUUAGAUCAAUUAUGAUAUCGUUUUUUCUUUCACCUUGGCUUUUCCUUUCUGGUAAUUCUUCUAAAAGCAAGAAGCAAAAAGUAGAAGCUCCACCUAGAUGGGGACUUAUAGUUUCUUUUAUACUCUUAGUUGUUUCUUUUAAGCAGUUGGGAGACAUAUUGAAACUUUAACCCUUUGGUAUGGAGUCAAAAGUUGGCAAGUAUUGCAUUUAUAAGUAUCCAUUACAAACAAAUUAAUCAUUUACCGAUUCAAUUUUGGUUAAAACUUACCCUGAAUAAAAGAUUUUCCAGUACAAAACUGUUUCCAUUUUAUAGGACUUUUAUGUGGAAGGGCAACGAUAUUCUCACCCAUGCAGGGGCCAAAAUUUUAUUAAUGUGAGAAAAAUUAUACUGAAAAAUAUCCUUACUGAAAUUGGAAGGUGUUCAGGACUUCUGCUAAGCCCCUUCACUUCCCUAUUGGAAAAGAUGGAUUCGACAUCAGCAGUGUCCAUGUGGUGAUUGGAAGUGUUAUGUUAAGUAUGAAGGAGAAGAUCAGACAUCAGUAAGCUUUCAGCACUCUCAGGUAAUAAAGAAUGAGACAGCUUCAACAUCCUUAUCAUCAGAAGCUGUCUUUAUGCCAUAUGUAUGUCAAAUAUUCAAAGGUGAUGAUGAUUAUUUCGAGUACUAUAGCAAUUUUGCACGGAAGAAUGGAUUUUCAAUAACAAAAGCAUGCUCCAGAGAAAGCUAGAAUUUAGGGAUCUACCAUCGAGAGUUUAUCUGUUAUAGAUAUGGGUUUAACCAACUAAGAAAAAAGGUCAAUGUGGAGCAUCCAGGAGACUGGAAUUCAGUGCGAUGUGGAUGUGAUGCAAAAUUUUAUUCCACAAAAAAAGUCAUCCAUGAUGUUACUCAAUGGUGUGUUUCACAAUUUAGUAAUGUAAAUAACCAUGAAUUAUUGGAAGAUGACCAAGUCAGUUUGCUUCCUGCAUAUCGGAAAAUACAGGAAGCAGAUCAGGAAAGAAUUCUUUUACUCUCCAAAGCUGGGUUUCCUGUCAAUGGUAUCAUGAAAGUUUUGGAAUUAGAAAAGGGAGUCCAGCGCGGACAGUUGCCUUUUAUCAAGAAGGAUGCUAGGAAUUUUGUACGGACAUGUGAAAAGACUGUUCAAGAAAGUGAUGCUUUGCUUACCGAGAAAAGAGAAAAUGAUACAUUGUAACUUCUUGAGGCCGGCAAGGCUAUGGCAGAGAGGGAAGAUAAUUUUGUUUAUGAUUAUACUACAGAUGAAAAUAGUAAGGUUGAAAAUAUUUCAUGGUCAUAUGCAGAUUCUAUUCCAGCAUAUACAGUAUUUGUUGAUGCUGGUACCUUUGACACUACAUAUUGUUCUAUCACUUACGGAUUGCUUCUUGGAUAUGGUUUGGUAUAGAUAAUCAUGGAAAGAUAAUUUUCUUAGGAUGUGUAUUACUGCAAGAUGAAAGUGUGUCAAUCUUUUUGCCCUCAUCUUUACUCUACAAAAAUAAGUAUAAAGCAAAGACUAAGACUUAUCAUAGAAAUUAAGGGAGGUUUUAAAAAGAAAAGUAAAACCAAAGAAAAAAUGAUAAGUCUUAGUCUUUGCUUUAUACUUAGUCUUGGCAUGAAGCAUGCAAAUGUGUCAGUCUUUUUGUCCCCAUCUUUACUUCACAAAAAUAAGUAUAAAGGAAAGACUAAGACUUAUCAUAGAAAUUAAGGGAAGUUUUAAAAGGAAUAGUAAAACCAAAGAAAGAAUGACAAGUCUUAGUAUUUGCUUUAGAUUUAGUCUUGGCAUAAAGCAUGCAAAUGUGUUAAGUCUUUUUGCCCCAUCUUUACUUCACAAAAAUAAUAAUAUUAGCAUUUACUUCUGUCUAAGUCAUAAAACAGACUAAAAUACAAUAAUACACUUAAAAUCCAUUCUCAAUUUGUCAAUUUAAUUAGAAGACAAAAGAUAACCUCCAUUAAGUAAAUUACUAUUUUUUUUUGUCUUUUUCAAAAGAUAGAAUUGACUUAAGCAAACUAUUAAGAAAAUUAUUUUUCAUAGAGUAAUGAUGGGGCAAGAAGACUUAGACAUUUGCAUGGGAAGACUUAAAAGUAUAAAGCAAAGCAAAGGCUAAAUAGCAACAAAAAUCUCAUUCUAUUGUUAUCUUUGUGAGUCCAAAAUUAGAAUAAUAAUUUUUUAUAAAGUAUAAUUUUGUGAUUCACUUAUAACAUAUAAUAUUUAUAUAUUGACAAUGUUUCAAAUAUAAAUUAUUUUUAAAACAAAAUAUGUUGAGAGUUAGAAAAAUAAUAAAUCUUUUUGUUUAUUAAUUACUCAAUCCCAUUAAUACGUAUAAUAUUUUUUAAAAAUUUAUUUUAUAUUUAUAUAUUAUUUGUAAUUAAUUUUAAAAUUUAUUUAUUAUAUUUACGAUAUGGUAUGAUACUUAAUAUUAGAUUCUCAAAUUAUAAUACCUAUUUCAAUUUAAUAAUUAUACUAAUAUUCUUUUUUCAACUUUUACUUCGGAGCUUAUAAUUAUCCAAAGUUUGACAUAUAUGUAACACUUUUAUAAGUUUAUCCAUCUAUUUCAAAUUUAAUUUAACAAUAACGUUUUAUCAUCUUUUAAAUAGAAAACUUAUUAAUCAUACUGUAACAUUUAAAUAUAGGAUUUCUUCCGUCUCAUUUUCUUUGUUUAUCUUUAACGAAAAUGUUAUAAUCUUUUAAGCUCUUUGUUAUUGUUGCACUUAAGUGGAAAUAUCAGUAGCAAUAUAGUCGAUCUUACACAUGGAAGCCCGGUUAGCCAUGUAGUCACCCACGAGAUAGGAAAAAUAGAAUCAAACUAGACAUGUGAUUUUGUAAUAUCCCAGCCCAAAUGAUAAUUUGACUAGACUAUUACUAAAGUUCAUUAAGUUAAUUAAAAGGUUAAUUACUACAGAAAAAGUAACUGAGCUAUUUUACUAGAAAAAAAUCUAGUUAUUGUGAAACAAAAAGAAAAUGACAGUUUUUCUUCCCCAUCUUUCUUAAGAUUAGAAAGUAUAAAAAAUCAAGUACAAGAUCCAAAAUCGGAGAUGACAAUCGAGUUAAUCUCUUAAUGGUAUAUGUCUUCUUUUUAUUUAAGAAAAAUAUACCAUUUUGGUUACUUUUAAAUGGAGUUAAAGUUUUGAGAGAAAAACUAAGAAAAUUACAAAAUCUUUUAUUAAUCUUCAUGAUCCAUUUGGGAAAAUUAUUGGGCUUUGUUUAUUUUAUGUUCUUAAGAUUUAUUGAUGAUUAUUGAUGGAGUUUAAAGGCUAAAAGUGGGGAUUUGAGUUUUUAAAGAUUGAAGGAGAAACUUGGUUUUUGGAUGAGAUGCUAUGAUUUACAAUAGUGAAUUAAAAUAGAAUUUUGUAUUAAUAGAUAGAUUAUUGCUAUGAUUAUUAUAUAUCAUUGGAAAGCGGUUAAAUCUACUUUCUAAUGAAAUAAACGGAAGUCAAAUCCAAGUUUUUUAUGAAGAGUUAUCUAAUUUUUACUUAAGGAUAUAUAAACUGUAUGGUAGCAUCAUCAUGGUUGAAUUGUGAAAAUUGUCUUAACUUUUAUACAAGGAAUUAAGAAUUGAGCCAUAUAUGUUUGAAAAGGUUAUUAAGUCUACUUUCCAACGAAAUAAGUGGAAUUGAAUUUGGAGUUUCAUAUGAAUAAAUGUGUAAUUUUUAUUAGAAGGUAUACAUGCUAUUUGAUAGGAGUAUAUGAUGUGCAUUAUAAAAUUUUUAUAAUUAAUCUAUAAAGAAUCAUGAGAUGGGCUAUAUAUAGUUAGUAAGCUUAUCGAGUCUAGUUUCUAACGAUGCUAAAAAGAUCUUAAUUCUAAGUUGGAUAUCUUGAGAUAUGGCUAUUUUAGUGAAUGGAGCUCAGGCUAUCAGUAUUAAUUAGUUGAGUUAACCCUUGUUUAACUUAAUUGUUUUUGGUAUAAUUAGUUUCAAAAUGGGUUGAUUGAUUCUAAUGGUUAUUGAUUCUAGCCUAAGAGAUGCUAUUGCAAGAGAAUCGCCAAAUACAGAACAUGUUAUAUGUUCAUGGCAUGUUCUUUCCAAAUUAUCAAGUUGGUUCUCUCUACCAUUUGGGUCACAGUAUGAAGAGUUCAAAGCUGAGUUUGAUAUGUUGUGUCACUUAGAGGGAAUAGAGGAGAAAACAUCAGUGGAAUCAUUUGACUGCUCUGAUGUAAAUAUGCAACUUGAUGCUGAUGUUUAGUUGCUGUGGUCAGAUUUUCUUGAUGUUAUAAUGCUUCAAAAAUCCAGAUACUAGUGAUUUCUUGUCCCAAAAUAGUUCAUUCUUCACCUUCAUCCAUUUCAUCUGGUUUGUUUCUGGGAAUAAAAGCAUAUUCCUUAUUGGCUGCAAAAAUUUCAUUCAUUUUACCUUUAAAAUUUUCAAACAAUUAAAUUACUAAUUAACUUGGUUGGUAUAUGUUUAAUCAUAUAACUUAGAAAAUGCAAUCAGUUUGUAGAGUUUUUAGAUUAUAAGUGUUAGAGGGUUGUCACAAACCCUUUUAUAAAUAUAUUAAAAAUUACAUAAAAAUAUUAGGAUAUGUAUUAAUAUUUACAAACUCUAUUAAUCAUAUGUGAAUAAGUUGAAAUAUAUAAAAAUUAUCUUGUAUAAAUGAAAUUUGUGAAAUUAAAGGAUUUUUUUUUGGUACAUGAGGCUAUCAAGAUUUGAACUUUAAAUUAUUGGAACUAAGAGUUUAGCAUUUUAUUAAUAGACAACGUGAUUGUCGAUUCAUUGAAUUUUAAAUGAGAGGAUCUCUUUAAAACAUAUUAACAAUAAAAAACUUAAAAAAAAGGACAUAUCAUGAAAUCUAGUAGUACAUAGGUAAGCAUGAGAAACAAGUUCCUUAAUAAUCAAAUUAACUGGCAAAAAAAAUCAACAAAUUGAAAACCUAUGUUUUAUUUUUUCUAAAAAGUUUGAUGAAAAAAUCUAAAGAACACAUUCAUUCUUACUUCUCAAACUUGUUUAUUUUGAAAAUUGUGAUAUUAUUAUAAUGGUGGAAUAAGAAAGAAAAUGAUAGAUACUAUGGAAUGUAUUGGUCUGAGUCUUAGUCUUUGCUUUAUAUUUAUUCUUGGCAUCAAGCAUGCAAAUGUGUAAGUCUUUUUGCCCCCAUCUUUACUUCACAAAAGUAGCAAUCUUAGCAGUUGCUUCAGUCUAAGUCAUUAAAAAGAUUAAAAUGUAACAAUAAUAAUUAAUAUACUUAAAAUCCAUUCCUAAUAUGCUAAUUUUUCUGGAAAACAAAAGACAACCUCUCCUAAGAAAAUUGUUGUGCUUUUUAUCUUUUUUAAAAGAUUGACUUGACUUAAGCAAACUGUUAAGAUUAUUUUUCAUAGAGUAAUAAUGGGACAAGAAGACUUAGACAAUUGCAUGAUGGAUGACUUAAAAGAAUAAAGCAAAGAAAAGACUAAAUAUCAAUAAAAAAAAAUCUCAUUACUAUCAUUUUCUUUGGAAGUCCAAAAUUAAAAUAUCAAGUUUUUUAUAAAGUAUAAUUUUGUGAUGGGUGAUUCUAAAUAUACCAUCAUUUUUUUUCUCUACAUUCACUUUUUUUUUUAAAUUUUCUUAGUGAUACUACCAUUUACCCAUCUAGUUUUAUUUUUAAAGCUUCUAAAUUCACAUUUCUAAUAGAUUAUAUAACUUACCGGAUUUUUAUAUCCGAUAAGUUAAAAAAAAUUACAUUUAUGCUUAAAAAAAAUAGUUUAGAGAAAAUAUCUUACAGAAAAUACCAUUCAUAAAAUUUAAUUCCUCUACUAAUCAUAUGUGAAGAAAUCGAAAUAUAUAAAUAUUAUCUCAUACACAUGAAAUUUGCGAAAUUAGAAAUUGGUUUUUUUUUUCUUUGUGAAGUUGUCAAGAUUUGAACUUUAAACUACUAAAAAACUAAGAGUUUAGCAUUUUACUAAUUAGACUAUAUGGAUAUUGGCUUAUUGAAUUUUUAACUCAAAGAUCUCUUUAAAAUGUAUUAAUAAUAAAAACUAAAAAAUAUAAAAAAAUGCACAUGUGAUGAAAUCUAAUAGUACAUUAGGAACAAAAAUAUGAGAAACAAGUUGCUUAAUCAACAAAUUGAUUGGCCAAAAAAAAUCAACAAAUUAAAAACUUGUGUUUUAGUUUUGCUGAAAAGUUUGAAAAAAAAUUCUAAAGAAUACAUUCAUUCUCACUUUUCAAAUUUGUCUAUUUUGGAAAUUGUGAUUUUAUAAUGGUGGAAUAAGAAAGAAAAUGAUAGAUACUAUGGUAAUGUAUUGGUCUAAGUCUUAGUCUUUGCUUUAUACUUAGUCUUGGCAUCAAGCAUGCAAACACAACCUUCAUUGAGAAAAUUGCUAUGUUUUUUUGUCUUUUUUAAAAGAUAGACUUGACUUAAGCAAACUGCUAAGAAAAUUAUUUUCCAUUGAGUAAUGAUGGGGUAAGAAGACUUAGACAUUUACAUGAUAGGAAGACUUAAAAGUAUAAAGCAAAAAAAAGAAUAAAUACCAAUAAAAAAUAUCUCAUACUCUCAUUUUCUUUGUAAGUCCAAAAUUAGAUAUAAAUUUUUUUAUAAAAUAUAAUUUUGUGAUAGGUGAUUCUAAAAACACCAUCAUUUUUUCUCUACAUACACUUUGUUUUAAUUUGUAAGUGAAAUCACUUAUUUUUCCAUUUCAUUUUAAUUUUAAAGCUUCUAGAUAUACAUUUAUGAUAAGUUAUAUAACUUACCGGAUUUUCAUAUUCAGUAAGUUAAAAAAAGUUACAUUUAGGUUUGAAAAAAAAUAGUUAAAAAAAAUCUUACGAAAACAUAGCAAUAUUCUCAAUAGAGGUUAUCUUUUGUCUUCUAGUAAAAUUAGCAAAUUGAGAAUAGAUUUUAAGUAUAUUAAUUAUUAUUGUUAUAUUUUAGUAUUUUUAAUGACUUAGACUGAAGCUACUGCUAAAAUUAUUAUUUUUGUGAAGUAAAGAUGGGGGCAAAAAGAUUGACACAUUUGCAUAUUUGAUGCCAAGACUAAGUAUAAAGCAAAGACUAAAACCAAUACAUUCGCAUAGUAUCUAUCAUUUUCUAUCUUAUUCUACCAUUAUAAAAUCACAAUCUUCAAAAUAGACAAGCUUCAAAGGUAAGAAUGAAUGUGUUCUUUAGAUUUUUUUUUCAAACUUUUCAACAAAAAUAAAACAUAGGUUUUUAAUUUGUUGGUUUUUUUUUUAGCCAAUCAAUUUGUUGAUUAAGCAACUUGUUUCUCAUGUUUUUAUUUCUAAUGUACUAUUAGAUUUCAUGGUGUCUGCAUUAUUUUAUUUUUUUAGUUUUUUUCUUGUUAAUAUAUUUGAAAGAGAUUCUCUGAUUUAAAAAUUCAAUGAGCCAAUAACCAUGUAAUUUAUUAGUAAAAUAUUGAAUUCUUAGUUUUGGUAGUUUAAAGUUCAAAUCCUCAUAACCUGACAUACAAAAAAAAAAAGAUAAUAUUAUGAUUUCAUAAAUUUCAUGUAUAUGAGAUAAUUAUAUAUAUAUACAUACGCACAUAUAUCUAUUGAUUUCUUCACAUAUGAUUAAUAGAGGAUUUAAAUUUUAUAAACGGUAUUAGAAUCUCAUACUUUCUGUAAGAUAUUUUCUCUUAACUAUUUUCCUCUAAACCUAAAUAUAACUUUUUUUAACUUACCAGAUAUGAAAAUUUAAUAAGUUAUAUAACUUAUCAUAAAUGUAUAUCUAGAAUCUUUAAAAUUAAAAUGAGAUGGAUAAAUAAGUAAUUUCACUUAAAAAUAAAAAAAAAGUAUAUGUAGAAAAAAAAUGAUGGUGUAUUUAGAAUCGACCUUCACAAAAUUAUACUUUUAUAAAAAAAAUUGAUAUUCUAAUUUUGAACUCACAAAGAAAAUAGUAGUAUGAGAUUUUUUUUUGUUGGUAUUUAUUCUUUUCAUUACUUUAUACUUUUAAGUCAUCCCAUCAUGCAAAUGUCUAAGUCAUCUUGCCCCACCAUUACCUUGUGGAAAAAUAAUUUUCUUAACAGUUUGCUUAAGUCCAGUCUGUCUUUUAAAAAAAAAAAAAAAAAAAACAUAGCAAUUUUCUCAAUGGAAGUUAUCUUUUAUCUUCCAUUUUAAUUAGUAGACUGAGAAUGGAUUUUAAGUAUAUUAAUUAUUAUUGUUAUAUUUUAGUCUUUUUAAUGAUUUAGACUAAAGCAACUGUUAAGAUUAUUACUUUUGUGAAGUAAAGAUGGGUGCAAAAAGAUGUCAAGACUAAGUAUAAAGCAAAGACUAAGACUUAGACCAACACAUUCCUAUAGUGUCUAUCAUUUUCUUUCCUAUUGCACCAUUAUAAAAUCACAACUUCCAAAAUAGACAAGUUUAUAAAGUGAGAAUGAUUUAGAUUUUUUUUUCAAACUUUUCAGCAAAAAAAAAGCACAGGUUUUUAGUUUAUUGAUUAUUUUGGCCAAUCAAUUUGUUGAUUAAGCAGCUUGUUUCUUAUGUUUUUGUUCUUAAUGUACUAUUAGAUUUCAUGGUAUAUGUAUUUCUUUCUUUAGUUUUUUUUGUUGUUAAUAUAUUUUAAAAAGAUCCUCUAAUUUAAAAAUUCAAUGAGCCAAUAACCAUGUAGUUUGUUGGUAAAAUGUUAGAUUUUUAAUUUCUGUAGUUUAAAGUUCAAAUCUUGACAACCUCGCAUACAAAAAAAUAAUCUUUUGAUUCCACAAAUUUCAUGUAUACAAGAUAAUUUAUUUAUAUAUAUAGUUCAAUUUCUUCACAUAUGAUUAAUGGAGUUUUUAAAUUUUAUAAACAGUAUUAGAAUCUCAUACUUUUUAUAAGAUAUUUUCUCUUAACUUUUUUUUUCAAACUAAAUGUAACCUUUUUUUAACUUAUCGGGAUAUGAAAAUCUGAUAAGUUAUGUAACUUAUCAAAAAUGCAUAUUUAGAAGCUUUAAGAUUAAAAUGAGAUGGGUAAAUAAGUAAUAUCACUUAAAAAUUAAGAAAAAAGUAAAUGUAGAGAAAAAAUGAUGGUGUAUUUAGAAUCACCCAUCACAAAAUUAUACUUUAUUAAAAAAAUUGAUAUUCUAAUUUUGGACUUGCAAAGAAAUUGAUAGUAUGAGAUUUUUUUUAUUGGUAUUUAGUCUUUGCUUUGCUUUAUAAUUUUAAGUCUUUCCAUCAUGCAAAUGUUUAAGUUUUCUUGCCCCAUCAUUAUUCUUUUUCAUAGAGUAAUAAUAGGGCAAGAAGACUUAGACAUUUGCAUGAUGGGAAGACUUAAAAGAAUAAAGCAAAGAAAAGACUAAAUACCAAUAAAAAAGUCUCAUACUAUCAUUCUCUUUGUGUGUCUACAAUUAAAAUAUCAACUUUUUAUAAAAGUAUAAUUUUGUGAUGGGUGAUUCUAAAUACAUCAUCAUUUUUCCUUACAUCUACUUUUUUUUUUAAUUUUUAAGUGAAAUUACCUAUUUAUCCAUCUCAUUUUAAUUUUAAAACUUCUAGAUAUGCAUUUAUGAUAAGUUAUAGAACAUAUGGGUUUUCAUAUUCGGAAGCUUAAAACAAGUUACAUUUAGGUUUGGAAAAAGAUAGUUGACAGAAAAUAUUUGAUAAAGAGCAUAAGAUUCUAAUACUAUUUAUAAGUUUAAAUCCUCUAUAAAUCAUAUGUGAAGAAAUCAAAAUAUACAUGAAAAUUGUGAAAUCCAAAGAUUGUUUUUUUUUUUUUUUUUGUAUGUGAAGUUGUGAGAAUUUGAACUUUAAACUACUGAAACUAAGAGUUUAGUUUUUUACUAACAUACUGCAUGGUUAUUGGCUUAUUAAAAUUUUAAAUCAGAGGAUCUAUUUAAAAUAUAUUAAGAAUAAAAAAAAUGUACAUACCAUGAAAUCUAAUAGUACAUUAGGAACAAAAGCAUUAGAAACAAGUUGCUUAAUCAACAAAUUGAUUGGCAAAAAAAAAAAUAGAAAUCAACAAAUUAAAAGCCUAUGUUUUAUUUUUGUUGAAAAGUUUGAAAAGAAAAAUCUAAAGAACACAUUCAUUCUCACUUCUCAAACUUGUCUACUUUGGAGAUUGUGACAUUAUAAUGGUGGAAUAAGAAAGAAAUCUAUAGAUACUAUGGGAAUGUAUUGGUCUAAGUCUUAGUUUUCACUUUAUACUUAGUUUGGCAUCAAGCAUGCAAAUGUGUCAGUCUUUUUGCCCCCAUCUUUACUUCACAAAAAUAAUAAUCUUAGUAGUUGCUACAGUCUAAGUAAUUAAAAAUACUAAAAUAUAACAAUAAUAAUUACUAUACUUAAAAUCCAUUCUCAGUUUGUUAAUUUAACUAAAAGACAAAAGACAACAUCCAUUAAGAAAAUUGCUAUGUUUUUUUUUGUCUUUUUUAAAAGAUAGACUUGACUUAAGCAAACUGCUAAGAAGAUUAUUUUUCACAAGAGUAAUGAUGGCGCAAGAAGACUUAGACAUUUGCAUGAUGAGAAGACUUAAAAGUAUAAAGCAAAGAAAAGAAUAAAUACCAAUAAAAAAAAUCUCAUACUAUCAUUUUCUUUAUGGGUCCAAAAUUAGAAUAUCAAAUUUUUUUAUAAAGUAUAAUUUUGUGAUAGGUGAUUCUAAGUACACCAUUUUUUUUCUCUACAUACACUUUUUUUUUAAUUUUUUAAGUAAAAUCACUUAUUUAUCCAUCUCAUUUUAAUUUUAAAGCUUCUAGAUAUACAUUUUUUAUAAGUUAUAUAACUUACCGAAUUUUCAUAUUCGAUAUGUUAAAAAAGUUACAAUUAGGUUUGAAAAAGAAAAUAGUUAAGAGAAAAUAUCUUACGUAUAAAAAGUAUGAGAAUCUAAUACCAUUUAUAAAAUUUAAAUCAUGUAUUAAUCAUACGUGAAGAAAUUGUUUUAUAUAUAUAUAUAUAUAUAAGUUAUCUUGUAUAUAUAAAAUUUGUGAAAUUAGAAGAUUGUCUUUUUUUUUUUUUUUUUUGGCUUGUGAGGUUGUCAAGAUUUGAAUUUUAAACUACUAAAACUAAGAGUUUAGCAUUUUACUAACAUACUGCAUGGUUAUUGGUUCAUUGAAUUUCUAAAUCAUAGGAUCUUUUAAAAAUAUAUUAACAAUAAAACAAAAACAAAAAAAAAAAAAAGAGCACACCAUGGAUCUAAUAGUAUAUUAGGAACAACAGCAUGAGAAACAAGUUGCUUAAUCAACAAAUUGAUUGGCAAAAAAAAAUCAACAAAAUAAAAACCUGUGUUUUAUUUUUGUUGAAAGUUUUGAAAAAAAAAAUCUAAAGAACAUAUUCAUUCUCACUUCUCAAACUUAUCUAUUUUGGAAAUUAGGAUUUUAUAAUGGUGGAAUAAGAAAGAAAAUAAUAGAUACUAUAGGAAUGUAUUGGUCUAAGUCUUAGUCUUUGCUUUAUACUUAGUCUUGGCAUUAAGCAUGCAAAUGUUAGUCUUUUUGCCCCCAUCUUUACUUCACAAAAAUAAUAAUUUUAGCAGUUGCUUCAGUCUAAGUCAUUAGAAAGACUAAAGUAUAAUAAUAAUAAUAAUAAUAAUAAUAAUAAUAAUAAUAAUAUAAAUAUACUUAAGAUCCAUUCUCAAUAUGCCAAUUUAACUAGAAAAGAAAAGAAAACCUCCAUCGAGAAAAUUGUUAUUUUUUUUGUCUUUUUACAAAAAUAGACUUAACUUAAGCAAAUUGUUAAAAAUUGUUUUUUUUUUUUCAUAGAGUAAUGAUGGGACAAGAAGACUUAGACAUUUGCAAGAUGGGAAGACUUAAAAAUGUGAAACAAAUAAAAGACUAAAUACCAAUAAAAAAACUCAUACUAUUAUUUUCUUUCUGAGUCCAAAAUUAAAAUAUCAAUUUUUUUUAUAAAGUAUAAUUUUGUGAUGGGUGAUUCUAAAUGCACCAUCAUUUUUUCUCUAGAUCCAUUUUUUUUUUUACUUUUUAAGUGAAAUUACUUAUUUAUCCAUCUUGUUUUAAUUUUAUAACUUACUAGAUUUUAAUAUCCAAUAAGUUAAAAAAAAAGUUACAUUUAGGUUCUAAAAAAAAAUAGUUAAGAAAAAAUAUCUUAUAGAAAAUUUUAAGCUUCUAGAUAUGCAAAUCCGGAAACUUUUAAAAGCUUUUGGAUAUACAAAUCUAGAGGCUUUUAAGAGCUUCUAGAUUUACAACUAUGAAAACUCUUAAAAGUUUUGAAUUUUGUAAAUCCAAAAGCUUAAAAGUAGAAGAAGUGUGAAGAGAAAAGAGAAAGAGUAAUUAAAUAAUUUCAUUUAAAAUAAUUUUGAAAUAAAAAGGGUGUGGAGAGACAAAAUGGGAAUAUAUUUAGAAUUUUCUUUUGUGAUUCACAUAUAGCAUAUAAUAUUUAUAAAUUAACAACAUAUCAAACAUAUAUAUUUUUUGAAAAUAGAAUGUGAUGAAAGUUUGAAAAAUAAUCAUAUUUUAUAUUUAUGUCCAUUAAUCACUUAAUCCCAUUAAUAUGUAGAGUAUUUUUUAAAAACUUUUAUUUGAUUUAUAUAUAUAUUAUUCAUAAUUAAUUUUAAAAAUUAUAAAAACUAUUUAUAAUAUUUACGAUAUGAUAUGACACUCGAUAUUAGAUUCUCACAUUACAAUACAUAUUUUACUUUAACAAUUAUGCUGAUUUUUUUUAAAACUUUUACUUCGUGAUUUAUAACUAUCCAAAGUUCGACAUAUAUGUAACUCUUUUUAAGUUUAUUAUUUAUUUAUAAUUUGAUUUAUAAUAAAGUUUUAUCAUCAUUUACUAUAGAGAACUUAUUAAUGAUUCUAAUGGUAAUGUCUAAAUAUAGUAUUCCCACAGUCUCUUGUUUUUUUUUUUUUUGUUUUAGAUAUCUCAAAAUUAUAUCAUCUUUCUUUAUUGGAAUAACUCAAACUCUUACUUUUUAUAUUUUAAAAUUAUUUUUUAUGAUUUUUUUUUUACUUUUGACAUUAAAAAUCAUGAAACUUUAAUCUUAUAAAAAAUUGAAUUUUAAUCUUAAAAAUAUUAAAAUCAAAAUUUUUUUCUUAAACUCUGUAAAAAAUUAAUAACACAAAAAAAAAAAAGCUCACAUGGCAUAAAUACUAAUGCAUAUGCCUGCAGCAAACAAUGAUAUUUAAGACUCGUUCAAUUCAGCAUUAUAUCUAACUUAGUUUUUACAAUUAGAACAAUUCAUUUUAUUUAAAUGCUCAAGUUAUAUGAGGUAGUAAAAAUUUAAUUUAAUUUGGAAGUGGUAAGGUCGUCGAUCAUUGGAAAUGUCAAAAUAAAUGUGCGGAUUGUCAAGUGGUAGUUAUUUAGUUUUUUUUUUUUGUUAAUUUUCUUUACAUAGAAAAUAUUUUGUUUAUUAGUUUAAACAUUGUGUCCAUACAAAUGAAAAUAAACGGCAAGCAAACAAGACUUUAAGGAAGAAAAUUUUCAAUAAUCCAUUUCUGAAAGAUGUGCGUGAUUAUAUAUCAAGAUAAGCUUUCAAGUAAUAAACAACAUAUAUUAUAUAUUAAAAAUUAUAAAAAAAAUAAAACAUGUGAUAAUAUAUUAGCACCAUUUAUAAAACUUUAAAACUCUACUAAUAAUAUAUAUAAAUAUCUAUAAAUUAUGUGAAAUUUAUGAAGUUGGAGGAUUGUUAUAUAUUCCGAUAAGUUAAAAAAUAAAAAGUUCAUAUAAUUAAAAAAUACAAUUGCCAUUAAAUCUAAUAGUAUAUUACAAACAAAAGCAAGAGAAACAAGUUGCCUAAUCAACAAUUGAAAAAAUCAUGUUUUAUUUUCGUUGAAAAUUUUGAAAAAAAAAUUUGAAGAACACAAAUUUUUUCUCUGACGUUUCAAUUGAUUCAAGGACUUUGAAAAAAAAAAAAAGAUAAUUUUCAAAUCCUAAAGUUUUUCUUUCAUCCUAUUAUUUUCAAAUAAUCAAAAAUUUAGAUCCUAUUAUUUUUGAAUAAUUAAAAAUUUAAGUAUCUGAUUGAAUACUACCAUCAACAUCUUGACUCUUUCAUUGUGCUUUCUCAAUUCUUAUAGAUAAGAUUCCAUCAAGCAAUUAAUUGCUAAUUAUUUAAGAUGAUUAAUUAUAAUAUAGAUUUCAUUUGGUUUGUAUUUUUUUCCUUUACUAUUUGUUUUUUGUUUUCAAUUCAUUUAUUAAAAAAAAUAAAAACCCUAAACUGAAAAAUAUAAUUUAGAUUUCGUUUGGUUUGUAUUUUUUUUCUUUUACUAUUUUUUAAAAUUUCAAUUCAUUUAUUGAAAAAUAUAAAAACCAAAGGCAUCCAUUAAUCUCUGACUUGACAUCAAUAGACCAGGGAACUGAAUACAUGGAAACUCAGUUUCAGCACUUGCACUCUGUUGGCUGGAUGUUUCCUCCUUGCUUUCAUCUUUUGCCCUCGUUUCGUUCAUUCAUACUUUUGCUCUAGAUUUUCCAGGUUAGGUAGCAAUGUUCUUAAUUACAACAUAUGUGCUGCCAUAUUACAAGAUGUUAGGUGGGAUGCAACAAAUUAAAAAUGCAACCCAAACGAUCAUACCCCUUUUUCUUUUAAUGCUCUAUAUAGAUAAAAAUAAUUGUAUUAUUGCAGGAAGUUGAUAAGGAUACCAAAAGGAGGUUCAAGCUUUUCCAUAAGAAAGAAGAAAUAACUUAGAAUUUUUCAAAAAAAGAAUUUCGUAUAAUUUCAUAAUCAGUGGUGAAAUCAAAUUUUUUUAAAAAAUAUUCCAUUUAAUAUUAUAAAAAUUAAUAUAAAAAUUAAAAUAAUAUAUUAUUCAUAUUACAUGAUUUUAAUUUUAUUGAAAAUUGUCUACUCAUAAAAAAAAAAAGCAGGUCAGCAUUUUUUUUAAAACUUUGAUUUUUUUUUCUUGCAAAUUUGUCAUUGUGUUGCCAAAAACAUUGGAGGUUCAAUCGUUUUAGAGUUUACUGUGUUUAUUAUAUAAUUGUAUUUAUUAAUUUCAUGGAUGAAAAAAAUUAAAAAAUUAGAGAUGUUGAAAAAUUCUCUUUCGAAAUUUCUUCUCCUUCCAUGUUCGGAGGUGUUCAUGAACAACUCACCCAUAGUCUUGCAUCUUCCUUUGUCCUUAAUAAUAGAAUUGAUUUGAUUGAUAAAUCUUUGUAAAAUUACUCUUUCAGACAAGUUGAUAGAUGAGCAAAGCUUAGUGAAAAUUUUCAUUCUUUUGAGAAAAUUAAUUUUUUAUUUAAUUGUUAUUUGUACGAAUGCAUAAUAUGAAAUAAAAAGUGGAAGAAAAGAAAAGAUAUAGUGAUAAAGAUUAAUUUACAAAAGCAAAACUAUAAGCCUUAUCACCAUUGACCCAUUAUUCAUUCCUUAAAAUUCAAAAUGGACAAGCAAUAAAUAUGUCUGUCUUCCACCUAUUUUGAUUUAACUCUUAUAGAAAUAGCUCAAACUCAUGAUUUGUACAAACACGUGGUUGGAAAAACGCAUUUGAACUUAUCUCUUGAGAUCAAGGGAGAUAUGUAGCUACAAUAACAGUACCUAAUAUGAAGUACUUGUCUAUAAAUAACGUGUAAGCAAAUCUCAAGCUCCAUAAUUUUCCCUUCAUUUUUUCUUUAUAGAGAGCCAACAAAACAUGAAGAAUCUUCAUAUCCUAAUUUCAAUCAUUUUUCCUACCUUGUUUCUCCUCUCAUUCUCUAUAUCUCUUGUGUUAUCUUUUUCCCCUCCUGAUCUCCAAAACCAAUGCCUUCAUCACCAGAAAUCUGCUCUGCUAAAAUUGCACCAUGAUCUUUACUAUGCCCCAAAUUUUACUUUCUCUUCCAAAGUUGAGCUUUGGGAUCCCAACAUUGACUGUUGCUCUUGGAAAGGAAUUACAUGUGAUGCUUUGGGUCAUGUGAUUGAACUUGAUCUCAGUUACAAAAACCUUUCAGGCAGCUUUCACUCCAUUUUCAAUCUCCAUCAUCUUCAACGCCUUAAUCCUGCUGCAAACAAUUUUAACACCACUCUGUUUCAAUAUGAGUUUGAUAGACUCCCAAAUUUAACUCAUCUCAAUCUUUCAAACUCAUGUUUCCAUGGCCAAAUUCCAGUGGGGAUUUCAUACUUAACAAGGUUAGUCUCUCUUGAUCUAUCUCAUCAAGAUUCUUGCUAUCUGCACAAUUACAAAAUUCUUGAUCCAAAUUUCUGGUACUAUGAUUUUCCUUUCAACCUUCAACCUUUAAAACUAGAAAACCCAAACUUCAAAUCAUUAAUCCAAAAUUUGAGACCUCUUACAGAGCUCUACUUGGAUGGUGUGAACAUUUCAACUCAAAGUAGUAAAUGGUGUGAGAUCACAUCCACAAUACUUCCUAACUUGCAUGUGUUAAGUCUGUCGAGUUGUGGGUUGACAGGUCCAUUUUGUUCUUCACUCUCAAGACUUCCUUUUCUUUCCAAACUUGUCCUUGAUUGGAACACGAUCUCUUAUUUACCUCCCAAUUUGUUGGAAAUUUCCUCUCGUUUGGUUUCUCUCAGUUUAAUGAAUUGCAAUUUAGGUGGGCAUUUUCCAACAGAAAUUCUCAAGUUGCCAAAAAUAGAAAGCAUUGACAUUUCAAAUAAUUACGGUCUUGGAGGUCAGUUGCCAGAAUUUCCAUCAAACAAUGCUUUACGGAUCUUAACGAUUUCUCAAACAAAUUUCAGUGGCAAACUACCAGAAUCAAUUGGCAAUCUCAAAUUCUUGACAAAUUUAGAUCUCUAUGGUUGCAAUUUCUUUGGACAAAUUCCAUCAUCAAUUGCAAAUCUUACUAAUCUUGUGGAACUGGAUCUGUCCAGUAACAAUUUCAGUGGUUUUAUCCCCGCAUUUCAUAGAUCCGGAGUUCCAAAUCUUGCACAUCUUUAUUUGUCGGGGAACCACCUCUCUGGAUCAAUGCAUUCUUCUUUAUUUACUCUCCCAUCAUUGCAGGACUUGAUUGUUUGGGGAAAUCAAUUGGUCGGUGAAAUUGAUGAGUUUGUCAACGCAUCUUCUUCCUUGAUUGAAAUAUUGUCUUUAGGCGACAAUAGCUUUAGUUCUGUGAAGCUUGACAUGUUCUCCCAACUCAAGAACUUAAGGGUUCUUUACCUUUCCAAUACGAGCUUAUCAAUUGAAAGCGACAUCACAAGCCUCGCUUUUCCCCAAUUAGAGGAGCUAUGCCUAAGUUCAUGCAACUUUACUGAAUUUCCAGAAUUCAUCAAAACACAAGACAAGUUGGCUUUUCUAGAUCUCUCUAACAACCAAAUCCAUGGUUUUGUGCCUAAUUGGUUGUGGAAGACCACUCUUUCAUGGUUAAACAUUUCUUUUAAUGCGAUUGACUUUCCAAAAGAGAUUCCUUUUGGUGACGCAAAUUCCUCUUUUCCAAUGUUGAGUAGUUUAGAAUAUCUUGACCUUUCAAAUAACAAAAUAAGUGGUGCAGUACCAAACUGGGUGUGGAAGAAAAGUUUGAGAUAUCUGGAUCUUUCUAACAAUUCUCUCACAUCUUUGGACCAAUUUUCGCUCAACCAAUCUCUAACUUCUUCACAAGGCUCUUUGUCAAGACCUAUUUGCAAUUUGAGUCGACUUGAGACCUUUAAUGCAUCCUUUAACAAAUUAAGCCGGCCAAUCCCAAGUUGCUUGGGCAAUAUCAGUUCUCUCGGCUCUUUGGAUCUACAAAAAAAUAAUUUCAGCGGCAGCAUACCAGAUUUUGCAAAAGCAACCCAAUUAUAUUGGCUACGACUCAAUGACAAUAAAUUGGAAGGGAAGUUGCCAAGGUCAUUAGCCAAUUGCACAAUCCUCCAAGUUUUAAACCUUGAAAACAAUACUCUGUACGACACAUUCCCUUUGUGGUUGGGAAAAUUGCCUGCUUUGAAGGUCCUUCUAUUGCAAGCAAAUAGGUUUUAUGGUCCAAUUAAACAUGUGAAAAAUUAUUUUCAAGAUUUGGAUGUACUAGACAUUGCUUUCAAUAAUUUUUCUGGUCAAUUACCAACUGCAUUCUUUCAAGCCCCUCGACUAAGGUCACUCAAAAUUGGUGGGAAUAAACUGGAAGGAAAGUUGCCGAGGUCAUUAGCCAAUUGCACAAAGCUUGAAGUUUUGGACGUUGGAAAAAAUAUGAUACAAGACACAUUUCCGUUUUGGUUGGUAAAAUUGCCAUCUUUGAAGGUUCUUGUACUAAGAGCAAAUAGAUUUUAUGGUCCAAUUAAAAUUUCUGAGGAUGAAAAUGUUUUCCUAGAGUUACACAUACUGGAUCUUGCUUCCAAUAACUUUUCAGGUGAGUUACCUGUUGAAUUUUUUCAAUCUUUGAAGGCAAUGAGGAUGAUGAUUGUUGGCAACCAAGCUAAGCCAGAUUAUAUUGGAGAUAAUUACUACCAGGACUCUGUGACAAUUGUGAAUAAAGGGUUUGAACUUUUUUACGAGAAAAUCUUAACCAUCUUUGCUUGUCUUGACCUUUCCAAUAAUAGUUUCCAUGGGAGAAUACCGGAAGAAAUACAAAAGCUCAAGUCACUCAAAGUGCUAAACUUGUCCCACAACAGCUUCCUCGGCCCAAUUCCUUUAGCACUUGGAAACUUAACUGAGCUUGAGUCGUUGGACCUCUCCCAGAACAAACUCUCCGGAAAGAUUCCUCUUCAGCUUACAAGCCUAACUUUUCUUGCAGUAUUGAAUCUCUCUUACAACCGACUUGAGGGAAGCAUACCACAAAGCUACCAAUUUGGUACAUUUUCAAACGAUUCUUACAAAGGGAAUCCAAGAUUAUGUGGGCUGCCUCUGACAAGGAAAUGCAAUGAAAAUGGUCCUGGAAUGCCACCCCCUAAGGAAGAUGGAGAUUCAUGGGUAGAUGGUUUGUCUGAUUGGAAAAUUGUGUUGAUGGGUUAUGGAUGUGGAUUGGUCAUUGGAUUAUGUAUUGGAUAUACAGUGCUGAAUGAGUUGGGGAACAAAUGGUUGGACAGGUUUACACAGAGUCGGAAUAAAAAAUGGAGAAGAUCUUCUAGGUGACUCUAUCAAAAUUCAAGUUUCAAUGUCAUUUGGUAAGUAUUCUAGAAUACUUAAUAACUCAAAAGUUUUUCUGUUGACUCUGUGAACUGUAGCUUAAACAAAUAAAAUUAUUUAAAUGCUCUCUUAUAUUAUCUUUUAUCUGCACUAAAUAAUAAUUUACUAAAGUGAUUGUGUUUAAAAUUUAAUUCAAGAACGUUUCAACUUUUGAUGCCUCUUUUCCUUUUUGAAACUUGGCAAUGCUUUUCAAACUAAGAACAAAAAUUGCCUGCAAACUAGGAUGUCUUUUGAAUUUCCUAACCUCAUUUUACAAAUGAAAAUUAGCUUCCAAGUAAUUAAUUUGUAUAAGACUUGGGGGUCACUGGUACUUUGAGUUAGAUUGGUCUGUCAACCAUCUUAAGAGUAAAGUAAAGCUCUGGCAUCUAUUGUAAUUAAUUAGAUUGGCUUGGGAUGCUCAUAUAUAUUUUAUUUGGCAGGAGCACAAUCAAAGGGUUUGGCAGGCCAUCCAAAGAUAUAGAAGCUAUUGUUUCAACUAUCAGAAGUUCCUUUUAGCUUAGUUCAAUAACAAGAUUGCAGUCUCGAGUUCCACUCUUCCUCUUCAACAACAGAAAUUGUGUCUGAAUGUUUUUGGCUUGGUGUUACUGUACUUGUGUAUCAGUUCAUUCUCUUCUGCUCGCCUAAGAUGAUUGGCGGUAUGUCUGGUUGUAUUGUGCUUGUCUUCUGUUCUGUCUAUGGGGUGGUGUUUUACUGCUGAGUUAUUGGGUUCCCCUGUUGUUCACCCUAUUGUGUAACUCUGUUUUUAUUAAUAAUUUCUGGCUUAGCAAAAGAAAAAUGUGUCUGAAUUGGGGACUGGUUCCUCUAUGUUGCUUAGUUUAAUUAGUUUACUUUAUUAGGUUGCUCUUUGACGUUUGUAAGGUCUUGAUAGCCUACUGUUUAUUUGUAGCAGGUCUACUGCUUUUUUUGGAUUAAUAAAAAUCAUUUAUCCAAAAAAUUUUCUUAAGGAAAAUCUUAUUAUCUUUUAAGCUCUUCAGUAUUAUUAUAUCUAAGUGGUCAUGUCAGCAAUCACAUAAUAGGUUUUACACAUGAAAGCCCAGUUUGCCACAUUAUUACCCAAGAGGUAUAAAAAGUAAAAUCAGACGAGUUAGGUGAUUCACUACUCAACCCUCUUUACUCUCUUUAACUACUUCCUGCUCUUUUACAUUUUCUUGCUUCUGGUGUAUCUUACUAUCUUAACUUGUGCGUCGGAGCAUGCUUCAAAAUAACAUGUUCCGCACCCCUGGCUUUCUAUUCUGUGACAGGUCACACAUACUCUCCUCUCAACCUCCAGUAGGACUUUCGACUACCAGACCAGGAAUUACAUUAACAACCAAGAAUUACAUUAACGAAAUCAAUGAUUCAACUCAACUAUUUGCAUUGCAAGAAUCUGAUACAAGCCAUGGCAUGUACAAAAAUGACCAUGCCUACUACUUUAACUGCCAAAACUAGAAGUUACAUCUGCUAACACAGAAAAAUCUUUACAGACCAAGCUCAAGCUAAGAUGCUUUAUUCCUGUAUUAGCUACUACAUCACUACAGAGAAAGAAAAAAAAAGAACAAAGCUUCCAGUUCCAGGUAUAAAGCUCGACAAUUCCAAAGGAUACUAUUUCAUUGCCCCUAAUAACUAUAGAUUUGACUAUGGCGAGAGAGAUUUAAAUAUUUCCUUUAUUAUUUUCUUAACUUUAAUCCCGUAUCAUCCUUUGUUUUUCUACUUCUGGACUCCCACACAGACAAAAACAAAUGGCUUUUUGUAAGCUCUAUUGCUAUUGCUAUACGAUUGAUAUCCAUAUAGAAUAGACCUUCACUAAACAAAAACAUGUGGGCAAUACAAAGAAACUUUUAACAACUUGAAAGUUAUGUGAAUGCCAUUCUUAAAUUAUUAUGUGGACUUGAUUAAUUGAUUUAAUUUUAUCUUAGAAAAGUAGUGGUAAAAUCUUUGUUAUGAAAAAGAGCAUCCAGUAAUUUUCUUAUGAUUUUUUCCCCUUACACUCAUCACUUAUUCCUGGUCAAAUUGAGUUUAUGCAUAUAAAAACUUGAUUGUUUCUAACAAAAUGGAGUAACUUCAUCGUUUGAAUUGUCAGGCCAAUGAUUUCAGAAGAUACUAGGAAAAGAAAGCAUGGGUUGCCAGAAUACAGUUCAGAAAAGGAUAUGACUUCCUGACUAAAAGCUUGUUCUGCUUAUCUGUUUCUUACAAAACUGAUGUUUCGGCUACAUUUUUUGUCCAGUCAGGAGCAAAAAUGACAGCUGUAUUUGAAAGUGAAAACCAUCCAAGGUGGGACAUGGAAAAUUUGUAUUGGGUAACAGAGGAGAUCACUAGUUUGAACAGAAAUUUGUAUCAGGCACCAAAGCAAGCCUUUCGACCAGCAGAUCAGGAUAAUCAAUGACUCAACACAACUAUUUGCAGUGCAAGAAGAUGAUAACAGCCAUGGCAUGUACAACAAUGACUAGGCCUACCACUUUAAUUGCCAAAACAAGAAGUUAAUUGCAUCUACUAACACAGAAUAAUUGUCGACACAGACAAGAUCAAGCUAAGAUGCUACAUCACCAUAAAAACACAAAAAAGGAAUAGAAGAAAGCUUCUGGUUCCAGGUCUCAAGCUCGACAAUUCCAAACUAACUUUGAUAGUGUUUAAUUUUCCCUAACAACUAUAGAGGGUAAAAAGGGAAACUAAAGGUCAUACUAAGAAUUUGAUGAGUAUACAUCAGCUGUUAAGAGCCAAAGAUUACAAUUUCUUGAAUUUAAGUUUAGGUUUGGUAGCUGAUUUCAUAAUUUUUUUGCCUUAAAUGCAGGAACUGUUUUUUCAAGGAAGAAAACUGUUCAUUAAAGCUUUCUAUGCUUUGGACUUGGACAGCACAAAAAAUCACAGCUUCUAUUAGCUGUCCCUACCCAACUGAAACUAUCAGCAAUCCUACAGCCUUAAACUCUGUGAAGUAACAUCCUUCCUAGAUCAUAACCCUACCAGUAUGUGUAAUCUAGACAUGGAUUUUGAUAUGAUCAAGAUGAAUUCUCGGCCAUUGUGAAGGUUGUGAAGUUGGAUGCUGAUUCGUGGAAAGUUGAUACUGCAUUGCACUGCUAUCUCGAGGUAGAAAUGUUACGUCAUGGGCAAAAGGCAGCAGUGGCAGCAUGACACAGAAACAAUACUUACCUAAAUACUUGGUGUAAAAACACCAUUCCAGCAGCAACAAUGAUUUUAAAGAGCUCAUCACUGCAUAAUCCCAAAUUCCCCCAAUAUCUAGCUGGGAAAUACAUUUUGUUCAAUAAGGUAUGCAGACAAGUAAAUCUUUCCACUACAAUGGCAAAACAAAGAAAUAAAAAUAUUAAUGGCAGCAGGAGUUGAAAAAAAGCAUCAAUGGACUUAUCGUUACCCUCUUCAGCCAUCUUUCUACGUAUCUCAUGAGCAGUAUUGAAAAUGCCAAGGGUGGGUUGGUUGCACAUAAAGCACUUGUUGUUCUUUGUCUGAUGCUGAAAAACCAAAAGAUGCAGUUGGUUAGUUUACAUUCGAAUGAGAAUAAAAAUGUAAAUUAUACUGACAUGAGGCACCAAAAGUUGAUGAUGUAAAGUUAAAAUAUGUCCUAUUUCUAUAGCUGAAAAAAGUUGGACCACAUAAAAUAUUCUUUGUAUGUAAGUAACCAAAAAAGUUUUGCAUCUAAGUGAUGCAUUAACAACAAACAUAACAAAAACUAAUAGAUGUUAACCUAGCACAAAAAAAGACACUAAAAAAAAAUUAAUCCACGUGAAAAGGCAUUGAGGGCACCUUUAAAGCACAAUGCUGGCAGAAGUAGUACUUGCACUUCCACAAAAGGUUGCCAGCAACUAAAACAUGCAGAGGGCAACGAAUCAUCAUCGUCAUCAUCACUCUGGUCUACCCCUGCCUCAUCAUCAUCAUCAUCGCCACCCAAAGCCGGAUUUCUCUUCCUUGCUUUCUCUGCUUCUUCCCAGUCCUUCUCUAACUGCCAUCAAGACUUGUAAUCUCCACAAUCAUGCAUAAACUUACAUGAAUCUCCGUAACCACAGUAACCAGUUUCUUUGUAGUCUUUACCGAUGUCAGGCUGAUAAUCAAAUCUUGCUGAAACCCUGAUGUGGGCAAAAGCCCUAAGAGGUCCAUGUAAGCCACCUGCUUUCUCACUGGCAACUGUUUGCUCUCUUCGAAACCCAGCCUUAUAAUCCACAUAGCCAUGCAUUCCUUUAUACAACUUCUCUCCCCCAGAGCUUGUGUUUUUCCCCUUCAAAGCCUCCUCUGUUCGUUUAAAAACUUCCUCGCGUAUCGCGCGAGCAUCUUUUGUAAACUCAGUCUCAGUUUCUAAGGUUGCCAUAGCUCUGCUAUCAUUUUGAACUUGAAUUUCCUUCGAAGACUCAAAUUGAAAAAUCGGUUUGUCAGAUUCUGUAUUUGAUUCAGUGGGAGUAGCACUCCUGGAGGAUCCAGUUGAAAAGACUAACUUAUAGUCAGGCUUCAAAGCGUUUUUCUGAUUGUGAAACAAAGAUGUGCCAUUUCUGGAGUCUUCAUCUUCAUCUUCAUAUUCAUUUAUUGUCCUUUUCCUUAUGGUUUUUUGCCCUUUGUUGGCUUCCUAAAGAAAUUGCAGACUGAAAAGUCAAAGAGUUAGCUAUAUAAGUAAAUAUACAUAUACACCUUUAAAAAGAAUUAAAAAAAAGGAACAAAUUUUACCUUGCUCAGAUUGUUGAGGUUCUGUUUCAGAUUGCUGAGGUUCUUUUCCUGGCUACUGGGGCUCGCUUGAAUCAGUCAUCUUAACAGAAACAAGAGAAAAGGUUUAUAGAUUCCUUGCCUCAAGCAAUAUGAACUUCAAUUCUCAUUCACGACUGUUGCUCCAAUCACUUGAAAGAAGGUUUUAAACUAAGUGAGUGAAAAUCCUUAUUACUAUUAAUUAAGGUAAUGAAACAAACGUGAUCAACACACUAACUGGUGUCAUAAUUAAAUUUCCAUAGAUAAGAUCAAGCAUUCUCUCAUGAAAAGGCUAAAUGCUCAAUUUUUUUACCCAAAUCAUAAAUUUCUAUUGAUGUAAGAAAAGGAAGGAAUUAAAUUUUUUAUCCAAAUAACAAAAUAUUUACAGUACUCACCUGAACAAGAAGUCUAAAACGCCCAAUACAUUUAACUUUUACCCACGAUUGACUAAUCCGAAUUGAAAUUACCCAACAAGAAGAGAUCGUCCUUCGUCAAUUAAUUCCUUUCGAUCAUCGGAUUUGGGAUUUUUUGAAAUCAGAAUUGGAAUUGGAUAGGAAUCGACUGAAGGAUUGAAGAAUUGGAUAUGAAUCGACUGAAGGAUUAAAGAACGAAGGAGUAAAGAAGGAACCCAAAACGCCAAAUUCUUUUAUCGGGCUUUCCGAUUCUUUUUCGGCCUUCUUGUUUUGAAAAUCAGUCAAUUUUUUGUCCAAAUUGCACAGGUAGACAACAGCUUGCCUACGUGCAUGCCACCUCACCUGAAAAUUACACGUCCUCUACAUAAUAUUCUGGCUCAGCAAUUAAAAGCACGUGUAGUACACGCGAAUAAUUCCUUCCCAUGUUGGCAAUGCCCAUCGGAAUAAUCUUUUGCACCAAUUGGACUUUUGUGUUGGUUGUCCUUUCAAACUAGCUUUGACGAAAACGCAAAAAAAAUUGCUUCUUCUAAACUGCUAAAUUUCUUCAAUUAAAGAAUUUUCGUUUCUGAUGACUUUUUUUUUAUUCAAAUUCGAUGAAAAAUCUAAUCUUUUUAUCUGAAUAAGAAUAAAAAUAUGUAUUUAAAAUUUAAGAAUAAAAACUAAAAUAAUAUAAUUUUAAAAUUUUAUCAAACAUAAUAAUGAAAAUUUUUUAUUUUUUUUAAGUUAUAAAUAUGGGCUGUUCAACCCAUUAAAUCUCCACAAAAAUAAAAAUGGAUAUAAAUUUAAAAUAUAUAUAAAAUAUAGAUAUAAUGUAAAAAAAUUAAAAAUGAGAAUAAAAAAUGUUAUACCCGUCCCAUUGACAUCUUUUAUUUCAGCAUUUGCUGUAAGUUUCAACCUUCUGUGCUGCAAUGUGUUUAAGGGUAAACAAAGAUCAAGAAGAGAAAGUUAAUCAAAUUGACCGGCUCUCAACUCCCUGAUGAUAUUAUAAUCAAUAUACUGCUGAAGAUACCAGUCAAAUCUCUCUUAAACAUUCAAAUGUGCAAUGCAAACCAUGGCGGUCUUUGAUCUCUGACGCUCAAUUUCCCAAACUGCACCUCAAGUGAGCGCUCCAUGGAGCAAUGUGCAAUCCAAUAACAAUGACUCAUCAUUCCAUUCUUGUUGGUAAAGUUAUCUAUCAAACUCACCUGGUAGCCACAAGACAAAUAUUUUCUGUCAAACAGACCUAUCAACAAAGACCCUCAAAUUCUUCAUAUUAUGAUUGUUGAAAGAUUUAAGAUGAUAAUUCUCGGUUUAAUUAAAGCUAAACAUGUACGAAACUUCCAAACUUUUACAAUAUUAACCUGUUGAUAUGGUGCAUAAGAUCUUUCUGUGUAGAAUUUAAAAUAUGCUUACUACAUCAACAAGACACCUUAAGAAACAAACUAGCCGUCCACUCCUGCCUUCAAUAUUUAAGUGAGCUUAAAUGGGUACAAUUGCUAUCACAGAUUCAGAGAAAAUAUUUUACCAAUAUCCAAAGGUUAGAGUCCUAGUCAUUUUCAUUAAAUUUUAGGUGAACAAAUUCCUCUUAACUGUCUCUGGAGACACAACACUGGCUGGCUGACAAUUUCUUUCUUUAUUUUUUUUUUCUAUAUAAAAAGAGCUGAAUCAGCAUGCAUAUCCAUUUGCACUGGUUACUCCUAAAUUGUUUCAUACAGCCCAUAUGUGGGGUAAAAAUAAGUCAUAUUAAGAACAAAAACUAUGUUAGUCUUAUGUGUUAGGCUAAACCUUGAUCAAUUAUUAGAUAAGUGAAAUCAGGAUCAAAUAACAAAUUAUUCAUGUAAAAGAUAAUAAUUUAUCGUGAUUCAAAAAUUAAAUAUUAAAAGUUGUGAAUGACAGUAAAAUAUUAUAAAAAAAUAUAGAUUUGUGGUCUAAUUUACUCAAAAUUUAAUGCGUUUAUCAUAGAAAUUAAAGGAAAGUUUAAAAAAAUAAACAAAAAAAAGACAAGUAUUAGUCUUUGCUUUAUACUUAAUCUUGGCAUGAAGCAUGCAAAUAUGUCAAGUCCUUUUGCUUCUCAUCUUUACUUUACAAAACAAUAAUCUUAGCAGUUGCUUCAUUCUAAGCAAUUAAAAAGAUUAAAAUAUAAUAAUAAUAAUUAAUAUAUUUAAAAUCCAUUCUCAAUCUAUCAAUUUAAUUGGAAGACAAAAGAUAAUUUUCUAUGAGUAAAAUUGCUAUGUUUUUAUCUUUUUUAAAGGAAAGACUUGACUUAAGUAAAUUGUUAAGAAAAUUAUUUUUCAUAUAUUAUUAAUGAUGGGACAAGAAAACUUAAAUGUUUGCAUGAUGGAAGACUUAAAAGUAUAAAGCAAAGAAAAGAAAAAAAUACUAAUAGAAGACACUUGCAUGAUGGAAGACUUAAAAUAUUAAGCAAAGAAAAGAUAAAAUACUAAUAGAAAAAAAUCUCAUACUAUCACUAUCUUUGUGAGUUCAAAAUUAGAAUAUCAAAAUUUCAAAAGACCCGUUUUUCUUACAUGAGAUGGGUCCAUUAAAACCGAAAUCGGGCUUCCGUUUGACUUUUGCACCAAAACACAAUUGGGCAAUUUGUGCGAAUCUUAAACUGAUUAUAGAACGAUACACAAAACAAUUAACUGAGAAAAGCAAAAUUAAAAAAAAAAAAAAAAGGUUGUCAAAAGGGAUUUAAAGUUAUGGGGUUUUUAAUCAAAAUUUCCCCUUCUUUUCUUCUUUUUCCAGGUAAAAUUUUCCUCAUGCCCACUUUUAUUUUCAAUCGUAAAAAAUUCUUUCUUUUUUUUUUAAAUGUAAAAUAUGGGUUUUUUUUUUAUAUCUUCUGUUUCUACAGUACACUGUAAUUAGGAGCUGGAGCAAUUGCAGCUAAUUUUUGGAAACCUUACAUUGGCAAAGGCAGAGUAUUUUUUUUUUUUAAAUAUUUUUUCUAUGAUCCUUGUUAUACUUUCACUGUGUAGAAAGAUUCUAUUUUUAGCUAAGCAUAACUCAUUUUUUUUUCAAUUAUUUGUUUUUAGGCUUUAUCAUGUGUUGGGUCUUUUCUGUUUUACCCAUAUUUCAUUUAAUUUUAUGAUUUGAAUCGAACUGCUAUGUGAAUAGGAAUAUUGAGUUAUGCCAAGCAAUACUUUCUCUGACUAUUACUAUACAUAAUUGUCAAUUUGUCAUUCAAUUGCUAGCUGCUAAAUUUGCUGCAAAAGAAUGGUUAUUGCAGUUGGAAUCUCUUGUUAUUAUGGGGAAGAAUGUGAGGGUUGAAAAGGGAAAGAAAAAUGAAAUGAAAUGAAAUAGUUGGGUGGAAAGUGUUACCUUUUAUGGAGUUCUAGCUUGCAAUCAUCAUUUGUUUAAUUGUACAUUUUGCAUUUUCCAACAAUUGAAUGGAGCAAGUUUUUCGGAUUUCCAUUUCAUUGCUUUCAAGUACCUUGGUCUAGAUAAGUUUCGUCCGUGUUUCCUGUUCCCAAAAUGAUUUAACAUAUAUGACAUAACAGGUUCUUCUUGCAAAUUGGGACUUGAAUGUUUAUGUGAAAAGGUGGUUAUAGUCUGAUCUUUUCUUUGUUGCAUCCAUAUUCUGCAAAGAUCUUUUGCCCUGUCUCUUUGUUCACUUCCUGGGUCUCAGUAUUUUGUUGGUUUGCUUAUGGUAGAGUUUGAUCUCGUGCUUUUCCAUUUUCACUUUGCCCCCACUAUUCCUCCCCUUCCUCUCUAGCUUUUGAAAUUGCAUUUAGAGCCUUGGUUGUUGUAGUAGAUCACAAGCAUACUUUAACAUUAUGUUCAAGCUGUUUAAUUGUAGGUUCAAAUUUCUAGUGUUAAAGUUUGAUUAGGUUUUGAUUUCUUAUAUAAGCCUUGUUUUAACACCCCCCCCCCCCCUUUUUUUAGAGGGAGAGGGGGUCCGGGGAAAUAAAAAUAGCCCUUAUAUUAGUGCAUACAAAUGUAUGUAUGUAUACGGUAUAUAUAAACAUUGGUAUAAAAAAUAUGUUAUAUACAAUGUUUGUAUAAAAAUUGUGUAAUCCCAAAAUAAAAUAUAAAUUUCAAGCACUGUACAUACAUAAAUUCUAAAAAAUUCAAAAAAUUAAAUUCAAUAAAUAGAAUAUAACUUAAUGACCAGAAAUAGAAAAACUAAAAAAGGUAACUACCGAGAACAUAAAAUUGCUUGUGCACAAUUAAUGCAUUAGCGAACCAUAUGAAGUUCUUGGUUAUUUUGCAUUAUUUAGUAUUUGUUUGAUUGGGUUUUUGCUAUUUGCUUUUUGCUUCGAAAGCAAAAAAGCAAAAAUAGCAUUUCCAUAAGCAAUAAAAUUUUGAAGAGUUAUACACAAAAUAUUUAAAUUUUUUAUGAUUAACUACAUGAUUCUACUUCUAUAUAUACUAAUUGUGUUAUAAUUGAUUUUAUAUUUUAAUUAUUUUUUCUGUUUUAGAUCAGUUAUGACAUAUAUACAUUUUACCUUUUGCUUUUCCUUUCUAGUAAAAUAUAUAUGUUUUAUUCAUGUUCGUAGGGAACUUACCAGACUUCUUGGCCAUGUUCUAGAAAUGCCAGUAUCUAACGAGUUUGCUUUGAAUAUGGCAGCUAACAACAUCAGUGAAUCUUAGGUUUGUUGAUGCAAAUCAUGGCUAACAGAUUCACUUGAAGCCUACUUAUCUAAAGAUUUUUCGAUUUUUAGAGGAUGAAAUGCAAAGGUGGUGCUGAUGUUAAUAAUGUUGGACAUUGAACACUGUCAAACAACAUAGAGGUGGAAAUAUACUGACUUUUACAGGUUUCAGGGUUGGUUUUAUUUGUUGACUUCAUUCUAUUACUUCUUUUUUUGGAACGAUAUAUGCCAACAUCUUAUGUAAAUAUGCAACUUGAUGCAGAUAAUUUGUAAUUUUGGGGAAGAGAAAGAAGGAAUGAAAUUGAGAAACUANNNNNNNNNNNNNNNNNNNNNNNNNNNNNNNNNNNNNNNNNNNNNNNNNNNNNNNNNNNNNNNNNNNNNNNNNNNNNNNNNNNNNNNNNNNNNNNNNNNNNNNNNNNNNNNNNNNNNNNNNNNNNNNNNNNNNNNNNNNNNNNNNNNNNNNNNNNNNNNNNNNNNNNNNNNNNNNNNNNNNNNNNNNNNNNNNNNNNNNNNNNNNNNNNNNNNNNNNNNNNNNNNNNNNNNNNNNNNNNNNNNNNNNNNNNNNNNNNNNNNNNNNNNNNNNNNNNNNNNNNNNNNNNNNNNNNNNNNNNNNNNNNNNNNNNNNNNNNNNNNNNNNNNNNNNNNNNNNNNNNNNNNNNNNNNNNNNNNNNNNNNNNNNNNNNNNNNNNNNNNNNNNNNNNNNNNNNNNNNNNNNNNNNNNNNNNNNNNNNNNNNNNNNNNNNNNNNNNNNNNNNNNNNNNNNNNNNNNNNNNNNNNNNNNNNNNNNNNNNNNNNNNNNNNNNNNNNNNNNNNNNNNNNNNNNNNNNNNNNNNNNNNNNNNNNNNNNNNNNNNNNNNNNNNNNNNNNNNNNNNNNNNNNNNNNNNNNNNNNNNNNNNNNNNNNNNNNNNNNNNNNNNNNNNNNNNNNNNNNNNNNNNNNNNNNNNNNNNNNNNNNNNNNNNNNNNNNNNNNNNNNNNNNNNNNNNNNNNNNNNNNNNNNNNNNNNNNNNNNNNNNNNNNNNNNNNNNNNNNNNNNNNNNNNNNNNNNNNNNNNNNNNNNNNNNNNNNNNNNNNNNNNNNNNNNNNNNNNNNNNNNNNNNNNNNNNNNNNNNNNNNNNNNNNNNNNNNNNNNNNNNNNNNNNNNNNNNNNNNNNNNNNNNNNNNNNNNNNNNNNNNNNNNNNNNNNNNNNNNNNNNNNNNNNNNNNNNNNNNNNNNNNNNNNNNNNNNNNNNNNNNNNNNNNNNNNNNNNNNNNNNNNNNNNNNNNNNNNNNNNNNNNNNNNNNNNNNNNNNNNNNNNNNNNNNNNNNNNNNNAAAAAAAAAAAAAAUUUUUUCUCAAUGAAAGUUGUCAUUUGUCUACUAGUUAAAUUGGCUCACAAGGAAUAGAUUUUAAGUAUAUUAAUUAUUAUUGUUAUAUUUUAGUCUUUUUAAUGACUCAGACUAAAGCAACUACUAAGAUUAUUUUUGUGAAGCAAAUAUGGGGGCAAAAUGAUUGACACAUUUGCAUGCAUGAUGCCAAAACUAAGUAUAGAGCAAAGACUAACACUUGGACCGAUACAUUCCCAUAUUAUCUAUCAUUUUCUUUCUUAUUCCACCAUUAUAAAAUCACAAUUUUCAAAAUAGACAAGUUUGGGAAGUGAGAAUGAAUAUAUUUUGUAGAUUUUUUUUUCAAACCUUUCAACAAAAAUAGAACACAUGUUUUUGAUUUGCUAAUUUUUUUUUUUUGUGAAUUAAUUUGUUGAUUAAGCAACUUCUUUCUCAUGCUUUUGUUCCUAAUGUACUAUUAGAUUUCACGGUAUGUGCAUUUUUUUUUAGUUUUUUAUUGUUAAUAUAUUUUAAAGAUAUCUUCUAAUUUAAAAAUUCAAUAAACUAAUAACCAUAUAGUCUAUUAGUAAAAUGCUAAACUCUUAGUUUUAGUAGUUUAAAAUUCAAAUCCUAGCAAUCUCACUAUAAAAAAAUUAUAAAAAAAAGACAAUCUUAAAAUGAAAAAAUUUCAUGUAUACAAGAUAAUUUAUAUAUAUAUUUUAAUUUUCUUCACAUAUGAUUAAUAGAGUUUUUAAAUUUUAUAAACAGUAUUAAAAUCUCAUACUUUUUAUAAGAUAUUUUCUCUUAACUAUUUUUUUUUCAAACCUAAAUGUAAUUUUUUCUAACUUACCAGAUAUGAAAAUUCUGUAAGUUAUAUAACUCAUUAGAAAUGCAUAUUUAAAAGGUUUAAAAUUAAAACAAGAUAAGUAAAUAAGUAAUUUACUUAAAAAUUUUCUAAAAAAGGUGGAUGUAGAGAAAAAAUAAUGGUGUAUUUAAAAUAACCCACCACAAAAUUAUACUUUACAAAAAAAAUUGAUAUUCUAAUUUUGGACUAACAAAGAAAAUGACAGUAUGAGAUUUUUUCAAUUGGUAUUUAGUCUUUUCUUCACUUUAUACUUUUAAGUCUUCCCAUCAUACAAAUGUGUAAGUCUUCUUGCCCCAUCGUUACUCUAUGAAAAAUAAUCUUAUUAGCAGUUUGCUUAUGUCAAGUCUAUCUUUUAAAAAAGACAAAAAAAAUAGCAAUUUUUUCAAUGGUGAGUGUCUUUUGUCUUCCAAUUAAAUUUGCAGACUGGGAAUGGAUUUUAAAUAUAUUAAUUAAUAUUGUUAUAUUUUAGUCUUUUCAAUGACAUAGACUAAAGCAAUUGCUAACAUCAUUUUUUUUUUUGAAGUAAAAAUAGGGGCAAAAAGAUUGACACAUUUGCAUGCUUGAUGCCAAAACUAAGUAUGAAGCAAAGACUAUGAUUUAGACCCAUGCAUUCUGAUAGGAUCUAUCUUUUUCUUUCUCAUUCCACCAUUAUAAAAUCACAAUUUCCAAAAUAGACAAGUUUGAGAAAUGGGAGUGAAUGUGUUCUUUAGAUAAUUUUUUCAAACUUUUCAGUUAAAAUUAAAGAUAGGUUUUAAUUUAUUUUAUUAUUAUUAUAUUAUUAUUUUGCUAAUCAAUUUGGUGAUUAAGCAACUUCUUUCUCAUGCUUUGUUCCUAAUGUACCAUUAGAUCUCAUGGUAUGUGCCAUUUUUUUUAUUUUUUAGUUUUUUUACUAUUAAUAUAUUUAAAGAGAUUUUUUUAUUUAAAAUUAAAUGAGCAAAUAACCAUGAGUUUGUUAGUAAAUGUUGAAUUCUUAAUUUUAGUAGUUUAAAGUUCAAAUCUUGAUAACCUCACAUUACAAAAAAAAAGGACAAAUUUCUAAUUUCACAAAUUUCAUAUAUACGAGAUAAUUUUUAUAUAUUUCAAUUUCAUCAUAUAUGAUUAAUAGAGAUUUUAAAGUUUAUAAAUGGUAUUAGAAUCUCAUACUCUAUGCAAGAUAUUUUCUCUUAAUUAUUUUUUUCCAAACCUAAAUGUAACUUUUUUUAACUUACUGGAUAUGAAAAUCCAAUAAGUUAUAUCAAGAUGCUUUAAAAUUAAAACGAGAUGAGUAAAUAAGUAAUUUCACUUAAAAAUUAAAAAAAUUGAUAUAGAAAAAAAAUGAUGGCAUAUUUAGAAUCACUCAUCACAAAAUUAUGCUUUAUAAAAAAUUUGAUAUUUUCAUUUUGGACCCACGAAGAAAAUGAUAGUAUGAGAUCUUUUUAUUGGUAUUUAAUCUUUUCUUUGUUUUAUACUUUUAAGUAUUCCCAUCAUGCAAAUGUCUACAUCUUCUUGCCCUAACAUUACUUUAUGAAAAUAAUCUUCUUAGCAAUUUGCUUACAUCAGGUCUGCCUUUUAAAAGGGACAAAAAAAAAAAAAACAACAAUUUUCUCAAUGAAAGUUGUCUUUUGUCUUCCAGAUAAAUUGACACACAAGGGAUGGAUUUUAAGUAUAUUAAUUAUUAUUGUUAUAUUUUAGUCUUUUUAAUGACUUAGAUUGAAGUAACUGCUAAGAUUAUUUUUGUGAAGUAAAGAUGGGUGCAAAAAGAUUGACUCAUUUGCAUGCUUGAUGCCAAAAUUAAGUAUAGAACAAAGACUAAGACUUAGACCAAUACAUUCCCAUAGUAUCUGUCAUUUUCUUCCAUAGAAUAUAUUCUGUAGAUUUUUUUUCAAACCUUUCAGCAAAAAUAAAACUCUGGUUUUUAAUUUGUUGAUUUUUUUGGCCAAUCAAUUUGUUGAUUAAGCAACUUCUUUCUCAUGCUUUUGUUCCUAAUGUACUAUUAGAUUUUAUGGUGUGUGCAUUUUUUCAGUUUUUUAUUGUUAAUAUAUUUUAAAGAUAUCCUCUAAUUUAAAAAUUCAAUGAGCUAAUAACUAUAUAUUCUAUUAGUAAAAUACUAAACUCUUAGUUUCAGUAUUUAAAAUUCAAAUCCUAACAAUCUCACAUAUAUAUAUAUAUAUAUAUAUAAAAAAGACAAUCUUCAAAUGAAAAAACUUCAUGUAUAUGAGAUAAUUUAUAUAUAUUUUUUUAAUUUCUUCACAGAUGAUUAAUUGAGUUUUUAAAUUUUAUAAACAGUAUUAAAAUCUCAUAUUUUCUGUAAGAUAUUUUCUUUUAACUAUUUUUUUUCAAACCUAAAUGUAACUUUUUCUAACUUUUUGGAUAUGAAAAUUCUAUAAGUUAUAUAACUCAUCAGAAAUGCAUAUUUAGAAGUUUUAAAAUUAAAACAAGAUAAGUAAAUAAGUAAUUUCACUUAAAAAAUUUUUAAACAAGGUGGAUGUAGAGAAAAAAUGAUGGUGUAUUUAGAGUCACCUAUCACAAAAUUAUACUUCACAAAAAAAUUGAUAUUCUAAUUUUGACUAACAAAGAAAAUGAUAGUAUGAGAUUUUUUUUAUUGGUAUUUAUCUUUUCUUUACUUUAUACUUUCAAGUCUUCCAUCAUGCAAAUGUCUAAGUCUUCUUGCCCCAUCAUUAUUCUGUCAAAAAUAAUCUUUUUAACAGUUUGCUUAAGUCAAGUCUAUCUUUUAAAAAAGACAAAAAAAUAGCAAUUUUCUCAAUGGUGGUUUUUUUUUGUCUUCCAAUUAAAUUGGCUGGGAAUUAAUUUUAAGCAUAUUAAUUAAUAUUGUUAUAUUUUAGUCUUUUCAAUGACUUAGACUAAAGCAAUUGCUAACAUCACUAUGUUUUUGAAGUAAAAAAGGGGGCAAAAAGAUUGACACAUUUGCAUGCUUGAUGCCAAGACUAAGUACGAAGCAAGGACUAUGAUUUUGACCCAUGCAUUCCGAUAAGAUCUAUCUUUUUCUUUCUUAUUCCAUCAUUAUAAAAUCACAAUUUUUAAAAUAGACAAGUUUGAGAAAUGGGAGUGAAUGUGUUGUUUAGAUUUUUUUUUCAAACUUUUCAGCAAAGAUAAAACACAGGUUUUUAAUUUAUCGAUUUUUUUGGCCAAUCAAUUUGUUGAUUAAGCAACUUGUUUCUUAUGCUUUUGUUCCUAAUGUACUAUUAGAUUUCACGAUAUGUGCAUUUUUUUUUUUUGGGUUUUUUAUUAUUACUAUAUUUUAAAGUGAUGCAUUGAUUUAAAAAUUCAAUGAGCCAAUAACCAUGUAAUUUGUUAGUAAAAUAUUGAACUUUUAGUUUUAAUAGUUUAAAGUUCAAAGCUUGACAACUUUAUAUACAAGAAAAAAAAAAAAGACAAUCUUCUAUUUUCACAAAUUUCAUGUAUAAAAGAUAAUUUAUAUAUAUUUUGAUUUCUUUAUAUAUGAUUAAUAGAGUUUUUAAAUUUUUUUAAUGGUAUUAGAAUAUCAUACUUUCUAUAAGAUAUUUCAUCUUAACCAUUUUUUUUCAAUCCUAAAUAUAAUUUUUUUAACUUACCGGAUAUGAAAAUUUGAAAAGUUAUAUAAUUUAUCAUAAAUGCAUAUCUAGAAGUUUUAAAAUUAAAAUGAGAUGGGUAAAUAAGUAAUUUCACUUAAAAAAACUUUUAAAAUUGGAUGUAGAGAAAAAAAAUGAUGAUGUAUUUUGAAUCACCUAUCAUAAAAUUAUAGUUUCUAAAAAAUUGAUAUUUUAAUUUUGGACUCACAAAGAAAAUGAUAGUAUGAGAAUUUUUUAUGAGAUUUUAAUUCUUUUCUUUGCUUUAUCACAUUUCUUAAUUUUUUUUAUAUAAUUUUUUAGUAUAUUUGUAAAAGGGUUUGUGACAGCCCUCUAACUUGUAUAAUCUAAAAACUCCACUAACUAAUUGCAUUUUCUAAGUUAUAUGAUUCAACAAAUACUAACAAGUCAAUUAAUAAUUUAAUUGUUCUAUAAAUUUGAAGGUAAAAUAAAUGAAAAUUUUGCAACUAAUAAAGACUAUGCUUUUAUUCCCAUAAACAAACCAGAUGAAAUAGAUGGAGUUAAAGAAUAAACUAUUUCGGGGCAAGAUAUCAGUACUAUCUGGAUUUCUUAAGCAUCAUAAUAUCAAGAAAAUCUGACUAGAACAACUUUACAUCAUGGCAAAAUUUCAAAGAAAAACCACUAGUUUCUCAAUUUCAUUCCUUCUUUCUCUUCCCCAAAAUUACAAAUUAUCUGCAUCAAGUUGCAUUUUUACAUAAGAUGUUCGCAUAUAUCUUUCCAAAAAAAAAAGUAGUAGAAUGAAGUCAACAAAUAAAACCAACCCUGAAACCUGUAAAAGUCGGUAUAUUUCCACCUCUAUGUUGUUUGACAGUGUUCAAUGUCCAACAUUAUUAACAUCAGCACCACCUUUGCAUUUCAUCCUCUAAAAAUCGAAAAAUCUUUAGAUAAGUAGGCUUCAAGUGAAUCUGUUAGCCAUGAUUUGCAUCAACAAACCUAAGAUUCACUGAUGUUGUUAGCUGCCAUAUUCAAAGCAAACUCGUUAGAUACUGGCAUUUCUAGAACAUGGCCAAGAAGUCUGGUAAGUUCCCUACGAACAUGAAUAAAACAUAUAUAUUUUACUGGAAAGGAAAAGCAAAAGGUAAAAUAUAUAUAUGUCAUAACUGAUCUAAAACAGAAAAAAUAAUUAAAGUAUAAAAUCAAUUAUAACACAAUUAGUAUAUAUAGAAGUAGAAUCAUGUAGUUAAUCAUAAAAAAUUUAAAUAUUUUGUGUAUAACUCUUCAAAAUUUUAUUGCUUAUGGAAAUGCUAUUUUUGCUUUUUUGCUUUCGGAAGCAAAAAGCAAAUAGCAAAAACCCAAUCAAACAAAUACUAAAUAAGGCAAAAUAACCAAGAACUUCAUAUGGUUCGCUAAUGCAUUAAUUGUGCACAAGCAAUUUUAUGUUCUCGGUAGUUACCUUUUUUAGUUUUUUCUAUUUCUGGUCAUUAAGUUAUAUUUUAUUUAUUGAAUUUAAUUUUUUGAAUUUUUUAGAAUUUAUGUAUGUACAGUGUUUGAAAUUUAUAUUUUAUUUUGGGAUUACACAAUUUUUAUACAAACAUUGUAUAUAACAUAUUUUUUAUACCAAUGUUUAUAUAUACCGUAUACAUACAUACAUUUGUACGCACUAAUAUAAGGGCUAUUUUUAUUUCUCCGGACCCCCUCUCCCUCUAAAAAAAGGGGGGGGGGUUAAAACAAGGCUUAUAUAAGAAAUCAAAACUUAAUCAAACUUUAACACUAGAAAUUUGAACCUACAAUUAAACAGCUUGAACAUAAUGUUAAAGUAUGCUUGUGAUCUACUACAACAACCAAGGCUCUAAAUGCAAUUUCAAAAGCUAGAGAGGAAGGGGAGGAAUAGUGGGGGCCAAGUGAAAAUGGAAAAGCACGAGAUCAAACUCUACCAUAAGCAAACCAACAAAAUACUGAGACCCAGGAAGUGAACAAAGAGACAGGGCAAAAGAUCUUUGCAGAAUAUGGAUGCAACAAAGAAAAGAUCAGAUUAUAACCACCUUUUCACAUAAACAUUCAAGUCCCAAUUUGCAAGAAGAACCUGUUAUGUCAUAUAUGUUAAAUCAUUUUGGGAACCGGAAACACGGACGAAACUUAUCUAGACCAAGGUACUUGAAAGCAAUGAAAUGGAAAUCCGAAAAACUUGCUCCAUUCAAUUGUUGGAAAAUGCAAAAUGUACAAUUAAACAAAUGAUGAUUGCAAGCUAGAACUCCAUAAAAGGUAACACUUUCCACCCAACUAUUCAUUUCAUUUCAUUUUUCUUUCCCUUUUCAACCCUCACAUUCUUCCCUAUAAUAACAAGAGAUUCCAACUGCAAUAACCAUUCUUUUGCAGCAAAUUCAACAGCUAGCAAUUGAAUGACAAAUUGACAAUUAUGUAUAGUAAUAGUCAGAGAAAGUACUGCUUGGCAUAACUCAAUAUUCCUAUUCACAUAGUUGUUCGAUUCAAAUCAUAAAAUUAAAUGAAAUAUGGGUAAAACAGAAAAGACCCAACACAUGAUAAAGCCUAAAAAAACACAAAUAAUUGAAAAAAAAAAAAAGAGUUAUGCUUAGCUAAGAAUAGAAUCUUUCUACACAGUGAAAGUAUAACAAGGAUCAUAGAAAAAAUAUUUAAAAGAAAAAAAUACUGUGCUUAAAAAAAUAUUUAAAAAAAUAUUUAAAAAAAAAUAUAUUUAAAAGAAUGAAAUCAACAAAUAAAACCAACCCUGAAACCUGAAAUAGGCUGUGAAGAAAAAAAACAAAAAAAGCCGCUAUAUUUCCUCCUCUAUGUUGUUUGACAGUGUUCAAUCUUCAAUGUCCAUUGUUAUUAACAUCAGCACCACCUCUGUAUUUCAUCCUCCAAAAUAGUAUUUGAGUUUAAAUAUUCCUGUACGAUCAAUCUUAUGCUCUGUUUUGGAAUAAUUGGUCGAGGAUCUUUAAAAAUAAUAAAAAAAAAAGUCUCUGAAAUUUGUAUCUGUAUGGGCUUUUGUAGAUCCCCAAAGGUUGUGUUUUAACUUAGGAUUACAUAUGUUACCAUGUAGGCUUGAACCCAUGUGUGUGCUUGUGUGUGUGUUAGUGAGUGCAAGGGAAACAAUAGUUUUGCUAAAAUAUUGAGUUUAUGGACAUUGCUCUCUCCGUACAUAUGGCCCAUUAAAGCAUGUUGUUGUUCCACAAUACACGGUCUCUAGUCACCUUUUUAAUUUGACCAUGUGAUUUUGAAUAUCAUUCCAUCUCUCCAAUCUAAAAAGGCUUUUAUAUUUCCACAGAGCUGUUUUUGGAGCUAUGCAAGCAGUAUGACCAGCCAAUAGGGUCUUUUUUUGCCCGUAAGUUUUCAAGGAUGUAUUAAUUUGGAUACUUAUAGUCAAGUUUGAUUUCCUUAAAAUUGAAGUUAACAGUUUCAAGAAAUUUUUUCAUGCCUUUCUAAGCUCAUGUACUCAUUAGAAUUGUUCAAAAUUGUAAUUGACCGUUCUGGACCUCCAUUUGUGUCCAAUUUUAUAUGCUCAUAAUUGGAUUACAAGUAAGAAAGUUAUGCCUCGUUUUAAUUUGUGCUCCUCUGAAAGGAAGAAACCUGUUGUCACCUGUUUGAUGAAAUAAUUUGCAAAAUGAAGAAACCUUUUAUACACAAUAUAUGUUGUAUCAUAUUAUUUAUUUUGGAUCCUUGGAUAAUGAUUUGAGAAAUAUAUUUAUUUCCUUUUGCAGAAUUUUGAUGACGUCCUGGUGCAUGCUGAUCACGUAAGCAGGAGCUAUAAUGAUACAUACUAUGUUGACUCUCAAAUUAUAUUGAGGUGUCAUACUGCUCAUCAAGCAGAGCUGUUGAGAAGAGGAUACACUCAUUUCCUUGUAACUGGCGAUGUUACCGUAGAUCUUCUAUAGAUUCUACUCAUUACCCUGUGUUUCAUCAUGUUUCAUUUUGUUGAAAAUCUCUUUAAUUUUGACUAGCUUUUAAAAAUUUUCUUCGCUUCAGAAAUUAUUCCAAGUACAUGUGAAUUUUGCAUCACAUGCUACAUGCGUAGCACAGCCAUCCAUAUGUUGGGCCUUACAAUGGGCUCCUUCGUAGGUUCACAUGAUGAACAGCUGUGAUUUGACAUGUAACAUUUGUUGUAAGAUGGCCAUGUUCAUAAAUUAAGGUUCCUUAUUUUUUUCCCUCUGAAACAUACGCCCUUUUACCAUACAGAUGGAAGGGGUUCGUGUUUUUACUCCAAAUAAUUGGGAGGCAUCAUCUGGUCUGGAUCCCACACCAUUUGCAGCCUAGGACUUAAAGAAAAGUCUAGAGGGCCUGGCUUGUCACCUAUCUGGCAAUUUUUAGAGUCAAAGCUUUGUUGAGGGAUUACAAUUUUGCAAAUGGUCAUGCAUUUCUAUCCGAAAGAGAUAUAGGGAUUAAGAGAUCAUAUUGAGUCCAAUUUGUGAUUUACAUCUUGAAUGCACUAACUGAUUUGGCAAGACGUGGCAAUUAUUGUAACAAGAAAUCAUUACAGAUUUGCAAAUUUUUUUUGGGGAUACCAUGGAGAUAUAUGUACCAAUGUGCAAGACAUCCAGUCCUAUGUGCAAUAGCAAAACUUUUGGUAAAAUACAUAUAGGUUUUUGAGUUUUAAGCAUAAUUUAACUAGAUCUAUUAACUUGAAAAAAAGACUUCUUGUCCCAAAACUUUUUAAUUAAUAAUACACUAAGAUCUUUCUAUUAGUUAGCUUAGUUAAAAGGCUCAUUAAAAGAUCAUUUUACAUUUAAAAAAUCAAUAUCUUAAAAGACUCACAUAAAAUAAUUAUUUAUAAUAUUAAAUUUUUUUCUUAAAAUAUAUAAAAUAUAUUAAUGAUAUAUAAAAAAAAUUUUAGGUGCAAAAUAUAAAAAAAAAAUUCACAAUCAUAAAUAACAUUUUUUUCAAUCAAAUAUUUUUUCUUAUUAUAUGUUACAUGUUUUUAAUAUAACAUUUUUCGUAUUAUAAUUUUGAAUUUUAUUUUUAUAUAUUGCACGUAAAAAUCUUUUUAUAUAUUAUUAACAUAUUUUAUAUAUUUCAAGAAAAAUUAUUAUUAUAAAUAAUUAUUUUAUGUGAGUAUUAACUUAUUAUAUUUACAUGCUCUUACAUGAAAACAAAAUUCACAAUUAUAAAUAACAUUUUUUUCAACCAAAUAUUUUUUUUAUUAUAUGUUACAUGUUCUUGUUAUAACAAUUUUUUUCUUAUUAUAAUUUUGAAUUUUAUUUUUAUAUAUUGCACUUAAAAUUUUUUAUAUAUUAUUAUAUAUUUUAUAUAUAAUUUUAAAAAUUAUUAUUAUAAAUAAUUUUUUAUGUGAGUAUUUGCUUAUUAUAAAUAACAUUUUUUUCAACAAAUUUUUUUUUAUUAUAUGUUACAUGUUCUUAUUAUAACAUUUUUUCUUACUAUAAUUUUGAAUUUUGUUCUUAUAUAUUGCACCUAAAAUUAUUUUUUAUAUAUUAUUAAUAAAUUAUUAUAUUUUAAGAGAAAAUUAUUAUUAAAAAAUAAUUAUUUUAUGUGAGUAUUUGCUUAUUAUAUGUUACACAGUUUCUUAUUAUAACAUUUUUCUUAUUAUAAUGUGAAGUUUGUUUUUAUAUGUUGCACCUAAAAUCUUUUUUAUAAUAUAUUAUUAAUAUAUUUAUAUUAUUUUUUAAAAAUUUAUUAAUUAUAAAUAAUUAUUUUAUAUGAAUAUUUAAGGAUAUUGAUUUUUAACGGGUCAAAAUGAUCUUCUUAAUGAAUCUUUUAAUGAAGUUAAUUGAAAGAUCUUAGUGUCUUAUUAAUAAAAAAUUUGAGUCAGGAUGUCCAAUUUUCAAAUUAAUAGACCUGAGUUGAAUUAUACCUUAAACUCAAAGACCUAAAUGUAUUUUACUCAUAAAACUUUUCAUGGGAAAGUAUCUAAACCAAACUGCUAUAAAUUCAUAUCACUUGCAAAAUUUUAUAAAGUUAAUCAUGAUGUGUUUGCAUCAGGGGUUGAUAAUGUACUGUGUAAGUACUGCUAUAUGUGGAAGCCAAUUAGCCUCACUCUGUUAACAUUCCAGCUGCUGUGGAGAUGCGUUGGAUCAAUGCCUAUUUCCCAUUUACCAGUCCUUAUGAAGUUGAAAUCUAUUUCAAGGUAUUCUCUUUAUCCCUUUUAGAGGAUAUUGUUAGUAUUUUCUUUAAGAUCGAGUUAUUUAGUCGGAAGAAUCUUGAUUCAUUUUUUUGCCUUUUUCCCUUGCUUUAUUGCAAUGCUUAUGGUCAUUUUGUCAAAAAAUUCUUUUAUGAUUGUUUGACAGCCAAAUUUAGGGGUGAACACUAUGCUUAUUAUUGUAAUGAUAAAUUCUAUUAAGAUAAAUCAAGAUUUGGACGUUUCUAAUACCUUACCUACAUGUUUGUACUCUGUGUUGUUAGCCCUUUUAUUUUUAUUGAUUGCUGUUCAAUAUGAAUCUUUUUAAAUCAAUGGCUAUUGCAUGUGAUAACUUUAGCACCGAGCAUAACUUACCAGUGACCUAGAUGGAGGUUUUGGGUUGCAGGGUAAUGGAGCAAGAAAUAUUGAAAAGUCAUGGUAGAUUAAACAGUGUUGCUCGGGCCUUUGGACUUGGAUUGGAGCGGCAAGCAAUGGUUUGAUUUGACAUACCAGAUAUUCGUCUUUUUGGCUGAACUGAUGAGCGAUUUACCUCACAGCUAGCCUCUGAAUGUAGCUUCAUGAUUUGAAUGUUGAAGUUCACGGAUUCCUAAUUUAAUAUCUCCGCCCAAGUCUGAUUAAGCUACUUGACUGCAGUUUUCCGAAGGCCAAUUGGAGUAAAGUUUAAACCCUUUUCAAAGGUAUAAAUUAAGCAAAUGGUUUCUUUUGUUUCCACUGUAUAUUCCUUUUGUUAUUUAAUACCUAUUACAGAAACAUGACUUGACUCCUCCACAGUUUUUGCAGUAUUCUCCCUGUUAUAAAGACAUGAGUUUUUGGAUCAAUGAAUUAUUUAGUGAGAACAGUUCAUGUGAAGUUCUAAGAGGAAUAGCUGGGGAUCUUGUUGAAGAGGUAUGCAAUUUAAUAUUUUUAGCCAGAAAUAUCUUCUGAAGAUAUAAACAUGUUCACCUAUAUGGUAAAUUUGACUAACUGAAUGUUGUAUAGAGUACGUGUUAUCAGUUAAUAAAUAUUAUAAUUGUCCAAAUGAUGGACAAGGUAUUGACCUAGAUGAGUUUAUUUGAUUGACUUCCUUUAUGUCGUCCUUUAUAAACAGCAAAACAGAAAUAAAUGUUAUUAGAUUUCUAGUUUUUUUCUUAAUAUGACUUAUUUUUACCCCACAUAUGGGCUGUAUGAAACAAUUUAGGAGUAACCAGUGCAAAUGGAUAUGCAUGCUGAUUCAGCUCUUUUUAUAUAGAAAAAAAAAAAGGAAAGAAAUUGUCAGCCAGCCAGUGUUGUGUGUCCAGAGACAGUUAAGAGGAAUUUGUUCACCUAAAAUUUAAUGAAAAUGACUAGGACUCUAACCUUUGGAUAUUGGUAAAAUAUUUUCUCUGAAUCUGUGAUAGCAAUUGUAACCAUUUAAGCUCACUUAAAUAUUGAAGGCAGGAGUGGAUGGCUAGUUUGUUUCUUAAGGUGUCUUAUUGAUGUAGUAAGCAUAUUUUAAAUUCUACACAGAAAGAUCUUAUGCACCAUAUCAACAGGUUAAUGUUGUAAACGUUUGGAAGUUUUGUACAUGUUUAGCUUUAAUUAAACCGAGAUUAUCAUCUUAAAUCUUUCAACAAUCAUAAUUUGAAGAAUUUGAGGGUCUUGUUGAUAGGUCUGUUUGACAGAAAAUAUUUGUCUUGUGGCUACCAGGUGAGUUUGAUAGAUAACUUUACCAACAAGAAUGGAAUGAUAAGUCAUUGUUAUUGGAUUGCACAUUGCUCCAUGGAGCGCUCACUUGAGGUGCAGUUUGGGAAAUUGAGGGUCAGAGAUCAAAGACCGCCAUGGUUUGCAUUACACAUUUGAAUGUUUAAGAGAGAUUUGACUGGUAUCUUCAGCGGUCUAUUGAUUAAAAUAUCAUCUGGGAGUUGAGAGCCUGUCAAUUUGAUUAACUUUCUCUUCUUGAUCUUUUGUUUACCCUUAAAGACAUUGCAGCGCAGAAAUAUGAAGCUUAUACAAAUGCUGAAAUAAUGGAUGUCAAUGGGAUGGAUACAACAAUUUUAUUCUCAUUUUUAAUUUUUUUACUUUAUAUCUAUAUUAAUAUUUUUAAAUUUAUAUUUUUAUUUUUGUUGGGGGAGUUAAUGGGUUGAUCGGCCCAUAUUUACAACUUAAAAACUAAAAAAAUUUUGUUAUUAUGUUCGAUAAAAAUUUAAAAUUAUAUUUAUUUUCGUUUUUAUUUUAAAAUUUUAAAUACAUAUUUUUAUUCUUAUUCAGAUAAAAAGAUUAGAUUUUUCAUCGAAUUUGAAUAAAAACAAAGUCAUCAGAAACGAAAAUUCUUUUAUUGGAGAAAUUUAGCAGUUUAGAGGAAGCAAUUUUUUUGCGUUUUCGUCAAAGCUAGUUUGAAAGGACAACCAACACAAAAGUCCAAUUGGUGCAAAAGAUUAUUCCGACGGGCAUUGCCAACAUGGGAAGGAAUUAUUCGCGUGUGCAAUUUGGACAAAAAAUUGACUGAUUUUCAAAACAAGUAAGAAGGCCGAAAAAGAAUCCGAAAGCCUGAUAAAAGAAUUUGGCGUUUUGGGUUCCUCCUUUACUCCUUCGUUCUUUAAUCCUUCAGUCGAUUCAUACCCAAUUCUUCAAUCCUUCAGUCGAUUCCUAUCCAAUUCCAAUUCUGAUUUCAAAAAAUCCCAAAUCCGAUGAUCGAAAGGAAUUAAUUGACGAAGGACGAUCUCUUCUUGUUGGGUAAUUUCAAUUCGGAUUAGUCAAUCGUGGGUAAAAGUUAAAUGUAUUGGGCGUUUUAGACUUCUUGUUCAGGUGAGUACUGUAAAUAUUUUGUUAUUUGGAUAAAAAAUUUAAUUCCUUCUUUUUCUUACAUCAAUAGAAAUUUAUGAUUUGGGUAAACAAAUUGAGCAUUUAGCCUUUCAUGAGAGAAUGCUUGAUCUUGUCUAUGGAAAUUUAAUUAUGACACCAGUUAGUGUGUUGAUCACGUUUGUUUCAUUACCUUAAUUAAUAGUAAUAAGGAUUUUCACUCACUUAGUUUAAAACCUUCUUUCAAGUGAUUGGAGCAACAGUCGUGAAUGAGAAUUGAAGUUCAUCUUGCUUGAGGCAAGGAAUCUAUAAACCUUUUCUCUUGUUUCUGUUAAGAUGACUGAUUCAAGCGAGCCCCAGUAGCCAGGAAAAGAACCUCAGCAAUCUGAAACAGAACCUCAACAAUCUGAGCAAGGUAAAAUUUGUUCCUUUUUUUUAAUUCUUUUUAAAGGUGUAUAUGUAUAUUUACUUAUAUGGCUAACUCUUUGACUUUUCAGUCUGCAAUUUCUUUAGGAAGCCAACAAAGGGCAAAAAACCAUAAGGAAAAGGACAAUAAAUGAAUAUGAAGAUGAAGAUGAAGACUCCAGAAAUGGCACAUCUUUGUUUCACAAUCAGAAAAACGCUUUGAAGCCUGACUCUUUUCAACUGGAUCCUCCAGGAGUGCUACUCCCACUGAAUCAAAUACAGAAUCUGACAAACCGAUUUUCAAUUUGAGUCUUCGAAGGAAAUUCAAGUUCAAAAUGAUAGCAGAGCUAUGGCAACCUUAGAAACUGAGACUGAGUUUACAAAAGAUGCUCGCGCGAUACGCGAGGAAGUUUUUGGAGGCUUUGAAGGGGAAAAACACAAGCUGGGGGAGAGAAGUUGUAUAAAGGAAUGCAUGGCUAUGUGGAUCAUAAGGCUGGGUUUCGAAGAGAGCAAACAGUUGCCAGUGAGAAAGCAGGUGGCAUGGAUAGGGCUUUUGCCCACAUCUUCAGCAUUUGAUUAUCAGCCUGACAUCGGUAAAGACUACAAAGAAACUGGUUACUGUGGUUACGGAGAUUCAUGUAAGUUUAUGCAUGAUCGUGGAGAUUACAAGUCUGGAUGGCAGUUAGAGAAGGACCGGGAAGAAGCAGAGAAAGCAAGGAAGAGAAAUCUGGCUUUGGGUGGCGAUGAUGAUGAUGAUGAGGCAGGGGUAGACCAGAGUGAUGAUGACGAUGAUGAUUCGUUGCCCUCUGCAUGUUUUAGUUGCUGGCAACCUUUUGUGGAAGUGCAAGUACUACUUCUGCCAGCAUUGUGCUUUAAAGGUGCCCUCAAUGCCUUUUCACGUGGAUUAAUUUUUUUUAGUGUCUUUUUUGUGCUAGGUUAACAUCUAUUAGUUUUUGUUAUGUUUGUUGUUAAUGCAUCACUUAGAUGCAAAACUUUUUUGGUUACUUACAUACAAAGAAUAUUUUAUGUGGUCCAACUUUUUUCAGCUAUAGAAAUAGGACAUAUUUUAACUUUACAUCAUCAACUUUUGGUGCCUCAUGUCAGUAUAAUUUACAUUUUUAUUCUCAUUCGAAUGUAAACUAACCAACUGCAUCUUUUGGUUUUUUCAGCAUCACACAAAGAACAAACAAGUGCUUUAUGUGCAACCAACCCACCCUUGGCAUUUUCAAUACUGCUCAUGAGAUACGUAGAAAGAUGGCUGAAGAGGGUAACGAUAAGUCCAUUGAUGCUUUUUUUCAACUCCUGCUGCCAUUAAUAUUUUUAUUUCUUUGUUUUGCCAUUUUAGUGGAAAGAUUUACUUGUCUGCAUACCUUAUUGAACAAAAUGUAUUCCGAGCUAGAUCUUGGGGGGAAUUUUGGAUUAUGCAGUGAUGAGCUCUUUAAAAUCAUUGUUGCUGCUGGAAUUGGUGUUUUUUUACCAAGUAUUUAGGUAAGUAUUGUUUCUGUGUCUGCUGCCACUGCUGCCUUUUGCCCAUGACGUAACAUUUCUACCUCGAGAUAGCAGUGCAAUGCAGUAAUCAACUUUCCAAGAAUCAGCAUUCCAACUUCACAACCUUCACAAUGGCCGAGAAUUCAUCUUGAUCAUAUCAAAAUCCAUGUCUAGAUGACACAUUCUGGUAGGGUCAUGAUCUAGGAAGGAUGUUACUUCACAGAGUUUAAGGCUGUAGGAUUGCUGAUAGUUUCAGUUGGGUAGGGACAGCUAAUAGAACCUGUGAUUUUUGUGCUGUCCAAGUCCAAAGCAUAGAAAGCUUUAAUGAACAGUUUCUUCCUUGAAAAAACAGUUUCCUGCAUUUAAGACAAAAAAAAUUAUGAAAUCAGCUACCAAACCUAAACUUAAAUUCAAGAUAUUGUAAUCUUUGGCUCUUAACAGCUGAUGUAUACUCAUCAUAUUCUUAGUAUGACCUUUAGUUUCCCUUUUUACCCUCUAUAGUUGUUAGGGAAAUUAAAACACCAUCAAAGUUAGUUUGGAAUUGUCGAGCUUGAGACCUGGAAACCAGAAGCUUUCUUCUAUUCCUUUUCAGUGUUUUUAUGGUGAUGUAGCAUCUUAGCUUGAUCUUGGUCUGUUGUCGACAAUUAUUCUGUGUUAGUAGAUGCAAUUAACUUCUUGUUUGGCAAUUAACGUGGUUACGCCUAGUCAUUGUUGUACAUGCCAUGGCUGGUAUAUCUUCUUGCACUGCAAAGUGUGUUGAGUCAUUGAUUAUCCUGAUCUGCUGGUCGAAAGGGCUGCUUUGGUGCCUGAUACAAUCUCUGUUCAAACUAGUGAUCUCCUCUGUUACCCAAUACAAAUUUCCAUGUCCCACCUUGGAUGGGUUUUCACUUUUCAACACAGCUGUCAUUUUUGCUCUGACUGGACAAAAAUGUUUAGCCGAACAUCAGUUUUGUAAGAAACAGAUAAGCAGAACAAGCUUUAGUCAGGAAGUCAUAUCCUUUCUGGAACUGUAUUUGGCAACCCAUGCUUUCCUUUUCCUAGUAUCUUCUCAAAUCAUUGGCCUGACAAUUCAAACGAUGAAGUUACUCCAUUUUGUUAGAAACAAUCAAGUUUUGUAUGCAGUAAACUCAAUGUUGACCAGGAAUAAGUGAUUGAGAGUAAAGGGAAAAAUCAUAAGAAAAUUACUGGAUGCUCUUUUUCAUAAACAAAGAUUUUACCACUAACCUUUUUCUAAAGAUAAAAUUAAAUCAUAUUAAUCAAGUCCACAUUAAUAAUUAAGAAUGGCAUUCACAUAACUUUCAAGUUGUUAAAAGUUUCUUUGUAUUGCCCACAUGUUUUUGUUUAGUGAAGGUCUAUUCUAUAUGGAUAUCAAUCGGAUAGCAAUAGCAAUAGCAAUAGAGCUUACAAAAAGCCAUUUGUUUUUGUCUGUGUGGGAGUCCAGAAGCAGAAAAACAAAGGAUGAUACGGGAUUAAAGUUAAGAAAAUAAUAAAGGAAAUAUUUAAAUCUCUCUCGCCAUAGUCAAAUCUAUAGUUAUUAGGGGCAAUGAAAUAAUAUCCUUUGGAAUUGUCGAGCUUUAUACCUGGAACUGGAAGCUUUGUUCUUUUUUCUUCUUUCUCUGUAGUGAUGUAGUAGCUAAUACAGGAAUAAAGCAUCUUAGCUUGAGCUUGGUCUGUAAAGAUUUUUCUGUGUUAGCAGAUGAAACUUCUAGUUUUGGCAGUUAAAGUAGUAGGCAUAGUCAUUUUUGUACAUGCCAUGGCUUGUAUCAGAUUCCUGCAAUGCAAAUAGUUGAGUUGAAUCAUUGAUUUCGUUAAUGUAAUUCUUGGUUGUUAAUGUAAUUCCUGGUCUGGUAGUCGGAAAGUCCUACUGGAGGUUGAGAGGAGAGUAUGUGUGACCUGUCACAGAAUAGAAAGUCAGGGGUGCCGAACAUGUUAUUUUGAGGCAUGCUCCGACGCACAAGAUAAGAUAGUAAGAUACACCAGAAGCAAGAAAAUGUAAAAGAGCAGGAAGUAGUUAAAGAGAGUAAAGAGGGUUGAGUAGUCAAUCACCUAACUCGUCUGAUUUACUUUUAUACCUCUUGGGUAAUAAUGUGGCAAACUGGGCUUUCAUGUGUAAAACCUAUUAUGUGAUUGCUGACAUGACCACUUAGAUAUAAUAAUACUGAAGAGCUUAAAAAAUAAUAAGAUUUUCCUUAAGAAAAUUUUUUGGAUAAAUGAUUUUUAUUAAUCCAAAAAAAGCAGUAGACCUGCUACAAAUAAACAGUAGGCUAUCAAGACCUUACAAACGUCAAAGAGCAACCUAAUAAAGUAAACUAAUUAAACUAAGCAACAUAGAGGAACCAGUCCCCAAUUCAGACACAUUCUUUUUUGCUAAGCCAGAAAUUAGUUAAUAAAAACAGAGUUACACAACAGGGGAACCCCAUAACUCAGCAGUAGAACACCAACCUAUAGAUAGAACAGAAGAGAAGCACAAUACAACCAGACAUUACCUUCAAUCAUCCUCGAGCAUAAGAGAAAGAACUGAGACACAAAUACCAUAACACCAGGCCAAAAACAUUCAGGCACAAUUUCUGUUGUUGAAAAAGGAAGAGUGAACUGGAGACUGCAAUCCUGUUAUUGAAUCGAAGCCAAAAGGAACUUUUGAUAGCUGAAACAAUAGCAUCUAUAUAUCUAGAUGGCCUGCCAAACUUCCUUUGAUUGUGCUCCUGCCAAAUAAAAUAUAUAUGAGCAUUCCAAGUCAAUCUAAGGAAAAUAAAUGCCAAAACUUUGCUCUUAAAAUGGCCGACAGCCCCAAUCUAACUCUAAAUACCAGUCACCCACAGGUCUUGUACAAAUUACUAACUUGAAAAUUAAUUUUCAUUUGUAAAAUGAGGUUAGGAAAUUCAAAGGACUUCCUAGUUUGCAGGCAAUUUUUUUUACCAAGUUUCAAAAAGGGAACGAGACAUAAAGUUGAAAUGUUCUUGAAUUAAAUUUUGAAUGCAAUCACUUUAGUAAGUUAUUAGUUAGUUAGUGCAGAUAAAUGACAAUAUAAGAGAGCAUUUAAAUAAUUUUAUUUUUUUAGGCUACAGUUCACAGAAUCAGUAACAAAACUUUUGAGUUAUUAAGUAUUCUAGAAUGCUUACCAAAUGACAUUGAAACUUGAAUUUUGAUUGAGUCACCUUGAUCUUCUCCAUUUUCGAUUCCAAUUCCGUGUAAACCUUUCCAACCAUUUGUUCCCCAACUCAUUCAGCACUGUAUAUCCAGUACAUAAUCCAAUGACCAAUCCACAUCCAUACCCUAUCAACACAAUUUUCCUGUCAGAUAAACCAUCUACCCAUGAAUCUGCAUCUUCCUUAGGGGUUGGCAUUCCAGGACCAUCUUGAUUGCAUUUCCUUGUCAGAGGCAGCCCACAUAAUCUUGGAUUCCCUUUGUUAAGAAUCGUUUGAAAAUGUACCGAAUGUAGCCUUUGUGGUAUGCUUCCCUCAAGUUGGUUUGUAAGAGAGCAUUCAAUACUUUCAAGAAAUGUUAUGGCUUGUAAGCUGUAGAGGAAUCCUUCCAGAGAGUUUGUUUUUGGGAGAGGAUCCAACGACUCAAGCCUCAGUUAACGUUUUCAAGUGCUAAAGGAAUUGGGCCAAGGAGCUGUUGAAGAUAAGUUUAGGCACUUUGAGCUGACUUGGGAGGUUUGUAUUUCGUCAUGGUAUUUCUCCCUUGGAAACUAUUAUGGAAAGGUCAAGACAAGAUAAGGAUGGUUAAGAUUUUCUCGUAAAAAAUUACAAACCCUUUAUUCACAAUUGUUACAGAGUCUGGUAGUAAUCAUCUCCAAUAUAAUCUGGCUUAGCUCUGUUGCCAUCAGUCAUCAUUCUCAUUGCCUUCAAAGAUUGAAAAAAUCCAACGGAUAACUCACCUGAAAAGUUAUUGGAAGCAAGGUCUAGUAUGUGUAACUCUGGCAAAGUAUCUUCAUCCCCAAAAAUUUUAAUUGGACCAUAAAAUCUAUUUGCUCUUAGUACAAGAACUUUCAAAAAAGGCAAUUUCACCAACCAAAAAGGAAAUGUGUCCUGUAUCAUAUUUUUUCCAAGGUCCAAAACUUCAAGAUUUCUGCAAUUGGCUAAUGACCUCGGCAACUUCCCUUCCAACUUAUUCUCACUGAUUAUGAGUGACCUUAGUUCAGUGGUUUGAAAGAAUUCAAUUGGUAAUUGCCCAGAAAAAUUAUUAAAAGCAACGUCUAACACAUCCAAGUCUUGAAAAUAAUUUUUCACAUGUUUAAUUGGACCGUAAAACCUAUUUGCUCUCAAUAUAAGAACCACCAACCAAGGCAAUUUUCCCAACCACGAAGGGAAUGUAUCAUACAAAGUAUUGUUUCCAAGGUUUAAAACUUCGAGCAUUGUGCAAUUGGCCAAUGAUCUUGGCAACUUUCCUUUCAAUUUAUUGUCAUUGAGUUGAAGCCAAUAUAAUUGGGUUGCUUUCGCAAAAUCCGGUAUGUUGCCGCUGAAAUUAUUUUUCUGUAGAUCCAAAGAUCUGAGAGAACUGAUAUUGCCCAAGCAACUUGGGAUUGGCCCACUUAAUUUGUUAAAGGAUGCAUUAAAGGUCUCAAGUUGCCUCAAAUUGCAAAUAGGUCUUGAUAAAGAGCCUUGUGAAGAAGUUAGAGAUUGGUUGAGCGAAAAUUGGUCCAAAGAUGAGAGAGAAUUGUUAGAAAGAUCCAGAUACCACAAACUUUUCUUCCACACCCAGUUUGGUACUGCACCACUUAUUUUGUCAUUUGAAAGGUCAAGAUCUUUUAAACUAGUUUGACUCUUUAAAAACUCUGGAAACAUACUUAGGUUACAGAAUCGUAAACGCAAGUAACUCAACAUUGGAAAAGAGGAGUUUGCAUCACCAAAAGGAACAUCUGUUGGAAAAUCAAUCGUAUUGAAAGAAAGGUCUAAACUCAAAAGAGUGGUCUUGCACAACCAAUUAGGCACAAAACCAUGGAUUUGGUUGUCAGGAAGAUAUAGAAAAGCCAACUUGUCUUGUGUUUUGAUGAAUUCUGGAAAUUCAGUAAGGUUGCAUGAGUGUAGAUACAGCAUCUCUAAUUGGGGAAAAGCAAGGCUUGUGAUGUUGCCUUCAAUUGAUAAAUUUAUAUUGGAAAGUUGAAGACAACUUAAGUUCUUGAGUUGGAAGAAUACGUCGAGCUUUACGCAACUAAAGCUAUUGAAGCCUAAAUACAAUACUUCAAUCAAUGAAGAAGACGCAAUGGGGAUCUCACGAAUUUCACCAACCAAUUGAUUUACUUCAAGAAGCAAUGUAUGCAAUGAUGGGAGAGUAAAUAACGAAGAAUGUAUUGAUCCAGAGAGGUGGUUCCCCCACAAACAAAGAUAUCCAAGAUUUGGAACUCCAGAUCUAUGAAAUGGAGGGAUUAAACCACUGAAAUUAUUAUCUCCUAAAUUCAGUUCCACAAGGUUUGUGAGAUUUGCAAUUGAUGAUGGAAUUUGUCCAAAGAAAUUGCCAUAAAAAAGAUUUAAAUUUGUCAAGAACUUGAGAUUACCAAUUGAUUCUGGUAGUUUUCCACUGAAAUUUGUAUCAGAAAUCGUUAAGAUCCGUAAAGCAUUGUUUGAUGGAAAUUCUGGCAACUGACCUCCAAGAGCGUAAUUAUUUGAAAUGUCAAUGCUUUCUAUUUUUGGCAACUUGAGAAUUUCUGUUGGAAAAUGCCCACUCAAAUUGCAAUUCACUAAACUGAGAGAAAUCAAACGAGAGGAAAUUUCCAACAAAUUGGGAGGUAAAUAAGAGAUCGGGUUCCUACCAAGGAAAAGUUUGGAAAGAAAAGGAAGUCUUGAGAGUGAAGAACAAAAUGGACCUGUCAACCCACAAUUCGACAGACUUAACACAUGCAAGUUAGGAAGUAUUAUGGAUGUGGUCUCACAGCAUUCACUACUUUGAGUUGAAAUGUUCACACUAUCCAAAUAGAGGUCUGUAAGAGGUCUCAAAUUUUGGAUUAAUGACUUGAAGUUUGGGUUUUCUAGUUUCAGAGGUUGUUGAAGGUUGUCAGGAAGAUCAUCGUACCAGAAAUUUGGAUCAAGAAUUUGAUUAUACCGUAGAUAGCAAGAAUCUUGAUUAGAUAGAUCAAGAGAAACUAACCUUAUUAAGUAUGAAAUCUCCACUGGAAUUUGGCCAUGGAAACAUGAGUUUGAAAGGUCGAGAUGAGUUAAAUUUGGGAAUCUAUCAAACUCAUAUUGAAACAGAGUAGUAUUAAAAUUGUUUCCAGCAAGAUUAAGGCGUUGAAGAUGAUGGAGAUUGAAA